rnacentral:lncRNA from 1 species
CUUUGGAUUUUGGAAUUCAGUGAUCCCCAAAACGAAAAUAAGUAAAAGGCUUUCUGGCAAGAGGGAGAGACGGAGAGAAGGAAAAUGAAAAAAUGGGAAACAGCAGUGAGUAUUGGGUGAUAAAUCGACGAGGAAACGGUUGUUUUGGUGAAAGGAGAAAGGAGAGCAGCAAGCCAACUUCAGAUAUUGACUUUUGAGCAGGCAGAAUAGCCGAAUAGCAGAAUAGCAGUUUUCUGAAUGUGAAAAUAGUUUGGUUAGAAGGAAAGGGUGUUUUAUUAAUAAUAGGUGGAAUCUUCUGAGUUCUUGCUUUUUGGACUUUCGCCACCUAACCUCAGACUCCCUCAUUACUCACCAUCAUCAUACUAUUAUUAUAUUCACAGAAUUUUAAAAAAUAUAACAAUUAAAACUUCCAUCAUCAUAUUGUGAAAUCUUAAACCCUUUUAUUUAGAGUAUAAGAAAAUAAAAAAUAAAAAAAUAGCAUGAAUAUUAGUUCACAUUAUAAAAUUUUAUAAUUUUAAACGGACAUUAGAAACGAAAGUGAUAUUUUCACAAUAAUGAUAAGAGUUAAUUUCAUUCACCUCCUUUUAGAGUUUGAUUAAAUAUAUUUAAUUUUUAUAAACUUGAAAUUUCAUCAUACAUCCCCCUUAGUUUGAGUGAGAGGAAAGAUGAAUAAAAAUAAGAAAUAAAAAUGACACAGAAGAUAUUUAAUAAAAUUUCAAUCCUAUGAUAAUUAAAUGUAUUUAGUCAAAACAUGAAUAAAAAUAAAUGACCUUAAGAAAAAUAAAUAAAAAUAAUUAUUUUUAUGAUAUUUAGAGUGCAUUUGAAAGUGAUUAUAGAAAAUAUUUUUUAUAUUUAAAUGAUAAAUUAUUUUAAAUAUUUUUUAAAAUUACUAUCAAACAAAGUAUUAUUCUAUUAACUUAAAAGGAUCAAACAAUCAAAAGAGGAUUUAUUUGGCUACGAAAAAUUCUAUCAUCAUAAUACCACAUACACAAGGAAUUCUUUCUAUUUAUUUGUGUUCCAAAAAAUUCAGAUGAAAGAUGAUUGAAAACCUACAAGCUGUUCUUUUACUAUUUUUCUAAUAAUAGGAAAGGACACAUGUGGGAUGGCACAGAGACAACCUGUCAAGAGUAUGAGAUCUUUUCAUAGAAAUGAUAAAAUCUAAACAUGUGAAUACUUUUUAUUUUAUAAAAUUAUGAAAUUAUAAUAUUUAGUUAUUAAAAAAUAAAUUAUUAUCGAAAACUGAAAUAUAAUUUUAUUGUUUAUUUUAUUCAUAUUUCAUUAAUUUUACAUGUUAUCAUUUUUAUUUUUAUUUUAUUAUUUUUAUAAUUUUAUGAUUUUGAUAUUUGAUUUUAUGUAAAGAGUGAAUAAAGUUAUGUAUUAUUGAAAUAAAUAAAAAGAAUUCAGUCUUGGGUUAACACCUUGGAGGGAGCCAUGAAAUAAGGCCCUCACAUGAAAUGAGAAAAAUUAGAAAUUAAUCAAAAAAAAAAAAAAAACCUAUUUGAAAACCCACACAUUAAAAAAAAUGAAAAUUUUAUAAAAAUAAUAAUCUUCGAGAAAUUUGAAAACUACAAUAAUUAAGUGUAUUUUCAUCAAAUUUCUAUAAUAUUAAUGAAAUUAACCUUUAAAAUACUUUUAAUCAUUUACUUUAAAAAAUAGUUAUUUUUUUUGUGGGUUUAUUAUAUCAUUAGUUUCAAAUUUAUCAUUUCAUCAUAUAGCACCCUUAUAGAUAUAUUUUAUUUAUAAAAUUUAAUUUUUUUUAAAAAAAAAUUAUGUUUUUUAGAAAAUUUUAAAAUAUACCUAUUUCGUAAAUCAUUUAAAAAAAAUAAAUUUAAUAAAAAUAAUAAUUUAAUAAUGGUGCUAAGGGAUGAAACUUGAAUUCAACAUUGAUUAAGUGUAGUUUUAUUAAAUUUCAGUAAUAUAAAUGAAAUUAUCCCUUUAAAAAUUAAAAAACCCCUUGAAGAUUCACACUUCGGAAGUUUCAUAAACAACUGUAAAAAAAAUGUAAGAGUGAAAACCAAUCUAUUAAAAAAAAAAGAAAGUUCCAAAAAAGGGUUUAUAAAGCCACAAUUUGAAAAAUAAUUAUUUCAUUAAAGGGAUGAAAUAAUUAUUGAUUUAUAAAAUCUCACCUUCUAUGUCUUUUGGGCUUAAAAAUAUUCAUUUUUAAUAAAAAUAUGUUUACCGUCUUUUUAUAAAAAUACAUUUUUCAAAACUUAAAUUUAAAUAAUUGAAACGUCGAAAAAUGUUUAUAUAAAAAAUAAAAUAUUUUUAUAUAAAUAUUUAUGUUUAUAUAAAUAUUUUAAAUACAUUUUUUUAAGUUCAGUCACUCUAUCAGCAGUUAGCUGUUUUAUUCUAUUUUAUGUAGUCAAUCUCACAACAUUGAGAGGCUUUGUUUUUUUGGCAACCACGCUGUCACCUACUCUUCCCGUUAUUAUUUUAUUCUCAUCAUCACACUCUUAUUAUAUGUAUUGACAAAUUUAUUAACAAAAUAUUUUUCUUUAAAUAAAAAAGAAAUAAUGGACGGUGAAAUAGCAGAUGAUUGAAAACUGCACCGGUUGUCGGCUGUUUUUAUUCUAUUUUAUCUACUCAACCUCAUAACAUUGAGAGGUCUUUGUUUUUUUGGCAGCCAGGCUUUCACCUCCUCAGCUGUACUCACUCUCGCUCCAUGCCUACUCUUGCCACUAAUAUUUUAUUCUCAUCAUCACACUAUUAUCAUAUGUAUUGACAAAUUUAUUAACAAUUUUUUUUAAUCUAACAAUUAACAUAUUAUUUCUAAAUUUAUGUAUCUCCUCAUAACUCGAAUGAAAAAAAAUUAUCUUUUAAAUAAAUAAAUUCAAUUUAAAUAUUAAAUUUUAAAUAAAUAAAAUAUUUUAUAGUUGUCAUUUUUUAAAAUAUUUUAUUUAGAAGGUCGUACGAAUGUUAAAAAUUGAAUUUGAGUGAUGGCUAAUGAUUCACCAACUCUGCCAGCUAAAUUAUUUUUCUAUAUUAGUUAUUGGUAACCAAUCACGCUCAUCUCGUCAUUUCAGGUUCACACACAUGCUUUCACCUUCCCUAGUCAAGCUUAUUGAGACUCACACUAUUAUUAUUAUAUUGACAAAACAACAAACACUAGUCCUUUCUUAUCUACUUUUUCAGGAAAUAAAUUGAUUUUAAUUAUUAAAUUUUAAAGUUUUUAUUACGAAUAAAUAAUUUAAAUUAAUUUUAUGAGUUCUUUUGAUAAGGCGAAUAAGAAAUUACUCUUCAAGAAAUAAUUUUACUUUAGCUAUUAAAUUUUAAAGUUAUCUUUUAAAUAAAUUCCAAAUUUUACAUUGGAACUAUUUUUUUUUUUUAAAUAAUUUUUAUGUGAUAUAUAUAUAUAUAUAUAUAUAUAUAUUAUUUGUUGUUAAAAUUUUGAAACUUGCCCUCUAUAUAUAAUUAGAAAAGACCUCAUUAUAUGCUACAAUAUAACUCUAUUGAAUUUAUUUAUUUAUUUAACAUCUGAAUUAUUUUUAUAAUUAUCAUUUUUUAAAUAUGUUAUUUAAAAAGUAGUACAAAUAUUAAAAUCUUUCAAUUUCCUAAGUGUUGGAUUACGACCCACCUACUAUGACAACUAAAUUAUUAUUUAUUAUUAUUAUUAUUAUUAUUAUUUGCAGCUCACCUAAGAGUUGCAUGCCUCAACAUUUCCACGUUCAUACCUAUACCUACUCUGGCAGCUGAAUUAUUUUUCUAUAUUAGUUAUUGGGAACCAAUGCUUAUCUCAUCAUCCCCAGGUUCACACCCAUGCUUUCACCUUCCCUAGUCAAGCUCAUUGAGAUUCACACUAUUAUUAUUAUAUUAACAAGACCACAAGGGAAAGUUAUGUUUACAUGCACUAUUUGAAAGUAAUAUGACAAUCAAACUACAAUCAAUUGGAGUAUGAGACUUGACUGUCAAAGGGGAAAAUAUUAUCUUUCUUGUGCACUUUUUGCUAACUCUAUUUUAUGUUUCUAGAUUGCCCUUCUAUGCCUCUAUGUUAGCUGCAACCCUGUCUCCAUAUUAGUAGGAAGCCCCCCAUGUCACAUGAGAGACUGAAAAAUUUUAAAAUAGGAACAUCUAAAUUUGAAACCUAUGAAAAAUCACCCAACCCAACAACUAGUUAUAAUUUUCCUAAUUUGAAACUUUUCUUCUCUCUGAUUUGGGAACAUUUUUUUUCUCUCUCUCUCUCUCUUGGUUUCAUCACCCACACGAUCCCGAGACCCAUUUAAAAAUUACCAUAAAAAUGUCUUAUUUGAGAGAAACAAACCAUUAAUCCAAAACUCCAACCUGCAUGCUUCUCUCUUAUCCACAUAAAAGUGCAAUGAAAUGGAGCAUUCCAUCCUAAGAACGUCCAGUUAAAAGACGGCUUCAAGAGGCGCAUAUGUGAUUGUGAAUUUACUACAACAGUGCGUACCAUAAACGAAAGCUAGAAUCCAAAAUAUUGGCUUCGUGAACAAGAUAUCUCUUCCUGUCAUUGAGUUGCAUUUUACCCUAACCUCAAACCAAAAUCUGAAGGUAAAUAAUUUUCAUUUAUUAUUCUUUAGUUCAUUUCUUUGAAAUGGAGCACAUCAACGAUUUUGGAGUCGUUUGUGGCCUUGAACUUUUCUGUUGGGUUGUGGGAACCAUAUUAUUCCCAAAUAACCAUAUGACCUACAAGUCAUAUUGAAUUCAGAUGGAACUUAUAGCAUAUCCGAUUGCAAGUCGCAUUGUUAUUUUGGGGAUUGUAUCUUAGGUACUACCUUAAUAGCCCUUAGGUACCAUCUUAAUCUACCUUAGGUACUAUCUUAACCGACCUUAGGUACUUCCUUAGUUAAAGUUGGGUACUACCAAUCUGAAGCCUCGAACCUUCAUUUGUGACCUUUAGAGCAUGUCAUUAUGUGAUUAUUUUGUGUGGUCAAAUGGUUCACCUUUGGUUUUUUGGGAACUGUACUUUAGGUACUACCUUAAUAGCCCUUAGAUACCAUCUUAAUCUACCUUAGGUACUACCUUAACCGAUCUUAGGUAUUACCUUAGUUAAAGUUGGGUAUUACCCAUCCGAAGCCUCGAAACUUCAUUUGUGACCCUUAGAGCAUGUCAUUAUGUGAUUAUUUUAUGUGGUCAAGUGGUUCACCUUUGAUUUUUUGGGGACCGUACCUUAGGUACUACCUUAAGCGACCUUAGGUACUACUUAUCUAAAGCCUUAAAACUUUAUUCCCAACCUUGGCUUGUUACAUUUUGAAUUUUUUAGUCAAUCAUCACUUUUAUUAUCAUAAAAUGUGGUAUACUUGUGUGAAUUAUAUACAUUUUCUUUUUGCAAUAGUCAUUACUUGAUUGAUUAUAAAAAAAAUUAACCAACAACAAUUAUGUCAUUAAAUGACGAACAGGCUAACAUACUAUGUAGUGUUUGUAGGUCGUAGACAUGGAAUGUAUGAUUCUUGGGUUGAAUGCUAAAAGAAUGUGCUCCGUUAUAAGGGGAGUGUUUACAAAACAUAUACUUCUAGAGAGGAAGCUGUCCGAGCUUGGGUGUUCUAUGAACCAAGAUGGAAGAGAAGUGAUGAAUGUUCAUUAGCUAGCAAACCAAAGUCCAAACAUGCAGUUGAUGAUGACCAUUCCUUGCAAAAUAUUUCAUAUACAUAUGUAAUCAGUUUCUUUGUUGGCUUAUUUGUAGCAUGUGUUUAGUUGAAGAGUUGUGGGAACAACCAUGAUUGUUUAGCCUGCUAAAAUCAUAUAUCCUACACAUUUAAUAAGAUCCAUUUAAUACAAAUGCAUGCAUAUGCUUGUAAAAAUGAUAUGAUAUACAACUUUAAAUCCAUAAAAUUUCAUUUUUACACUUACUAUUUACUUGAAUGUCUUUUAUUGCCCUUCUCAAAAUCCCUGGAGCAACACGUGCUAACCUAAGAGCUUCAUUGAUAACCUACAUUUUCACUUGGUCAAAUAGUUUGCACAAAUUUAUAUUAAUGCAUAUGUGUAUGUGUACUAAAAAAAUUAUCAACUUACUUGAUGAGUAAAAGUCAUUGACUUAUAUUCCUUCCGUGAAAUUCAAGAAUUUGGAUCUUCCCUAUUUUUAAGGAUUGCCUCAUGCUCCUCUUGCAAUAUAUAUAAUUAAAUAAAAGGUUUGAGUCCACUAGGGUUAUCAAUGAAAACAUGAUAAUAGAAAAAUUGAAAGGUCAUUAAAUAUUUAUCACUUACAAUUAAUUCUUGCAUUACUAAAGGGUGUUCUAUGAGUAACUUCACAACUAAGGGUAAAGUAGAGGAAAUUGUCUCAAAACUAGCAAGUAGAAGCCCAAACAUAACAAAAACAACAAAGUCAUUCAAUAGGAACUUUUUUUUCUUCAUAUCUCAACCUUCUGAUAAGGAAAAUCCCUUAUAAGAGUUUUAGGCGAAGCUUUUUUCUCUUUUAAUACAUCACGAAUCAACUUUAUUGCCUUCUUUUGGUCCUGAAAUUGAAUUUAUAUGAAAUUAAUUACACUAAAUAUACAAAAAAGGAAAAAAAGAAAUUAUAACUUUAAAAGUUUUAGAGUAUAAUGAAAAAGAGUUUUAGAAUUACCUUUGGACAUUUAUGGAAAAUUGUACCAGGGAUAUUCAAAGGAAAUGAAAUAAGAGCAUAUAAGAUACUGGUAAAUUUUUCACUAAAAUGUGCUCCCUUCAUUUUGAAGUCAUAACUAAACAACGCGGUUGCAUUAAUAUCAAAUAUCAUCUAUGUAAGAAUCAUCAAUCAAGUAAAUUUAAAAAAAAAAAAAAAAAAUCAACUUUUGUUUUAUCAUAAAGUUUAUUAUUAUUGAUCCUUUUUGCUCAAUUAGCUAAGUUUGUAUAUCACAUAAUCUUGUUAAUAACCUCAAUGAAUAUUUAAUAUGAACAAUCUAUUUUAAUAUAAAGUAAUACUAUUUUUUCAUUAUUUUUAAUUAUUUAAAUUAUAAGUGAUAAUUAGAUAUGUUAAAAAAUAGUUUAUAUAUAUUAAAUAAGAAAGUUUUGACAUUCUAUUAUCAUUUGCUACUUUUUCUAUCCUUAAAAAAAGGUGAGAGGUUAUAAAAAAGGGCAAAGUAGGUUUUCCCACCUUUUAACGAGGGAUCAGAGAUCAUACAAGUGGUUGAAUUAAAAGCUUGAUAAAUUACUGAUGAAACGUAUGCUUUGAAUUCGAAGGCAGGCAACAAUGGACGGUGAAAUAGCAGAUGAUUGAAAACUCCACCGGUUGUCGGCUGUUUUCUUCUAUUUUAUCUAGUCAACCUCAUACCAUUGAGAGGUCUUUGUUUUUUUGGCAACCAGGCCUUUGCUCACUCUAGCUCCAUGCCUACUCUUCCCACUAAUAUUUUAUUCUCAUCAUCACACUAUUAAUAUAUAUAUUGACAAAUUUAUUAGCAAGAUAUUUUUCUUUAAAUAAAUAAUAAUAAUAAUAAUAAUGGACGGCGAAAUAGCAUAUAAUUGAAAACUCCACCUGUUGUCGGUUGUUUUAUUCUAUUUUAUCUAAUCAACCUCACAACAUUGACAGGUCUUUGUUUUUUCGGCAACUACGCUUUCACCUCCUUAACUUUGCACUUUGCUCACUCUCGCUCCUUAUCUACUCUUCCCACUAUUAUUUUAUUCUCAUCAUCACACUAUUAUCAUAUGUAUUGACAAAUUUAUUAACAAUUUUUUUUUUUAAAUCUAACAAUUAACAUAUUGUUUCUAAAUUUAUGUAUCUCCUCAUAACUCGAAUAAAAAAGUUAUCUUUUAAAUAAAUAACUUCAACUUAAAUAUUAAAUUUUAAAAUUACUAUUUUUAAAAAAAAAUUGACACUAAACUUUAAAAUUUAUAAUAAAAUUAUUUUUAAAAAUAAUUUUAACAUAAUAUAUGUAAUAAUUUGUGAAACAUGGUCUACAUAUAAUUAAGAAAAAUUCACCUGUAGUAUUAACAAAUGUUUUUCUCCAAUCAAUAGCCAAUAUCAUAAUAUAACACUAUUGACAUGGUCAAUUUAUUUAAAACAUAUUUUUUUAAUUGCUAUAAAUUUUAAAUUAUUUUAUAGUUAUCAUUUUUUAAAAUAUUUUAUUUACAAGGUCGUUCGAAUGUUAAAAAUUGAAUUUGAGUGAUGGCUAAGGAUUCACCAACUCUGCCAGCUAAAUUAUUUUUCUAUAUUAGUUAUUGGGAACCAAUCACACUCAUCUUGUCAUUCCCAGGUUCACACACAUGCUUUCACCUUCCCUAGUCAAGCUUAUUGAGACUCACAUUAUUAUUAUUAUAUUGACAAAACAACAAACACUAGUCCUUUCUUAUCUACUUUUUCAGGAAAUAAAUUGAUUUUAAUUAUUAAAUUUUAAAGUUUUUAUUACGAAUAAAUAAUUUAAAUUAAUUUUAUGAGUUCUUUUGAUAAGUCGAAUAAGAAAUUACUCUUUAAGAAAUAAUUUUACUUUAGCUAUUAAAUUUUAAAGUUAUCUUUUAAAUAAAUUCCAAAUUUUACAUUGGAACUAUUUUUUUUAAAAAAUAAUUUUUAUGUGAUAUAUAUAUCUUUUUAUAUAUAUAUAUAUAUAUAUAUUAUUUGUUGUUAAAAUUUUGAAACUUGCCCUCUAUAUAUAAUUAAAAAAGACCUCAUUAUAUGCUACAAUAUAACUCUAUUGAACUUAGGACUAAAACAUAGGUGUAAAUUUCUUAUUAAAAUUAUUUCUAUAUACUACUUCCUACUCAUUUCAUUCAUUUUAAUUUGAGAAUAAAUAAUUUAAAUUAAUUUUAUGAGUUCUUUUGAUAAGGCGAAUAAGAAAUUACUCUUCAAGAAAUAAUUUUACUUUAGCUAUUAAAUUUUAAAGUUAUCUUUUAAAUAAAUUCCAAAUUUCACAUUAGAACUAUUUUUUUUUAAAAUAAUUUUUAUGUGAUAUAUAUAUAUAUAUAUAUAUAUAUCUUUAUAUAUAUAUAUAUAUAUAGAUAUAUUAUUUGUUGUUAAAAUUUUGAAACUUGCCCUAUAUAUAUAAUUAAAAAAGACCUCAUUAUAUACUACAAUAUAACUUUAUUGAACUUAGGACUAAAACAUAGGUGUAAAUUUCUUAUUAAAAUUAUUUCUAUAUACUACUUCCUACUCAUUUCAUUCAUUUUAAUUUGAGAUUAAAUAAUUUAAUAUAUAUAUAUAUAUAUAUAUAUAUAUAUAUAUAUAUAUUUAGUUAUAUUUAAUUUUUUUAUAAUGCAAUCUAUCAUGAGAAAAUUAUUUUUUUAGAUAUAUAUAUAUAUUUUAAAAUGCUCUCAAGAAACUGAACAAAAUUUUGGAGCGAAGAAUAUAGAAAAUAGAAAAUGAGGAUCAAAGUUAACCCUCGUUUCAAGGUUUUACAAUUCAAUUCUCACAAUCUCAAUAACAAUGUUUAUAUGCUUUUUCAUUUAUGAGACAAAUUUGAGGACACCAACUUUGUAGAAGGAAAAAUGCAAAAAAUUUGUAUCUCUCUCUUGAACAUGGGCUUUUCGAAAUAUUGAAUCCAUGAAAUUAAUGAAAUACUCUUUUAUAGGAAGGGAGGGCUAAUUUUCUUAAAUAGUUAAAAUUUCUCUUUUCAAGGUACAAUUAUUUAAAAACUUUUCACUUUUCUAAUUAACCAAUAAAAUUUAACAACUUAACAAUUAUUUUAAAUCAUUUAUUGAUUUGAAUAAUAGAACAAUCAUAAUAAUAAAUUAAGUAACCAUAAAAUUUAUCUAACCACAAGCAUGUAAAGUAAUAGGCCUAGGAUCUUAAAAGAAUGAAUGGCCAUAAAACAAAAAUCCUGAUUCUUAAACUCAUGAACAUAAAAGUACUCUUUCUAUCUGUCAAACUCUCCCCCUAAAUUUAUGACAAAGAUUCUAUAUAGCAACCCUGCCUAAGGGCCCACUAGGAGAUAGUGAUCCCAUUACGUAUUAAAAUAAAAAAUAAAACCACUAACUUAAAUGGUGGAACAAGGGCAAUUAAAAUAAAGACAGAGAGAAAAUGUUGAUAAAGCAAAACCAAAUUCCAUUCAAAAUAAAAAAGCAAGCAUAAAAAAAGUAAAAGUAGUUUAGACCUUAAGGUUGAAUACAACUCAAAAGUAACAAGUCUCAAAAGAGAAAGGAUACUAGAACCCACAAAUUAAGGAUAAAUUAAUAAUGCCAGAAGACUAUAGGGCCUAAGGCUGCUCUUGAGGACUAACCUUAGUCCUAGCUCAACCUCAAUUGAACCUAUGGGCUCAUCAUCUAAAAAAAAAAAUGUUAGGAUGGUCAACUCAUAUUAAAGACAUUUCUAAAACAUACUCAUAAUAAAUUUGGUAAUUAGAAACUAGCAUAAUCAUAAUAAUAGGUAUAGACAUAUCUUUGAUCAAUUGAUCAACUAUACAAAAGCCUACUACUCGUUAACCCUCACAUCUACAGUCUUUAGGGUCUCACUACCUCGGAUCACAAUACUAAAGAGUUUAUCUCUUGAUCAUCUCGUUAGGAGCACAAAAGAGUAUACUUUGCCAUUUUAGGUACUUCAUUUGUGAACCUUAGGUAGUUCCUUUGUCAACCUUAGGUACUAACUUUCUCAACCAUAAGACCUACCUUUGGCAUUGAAUCAAGAUAGAAUCCAUUGUUUGAAGAUCAACUGAGAAAGUGUGGAACUUGUCUACUCAAUACAAAACUUCUUUAAUUGCAUUUGAAUACAUAUGGUGUUAUGUUUUAAUAGGUUGAUCAAUUGGUCCACUUUAGGUACUAGCUUAUUGAACUUUAGGUAUUACCUUAAUGAACAUUGGGUACUAACUUAGUGAACCUUGGGUACUACCUUAGUGAGCCUUAGGUACUAUCUUAGUUGAGUCUUAGGUACUAUCUUAGUGAAUUUUAGGAGAUUGUUCAUUCCAAAUAAUUUAAUAGCUAGAGCAACAUUAACUCAAGGGUUUCAUAGUGUGUUUUUUAUCACUCAUAAAAAACAAAGGUACCACAAUUCACCAAUAUACUAUCCAUAUUAUUUAUUGAUGAGGCUUCUUUAUCUUUAUUAGAUUUUAUUGAUUGUUGGUUCUAGUUAAAAGGGUGAAGGUUUAUUUGUUUUUACCUCAUUUUUCUUGAUUAUUUAGUGACUAUAUUUUACUACCUGUAGACUUUAGUUGUGUUUUUUUUGUUAGGUUUUUUUUAAUAGUGUUUGUUCCUAAAAAAAUAUUUUAUGACAAUGUGAUGGACUCAAGAAUUUUUGUGUCAUAUUCCUUCUCACAUUUUUUUAUUGGAUAAAUACUUUAUAAAGCAUUCUCUCUCAAUUAUUUUUCUAAUUGACUUAUGAUGGUUAUGUUGUGGGAUGAAUUUAUAUGUUCUUUUUCUCAACUCUAUGUAUUUAUUUUUGAUUUGAAAUUUAUAUGUUUUUUUUUCUCAACUCUCUGAAUUUAUAUGUGGAUGUAGUGUAGACAUUGGAUGUAAAUUUUGCUAUUGAGGCCUACAGGAAAUCACAGAAGGCUUUUGUGAUGUAGUGUAGACAUUGGAUGUAAAUUUUGCUAUUGAGACCUGAAGGAAAUCACAGAAGGCUUUUGUGGCUACUAAUUUCCUUGCAAUAGAGGCAUAGAAUAGGGAGAGUAUUACUUCCAUUAGUCAUUUAGGUCUCAAUGGUAGUAGAGAGUAAGUCAACCUUGCAUAUAUAAUGUGCUCUUUCUAGUUUAAUUCUUCUAUAAGUAGGUGAUUCGUUCCCAAUUGGUGUCUCAGCUGAUUCAUGUCCAGCUGGUGCUCUUUGAUUGAGAGAGUAAUCAACAAAAUUUAUAACCUAUAUCACCAUGCAUUAGGAUAGCUUUAACUAAUAUAGCAUUGUGGCUCUAGGAUCGUUCUCUGGGAAGGGUUUUCAACUCACAACUAAUACCAAUUCAAAGUUCCCUUGGUGCUUUUUCAUUUCAAGGUUAGCUUAAGAAAUAAAACAUAAACUUUGGUGGAAAAGGUUUGGGUUUAAGUUAACAAAAAAGAAAGUAAUGGAAAUUACUUAUGAAGAAAAACAUUCCUUGGAGGUUUGGGUUCACAGGGGAGGUUCCUUAUGCAAAAACAGAGCUCCGGUCAUUUGGUUCAUUUCUUCGCAUUAGAGAAUUAACAUAUAGUCAAUUCUCUAACCGGUGCUGUACAGAUGUAUCCUUUAAAUGGAUUUCAGCUCUAAUUCCCUCUCACUGAUGCAACUUGCAAUGGCUCGUGCCUCUCACCUAGCAUUUGUCAUUUAAGGUGAUCUUUAACUUCAGACUUCCCUUCUCAAGCUCGCAAAAGAUAACUAAUGGAUGUCUCCUUGGAGUCCAAAAGCUUACCAAGUGUUGGCAAUUCUAGAAAAUCCUACCUCCAAGUCACUUCCUAAAAGCUCGCAAGAGAUAAACAAGUGCAUCUCCAUGGACGGAGAUCACGUGCCUUACCAAGUGUUGGCUCAAGUGACUUGAAGGUGUUUUAAGUUAACUAAAAACAUAGAAAUCAUUAAAGGAUCACACUUUCUCUUCAUUAAUGAUUGAAACCACAAAGCUACUAAUUCUUGUACUUGGAACCUUUCCCGGCAACCUUAACUCCAAGGAACUAAAAGUCUAGCCACUCAUUCUCUAAGGAAACUUCCUCAGAGCUUGUUUGGCUAGAAAGAAAACUAACGAGAAAACAAAUAUAUCCAGGAAAAACAGAGCAAGUGCUCUGUGAAAUAUAUUUCUUUCUUCCACUGAUUACAUAAUUGAUAUUUUGUAAAGAAAAUUACAAACUAUAUAUAUGAGGUUAUUCACCCUUUGUACUUACUUAAAGACUAAGGAAUCCUAUGAUAGGUGGAUUACAAGGAGACUUUGGGGAUUUAGACAUCAAAUGUCUAAAGCAAAAUAUCCCAAAAUAUCUCAAAAUGUCGGUCGGAAAUAUCAGGAAGCUUCAGGAGAACAUCGCUGCACUGUAUACUGAGAGAAAAACUCUGCGGGUAAGCGUUAUCAGAAGAUCCGAAUAUUUUUGACUGGAGAAGUUGAAACGUCCUCCUCUCCCAUCCGGCAGUGAGAUAUCCGGAUGUAAAAAUGUCGGCGCACGGAAUUCCGGAUAUGAAAUGUCGGUGCACGGAAUUCUUCCCCGGGUGGACUGAGCUAUGUUGCGCAAAAGGGGAUCGUCUGCGUGUGUAAGGUGUAGGGACCCCUCUCCCGGAUGACACGGAGUGCGCAAGGUUAUCCGGAUCAACUCGAUCCGGAUUUCCCAAGAGGAAAAGGCGGCGCAAUGCUAUCCGGCGCAGCUCCAUCCGAACGAUAGCAUAUACUAUCCAGAUAUGUUGUCCGGAUGGAAAACAUUGACUAAAGUGAGUGAGCGAGCCUUGCUACAGCCCACGUUCCGCCGCUCUCAGAUGGUGUGUCCAUACGCCUGUUCGGACAUCUUUACCAUGGAUUCCAAAGAACUCUCCUCAAUCUACGGAUUGCUUUGGUGAUAAAAAAGCUAUCAAAACACCAAAACUUAACACAAUUUGAUUAGAAUUGAUUGCAAGGGUCCUUAAUAUGUUAAUUGGGUUAAAAGGUGAUAACUACUACUCAAAAGUGUUUAAAAGAGUUUAUUACAAGCUAUGAAAUAACACUUUUUGAGUAGUAAUCACUCCCCCCAACCGACAUAUUGCUAGUCCCUUAGCAAUGAAGGAGAGAAAAAGAACAAUAAACAGUACUAUAAUUUACAACAUCAUGCUGAUUAAAAAACAAUUUUCAAGUGGCAUGAUGAUCUAACUCUCACAUGGAACAUUAAAGAAGUAAAACUCAAACUUCAACAAGAGUUAUCAAAUAAUUUGUCUUAAUCACAAUUCUUAUAGAGACGGCAUUAUGCAAAAUUAAGCUUUAAAAGAGUUUCCACUCCCAAAUGGUCAAACCUUACUCUUCCACAAAAAUCUAAGUGUUAUUUAUUAGUUUCCGAAUAUAGUAUGUUGAACUAAUCUCUCCCCCAAACCUAGCUCUUUUUCAAAGCUUAGCAAACUGAUCAACCUCCAAUAGGCUAAGAACGCACCUCUUUUUUUUUUUUUCACAAUUUUUUUUCAUUGUAGGAGUACAAGGCUAAAGGUAUUAUUUUCUAAAUUGUCCAUGUAAUGGGGGUCCAUCGAUGACUCCCAACCAAUUAAGGUUUAGGACAUCAAGUUUUAAGGAUAUUUCAACCACUAACUCCUCGGAUUUUACCCCAGACUUUUGAGAAUGAAUUUUAAUACCCAAGCACCUACAAUAUGUUAAACUCCACCUAUCCACCCUUGUAACGAGCAUUGAAUUCGAUGACUCCCAACCAAUGAAGGCUUAGGGCACUAGGUUUUAAAGAUUUUCACCAUAUACCCUUCAGACCUUGCUCAGGUUUCAAGGCAAGCAAACAUUUUUUCUUCAUAUUUUUUUUUCAAAGGCUCAUUGGCCUUUUAUAAGGUGUCCCAACACUAUUAAAAUUGAUGUCAAAGGUACCAAGUCUAAAAUUUUCCUAAGUCAAGAGGGAAAUAGUUUUUCAUCUUAUAAUCGGAACCUAUUGUGCACAGUGUGUGAAUAACUUAAAGUGGAAGAACUAAGGUUGAAUUCAAUAGAAGUUUCAACAAUUCACCAACUUUAGUAAGCAUAAUACAAACUCUAAGUCAAGUAAAAAGACAAAAAUUCAAUUUCUCUCAUUUCAUUUUUGAGAUUUUUCCUUAAUAACCAUGGAGAGUAGAAUAUAAACUUCAAAAAAAUUUUAAAAGUAAGCAAAAAGCAACUAAAUUACCAAAAUAACUUAGCAUUAUUAACAAAAACUUCCUUCCUCAACUCUCCCCCCAACCAAGCUGAACAUUGUCCUCAAUGUGACAAAAGCGAUUGAAAAAUAGGGAGGAAGUGGUACCUCCUAAGUGACGUGGAGUAAUGCUGUGGAAAUGAUGGCUCAGCCGCUUCUCCUGUAGGAGGCUCCGGAUGAGGUGGGAAUGGCAUGCUCAGGAGUUGAUGUACUGCCAAGAUGAUGUUGAAUCUGCCUCAGGAUGGCAGUGUGCUGGGCCUAAGUGGCAAGAAUCUGCUCCUGCUGAUUUUAAUCAUUCAAAAAGAUUAAGUUAGUUACAAUUUACAUAAUUUCAAGACCAAAAUUACAAUCAAAUAAUUUACAAAACUUAAAAAUUAACAUAUUUAACAAAAUUAUGGACUUUGGUGAAACCAAGUCCAUCUAACCCUUCUCUGAUCAGGAUUCUUAUGGCUCAAGGAGGUUGAUUUCCUCCUUUUCUGGUUUGAAAGGUUCAAUGAAUGGCUUGAGGCGAUGACCAUUGACUAUGAAGGUGUCUAUGUCAUUGGAAUUUAGUAAUUCCACCACUCCAUUGAGAUGUACUUGGUGAAUAAUGAAAGGACCUAUCCACCUUGACUUGAGCUUCCUUGGAAAGAUAUGGAGCCUUGAGUCAUAGAGUAGGACUCUUUGUCCGUUCCGCAAUUCUUUGUUGGAGAUUAGUUGAUCAUGCCACUUCUUCAUCUCUGUUUUGCAACUUUGGAAUUGAUGUAAGCAUCAUUUCUUAAUUCCUCCAUCUCAUUAAGGUCUAAGUACCUCUUUGUUCCAGCUCUGAUCAAGUCCAUGUUCAACCUCUUGAUUGCCCACCAAGCUUUAUAUUCAACUUCCACAAGGAGGUGGCAUGCUUUGCCAUAUACGAGACGAUAGGGGGACAUGCCAAGAAUAGUCUUGUAAGCUGUUCUAUAUGCCCAUAAUGAAUCAUGCAGCUUAAUAGACCAAUCUUUUCCGCUUGUAAUCACCACUUUCAUCAGUAUGUUCUUUAUUUCCCUGUUUGCUAGCUCUACUUGCCCGGAAGUUUGAGGAUGAUAAGGUGUAGCUACCUUAUGCUUCACUCCAUACUUGGCUAAUAAGGCUUCAAAAGGUUUGUUGCAAAAAUGAGUACCUCCAUCAUUGAUUAUGGCCUUGGGCACCCCAAAUCUUGAAAAGAUGUUCUCCUUAAGGAAUUUGAGAACCACCCUGUGAUCAUUAUGUUUACAGGGGAUUGCCUCCACCCAUUUGGAAACAUAGUCCACCCCCACCAAUAUAUAAGAGUUACCAAAAGACAAUGGGAAAGGUCCCAUGAAGUCAAUACCCCAAACAUAAAAAAGAUCAACUAUAAGGAUGGGGUUCAUGGGAAUUUGGUUUCUUUUUGUAAGCUUCCCGAGUCUUUGGCAUCUAUCACAACUCCUACACAUGAUGUGGGAAUCUUUGAAAAGCGAUGGCCAAGUAAACCCUGAUUGCAAGACCUUCAUGGCUGUUUUCUGAGAGGCAAAGUGGCCUCCACAGGCAUUCUCAUGGCAGUGGCUGAGGAUCCCUUGUUGCUCUUCUUCAGGAACACACUUCCUUAUGAUCUGAUUCUAUAAGUAGGUGAUUCGUUCCCAAUUGGUGUCUCAGCUGAUUCAUGUCCAGCUGGUGCUCUUUGAUUGAGAGAGUAAUCAACAAAAUUUAUAACCAAUAUCACCAUGCAUUAGGAUAGCUUUAGCUAAUAUAGCAUAGUGGCUCUAGGAUCGUUCUCUGGGAAGGGUUUUCAACUCACAACUGAUACCAAUUCAAAGUUAACUUGGUGCUUUUUCAUUUCAAGGUUAGCUUAAGAAAUAAAACAUAAACUUUGGUGGAAAAGGUUUGGGUUUAAGUUAACCAAAAAGAAAGUAAUGGAAAUUACUUAUGAAGAAAAACAUUCCUUAGAGGUUUGGGUUCACAAGGGAGGUUCCUUAUGCAAAAACAGAGCUCUGGUCAUUUGGUUCAUUUCUUCGCAUUAGAGAAUUAACAUAUAGGCAAUUCUCUAACCGGUGCUGUACAGAUGUAUCCUUUAAAUGGAUUUCAGCUCUAAUUCCCUCUCACUGAUGCAACUUGCAAUGGCUCGUGCCUCUCACCUAGCAUUUGCCAUUCAAAGUGAUCUUUAACUUCAGACUUCCCUUCUCAAGCUCGCAAGAGAUAACUAAUGGAUGUCUCCUUGGAGUCCAAAAGCUUACCAAGUGUUGGCAAUUCUAGAAAAUCCUACCUCCAAGUCACUUCCCAAAAGCUCGCAAGAGAUAAACAAGUGCAUCUCCAUGGACGGAGAUCACGUGCCUUACCAAGUGUUGGCUCAAGUGACUUGAAGGUGUUUUAAGUUAACUAAAAACAUAGAAAUCAUUAAAGGAUCACACUUUCUCUUCAUUAAUGAUUGAAACCACAAAGCUACUAAUUCUUGUACUUAGAACCUUUCCCAGCAACCCUAACUCCAAAGAACUAAAAGUCUAGCCACUCAUUCUCUGAGGAAACUUCCUCAGAGCUUGUUUGGCUAGAAAGAAAACUAACGAGAAAACAAAUAUAUACAGGAAAAACAGAGCAAGUGCUCUGUGAAAUAUAUUUCUUUCUUCCACUGAUUACAUAAUUGAUAUUUUGUAAAGAAAAUUACAAACUAUAUAUAUGAGGUUAUUCACCCUUUGUACUUACUUAAAGAUUAAGGAAUCCUAUGAUAGGUGGAUUACAAGGAGACUUUGGGGAUUUAGACAUCAAAUGUCUGAAGCAAAAUAUCCCAAAAUAUCUCAAAAUGUCGGUCGAAAAUAUCAGGAAGCUUCAGGAGAACACCGCUGUACUGUAUACUGAGAGAAAAACUCUGCGGGUAAGCGUUAUCAGAAGAUCCGGAUAUGUCUGACCGGAGAAGUUGAAACGUUCUCCUCUUCCAUUCGGCUGUGAGAUAUCCGGAUGUAAAAAUGUCAGCGCACGGAAUUCCGGAUAUGAAAUGUCGGCGCACGGAAUUCUUCCCCGGGUGGACUGAGCUAUGCUGCGCAAAGGGGGACCGUCUGCGUGUGCAAGGUGUAGGGACCCCUCUCCCGGAUGACACGGAGUGCGCAAGGCUAUCCGGAUCAACUCCAUCCAGAUUUUCCAAGAGGAAAAGGUGGCGCAAUGCUAUCUGGUGCAGCUCCAUCCGGACGAUAGCAUAUACUAUCCGGAUAUGUUGUCCGGAUGGAAAACAUUGACUAAAGUGAGUGAGCGAGCCUUGCUACAGCCCACGUUCCACCGCCCGAUGGUGUGUUCGGACGCCUGUCCGGACAUCUUUGCCAUGGAUUCCAAAGAACUCUCCUCAAUCUACGGAUUGCUUUGGUGAUAAAAAAGCUAUCAAAACACCAAAACUUAACACAAUUUGAUUAGAAUUGAUUGCAAGGGUCCUUAAUAUGUUAAUUGGGUUAAAAUGUGAUAACUACUACUCAAAAGUGUUUAAAAGAGUUUAUUACAAGCUAUGAAAUAUCACUUUUUGAGUAGUAAUUAGUAGGCAUCAGGAAGGGAAAAAAAAACCAAUUAGACCUGCAGUACUUAGAAUCCCUCAAAGGGACUGUCAUCCCUCUUUGUACAUGUGUACAAAAAGUGGAAUUGAUUUGCAAAUUUUGGAAUGUAUUCUUUCAAUGCCCAACUUGUUAUUGCCAUGGAUAAGGGAAUGGUAUGUUCCUUAGUUUAGAUAAAGGUGAUAAGGACUUUCUGUAUUGCUACCAUUUAUUUGAAUUUUUAGUAAAAUAGAAAAUCAAGUUUUUGGGGAAUAUUUCUUGUAUAUAAAAGCCCUUAACUGUGUUCUUAGGGAAAAUCAAAUCCCUGAUUUUCCAUUUACUCAAAAUCGCCAAAUUACAAAAACAUGACCCAUCAUAUAAUACAGGCACCGAUGAAUGCAUUUCAUUGUAGCUAAUUAAGUUUUAUCUUCUUGAGCUCUUCCCAUUUGCUUGAUAUCCUAUUGGACCAGAUAAUCUCGAUUUUAACUAUUUAGGAAGACCCAUCCUUAUUGUUAUCAUCAUGUAUACCAAACCUUCAUUUGAGCAGGAUCUAAAAUAGCCAAAAGGUGCUUUAUGAAUGUGUUCAUCGCCAACACAACAUCCUCUCCAGCACUACUUGUCAAUUCCUUCACAAUUUUAGACAAGAAAAUUAACUAUUGAUAGGCAAACUAUGAAAAUUUAAUGUUGAAUAAUAUUUUACUGGAAAUAAUAAUCACCACUGUAAAAAUGAACUACAGUAACAUAUACAAAGAAAACCAUGUGGCAAGGACACUUUUGAAAAGGGGCACUUGUGUUGAACUAUAAUAACCCCACAUCUAGAACAGACACCUCACUUCUGGACAUGUGUUGAAUCCUUCCUAAUUGUGUUUAGAAUUCUAACAUAAUUUUCCUCGGUGGAAAUAUUUGAAAAUGACUAUUUUGUUGUAGUAAGGAAAAACUUUUGAAAAUUGAUGAAGCAUGGUUUACAAUGGCCAUCAACUUGAAGCUUUUGUUGAUGAUUUUUGGUUGCCAACUUUGAUUGCAAUGGAACUAUACUUGUACUACUUUGAAGUAAGCUACAUUUUUUUUUUUUUUUUUGCAAAAGGAUUAAGAUAGUAACCACUAAUUGUAUUUAAAAAAAAAUGCAAGCCAUAAUAUGCCAUACAGAAAAGUUCUGAUAAUGAAGUGUGGGCACAUUUAAAGUGAAAUACUUGUCUUAAAAGCCUCAGAGGUCAUACAACUAGAGCUGGUCACAGUACAUUACGAUGGUAAGUUAUAGAUUUUGACACACAUGUAGCAGAAUUUUAUGCGUCGCUCAUCACCUUCAUCAAAUUGGAUAUGCUUGGUGAAUCAUUUCUAUAAGAAAGCCCCCAGCCUCAACACGGAUUCGACAUGGCCCUUGUGUGUAUGGAGUACUUUGAGCUUGUACGAAACACAGUUUCAAGCGAAACACGUCAGACAAUGCAUCCUCCUGUGAAAACAAAUCAGUCUCCAAUACUACGUGUAACCAUUAUCUUCUGAAGUAUACCAUUUACUGAAAUAUACAAACUAUUUGGCUAGCAUGCAAUAUACAAACUAUUUGGCUUGCCACAAAUAAGAGUAUUACCUUUUAUAAGCUUCAUUGAUUAGUUUAAAUUUUACUGUAACAGCAUUGUCACCCUUAUGCUUGUGGAGAGGCCACUUCUAUUAUGCAUGGACAAUAUCUUCAUCAAAUUCCCAUUUAUAUUUUUAAGCAAGAAAAACCUAUAAGCAUGCACUAUCUAAGAAGCUACUAAAAAAAAGAGAGAUCACUAACCAGUGCAAGCCUUCUGUAGUUUAACUUGAUCUUCUCAUCAGUUGCAUCAUAAUUAAUCUUCAAAACUUUAUAGUAAUCCUUGAAACAAGGAAAAAUUCAUGAUCAUAUUUUACAUUGUGGUAGCCCAAUUUUAUCAUAAAUAUAAACAAGUGAAGAACAAAAAGUUAAUAUUGUGGUUUAAGCAACUAAUAAAUGGGUCCCAAAAAGAGAUUUUGUAUUAUAGAAAUUAAUUGAACUGAAAAAAAAAUUGCCUUUUGGUACCACCUGUAUACACCUUUUAUACCCUAGUGUAUAGAAUCCUAAGGUAUAAAAUUUACUAAUCAAAAUAAUAGAUUGGGCCAUCAAAUAUAUGACACUAUUUUGGAAAUUCAGUGUCGGUGAAUUGGUAGAAAAAGAUGAAACAUGUUGCAUAUCAUGAUUAAAAAUGAUCUGAGCAUCUUCUAUUCUGUCUUUGAAUCCUUCCCUACUGGAGAGAACUUUAGGGGAGACAUUCAAAAUGAGAAGUUCCACAUUGUAAACUGAUACCAUUGGUAGACAACCAUCAAGGAUUACCAUGAACUAGUUGUAAAUUACUAGAACGUUUAUUAUGACAAUAUCUAUCACUUAGACGUAACUUCUGACGGGAAAGUAUAAGGUUCCAUUGGUGUACCGAGGUAAUUAUAAUCCUAAAUAGAUAACAUUAAAUACUUGAUUCAAUCCUCCUAUUCCUUAAUCACAUGAUUCCAAAGCCACAACCAACCAUCCUAUGGAUUUGCAUGAGCCACCCAUAUAUCUUUAGUUCCUUUGAAUUUCUUGGUUUGCAAUUCACACUUCACAGCUGAUUUAAAAAGAGGGAAAAAAAAUUAUCAUAAUGUAUUCUAAUCAUAAAUGAGGUAUUGGGCACAGAGUAUGCUUUUCCUUUCCCCAAGUUUGCCUUGAUUUUCUUGGCAACCAAAUAAAUCAAAAAUAUGAAAACACCAAGAAAUAUGUUCCCUAUCUGCUUUGAAACCAACAAACUUGUUAUGCUUUCAUAAGCAUAUCCUAAAUUGCAACCUCCUUUACCCCAGCUUUCUUGGCAACCAAACAAAGGGCAAAUAUGAGUAAGCACAAACAUAUCCAAUCCCCCUAAAAUAGUUACAUUUUCUUACGUAUAUUCCAAAUUCAAAUCCAGGUUCCUAAAAAAAUUUCAAAAUGGUUACUGUAUCACUCUACAACUAAAAAAACAAAGAUUUCCCAGAAACUACAACUCUAACAUCUAAUAAUUCAGUAUCCAAACAACAAAAUGCAAAAAUUGAUGAUAAACCCUAACAAUACUUUCACUCCUCAAUACUCAAGAGAUUAAGAAUUCCAAAUAAUGAAGAAUCAAAAUCACACAUAUGAAUCACCAAUAAUAUGAAGAAAACAAAAUUGAAGCAAAAAAACCCCUGAAUCUGAAAUGAGUAGUCCCAAAAUAUAUAGAAAAAUACAAAAAUAAAUAACAUUCUCUAAAACAUACAUACAUAUAUGUACUAAAAUAGACACGAACAGAGAAAACCCUACCGUUAGUAAAACACCAAAAUCUAGUGAUUUUGACAUUUGAAUCCUAAUACCAAGACCCUAAUUCUACACCUUAAUAUUGUGAUUUCCACAGCAAUGGAAGAAAAAUACACAUACAAAUAACCUCCCCUCCCAAAAAGAAAAAAAAGAAGAAGAAACCUAAAAGAAAACAGCACAAAUGGCUUAAGAAAUUGAAGAAAACCAGAAACCCAAAUGAGAACCCCAAAUUUGGACAUGAACAUUGCUGAUAGCGGUAAAAGACAAAAGACAACAAAAUCAUACCUGUGGAUGAAUAAAGAAAAAUAAAAAACAAAAAAAGGCAAAUGUCCUUCAACGAGAAGGAUUAAACUCAAAAUGUUGACGGUGCUGGUGCUCCAUCACAAUUUAGAGAGAGAGAGGAUAGGGGAGAUGGAAAUGAAGUAGCUUGGCAGGUGCAAUGUGACUAAAGCAUAUGUCCUCUGAUGCACUCUGAUUUGCAUCGUCGAAUUCUGUCAAAAGAGAUUAGGGUUAGGUUUCACUGUAUUCUUGGGAUUCCGAGAAUAUUUGGUAAAAUAAGAGGUCCGUUUUUUACGGGAUUUGGGUUUUUUAGAUUAAGAUCAACACGAGGAAGCUGUUAAGAUUUCAAGAGGGGGAGAAACGCAGGAUGGAGUCCUUUAUUUAGUGUUAAUGUCGACCAAGGUAGAAAGAAAAGUGUAGGGUGUUUUUCAAUUUUUUGUUUUUUGUUUUUAUCUGAUGUGGAAGUUGGGCUGGAGAAAAAGAAAGGGAAAUUUGGGUAUAAAAUAACAACUAAGCUGAGAGUGCAUAAAUCCCAUAUUAUUUUUUAGAUUAAAAUAGUUAUAUAUAUAUAUAUAUAUUAAAAAAAAUCAAAAGUUGAGUUUCCAAUUUCAUAUAUUUUUCAUAUUACCAACCCAAAACACAAGUUUCCCACACUCUUUUUAUAGGAUGAAGGAAUGACUAAUUUUCUUACAUAAUUAAAAUUUCUCUUUUCAAGGUACAAUUAUUUGGAAACUUUUUACUUUUUGAAUUAACCAAUAACAUUUAACAACUUAACAAUUAUAUUAAAUCAUUUAUUGAUAAAAAUAAUAGAACAAUUAUAAUAAUAAAUUAAGUAACCAUAAAAUUUAUCUAACCACAAACAUGUAAAGUAAUAGACCUAGGAUCUUAAAAGAAUGACUCAUCAUAAAACAAAAAUCCUAAUUCUUAAACUCAUGAACAUAAAAAUACUCUUUCUAACUGUCAAACUUUCCCCCUAAAUUUAUGACAAAGAUUUUAUGUAGCAACCCUACCUAAGGGCCCACUAAAAGAUAGUGAUCUCGUUACAUAUUAAAAUAAAAAAUAAAACCACUAACUUAAAUGGUGGAACAAGAGUAAUUAAAAUAAAGACAACGAGAAAACGUCAAUAAAGUAAAACCAAAUUCCAUUCAAAAUAAAAAUGCAAGCAUAAAAAAGUAAAAGUAGUUUAGGCCUUAAGGUUGAAUAUAACUCAAAAGUAACAAGUCUCAAAAGAAAAAUGAUACUAGAACCCACAAAUUAAGGAUACAUUAAUAAUGUCGAAAGACUAUAGGGCCUAAGGCUCACUCUCGAGUACUGGCCCUAGUCGUAGCUCAACCUCAAUUGAACCUAUGGGUUCAUUAUCUAAAAAUAAAUAAAAAAUAGAUUAAAUUGAGUGACCGAAAAGUUUAAUGAAUAUUUACAAUAUAUAAGUGUUAGGAAGGUCAACUCAUAUUAAAGACAUUUCUAAAACUUACUCAUAAUAAUUUUGGUAAUUAGAAACUAGCAGAAUCAUAAUAACAUUUAAAGAAUGGAUGAUGAGAUGUAAAAUAUGUGAUCAUAGUUAUAGACAUAUCUUGAUCAAUUGCUCAGCUAUACAAAAGCCUACAACUUGUUAACACCCUCAUCUACAGUCUUUAGCAUCUCACUACCUUGGAUCACAAUACUAAAGAGUUUAUCUCUUGGUCAUUCUAUUACGGGCACAAAAGAGUAUACUUUGCCAUUUUAAGCUCUAUCCCCUAACAUGGCAUUAGAACCCACAAUCUCAUCUUAAUGCCUCCUCUUUGCUACAUAAGUGGUGAAGAGUUUCAAAACCAAACUACAUAAAACACCUCACGAGUGUACAUGUUAUCAUGCCCACCCAAUAUUAAUGUCUAAAAAGUUCAACAAUUCAUUAGAUCAUAAUAGCGUAUGAAAUUAUUAGGAUUGAGCCCUAAAAAGCAUGACAUGAUAUGUAACAUAUAGAGAUUCAUUUAUAAAUUUAUUUAUUCAUAUUUUUUGGUUUCCCUUUAUUAUCUCAUUUGCAUUAAUUAUUUAUGUCAACACAUACACCCAUAUGUCAUACAUUGUACAUGACUUGCAUUAGGAGUUGCGUAGAGGACAUAAGUCAUGGGUUCCUUGUAAGUAGAUAAGUUGUCCACAAUCAAUUCAUGGAUUUGGGCAAUCUCAUAGAGACUGUAAUACACUACCCCAUAAUUGAAGGAAUAACUUGUUUUGAUUAUCGGGAUGAGUUUCCUAUAGUGAGUGCACUUGUGUAUGUGAUGCAUACUUGGUAGGACUUAAGAUGAAUCAUGACAUAAGACUAUCAAUUGUCAUGAUGCACCAAGCUACUAUACUUCAUGUACUCUUAAGUUUGAGAGAAUAUUAAGUUUGUGCCAAAGUCAACAUGAGGCUUUGACCUAUGGGUGAGACCCUAAGGUGGUCACAUAUCCUUAUGGAUUAGGUUACUGUUGAUGGAAGCCAAUGACAAUAGGUAUUCUCAAUAUAGGCACCAUAGAAUCUCAUAAGAUUGAGACAAUGUAUUUACUUGGGUGGUCCAAAGGACAUGUACGUAAUCUAAAAGAUUAUGACAAUAACAUUUCUUUUAAUGGAAAUUUGACAUAUGCUCCUUGGAGUUAGAGUAUGUCAAUUGAUCACAUAAUAAGUGAGAUUUGUAACUUAAUGAUUGAAGAGGUAAUCUUCAUAGGUGGUAGCACUACCUUGUUAGAUUACAAUCACUAAUUCAUGGGGAGUCUACAUGCAUAAGAUAGCAGGUCAUGGACUCAAGCUUUAUUUUGUUGUUAUUUACAUAGGGUAACGGAGUGCAAUAGAUUCUCUUUAGUGGAAUGUUGAAUCAACUUUAGAAUUGGAUUCUAUGGAAGUCAGUACUUCUAUGUGUCCCAAUGGUCCCCACUCUAAGCUCAUAUACCAUGAUGCCAUGGUUUAUGAGGGUUAAAUUGACUCUAAGUUCAUUCUCGUGCAUAAGGGUGUCUUGGUAAUUAUGUAAGGUUGCAUAGGGGACAAUGAAUAAGUUCUCCAAAUUAAGCUAAUUGAUUAAUUACAUGACCAUGUGUGGUUAAUUAAUUAAUUGGGACCCGUUUUGGGCUAAAUUAAAUGACCUAAACCGUGGUGUGUUCAAGUCACAUAAACUAGUAAGGGGCCUUAUAGAUAUCCCCUUAGGGGUUAGAGUUUCCAUCAUAUUAGUGUGAGAGUCGUCUCCCACCUCUAGAGAGAGAGAGAGAGACCUUAGGAUUCCUCUCUUCCAAAGCCCACAUUUUGGAGUGCCAAGAUAAUGGUAUGAGCCAUCGAGUGGAAGAUCUUUGGUAUAUAAGACCUCUAGACUCUCCAGCCUUCAUCUUCACUGCAUGGAAUCAAUUUAGGAAUGUCCAAAUUGGAGGUAAAGUUAUCUAAUGCCUUUAGCCUAGAUCCUAGAAUUUUAAAAAUGUUAUUUUUCCCUUUCGUUGCAUAGGAUUUAGAGACCUAAGGUAGUUAGCACGUUCCUAUUCGAUCUUAGGUAUCAUAACGGAGAAAUCCAAUGUUCCUAAUAGAAAUGUCAUUGGUUAUAAACAUAUGCAUGACAAUAAAGAACUUUUUCAAAGCAAAGUAACAUUCAUUAUUGUAACACAAUAUAAAUCAUGUGCAUUUUGACCAAAUAAGAAUUUCAGCAUAUAUUUCAUGCCUUUAGAAAAAUGAAACAAGUGAUAGAUAUAAUAUAUGUAAGAGAUAUUUAUUUUAGGAAAAAGCUUAACAAAAUCAUGCAUAUGGUAACUACUCAUUAAAAUUUUCUCAAUCAAAACUAUAACAGAACUUAUAGUAUGAUGGCUCCACAAAGUUCGAAUCCUCGCCUAACAAAAGAAAAUUUAGGUGGACGUAGAGAAUUGAAAAUUCAAUAAAAAUGGAAAUAUGAUUCUAAGGUUUUAUUAACUUUUUUUUAAUCAGACAACACUCUAACUAAAAUAUGUAAUUUUUUCUAAAAAUGAAAGGCUAGGCAAAUAAAGUCCAAUUCAAGUGAAACUCAGUUAAAGAGUUUGUUGAUGAGUCUAGAAACUUUAGAAAUUAAUUUUUGAAUCAAAUGGUCAUUAAAAGACCUAAAUUAGUUUAAGAUUGCCCAAAAUAAAGUAUGUUGCAAUACUACUCACUUUCUCAAUUGUCUCACCAACCAAACAAGUUUGAAAAAUUAUGAAACCCUCCAUAUAUAAUAUGAUGAGUCUAGAAUAAUUUAAAAAUAAUUACAAAUUUAAAACAAAAUCUAAUAAUACCAAAACUUUCAAACAUAAAAAUUGUCUCAGCAUACCUUGCUGAAAAUCCAUUAAUGUUUCCUUAACUAUUUUCUUAUGAAAAAGAAUUUAGAAUUGCAUGAAAUUAGACUUUACAAUUUCCUUUUUAAUGUAAUAACAUAUAAAAAUAACUAAAAAUUAUGAUAAUUAACCAAAAUAUUCCAAAACUUCAAGAAACCUAAGUGGUUGAAAAUGAUCUUAGUAGAAGCAUUUUGUUUUCUUAUCCAUUUCUUUGAAAAUUUUGUACUAAGCUAUCAAUGUCCAAAUGAGGUGAAAUUUAUGGUUUAGAUUCCUCAAGGAGUCUGAUAUUAUAAAAAUAAUAAUUCGGAGUAUAAUUUUCCUAAAAUUUAAUCCUGAAAAUUUUGAGAAAUAUAAUUCAUCCAAAUUGUCUCUAUGAACUCUCCUUUGUAAUUCCCAAAGCUGUCCGGAAUUUUCUUAUGAGAAAAAUGUGGUUUAAAUAUAAAAAGACUUGAAUGGUUAGACUCAUUAUCAAGUUUAUUAUUUGGUAAAAAUAAUUUGGGGUUUUAAUACUUUACCAAAAGAUUGCAAAAAUUUUAAAAAUACCAGUUGAUCAAAAUAUUUUUUUUUUUUUAAAAAAAGGGUAUUCCUCAUUCUUGGGAAAUUCUUUUUUUCCAUUAAAUUACCUCUAUAAAUCCAACUCCAUAAAUUAUACUAGAUUGAGUGAAUUGAUUUAGGUCCUUACAAUGUUGAAAAAAAUUAGGGUUCACCCGUUGUAGGUUGAAGCGUGUCACCAAAUUCCUCUUGAAUAGCAACAUUAUAGGAUAUCAUUCUCAUCUACUUUUCAACAAUUUAUAUCUUAAUCCAACUUAAAAUAAAAUAUUUUUAUUCACUUUCUUGGCAAUCAAACAGCCCAAAAAAAAAAUGGUUUAAAAUAUUAAAAAAUUUAACACAUAAAAACUUAAUUUCUAACAACAAUUGCCUACAAAAGAGGUGAAGAAGAAAAAAAAAAUAUAAGAAAGGAAAAAAUACAAGAUGAGAUCAUUUACCUCUAAUGUCUCCUGUAAGUAGAGAUGAACAUCUCUACUCCUAAAUAUUUGAAUCUAACUUCUAUAUCAUUUUCUCUAAAGAAAUUUUCAAAGAAGGAGAAAAAGAAGAAGAAGACGAAGAAAUCCCUAGGGAAAAUGAAGAGAAAUGGUUUUUAUUUAGAUUUUUCCUCUUUUAUAUUUUCGUUUUAAAUAUGAUUUGGCCUAACUAUCCUUAUCUGGAUUAAGAUGUGAUCAAACCAGCCUUGGUUGCCACAAAAAUUUCAAACGUACCCCUUUGUCUUGUAGUGCCCAUGCUUCAAUGUAUGACAUUUAGCAACCUUUAAGUAUGACAUGUGGCUAGGGGUCUCCAACGGGCGGGCCGGGCCGUAAAUAGGAGGCCCGCGGCCCAGCUCGGGCCGGGCCUAUGGGCCCGUUGACUGGUCAACGGGCCGGGCCGGGCCGGGCCAGGGAAAAAUCUUCGGCCCGCGGCCCGGCCUAUGAGCCUGCGGGCUGGGUGGGCAGGGCUGGCGGGCGGGCUGGCGGGGCGGGCUGGCGGGGCUGGCGGGCCAAGCUUUGGGCUUUUUUAAAUAAGCCAAAAGGCUUUAGAAAUGAAUGGAGAGGGGGGGAUUCGAACCCCUCCCCUCAUGGUUCAAAGUAAAGGCUCUAACCAACUGAGCCACAUUACUUUUGUGUUAAAUGUUAGAGUUAGUUAUAUAUAUAUAACAUAAAGUAUAUUAUUUUUUAAAAAAAAAUUAAAGGCUCCAACGGUCAUGUGACCGUUGGAGCUCCAACAGUCCAACCCAUGCUCCUAGCUGCCAUGUGACCGUUGGGCAACGGUCACAUGGCCAAUUUUUUUUUUUUUUUUAAAAAAAAAAACCUUCCUAUAAAUACAUCUUCUCCCUUUUCAUUUUUUCAUCAAAUUCUCUCUAUUUCUCUCACAUUCUACAAUAUUUCAAUUUUUUUUAUUUUUCCCUCAAAUUAUACAAUAUUGUUGGUGGUGCAAAACAAGCAUUGGUGGCUCCAAGAGUUCAAAUUUGCUAGGAAUUUCUGCAUCGGUUCUCUAAUUGAGUAACAUACUUCACCCCUACUACUUUAUUUUUUUGUUACAUUUUUUUUUAUAUUUAUUACUUUAUUAUUUUUGGCAUAAUAUUUUAUCAAUAAUUAUAAUAUGACAACAAGUGCUUCUUCAUCUAGUCCAUGUGAUGAAAUAUCAUCAAACAAAAAAUUUACUUCAAAUAUAUGGAAUUUUUUUGAUAGAGUAGAAAUAAUUUUAGAAAAUAAUAAAAAAGAAAUAAAAGCAAAAUGUAAAAUUUGUAAUAAAUUUCUUACUGGUGGCUCAAAUGCAGGCACAAGUCAUUUAAAAAGACAUCACGAAAAUUGUAAAACUAAAAAUAAUGUAGAUAUUAGAAAUUAUAUGCAAUUAGGUAAAAAUGAAAGUGGAAAUUUAAAAACAUUUUCUUAUGAUGAAUCUAACUGUCGUGAAGAAAUGAUUGAUUAUAUAAUAAGAGCAGAACAACCUUUCAACAUGAUGGAAACUCAUGAUUUUGUAGGAACAAUUCAACGAGGUAUUAAUCCUCAAUUUAAAGGUUGGUCUGGAAAUACAGUUAAAAGAGAUAUUAUGAAAAAAUUUUAUACACAAAAAGAAAUUUUAAAAAUUUUUUUUGCAAAUUUUGAAGGAAAUAUUUGUUUAACAUCUGAUAUUUGGACAUCUUUAACUCACACUGGUUUUUUAUGUAUAACUACUCAUUACAUUGAUAAUGAAUGGAAAUUAAAUAAAAGAAUAAUUUCAUUUAAAUUAAUAAAUGCUCCACAUAGUGGUAAAAAUAUAGCAGCUUUAAUAAAUGAAGAAAUUAUAAAUUUAGGCCUUCGUGAUAAAAUAUUGAUAGUAACAUUAGAUAAUGCUGCUAAUAAUGAUGCAGCAAUAAAUAGACUAAAACUAUAUUGGCAAGUAAAAGAUGAUCAUGCUAAAAUAUUUCAUGUGCGUUGUUGUGCACAUAUUUUAAAUUUAAUUGUAAAUGAUGGAUUAAAAAAUGUUGAUGAUACAUUGGAAAAAAUUAGAGGCAUUGCAUAUAGUAUUAAUAGUUCUCAAGCAAAACAUGAAUUAUUUUUUGAUUGUUGCAAAAUGUUAAAUAUGAAAAGAAAAAAUAUAAAUUUGGAUAUGACCAUUAGAUGGAAUUCCACAUAUAAACUUUUACAAAAUAUUACAAAAUAUUGAAAAGUAGUCGAAUUAUAUGAAAUACAAUUACUUAACAAUGAUUGUGAUGCAGAUAUUGAUGCAUUAAGUGAUUAUGAUUGGCAUGUUGCGGAUCUUUUAAGAGAUCUUUUUGAAAUUUUUGAUACUUCAACAAACAUUUUUUGUGGUGUAUAUUAUCCAACUUCAAAUCGAGUUAUUAUGCAAAUAACUAAUAUUUUUAUUGUACUUCAAAAAUAUUUAAGUUUUGAAAUAUUUAAUGAUACAAUAUUUGCAAUGAUAGAAAAAUUUAGAAAAUAUUGGGGAGAAAUACCUUUAAUUUUUUAUAUUGCUUUAAUUGUGGACCCUAUAUUGAAAUUUGAAGCUUUGGAUGAAUGGUUAACAAUUAUUUAUUUUAAUGACCAAAUAAAAAUUGAAGAAAUUAAAAAUGAAAUAAAUUCAUUAUUAUAUAAUUUAUAUAACUAUUAUAAAGAAAAAUAUGGUAAUGAUAUUAAUACUAAUAAAUUACCACCUACAUCUACAAACUCCUCAUUUUUUUAUAAAGGAGCUCUAGAAAUGUUGAAAAGUCGAAAAAAGACAACAAAUAGUUCUCCAAAUAAUACAUCUGAUUUAGAUAAAUAUCUUAAUACUGAUAUAAUUCCAUUUGAAGAUCAAGAAGAUUUUGAUAUUUUAAUAUGGUGGAAAUCACAUCAACACAAAUAUCCUGUGCUUUCUAUAAUUGCUCGUGAUGUACUAACAGUUCCUGUGAGUACAGUUGCAUCAGAAGCUGCUUUUAGUGCAGGUGGAAGAGUUAUUAGUAAAAAACGAUGCAACUUAGCGCCAGACGUUAUUGAAGCAGGGAUAUGUGUAAAAGAUUGGGAAAUUGCAGAAAAAGGAUGUACGAUUCCAUUCGAGAAACAGAGAUGCUUGUCGAUAUGGAAUCUUUAAAACUAUCAAGAUCUUCAUGGAUGCAUGAUAGUUCGCCAUCACCGCCAGAAAAUAAUGACUAAAUGUAUAUUAUAUUUUUAUUUUUAUUUUUUGUGGUUGAAAAAUACAAAUGAUUGACAAAUAAAUAGGUGCCAACCUAGUUGGGAUGUAUUUAUUUUGUAGUGAUGUAAAAUUUUCCCACAUUUUUAAAUGUAAUUAUACAUUCAAUGAAUAAAAUUUUGAAAUGAAUAUUUUUUUUAAUACUUUUUAUUUUUGUAGUUUUUUUUUUUAAAUGGGCGGGCCUAAGGGCGGGCCUACGGGCCGGGCCUACGGGCCGGGCCUAAUUUUAGGCCCGCGGCCCGGCCCGCCCAUAAACGGGCUCGGGCCCGGCGGGCUUUUUGGAGACCCCUACAUGUGGCAGCCCUUAGGUGUGAUAUGUGAUGCUUUCUAGUAUAUUUCCAAUUUAAAUACACUUAUACUAGUAUUCUAGUUAAUGUAAUUCUUUUAUACCUUAUCUGUAUGGUUUUGAGAUAAUUUAACUUUCCUAAUUAUUUCAAAUUAUUAGAAGUUUAAUUAUUUUGCUAAGAUUUUGCUUUCUUUAAUUUUGCAAUACUAACAUAUAAAACAUUAUGAAAAAUUUAUUUCAUUUGAUCUUGGGUUGUUACAUUCUAGCACAUUAAGGAAGAAGCCUUAAGAAGGAAACAUAAAUUUGAAAAUCAUAAGACUCCUAAAAUUGACAUAGAACAAGGAUAGGAAUGAUACGCUAUUACAAGGCCCUAGGCUAUGAAACAAAAUGUAUUAUUGAGAAGGGGAAAUUCCCAAAGAUUUCUUAGGAGGUAAAAUCCUAAGAGAAUAUAAAGGAGAAGAAGGAGAGAAAACUAGUUCUUUACUUUGAAGUUCAACAAAGGCAUAUUUUCUAAUCUAAAUUUGUCUAAUCUUUCGGACUCUAAAAUGAAUUUGAAGUACCAAUAUGAGAAUCGUGAAUAUUCAUCAUAAACUUACGUUAGGAAGGAACAUUUGAAACCCAUUGAGUAUUUUUUUUUUCUUUUUCCAUUAAAAAGGAUUUUAUCUCUUAAUGCCUUGGACUCAACUACAAGUUUGUUAAUUUGCCUAUAAAAUUCUUCAAAACUUCCUAAUAUGACACCUAUCACUAGUAUGGCUAUUUCUAUGACAAAAUGAACAUGUACACAUAACCUUAGUAGGUAUUUGGACAAUUGGAAUUACCUUUUUAGCCUAAAAAAAAUUUGUCUUUCCACUACUAAGAGUAGUAGACUCAUUAAGAUAUCCUAGAGCUUUCUUAUCUCUAGUGGAUUUCCAUUUACUAAUGAUUUCAUUUAAAACCUUAUUCCCAGGGUGGAAAAUCUCAUUUUUAAAGGAAGCCUAUUUUCUUUAUUGUUAAAUGUCUUGAGAUAGAGUAUUAUUUCUCUAAAGUAAAGAUCUAUGCUCAUUCUCUAAAAACCGAAUUUUUUCAAGAUAAUUUGUUUUCUCUUCUUUUAACAUAUCCUACUCAAUUUUUAGUGAUUCAUAUGCAUUAGUUAUCUUGAUGCAUUUAUUAAAAAAAGAUUAAUAUUCUUCACACCAAUCCUCAAUAAUAGAAACAUUUUCAUUAAGAUCACUAUUGCUAGACUCAUUACUAAAAGAUUUAAUAGAUGCAACAAAAGUUAGAUAGUCACUUCGAUUAUUUUUAUUCUCACCCAAAUUUGAUGAUUUACCCUUACUUGACUUUGAAUCACUCCAAACCACUUUCUUGAUUUUCUUAUUUUUAUUGGGACUAACCUUUUUCUUAUAAGAUAAUUCUUUCUUUAAAUUGUUUACUUCAUAAGUUAAUAACUCUUUACUUUUAUGGCACUCAUAAUUUUCUUUUUCCAAGAAGACUGCUUUAUUGAAAAGAGACAAUUUUUUAUUUAUUGAAAUUAACAAUUUCUGUUUGUUGCCUUUUUAUUCAAGGAGCAAAGAUUCACAAAAAGAUUCUUGCUUUUUUGAGUUUUUUAUUAAACAUUUUUUCCAAUCAAGAAAACUUUUUCAGUAGUAAAAAAUAAACUUUUUUCUUUUCUUUAAAUUCCAUGAAAGAUCAAGGACAAGAAUCAAAUAAAUUUUUUACUUCAAGGGGUUAAUGACUCUUACUUUUGUGACACUUAUAAUUUUCUUUUCCCAAGAAGGCAACUUUAUUGGAAAGUGAUUUUUUUUUUAUUCAAAUUAACAAGUUUUUCUUAUAGCCUUUUUUUAUUCAAAGGACAAAGAUUCACACAAAGAUUCUUAUUUAUAAAGUUUUUUAUUCAAACUUUUAUUUUCUUUAUGCAAUUUUUUCCAAUCAUGAAAAAACUUUUUCACAAGCAAAAAGUAAAUUUUUUUUUUCUAUUCUUUAAAUUCCAUAAAAACAAAAUCAAAGACAAGAAUUGAAAAAAAAACUGAUAUUAAAUUUUUUCCUACUCUAAUAUUGAUUGAACGUUUGUAAAUUUUGUUUAUGACAUAUCUAGAAGGGGGUGAAUAGGUGUUCAAUUAUUUUAACUCAAAAAUGAUUAUUUUUAAUUUUUUUAAUAUAGGGUACAGAAAAGAAAUAAUAAUGCAUAAUAUACAAAAGAUUUUACGUGAAAUACCACUUACAAAGUCUCCUAAAGACUUUGUGGAUAUAAAAACCAUAAGGUCAAAGACCGUAGAUUUAUCGUCCACUAAAUAUGAAGAAAAAGUACAUAGACUCACUUGACAAUUGUUACUCCUUGAGACCUACACCUUUUUUCACAUCCAUGAUACAAUGUUCCUUAGUGAUCUCCUUAACACCUUAAGGGGAUGCAAAUCUCUCUCAUGAACCUAAGAAUGAGAAUCAUGAACUUUUUGAGAGUUUCGAAUUAUGUGUAAAGAAUAAUAACUUAAAGCUUAGUCAUAUGAAUUCUUGAGAGAACUCUACCAAAGCCUAGUGAACUUGUAAUAAAUUUAGGAAUCAUAUUUUACUAAAAAUAUAACAAUUUAUAAAGUUAAGAAUAUUAUAAAAAUUUGAAAAGAUUUCAUAUUUUAAAUUUAAAAAUAUUUGGAAAGAUUUCCCAUUUAAAGUUCUUCAUUUAAAUUCUUUUCCAAAUUUCUUAAAAUAUUUGGAAAUAUUUUCUUUUAUAAAUUCUCAAUUUAAAAUUCUUUUUCAAAUUAGUUUUAUUAUUUGGAAAUAUUUUUCUUUUAAAUUUACCAUUUAAAAUUUCUUUCCAAAUUAAUGUUAUUUCUAAUUUCCUUAAGUUCACUUUAUACCUUUUAUGCCACUAUUCUCAUUUAACUUAACUAUAUUUACCUAUUUAAUCUUGAGUUGAUUUUGUUGUAAUCUUGAAUCUUCAAAGCAGUGUAAAUCCCAAGAAAGUAUGAAAAGUCCUAAACCAGGUUAAUGAAACAAAAAAUUGUCAACUUAAUCUAAACACCCUAAUACAUUAACAAAUUACACAUCAUUAUUUUGACAGAGCCUUUUCUAUGUACCAUAAUAUUAGCUUUUCAUUUAACAAAACCUAUAAAUGAGAAGAACAAGUAAUGGUCUAACAAUAAUUUUGAGAUUCAUUUCAUAUCAAUUAUCAAUUGGUAAAAUUCUCAAGAACUUUGUGAGGAUAAGGUGUCUUUGAUGCUUACCUUUGCUCAAUGGAUACUAAGCUACUUGAUUUGAUUCACCCAUGACAAAGUUUCAUCAAAGAUAUGAAAACUCUUUAAUUAGAUGUUGAGAUGAAUUAGGUUUUAAAUUUUGCAGAUAUAUGAAUUAGAAAGAAUGGGAUCAUUUUAAGAGCUAAUGAGAUUUUAUUCAUAGCUAAGAUUGAAUCUUUGUGCACAAAUUCCUCUAGAUUGCUUUCAUCAUUUGAUUUUUGUUUUUAUCCACUUUCUUUGUUACGCUAUAAAUCAAUUUUGAUGAAAAUCGAUCAAUCAAUAAUCUUUUUUUAAUAUUUUAGUUUAUUAUUACGUAGCAAUUGAUGUGAUAUGAUUUUCUUACUUUUCACUUAAAUCACUAAUCAUUCCUUGUGAAGAUGACCAAACUAUUAUACAAUAAUUGUUUUCUUUUUCUUUUCUCUUUUUUUCCAAUUUUUGGUUUGGAGAACAAAUGGUUUAAUGACAUCCUAAUUGAUUGAGUUUUUCUAAAUUGUGAUAUUGAAUUUGGAUUGGAUUGCUUUGCAACUAAAUUUUCUCACAAAGAGAUUAAAUAUGAUAUUAAGGUAAUCAAACCAAAAAAAGAACAUGCCACAAACCAAAGUAUAUAUCAUCAUAAUACUCAAAAUCUCUUAACAUUUCUUACCCAUGAACAUACCUCUCAUGCAAUCAAUAUGAUUAAUUAAAAAAUAGUUAGGAACAUACCCCAACCCUCAAAGUGCUCUAGAAAAUGUAAUUGAAAGCAUAAGAGAGUCCUCAUUUCCAAAAGUUUUGUUAUUCUUAAAAAUCAAAAUAAAAGUGAAAUACGAAAUGAGUAACCUUUGGGUUAUUUAAAAGGUUAAGUGAAAUCAAAAUUCUGAUGUGAUUUUUCCUCUCCAGAUAAAAAAAAAAAUUGAUAUCGACUUGUAACUUUCAAGUGAAAUUGGAAUUUUAUUUUCAAUAAUACCUAAAUUGAAACAACUAAUGUAAGGUUCUGAUUCCCAUUCCUUCAAAUUUGCUAUUUAGAAAACCCCUAAUUUGAAAAUUUUGAUUUAUCACACUAAUAUUUUUAAACUAUAACCUUGAAAUCAAUUUUCAUUUCAAAAUGCACUCCCCAUUUCAAUUUAAAAUUCAAAGCUUAGGUUUAUAAUUGAAUUAGCACAUCUACUUCCCUUCUCAUUCAAUUUUGAAAACAAAACUACCAAUUUCACCAUUUUCUAAAUUGAAAUUGCUGAUUUAUAUUGUUAGGCAUCCAUUUACACUAAAAACAAAAGUAUUUCAAAUUGAAAUUUCAACCCUUAACAAAGGCUCAAAUCAAAUUUCAAAUUUACACUUCAAAUUCACUCAAAUUGAAAAUCAUUCCCAAACGAUACUCUCUUUCUCUCCAAAACUCACUCUUUUGAAAAAUUACCUCAAUCACUUAAAAAUUGAAAAUCUUGCAUAUGCAUCUUCCUUAAUUAUCACAUGGAUAACUCAUUUAAACUCAAAUUGGAUUGAUAAAAUUUUCAAUAAAAUUACUGCUCAAGAAGCUUUAAUCAUCAACCAGGAGCAUGCUAAAUUAAACAAAAACCAAAUGUACCUUCUAGCUCACAAUAAUUCAACUUAAGUCUAUAUUUGGCCUUUACUAAGCAACAACUCUCAAAACUCAACUUCUUCAGCCCUUCUAGUAAUCAUUCAACAAGAAAAUCUAAUAAGAACUUCAAGGCUUUGCAAAAUUUGCAAAUUUCUAUUAGAGCUGAAAUCAACUAAACAAUCACACCAAAAACAAGAAAAAAAAAAAACCAAUAAUAUGUACAUGAAACCAAGCCUUGCAAAAUGACUUUUCAAAUCUGAUACACAACUACACAAGCUCAAAUAAACACAAAAAUCAAAACCAAACAAACACUAAUCUAGCACACCUACUAUAUACAAGGGAUAAAGUAAGCUUCGAGGCCUACUUUAUCCCAUAUAUGAAAACAAUCACCUGCUAACCUUCACCUACACUUUAAAGAUAAUUACAAAAUAAAAUAGUCCAUCAGUAAUCAUGAAGUAUUGCAUUAACAAUCACAAUUUUAUUAGCAAUAUUUUGGAUAAUAAAUCCCUAUUAAAAUUAAAAAUUAUCAAUCUAUUGAAAAAGUCAUCAAAAUAAGAAAAAACAAAAAAACAAAAAUAAAACCUCUUAAAAUUGGAUUUCGUCAAUGCCACCAUAUUUGUGCUCUAUGGUUUAUUAACUAUUUCAAGCGUAGUGAAUUUGAAUCUCAUGCUCUAAUUUGACUCAAAUUAAGUCUCAUCUAUAUGCUUCAUGGAAACUUGUUUAUAAUCAUCUCUUUAAUAUCAACAAACUCAUAUCUCUGAAGCUUAUGCAUUUUUUUCUUUGAAACGUUUUUAGCUUAGUUCAAGUUCAUCAUUGUUUUGUAGAUUUAGCUCAUACUUAUUAUAAUAACUCACACCCAACCAUGUAGAUAUUAAUAGUUUUAGGCCUAAGGGGGCCCUCAUGACUUUAAAAUGUGUUUAUAAGAUUAAGAGGAGUCGAUACUUAUAUAGCAUUAGGAACUUUCUCCCUUAUCCGAUGUGGGACAUUACAAACACCCCUUUAUAUAGACACAACAUCCUCGUUGUGUCCCACGGGAUUAAGGGGUCAAAUAGACAAACAACCCCUACGAGGCCAAACAAAUGCCCACAUUGGGUAAAUGAAUCAACUUUGAUACCAUUAGUAAUGACCCAUUCCUAACCUUGUAGAUAUUAUUUGUUUUGAGCCUAAAGAGACCCUCACAGCUUUAAAACGUAUGUACAAGGUUAAAAUGAGUUCAUACUUAUAUAGCUUUAAGAACUUUCUCCUAUAUCCGAUGUGGGACAUCACAAACACUCCCCCAUAUAGACACACCGUCCCCGUUGUGUCCCAUGGGAUUACGGGGUCAAACAGACAAACACCCCCUACAAGGCCAAACAAACCCCCACACCGUGGUCGGGGAUCGACUCUAAUACCAUUAGUAAUGGCCGACUCCCAAUAAGGUAGAUAUUGUAUGCUCUGGGCCCAAAAGGGCCUUUAUGGCUUUAAAAUACGUCUACAAGGUUAAGAGGAGUUCAUACUUAUAUAGCAUCAGGAACUUUCUCUUCUAUCUAAUGUGGAGAGGUGUUUGUAAUGUCCUAGAUCGGAUAAAGUAGAAAACUCCUGGCGUUAUAUAAGUAUGGACUCUUCUUAACCUUGUAAACGCGUUUUAAAGCCUUAAAGACCCUCUUGGGCCCAGAGUAGAUAAUAUCUAGAUGUUGGGAAUGAGCCAUUACAAAUGGUAUCAGAGUUGAUCCCUAACCCAAGUGUGGGAUGUUUAGCCCCAUGAGGGGUGUUUGUCAGUUUGGCCUCCCAUGGGACACAAUGAGGAUGUUAUGUUUGUAUGAGGGGUGUUUUUGAUAUCCCACAUCAAAUAAAGGAGAAAGUUCCUAACGCUAGUGUUUGCAUGAGGGGUGUUUGGGCCUAAAGCAGACAAUAUUUACACGGUCGGGUAUUAGUUGUUACAAAAUGGUAUCAGAGCCAAUCCCUAACCCUAGUGUGGGAGUUAGUGUGGCCCCAUGAGAGGUGUUUAUCUGUUUGGCCCUUUAAUCUUAUGAGAUACAAGGAGGAUGUUGUGUCUGCAUGGAAGGAUAUUUGUGAUGUCUUACAUCAAAUAAGGGAGAAAGUUCCUAAUGUUGUAUUAGUCUAGAUUUUUUUAACUAUGUAGACGUGCUUUAAAGCCUUGAGGGCCCUUUGGGCACAUAUCGAACAAUAUCUAUAUGGUUGGGAGUGGACAGUUACUAAUGAUAUCAAAGUUGAUCCUUAACCUUGGUAUGGGGGUUUGUUUAGCCUCGUGAGGGAUGUUUGCUUGUUUGGCUCAGCAAUCCCAUGGGACAUAACAAAGAUGUUGUGUUUGUAUGGGGGGUGUUUGUAAUGUCCCACAUCGGAUAGGGAAAAAAGUUCUUGACGAUAUAUAAGUAUGGACUCCUUUUAACCUUAUAGAUGCGUUUUAAAUCCAUGAAGGCCUCUUUGGACCCAAAGCAGACAAUAUCUACAUGGUUGGGAGUGGAUCGUUACAAAUGGUAUCAAAGUCAAUCGCUAACCCAAUGUAGUAGUUUGUUUAGCCUUAUGAGAGGUGUUUAGUUGUUUGACCCGGCAAUCCCAUGGACACAACAAGGACGUUGUCUUCGCAUGGGGAGUAUUUUUUAUAUCCCACAUUGGAUAAGAGAGAAAGUUUCUAAUGCUAUAUAAAUAUAGGCUUCUCUAAACCCUAUAAAUGCAUUUUAGAGUCAUGAGGACACCUUUGGGCCUAGAGUGGACAAUAUCUACACGGUUUGGUACGAGUCAUUACAAAAUGGUGUCAGAGCCAAUCCUUGACCCUAGUGUGGGAGUUAGUUUGAUUCCAUGAGGGGUGUUUUUCUGUUUGACCUCGUAAUCUCGUAUACACAACGAGGACGUUGUGUCCAAUGAUGAAAAUUUCCAUAAAUUUUGGUGAAAUUUCAUCUAAAUAUCACGUUUUGGGGGUUGUGGAAGUGAAACAAGGGGUCGAAAUAUCGGAGGGCUAAAAAAUCCAAAAGAAUCACCAUGUGUCAAUGAAAUUUUGGUGUUUGCCAAUAAAUUACCGAUUUUUUCAUUUAAUCGGUGCUGACUAUGUUUUUUUGCCGAUAUUUCGAUGAUAAAUAACCAAAAUUUUCAACAAUUUUUUUUCGGAAAAAUCGCCCCAAAAUUCCUCACUACCUAUCUCACACGCUGUUAUAGGCCCUAGGUCGUCCUGCUGCCCAACACACAUGAUACACUACUAGUGGAAAAAUUACUAAUUAAGUUUAGUAAAUAAUAUUAAUGAAUUACCAUAAAAAUGUAAUAUGUAAUAAAAAUAAUUUUAUUUAAUUUUUUAUUAAAAAAUAUUAUUAAAUAAAAUUAUCAAAUAAUUUUAACAUCAAAUAAUAGAAUAUGUAAAUAUGGAAUAAAAACAUUUUCCAAAAUGAAUUUUUUAUUAAAUAAACUAAUUUUAAUUAAUCUUAAUUAUCACUAACAAAAUUUAUUAAACAACAUUAAACAAAAAAUCUAUUAUAAUCUUCUUUUUUUUAAAAAAAAAAAAACAAACUCACCUUAAUUUAAAAAAUAAUUAUAACUAAUUAAAAUUAAGAAAUAAUAUUAAAUAAUAAAAAUUGAAUAUGGAAUAAAAAUUUGAAGCAAAAGCAUCAUAGAAUUUAUCUUUAUCUUUAUCAUUUUGACAUUUCAAUAAACUUAAACAAAAGGGUUGUACAAUGGUGCACCGGGACAUCAGUUUGUACAUGUGCUAUUGUGCAUGACCCUUGUGUAGUGAAGAAUGGAUAAAUGGGGUCCACAUGUAGGUGGUACAUCUCUUAUCCAGACAGCAGAGAAAACAGUUGCACUUGGUUCUCAAUUAAAUUACAUAUAUGUCAUCCUUAUUGGUUUGCUAUAGUGGGAGAUCAAUGACAAUUUGGUAAAUAUUUAAACAAAAUAAGGAUAAAAAGGUAAAAAAAAAAUACAACAAAACCUAAAUUCCAGCUUUUAUAGUAUAUAUAUAUAGACAUAUUAUAAAUUAUAGGUUUAUUAAUUAAUACAUAUUUUUUGUGUAUAUAAAUAUCAUAUAGUCAAAUUAUUAUAAAUAAAUAAAUUUUAAUUAUCAUGUCUUUUGUAUAAUAACUAAAUACAAAAUAAAUAUCAAUUAAUAAAUAAAAUUAUCAACAUUUUAAUUAAAAAAUACUUAUAUAUUUAUUAUCAUUCCUUCUAUGUCAUUGAAUAUAUCCAAAUUAGAUAUAUAUAUAUAUAUAUAUAUAUAUAUAUAUAUAUAUAUAUAUAUAUAUAUUAAGUUAUAAACAUUAUCGUUGAAUAUUAUAAAUUGUAUUAUGUAUGAGUUAAUUUCUUCAACAAAACAACUUUAAAAUGUCUAUUAUAUUUUUAAUUUCAUUUUCAAGAGUUUUUCUUACAUUUUCAUGAAUUUUGAUUAAUUUUUUGCCCAUCGAUAUUUUGUAUCAAAAUAUUCACUAAUAUUUCUUCAAUAUAUCCAAUAUAUCUAUAAAAUCGAAGUGCUGAUAUAUUUGUGAUUACUAGUAUUUUCAUCCUUGAUUGUGUCUGCAUGGACGGGUGUUUGUGAUGUCUCACAUCGAAUAGGGGAGAAAAUUCCUGGUGCUAUGUAAGUAUGGACUCCUUUUAACUAUGUAAAUGUAUUUUAAAGCCGCAUGAGUAUAAUUUUAAAAACCAAAGUGGUUGGUUCGAUCGGUUCAACUACCAAUCGGUUCGACCGGUCUGACUGCCAGUCGGUCACCAUUCUGAUUUGGUUUGGUGAGUUGAUUUUUCUAAGGGUUGGAUCAGCAUUAGACUGAGUGAACUAGAGAUCAGAUUGGCGAAGAGGACAACCAAUUGAUUUCUUUCGAACCAAACAAUUCAACCCAAUUUUUUCCCCCUCAUCAAAAUGACAUCGUUUUGAUGUUUCUAGCACCGAAACGAUGUUGUUUUAAUCACUAUCAAAGAUAGCUUCCUCCCUAGCAACAAACCCUAACUCGCCCCUCCCCACACUCUAGUUGCCCAAUAUGUCCACUCUCCAGUCUAGUUGCAACAUUGCUGCCAAAGCAGAGCGUCGUUGUCGUUGGUAUUGUCUCCACAAGACCUACCUUGUCGUCGCCGAUGAGGACGCUAAUAGUCCUAUGAAAUCCUUGAUUUUGGUGCCUAUAAGUUUAACACUUUAACUUUAAUAUUUAAUAUUUUAUAUUUUAUAUUUAAUAUUUAAUGUUUAAAUUUUUGUUGAUUUAUUUAUUGCAAUUGAAAUUUGAAUCAUUUCCACAUUUUAUUUGGUUUAGACUUUAGAUUAUAUAUAUAUAUUUUACAUUAUUUUUAUUUUAUUUAUUUUUAUUUUAUAUUGAUUUUUAAAAAAUUUUAUUUGAGUUUAAAUAAAUUAAUGAAAUCAUUGAAAACAUUAGGAAUUCAAAUAAUUGUAUGAUUUUCUUAAUUUUCUGAUUUUCAAAUAAUUUUCUGAUUUUCAAAUAAAAUUCUAAUUUUUAAAUUUUAAAUUAAUUUUUUAUUUGAAAGUAAAUUUCUGAUUUUGAAAAAAAAAAUUUCUAUAAGAAUUAAUAAAUUUAAGAUUCUUUAAUUCUUUAACUUUUUAAAUUGUUGAUGACUUGAUUCUUUAAAUUAAUGUGGGGUUUCUUUAAAUUGUUGAUGACUUGAUUAUUUAAUUUUAUGAUUAAAAUUGUGAUUUUUGUUUACAAUUUGAUAGAGAAAUAAAAAAUGAAAUCAAACUUGACCCAUCCUCUAGUCAAGAUUCAACUACAAAUUCACAAACAAGUAGAGGCAAGACCAACCUUGCAUGUGAGCAUGUUUCUAAAGAAAGACAUGCAAAUGGAAGGAAAACUCUCAUUUAUUUGUAUUGUAAAAAAAUUGCAAAAUGUAGGGGUAUUCAUAGAAUGAAGCAACACCUUGCUUGAGUGAAAGAGGAUAUUGGUCCAUGUAAAUCGAUUCCUCCCGAUGUUAGAUUUCAAAUGGAAAAUUCUUUAUAGGAGUUUGUGAAUUCCAAGAAAGUAACCCAAGAAGCAUAUAAAUAUAGAAAUCCUUAUGGUCCUAAUGUGUCACAAUUUGAAGGGGAUAUGCUAGAAGGUGAAGAAAAAGUUCAAGAAAUGGAAAUCCUAUGGCAGCUAGAAGUGGAAAAAGAAAAAAAAACAAAUCAAAAGUGGAUAAGUAUUGUGCACCAAGAAAUAUUUAAGGAGCUCAACCUUCUAUUAGGAGUGUAUUAACUAGGAAAAAAACUGUUUGUAGAGUAGAUAUGGUUGUUAGGAGAUUCUUUUAUGAUGUAUACAUUCCUACUAAUGUUGUGAAUUCUUUCUACUUUAAGCUAAUAUUAGAUGCUAUAUCAGCAAUUGGUCCUAGAUAUAAAGAUCCAAAUUACGAUUAGUUAUGGGUUAAUCUUUUAAAGGAUGUCAAGAAGGAUGUUCAGUUACUUGUGAACUCUUAUUGUGAACUUUAGGCAAAAGUUAGGCGUACAAUAAUGGGUGAUGGUUGGACAGAUAAUAGACAAAAAACACUUAUGAACUUCCUUGUUUAUUGUCCUCAACGAAUAUCAUUUCUCAAAUUUGUUAAUGCUUCAUAUAUUGUCAAGGAUGCAACUAAUUUGUUUUGACUAUUUGAUGAGGUGAUUGAAUGGAUUGGACCAGUCAAUGUAGUUCAUGUAGUGACUAAUAAUGCAACAAAUUAUGUGGCCAUAGGGAGAUUGAUUUCUUAUAAGUAUAAACACAUCAAUUGGUCACCUUGGCAACUUAUUGUCUUAAUUUGAUCUUUAAGGAUAUUGGUAAGAUGAACCAUGUUGUUGAACUUGUAAGACGGCACAACAAAGGUGAUAAUUUUUGUGUAUAAUCAUGUUGCUUUGUUAAGUUGGUUGAGAAAAAGAGAAGGAUGGACACAAAUUCUCCAACCUAGUGCAACUCAUUUUGCUACUAAAUUCAUUACAAUCAAGAGCCUUCAUGAUCAUAAACAUGACUUGCAAGUUUUGGUGACUAGCAAGUUCUUUGUGGACUCUAGAUAUUUUAGGAGUAAUAAAAGUAGAGUUGGAGUUUGUAUCAUCUUAGAUAACAUAUUUUGGAAUGAUUGUUUGAUAGUUGUGAACCUCAUGGCUCCACUAGUGUGCUUAUUGUGUAUUGUUGAUUGUGAUGAGAGACCUUUGAUGGGAUAUGUGUAUGAACGCAUGUAUAAGGCUCGUUUAGGGAUAAAAAAAUUAUUUAACCACAACAAAAGACUAUACAAGCCUUAUACAGAGAUCAUAAAGCAAUGAUGGGAUGAACAACUAAACAAAAGCAUUGAUUCAACAGCUUAUUGGUUAAAUCCAUGUUUCCAAUAUGAUCAGGAAAACUUUUGUAAUAAGUCAACAGUUAUUAGAGGUGUUAUCGAUGUUAUCGAUUAGAAGGUUCUGAAAGGCAAGCAUGAAACGAUGAAUAAAUUAAAGUUGUUUUGUGAUUGAUUAGGAAGUUUUGGAAGAGACCUUACUUAUUCUUCACGUGAAGUACUUCAAUAUGGUAAAAGAUAAUUUUAAUUUAUUAGUGUGUUUGUUCUUUUUCAUUAGUUACCUACUUACUAUUUAAUAUUUACUAGUGUGUUUUAACUUUAAAAUAUAUAUUAUUAUAUUUAUAAAGUUGCUAACAUUUUUUUUCCUUAUUUUUAAUGUGAAAAUGGUAACUAGUUGAAUGGUGGAGGCUACAUAGACAUAGUGCACCACAUUUGCAAAACUUGGUUAUUCAAAUAUUAAGCCAAACUUCAUCAUCUUCUGGAUGUGAGAGGAAUUAAUGGAGUGUGUUUGAACAUAUGCAUACUAAAAGAAGAAAUAGAUUGAAACAUCAAAGGCUUAAUGAUCUUGUAUAUGUUCAUUACAAUUUGUGGCUAAAAAACCGGUAUAAAUGUUUUCUUAGUUGUUUUGAAUUUAAAUUUUUUCAUUGACAAUUAUGAACAAUUAUAUGCUUUCUUAGCUUCUACAACAAGAAAAGAACCUAUGAUCCCAUUGACUAUGUAUGCAUUGAUGAGACACAUUUUUGGAUAGUUGAUGAGGAUGAGCUAAGAGAGCUAGAUGUUGAAGAAUUGGAAAAUCUUCUAUAUGAAGAAGGGUCAAUUCCAAUAAACAAAGUGGAGGUUCAAGUUCUCAUAUUGGUUAGUAGAAUAUGUAAACUUAUAAAAGUUUAAUAAUUUUUUUUUCUUCAAAAAUGAUUUCUUGUUAAUAUAUAUUCAAUAUUUUUGUAGAUGACGAGGAUGGUGGUGACAUGGCUCUAGAAGGGCUUGAUGUGGAGAACUUUGGUUUUCCAAAUGCUCAUUUUGAAUCUCCAUGUCUCAAUUUUCAAAAUGAAUGAAUACAUGAAUUUUAUAUUUAUUAAUAUGAAUAUUUCUUCAUGAAUAUUCAAUUAUUGACAUGUUAUAUUUUGAGUAACUAUUUAUGUAUUGUGGUUGACAUUUGUAUUAAUUAUCUAUUAUGGAUAAUGUGUUAACAACUCUUUGAUAAUUUGGUCAUUGUUGGUUUAUUGCUUAUAUAUGAAUGUAAGGUAGCAAUGGUUUGAUUAUUUGAUAAAUAUUGGAUUGAUAGUCAUUAUGAAUGUAUGACAUCUUAUAUUAUGUUAGAGAUAUGAUAUGUGAUGACUUUUACAAAUAAAAAAAAUUUGUGAAAAAAUUCAACAAAUAGAGUAAUGUUGUCAAAAUUUAGAUAGAAUUUAUUAUUUUUAUUUUUAUUUUUUUAUAAUUUUAAUAAUAUAUAAAAUAUAUAUUUAUGACGUCAUUGAUUCGAUCGUGGUUUGAUCACCAGUUCGAUCAAUGAACUUUGAAUCAGUAACUUUUUCGGUUCAAUGACUGGUCCGAGUUUGCAAACAUUGGCCAUGAGGGUUCCUUUGGACCUAAAAUGGAUAAUAUCUACAUGGUUGGGUGCGAGUCAUUACAAAUGAUAUCAGAGUCGAUCCUUGACCUCGGUGUGGGGGUUUGUUUGGCCCCAUAGGUGGGUGUUUGUCUAUUUGACCCCUCAAUUCCGUGAGACACAACGAGGAUGUUGUGUUUGCAUGGGGGAGGGGGUUGUUUGUGAUAUCCCACAUUGGAUAGGAAGGAAAGUUCUUGAUGCUAUUUAAGUGUGAAUUCCUCUUAACGUUGUAAACGCGUUUUAAAGUUAUGAGGACCCCCUUGGGCCCAAACUGGACAAUAUCUACAUGGUUGGGAGUGGGUCAUUACACUUAUUAUGGUUUUUAUUUAUUUAUUUAUUUAGCUCAAGCUCAUCAAUUGAAAGGUUUUGUUACUUCAUGCUAUCCAUGUUUGAUUGCUUGGAAGGUGAAGGAAAACUUGAGCAAAAAAUAGAAAAUAUUGGAAUUUUUGUAUGUUGAAGAGCCUAUUGAGAAGUAGAAAUGAUAACCACUACUCUUUGAAAACAUGACAUGUUUUGAGGAACUAUUUUUAUAUAACAGUGAGUUGUUUUUAGGAAAUAUUAGUGUGUGCCCACAUUUUCUUCACAAAUUGAAUUGAUGCAUCCCCACUUGGUUGUGGCAUUUUAAACUUAUGGAAAAAUGAUUAUUUUAUUUUGAUAACUUUUUUUAGGUAUUUUGAGCCAUUACUUAUUUUAUUUAUUUUUAAAAAGGAAAAGAAAAUAAAAAAGAAAUCAUAUGUAACUUUUUAUGUGAAAACGACAAGUAUGUGAAUUAGGAAUGUGUUCAGGGUCAGGUUACCUAUUGAAAAGAUAUAGGAUAAGACAUAACACCCCUUUGAGUUUGUAUGGUUAUAAUCUUUUUUAGUGAGUUGGAAAGAAAAUUGAAAUUCAACUAAUUAUUCAACGGAUACCUUAAUGAAGCACAUAAGAUGGAUAUGUCAAAUAAAAGCUAAGCAUGGUGGAUUAUAAUUGGAUGAGGACAAAGAUACAUGUAACUUGUACACUUCAAUUUGCAUAAAUGAAAUUCAAUGCAAACUUACUUUUGUACCAAAGAUUUUCAAGAAAUUGACUCAAACCGGACUAAGAAAUCUAUUCAUGCAUGAGACUUUUCACUCAAAAUGAAAUCUAUUUUAUAUACAAUCUGAGCGUGUUUGGUAGUAAUUCUAGAAAACGUUCUUGAAUGAUAGAAAUUUUUAAGUGUUAAAAAUGAUAGAAACACUUUCUAAAAUCAUUACAAAAUGGACUGUAAAUAGGCUUCAAAGCAAUUCACGAUCUCAUACUUCAAUUAGUUCCAAAUUCCAUUCUAAAAGAAAGGCAAAUCUAAUUAUAAUUGGGACUUCAAACGAGCAUCAUUUGCAUUAAAAAAAAUGAUUUUAACAAGUCAUCAAACCAAUUGAAUACAAAAUAAGCCAAAUGUUACAUUCAAAUCAACCCAUAUUUUAAUCUCAAAUUAGUUCAGAUUUUAAUCAAAAUUGGUCCACAUUCUUGAUCCAAAAACAGCCCACACUUUAAGCCAAAAUAAAUCUAGUUCUUAAUUCCAAAGAUCGGCUCACAUCUUAAACCAAAAUCAAUCCAUAUAAUCGCUCCAGAUUUUAUGUUAAAAUUCGCCCACAUUCUCAUCUCAAAUUAGCCCCAAUUUUCCGCAUUAAAUCAAUCCAGAUUUUAAGGUAAAACUAGCCCACGUUUUCAUUUAAAAUCAGACCUAAUUUUUACCCUUUAAACAAGUCCAAAUUUUAAGGCAAAGCCAGCCCAAAUCUCAUCCAAAAUCAGCCGCAAGUUUUACCCUUUAAAUCGGUCCAAAUUUUGAUCUAAAUUAGCCCCAGUUUUUACCCUAAAUCGGCCCAGAUUUGAAGCAAAAUCAGCCCCAAUUCUAAGCUGAAUGAAAUCCGGAUUUACAUCCAAAUGAAGUUCAAAAUUUGUGACAAAUUCAAUCAAAUUUUAAAACCAUACGUGACUUGAAUCUCAUUGAUAGAAUUGAAGUAUACAAAAUUUAAUGUAUCUCAUUAUGGAUUUAAAUACAAACUAAAUUCAAGUCAUAGAAAGACGAGCUUUUAAAAAAUUUCCAAUUAGUUUUCAAGUCUCCAUCCAGAAAAAGACCCCCAGAUUUCUCCUUCCUUCCUCCUCCCUUUCCCCUCUCUUCCUACUCCCCCUUUUAAAAUUCAGCUCUCUCCCCUCUAAAAGAUUUUGCUUUCUCAUUCCUUGAUAAUAAUAAUAAUAAUAAUUUCAUUCCUUCGAAAAAUUCUACUCUCUCCCCUUUCAAAUAUAAAUUGUGUUCCUUCCUUUUUUUUAUAAAAUUCUAAACUAAACCAGCCCCUAAAUCCUUCAACCCACCAAAUCUUUCUAUGGUUUCUUUUCUUUCUAAAAUCUUCCCCAAAAAAAUUUUCUUUCAGCUUCACUAACCCCACAUGUAAUCAUCAUUUCAAAUUUGAAUUCAUUUCCAAGCUUUCCAAAUCAAUUUUGUAAGCGAACAUAUGGUUUUUCUUCAAUCUCAAAUUUUAAACUUUCCAUUUAUGACAUUUAAUUCAAAUCAACAAUACCACUAUUCUUCGCUCAACUCCCUGCUUCUUCCCUUUUGAAACCUCAAUCUUCCUCCUUUUUUUUUUUCACAAGUGAGCUAGAAUGCACAUUAAAAAUUCAAAGUAACAAUCAAUAAUGACAUCAACAAUAAUUAUAUAUAAAUUAAGAAUGAAGACAAAAUAAAUAAACAAAUACAAUUAAAUAAAAUUAAAAUGAAGACAAAACAUAAUAAAGAUGAAAAUAAAAUAAAAUGAAAAUAAAAGUGCAUGAGCUACAAGUGAGUGGGACCUAGACUAUAUUAAGCCAAGGAUGAAUGAGCUUACAUAGUGGGCUAAAAAGGAAUGACAUACAUUAGGUUUGGAAUAAAUGGCUAAGAAUGGCCAAGCAUGGAUUAGAGUGAUUAGGCCUUCACUCUAUUAGCCAAAGACAAAUUUGGGAGUCGAUGAUUAGAAUUUUGUUCACUUGGUGAUAGUGCAUUGCUUUUGUAGCUUUGUGUUGUUUGUUUGGUUGGCAAUAAAAGGAAAAGAAGAAAAAAAAUAAAGAAUUAAAAUUUGAAUAUUGAGAACUUAUUUGGUCUUGAAAUAAGGAAUUCUUUUAAUAUGUUGAAACAAGAAAAUGGAAAUGAGACAUUUUGGGACAUUGAGUUCUUGUGUUUGUUUCGUUGACAAUUUUGUUCAUUUUCAUUUAACAUAGGAAACUUUUUAAAUAGUGACUUACUCUCUAUUGAAGAUUCGAGUUGUUGUUUGUUCAACUAUCUAAAAAGGUUUGUUGAGUUGUAAGUUAGGCAUCAAAAGGGUUUGGAUUAAAUCAAUAACUUAUUUUAGAGCUAAAUUAUUCUAUAUUUAUUUAUUUAUUGAGGUGCUCAAGUGUUGGCACCAAUGCUCAAGCACUCCCACUGCUCAAGUGCCUAUAUGAGUACUCAAGCGCUCAAGGCACUUAGGCGGUGGAUAAGUGUGCUCAAGUGGUCCCUCUAAAUUUGUUCAAAUAUCAUAGAUCACAUUUUUGGAAAUUAACAAUUUAUUCUUUUUUAGAAAAUUCGGUACUAAUCCUUUAGGUUUUAAACCCUUCCUAAACUUUUUUUGGGUUGCAUGCUUUGAGAGAAUGAACCCUAACUUGCUUAUCAUUCCUAAAAACUCUAAAAAAUUCACCAAUUGAAUUCUAGGUUAUUGGAAGAAUAUGCAUCCCCCUUAGAGGCUAAGACAAAUCCAUUAGAGCAUUGGAGGUGUUGCAUCAUAGACAUGGAUCAUGAUAUGGGUACUAAAGGGUAAGUUUUUAGGAUAAAUGGUAAGGUAAAUUUAUGUAUCUUGACGUCAUAUAGUGGAUUAUUAUAUUCGAGGUAUCAGACUCUGUGGUUUUUUUAUCUCCAUAGUUAGUGUGAAGCCUUUCCAUGCAAAAUUGCUUAUCUUUUGUGUGAUUAUGUUUAGUUUGGAUAUAUUCAUAUUAUUAUAAAUAAUUCAAUUGUUUUAAAUUGGCUUAGAUCCCUUUUUAUAGGUUAAUUUAGGUUAAGAAUUUUAAUUUUUAUAUUAAAUUUUUUAAUUUCUACCCAUUCACCUCUUGUGGAUGUUAUCCUACUAAGACAACGAAUUUUCAAAACAUAAAAUAUGUUUUCUGAUGACAUGUUUUGAAAGCUAUUUUAGAAAAUGUUUUCUAAAGAUAAAUAAUUUAAAAAUCAUUAAAAAAAUUGUUUUCAGCAUUUUAUGAAAUGUAAGCACUAUAAUAAUUGAAAUGAUACAAAAAAAAAAGUGUUACUAGUUUUGAUUUUGGUAACAAAUAGCUAGAACCUUAACCUUUUAUUAUUUAGCACCUUGAUGAAAGAUAAGUAUGUGGUGUUUGCUUGAGAGCAUAGGUAGCCCAACGUAGUUUGCAAACAUGAUUAGGAUGAUCACGAUCAAUGAAUCCCUGUGGUUGAGCCACAAAUACAUCCUAGGCAAGAUGGCCUUGAAGAAAGACGUUGUUCACAUCAAUUUUAUGAAGCAACCAACCACGAGUAACCAUAAGACUAAGAACAAGACGAAUGGUGGUGGACUUGACAACUGGACUAAACGUGUCACGAUAAUCAACUCCAAGACAUUGAUGAAACCCUUUGGCAACUAAACGUGCCUUAUACUUGUCAAUAGAACCAUCAUGGAAAUGUUUAAUAUGAAAAAUCCACUUGUAACCAACUGAAUUCUAAGUUGGAUUCAAGGGAACAAGUUCCCAUGUUCCAUUCCAAACAAGAGCAUCAUACUCUUCUGACAUAGCGUGAUGCCACUUGGGAUCUUUAAUAGUCUGGGUAACUGUGGUGGGUUCAAGAUCAAUGUUGGUUACAAGUUAAGCAUUAAGAUUAAGUUUGUGAGUUAGGUUGUGAAUGUUUUUCUUUGAUUGUGUAAUAAUAGCAUGUGUAAUUGGGUUUACAGACGUAAGAGGUGGAAUGUGAGAGGAUGGAGAAAAGUGGGGAGGUCGGAGUUGAGUUGGGCUAGGUGAUGUUUGCGAGGUUUAUAGGUUUGGCGUUGAUUGUGAGAUAGGUGGAUUAGGGGGUGUUGGGUUUGGGUGUGACAAUGAGGGUGGUUGUGGGUUCAACACAAAAUUAGGUGGGUUUUAGUUUUGGUCGAAGAGUGAAGAAGUUGUGGAUAGAAAUUAGGUCAGGUUAGGAGUGAUGAGAGUGAGAGACAUGGUGAAGUCAAAAUCUACAUAGGAGGGUAAUUUUGUUGUAGGUGUAGAGGGUGUAGGCGGGUGGGGAGAUGAUGUGGGCAAGGGCUAAGACAGAGACACAAGUGAAAACUAGUGAAAUAGAGUGACAGUUGAGGGAAACGGAAGAUGAGAGUGAAGAGAAGAAAAAAGGGAAGAUGUUUUCAACAAACUUAACAUGAUGGAUGUAUAGAUUUUAGAAGAAAAAGGUUCAAGACACAAGUAAGUACUUAGAGUGAAAAAAGAACCAAGAAAAACACAUAGAGUGGAGUGAGGAGCAAGUUUAUGAGAAGAAUAUGGUUGCAACCAAGGAUAACAUAAACACCCAAAAACACGAAGUUCCGAAUAAUCAGGCGAGGACUAAAAGAGUUUGAGAUAGGGAGAGGAAAGUUGGAGUGUGGGAGUUGGCAUAUGAUUAAUAAGAUAGACUAUAGUGGUAAAAGCGUAAGACUAAUAUGGUAGAGGCAUGGAGGCAUGAGAGAAAAUAGAUAAAUUGCUUUCAACGAUAUGAUAAUGACGACGUUUAGAAUACCUAUUGUGGUGAAGUGAAAUGGGAAAUUCCCUGAGAUGCAAGAUAGGAUGAAAGUGCUUGAUAUUCCACCCCCCACAUAAUAUAAUGUGAUAAUCAAUAAAUUUUUGGAGAUCAUAGCCAAUGAGAAGUGCUUUCAGCCACGAUGUGGUAGGGAAGGAGAGAAGAAUGAGAGAUAAUCUUAGAAAAAAAUAAAGCUCCGAUACCAUAUAAAGAGAAAAUAUGACAUUAUUUUCAUCAACGAUGAUGAAUAUUUAUAUACAAAUACAACUGAGUUCUAUUAUAAUUUAAACUCUAUCUCCUACUGUAAUUCAAACUAAUAGUAGACUUCUACUCUAAUUCAAACUUUAUAUUCUACUCUAAUAGUAAACUUCUACUCUAAUUCAAACUAAUAAUAAAUAGAUAAAUACUAAUAGUUAAAUUAAGGGUAAACAUCUAAAUUAUUUAUUUUCUCUAUUACAAUGGACGGAAAAAUGAUAGAUGAUUGAAAACUCCACCUAUUGUCGAUUGUUUUAUUUUAUUUUAUCUAGUCAACCUCACAACAUUGAAAGGUCUUUGUUUUUUUGGCAACCAUGCUUUCACCUCCACAAUUUUUCUCACUCUUGCUCUUUACCUACUCUUCCCACUAUUAUUUUAUUCAUGUCAUCACAUUGUUAUUAUAUGUAUUGACAAAUUUAUUAACAAAAUAUUUUUCUUUAAAUAAAAAAGAAACAAUGGACGACAAAAUGACAUAUGAUUGAAAACUCCACCCAUUAUCGGUAGUUUUAUUCUAUUUUAUCUAGUCAACCUCACAACAUUGUGAGGUCUUUGUUUUUUGGCAACCACACUUUCACCUUCCCCGCUUUACUUACUCUCACUCCUUACCUACUUUUCCCACUAUUAUUUUAUUCUCAUCAUCACACUAUUAUUAUAUUAUAUGUAUGGACAAAUUUAUUAACAAAAUAUUUUUUUUAAAUCAAACAGUUAAAAUAUUAUUUCUAAAUUUAUGGAUCUCCUUAUAACUUGAAUAAAAAAGAACUAUCUUUUAAAUAAAUAACUUCAAUUUAAAUAUUAAAAUUUGAAAUUAUUUUUGUUUUAAAAAAAAUAACACUAAACUUUAAAACUUAUAAUAAAAUUAAUUUUUAAGAUAAUUUUAACAUAAUAUAUAUAAUUAUUGUUCCCUCUUAUAUAAAUAUUAUUUACUCUAAACAUGUUUCAUGGUAUGUAUAUAAUUAAGAAGAAUGCACCUAUAUAUUAAAAAUUGUUUUUUCUUUGGUCAAUAACUAAUAUCAUAAUAUAACACUAUUGAAAUUGUUUAUUUAUUUAACACAUUUUUUAAUUGCUAUAAAUUUUAAAUUAUCUUAUAAUUAUUAUUUUUUAAAAAUAUUUUGUUUAAAAAAUUGUACAAAUUUUAAAAAUUGAAUUUGAGUGAUGGAUUAUGAUUUUAGUUUUUGGGAACCAAUCAAUCAUUCCCAACUUCACACACAUGCUUUCACCAUCCCAAAAAUAAAUAAAUAAAUAAACGCAAACACUAUUUCUUUCUUAUCUAAUUUUAUGAUAUCUUAUCAUAACUCAAAUAGGAAAUUAAAUUACUUUUUCGGGAAAUAAAUUAAGUCUAAUUAUUAAAUUUUAAAGUUAUUUUAUAAAUAAAUAAUUUAAAUGAAUUUUAUGAUGUCUCUCAAAUAAGAAACUACUUUUUUAGGAAAUAAUUUUGUUUAGUUAGUAAAUAAAUUUCAAAUUUUGCGGUGAAAUCAUUUUUCAAAAAAAGGAUUUCAAAAAUUGUUUAUUUACUUAACAUCUGAAUUAUUUUUAUAAUUUAUCAUUUUUUUAAAUAUUUUAUUUAUGGCGAACUCUCUUUUAAUUUAUUUGGUGAAAAAUAUGAAUUUUAGAAAAAACUUAAAGUCGCCACUUACUUUUCUUUUAUUUUUAAGGGAAAACAAAAUAAGAAAGAAAAUCCUAAGUGUAACUCCUUAUUUGGAAAAAAGUGUUUAUGGAAAACCAAAGUUGAGUCCGGGGGUCGAAUUACCUAUUGGAAAGGUAUGAUAGUGAGUCAUAGCACCCCUCUAAGCCCUAUAAUAAGGUUUAUACUAAAUAAAAUGAAGCAAGUGUGACAAUUGAUAAGGAAAUUAAUGAAUACCAAAAUAAUCAAAUAAUAAAACGAAUCAUACAUGAGAAUAAGCAAAGUGGGAGUGAGAUCGUAUCUUAACAACAAAUAAUAAUGCGUUAUCAUAAAACGGGGUUAGUGCACAAUAAUAAAUAUAAAAUAUAUUGUAUGUGUCACAAAACAUAGUAAGAGAUCCUUAAUGGCGGUUAUGCAUUUCAUUCAAAUCUUUUUUGAAUAAAAUAUCUCAAAUGUUGGGCCCCCCACCAAAGCCCAAUUGAUUUGGCAUGAAAUGAUUCCACAAAUUCCAUUAUUUCAGAAUUUUGAAAAUUGCAUUCAUGCUUAUUAAACAUUGAAAAAAUAAAAAAUUAUUUGAAGAUUAAAGAAAAUUUGUGAAGGUGCUUGCUUGGAAGAAAACGGUAGCAAGUUUAUUAAAAAAAAAUGGGAUUUUUGGUGACCCUAAUCCUUAAUGAGGGAAGGAGAAGAGAAAUGACCUAAAAUUAUUUGAAAACAAGAGUGAAAUUAAAAUUAUUUUGAAAAUUUGGAGUUUUGGAAAUUGUUUGAAAAUUGAAGUUUUGAAAAUUAAAUUUGAAAAUUUGAAAAUAGAGUUUUGAAAAUGAUUUGAAAUUUAUGAAAAUGAUUUGAAAAUUGGAAUUUUGAAGAAUUAUUUGAAAAUGGAAAUUUUGAAAAUUAAAUUUGAAAAUCGAAAUUUUGGACAAUUAUUUGAAAAUGGAAGUUUUAAAAAUUGGAAUUUUGAAGAAUUAUUUGAGAAUAAAAGUUUUGAAAAUUAAAUUUGAAAGAAACUAGAGUUUUGAAAAUUAUAUGAGAAUGAAAUUUUUUUUAAUUAAAUUUCAAAAUUGGAAUUUUGGAAAAUUAUUUGAAAAUGGAAUUUUUAAAAAUUAAAAUAAAUUUUCAACAUCAAAAGAUGAAGAAACAAGAGGAUGGCAUGUGGCCAUCAGGAUUGCAUGCCAAAAGUGGCCAUGCAUGAAUGUAGACCGAGGUGCAAGGUUUAGGUGGUAGAUGAAAAAGAAAACCUUGCCAAACAAAGCCUGGACAUCCAUCACCUGCGGGGCGCUCAUCACUCCAUUCAAACAUCAAAUUCAUCAUCACUCAUACCAUCAUCCUUAGGCAAGCUAAAUUUGACGACUUUAGGAGCCUGACCUGGGUCCUAGAAAUGGGACAACUUCAGAUUUUGGAAGCCUUUUAUCUAUUGCUUGACUUGUUGAAACUACUGUUGUGGGUUGGGUUGCCUUCCUUUCGGUUGAUUGCCGCCAUUGUUGUUUCCACCAUUUUUUUUCCCAUCUUUGCUUCAUAAGAGGUUUCUUCUUUGCUGUGACUUGUGUUGUAGGCUUCACAGCCACUGCCAUAUUUUUGUCAGAAUGGGUAACUCAAUUCAUGCGCCUUUGUUUGUGAUUCAUUGGGGAGGACUUGGACCCGAAGAGUGAGAACCCAUUGUUGCCAAAGAAGGCCAGAGAUGGGAAGAGUCCUUUGGAGUUGGAAUAGGCCUCACUAGGCUCGAAAGUGAGACAAGAGCUCAUCAGAUUGUGGAUACUGGACCGAUAGAAAGAGGAAAUCCAACCAAUUGAGAAAUAAUCAACACCACCAUUGUUGCAUUGUAGCCUUUGUUUGGCCCACCAUCUCAAUCUCUUUGGUGUCUGAAACAUUGAGGAUUUCAGAGGGUAGGUUUUCUCGCACGCCACUAACAUUCAAGUUGGAGAGCCUUCUCCUAAUCCGUGCUCUUGUGGAUGCUCAUAUCAACCAUAGAAGCAACCUUCUCUGGAUUUUCCACGGCGUGCUCAUUCCGCUUAUUUCACCCUUCACUUUUAUCCAACCUUUUCACCAUUAUGGAGUUCUCCAAGCUCUGUAAUUGCUCCGACUUUUCUUCAACCCCGAAAAGCUCCCCUUAGGCAAAGAGUGGCUUGGCUACCAAUGAUAUGUGCAUGAUCAGAAAGCCCAGUACACUCAAUGCAAAUGGCAAGUUAAAAAAAAAAAGUAAGAAAAAUGGUUGCAAUGGUGCUUGUAGUUUUUUGCCCUAACGCAUUUGACAACCCAAACACAGUGAUGGUCCAUCUUCAAUAUGCAUCUCCCACAAACAAAGCAGUGAUGGCACCGGGGUGGUUUAAAUAGGUUGCACUUCUGACAAAACCAGAUUGCUUCACUUGCUGGGUUAGCAACCAUAUUUUCCUAGUCCACACCUAAGCCUACACUGCCAUGUUUUGAACCCAGCAAUUGAUCAACAUUUCCUUUCUCCUCAUCCACCAUGGGCUUCCAAUUCAGUGGAACACCACCCAGAUUUGUGGAAACAACAAAAAAGUAGUGCCAUAGCAGCAUCACCAAUAAAGAAUGAAAUAACAACAAGAGAAGCCCAGGGCUGUGAAGAUUAUGAUAAAGCCGAGGCCACACAGUGCUGCACAUAAUUUGAAGAUGUUCCAUGCCAUUGCAGCUCCAUAUCUCUCUGCUCUCCAGUUGGAUACUCUUUUUUUUUUUUUUUUGCUCUCAAAGUCUCCUCACCCAGCUCUCUGUUUUUCUCUCAAAACCUCUCAUGUUUCUUGUCCUCAACGUUUUCUAUCUAAUGCUCAGAUCAUCAUCAUUUGAAACUCUCCCGUUCCAGCCAUCUCCCUUGCUCUGUUUUUCUAUUUUUUUUGGUACUCACUACUCUCUGUUUUUCUCUAAACCUUCAUGCUAAAAAACCUUCUCCAAUUUUACUUUUUGAGCUCGGUUUUCUCUCACCCCCUACUGAAAAACCUUGUCCUAUAAGCUUCCACUAGCUCCACUACUUACCGCUCAAUGAAAGAUCUCCAUUCCAACCACCACCUUGGCAAGGUGGUGACGUCCUUUGCCACACGUCCUAGCAUGCAGCACACCUGAAAAUCAUUCCCCACUCCGAAUGAAAAAGGCCCAGCUGAUUGCCCAGGUACCCCUCAAAGGUGACAGGAAAAACCAAAAAUAAAAUCCAUUACAAUGUAAUCAAAUAAUGGUAAUAAAAAAUAAAAAAUAAAAAAAGUCCAUUGGUCCAAAAAAGAGGGUCUAUAAAUAUGCCCAUCUUCGGUAUAGUUCACAAGUGCAAAGAAUGUGAACAUUGAAAUGAAAUGAGAGUGUGAAUAAUGAGUGUAACGAAGUGAACUCUACCAAAGAAAAAGAAAAACCCCUAAAGGUACAUAAGUAGAACACAAACUUGCUCAAACCAAUAUAGGAACAAAAGGGAUCUAAAAUCCUAAGAGAAUGGUAGUUCUCAGAAUGCCUCUAAAGUUGUAUUAUGGAUCCAAACUCUCUCUAAGAUAUCUCCCAAAAGUAAUUUGAAGAUCGAUGUCAAAGUUGAGUAGUAGUCGAACCACCUAGGAGCAUAGGGACGAACAUAUGUAGAAGGAAAACUACACAUGCACCAUGCAAGAGCAAGAAGUGAGGGGCACCAAUGAUACGAUGAAAACAUAAGCUAUAAGCUAAAAGGACUAUGUCACACACAAUGGAGGAGGACAAAUCCUGGAAAAUCAUAACUUUGAACGCUUGAAAUGUGGCUCUGAAUGCCAAGGCUGAGAUGGACGAUUUUGAACAACUAAACUAUGGCUUUAAAUACCUAAAACUCUGGCUUUGAACGCCAAUGGGAGAAAUAGCUCUGAAGACCUACGACUUUAAACACCUAUGAAAGAAAGUGGUAGCUCUGAAUGCCUAAAGGGUGAAAAUGGCUCUGGAUGCCUAUGAAAGAAAGUGGUGGCUUUGAAUUCCUAUGAGGGGAAUGGCUCUAAAGGCCUAUACUAAAGGUAGGUGGCUCUGAAUGCAUAUGGGGGGAAUAACUCUAAAUGUCUAAUCGAGGAAAGUGGCUCUGAACGCCUAAACUGGAGAAGGUGGCUCUAAACGCCUAUGGAAGAAAGUGGUGGCUCAGAACGCCUAAAGAAUGAAAAUGGCUCUUAAUGCUUAUGAAAGAAAAUGGUGGCUCUGAACGCCUAUGAGGAGAAUGGCUCUAAAGGCCUAUACUAAAAGUGGGUGGCUCUGAACGCUUAUGGGAGGAAUGACUCUAAAUGUCUAAUUGAGGAAAGUGGCUUUGAACGCCUAUGAAAAUGAUUACUCUAAGUGUCAAUGUGAGAAAGUGGUGACUCUGAAUGCCUAUGGGGAGAAUAGCUCUGAACACCUAAAAUUGUAGAAGUGGCUCUGGAAAACUGAGCUAGGAAAGUGGCUCUGAACGCCUAACCAAUGAAGAUGGCUUUGAACGCCUACGAGAGAAAUGGAUCUAAAUGCCCAUGAAAAUUAUGGCUCUAAAUGCCUAUGAGAGAAAUGGCUCUGAAGGCCUAUGGCUUUGAAUGCCUAUUUGAGAUGAUGGCUUUGAACGCCUCUGGCUUUGAACGCUUAACUGAAGAAAAGUAGUGGCUAUAAACGUCUAAACUAGAAUAGAUGGAUUUGAACGCCUAUGAAGGAAAUGACUCUAAAAGUCUAUGAAAAUGGUGGUUCUGAACUCCAAUGUGAUAGUGGGGGUGACUUUGAACGCCUAUGAAGAAAAAUGGUUUUUCUGAACACCUAAUUUAGAGAAGUGGCUUUAAAUGUCUGAGUUGGAGAAGUGGCUUUAAACGCUUAACUAAGAAAGUGACUUUGAACACCUAACUAAGAAAGGUGGCUCAGAAUGCCUAAGCUAAGCAAGAUGGCUCUGAACGCCUAAUAUGAGGAAAGUGGCUCCGAUCGCCUAAAUUGAGCAAGGUGGCUCUGAACGCCUAAACUAAGGAAAGUGGCUUUGAACGCCUGAUUGGGAAAGGUGGCUCUGAACGCCUAAACUAUGGAAGGUGGCUCUGAACGCCUAAACUAAGCAAAGUGGCUUUGAACGCCUAAUUAAGCAAGGUGGCUUUGAAUGCCUGACUGAGGAAGGUGGCUCUAAAUGCCUAAACUAGAAAAUCUCUGAACACCUAAAACUAAUGAAAGUGGCUCUGAAUGCCUAAACUAAGGAAGGUGGAGCUGAGCAAAGUGGAUUUGAAUGCCUAAACUAAGCAUGGUGGCUCUAAAUGCCUAAAAUGAAGAAGGUGGCUUUAAAAGCUUGAAACCGAAAUAGAUGGCUUUGAAUGCCUACACUUAAACAAAUGGCUCUGAACGCCUAAACUGAAAAAGAUAGCUUUGAAUGCUUAAAAUAGAAGAAAUGGCUCUAAACGCCUAACUGAAGAUGCAACUCUGAACGCCAAACUGAAGAUGCGACUCUGAACGUCAAAUAAAAGAAAGACAUGAUGACUCUAAAUGCCAAACUAAAAACAAACAAUAGCUCUAAACGCCAAACCUAAAGAUACGACUCUAAACGCCAAACUGAAAGAAGACAUGAUGGUUCUGAAUGUUGAACUAGGAACAAACAAUGACUUUGAACACUAGGAAUGUGGCUCUGAACGCUAAAUUGAAUAUGCAACUCUAAACGUCAAAUGAAAGAAAGACAUGAUGGCUUUGAAUGCCGAACUAAAAACAAACAACAACUCUAAAUGCCAAACUAAAGAUACGGCUCUGAACACCAAAUUGAAGAUAUGGCUCUGAACGCCAAAUUGAAAGAUGACAUGAUGACUCUUAAUGUCAAACUAAGAACAAUCAACGGCUCUGAACGCCAAAUUGAAGACAUGGCUCUGAACGCCAAUCUGAAGAUACGAAUCUAAAUGUCAAACGGAAGAAAAAAAUGAUGGCUCUAAAUGUCGAACUAAAAAAAAAACAACUCUGAACUCCAAACUAAAGAUACAACUCUGAACGCCAAACUGAAGGAGAUAUGAUGGCUCUAAAUGCCAAACUAGAAACAAACAACGGUUUUGAAAGCUAGGAAUGUGGCUCUGAACGCCAAACUGAAGAUGCAACUCUGAACGUCAAAUGGAAGAAAGACAUGAGGGCUUUGAAUGCUGAACUAAAAACAAACAACAACUCUGAAUGCCAAACUAAAGAUAUGACUCUUAAUGCUAAACUAAAGGAGAUAUGAUGUCUCUGAAUGCCAAACUAGAAAUAAGCAACAGCUCUGAACGCUAGGAAUGUGGAUCUGAAUAGCAAACUGAAGACAUGGCUUUGAACGCCAAACUGAAGAUGUGACUCUAAACGUCAAACGAAAGAAAGACAUGAUGGCUCUGAAUGCCGAACUAAAAACAAACAGUGGCUAUAAAUGCCAAACUAAAGAUAUGGCUCUGAAUGUCAAACUGAAGGAGAUAUGAUGGCUCUAAAUGUCGAACUAGAAACAAACAAUGGCUUUGAACGCCAAACUGAAGAUAUGGCUCUAAACGCCAAACUAAAGAAAAACAUGAUGGCUCUAAGUGCUGAACUAAAAACAAACAACGACUCUAACCACCAAACUAAAGAUAUAACUUUAAAUGUAUAUGAAAAAGGUGGCUUUGAAUGCCUAAAACAAUGGCUCUGAACACCCAUGAAAAUAGUGGCUCUGAAUGCCUAUGGGAGAAAUGGAUUUGAAGGCUUGUGCCUUUGAAAGCCUAUGAGAGGAAUGGCUCUGAAGCCCUGUGGCUCUAAAUGCCUAUGAAGGAAAUGGCUCUUAAUGCCUAUGAAGAAAAAUGGUGGCUUGGAAUGCCUAAGUUGGAGAAGUAGCUCUGAACGCCUAAGUGAGAGAAAUGGCUUUGAACGACUAAACUAAGCAAGGUGGCUCUAAAUGCCUAUGAGAGAAAUUGAUGGCUCUGAACACCUAACUGAAGAAGGUGACUCUAAAUGCCUAAAACUACGGCUCUGAAUGCCUAAAACUAGAAAAGAUGACUCUGAACACCUAAAACUGUGGCUCUGAACGCCUAAGCUGGGAAAAUGGCUUUGAAUGCUUGAGCUAGAGAAGUGGCGUUGAACGCUCAACUGGGAAAGUGACUUUGAUGGCCUAAACUAAGCAAGGUGGCUUUGAACGCCUAAAAUGAGCAAGGCGGCUCUGAACGACUAAACUGGAGAAGUGGCCCUGAAAGCCUAAGCUGUGGAAAUGGCUUUAAACGCCUAAAAUGAGCAAGAUGGCUCUGAACACCUAAAUUGGAGAAGUGGCUCAAAACAGUUAAGCUGUGGAAGUGGCUCUGAAUGCAUAAACUGAGCAAGGGGGAUUUGAAUGCCUAAGCUGGAGAAGUUGCUUUGAAUGCCUAAGUGAGAAAUGUGGCUCUGAACGCCUAAACUAUGGAAAGUGGCUCUGAACGCCUAACUAAAGAAGGUAGCUCUAAACGCCUAUGGGAGAUGGUGGCUUUGAAUGCCUAAGUUGAAGAAGUGGCUCUGAAUACUUGAGCUAGAGAAGUGGCUCUAAAUGCCUAACUGAAGAAGGUAGAUUUGAAUGCCUAUGGGAGAUGGUGGCUCUAAAUGCCUAAGUUGAAGAAGUGGCUCUGAAUGCCUAAGUUAGAGAAGUGGCUCUGAACACCUAACUGAGAACGACAACUCUGAAUGUCAAAUUGUGAACGACGACUCUGAACACCAAGCUGACCAAUGGCUUUGAAUGCUAAACUAUGAACGAGAACAACAGCUCUGAACGCCACAACUAUGAAGAGAUAGUGGCUCUAAACGCCAAACUGACCAAUGGCUCUGAAUGCCAAACUGUGAACGAGAAUGACGGCUUUGAAUGCCAAACUAAUGAAUGUGGCUCUGAACACCUAAAAAUUGUGAAUGGUGGCUCUAAACACCAAACUGUGAAUGACGACUCUGAACGCCAAACUGACUAAUGGCUCUGAAUGUCAAACUGUAAGUGAGAACGAUGGCUUUGAACUCCAAACUGAUGAAUGUGGCUCUGAACGCCUAAAAAUUGUGAACGGUGGCUUUGAACGCCAAACUGACCAAUGGCUCUAAAUGACAAAUUGAAGAAUGAGAACGACGACUCUGAACGCUAAGCUGUGAAUAAGGCUCUAAACACCUAAAACUGUGAACAAUGGCUCUGAAUGCCAAACUAUGAAUGAUGGUGGCUUUGAAUGCCUAAAAUGCGGAGAGAGAGUGGCUCUGAAUGCUAAACUGAAGAUAUGAUGGUGGCUUUGAACGCCAAGCUACGAGGAAAUGAUGAGGGGAAAAAUGCCUCAGUGUGGCGUGUCGUCACAAAUCUCGAUCCACUAAAAGGGUCUAAAAGAGACUCCAUGAGUCUCAAAAGAUGCUUUGUUGAUGAGUCGGAAUGGUCAAAUCAACUAUAAUAUAAAGUCUCAUAACCUAUCUUACUAAAUCAUGAGGCCUGACAAAGUGCCAUAAUAAUCUGGAUGCUUCUAACUUGAGAUGCCCUGUUAAAGGAAUCUGUAGUCAUCUCAAAGGAACGAUCCAUUGAUGGGUCUCAAGAAAAAUGGUCCACUGGGGAAACUGCCAUUGCCUCAACAUAAUGAUCUACUGAAGAGUCAUAGGUAAAAAGACAGUCAAAACCCAAAGGUCAAGCUCCUCUGAAGGCUCAUCUCGGCAUAAAUCAUCGAUACUAUGACCAAUAAUGUGAAUAAAUAUCCCUCAACUGAAUAAAGAAAAUGGUAAUAGCUCCGUGAGAAGACGAUCAUCUCCACAAUAGAAAAGAGGAAAUAUGCCCCAGUAUAGUAACUAGUACAUCUGGUCUGUCCUGAUGACUCAAGAAUAACUCAAUGGGGAUGUAUAAGAGAUCUAACAUGUACUCCACUGAAAUGAUGAUAUGGGAGUCUAUGUGCCUAAGAUAACUCCAUCAAAGAAUCACAACUAUAUCAGAAAGUAUGGGCCUAAUUGAAUGACUCAAGAAAGGCUUCACUAGGGAAUCAUCGUAAAAUAAAAAUUGAUCAUCAACUCGAUAUGUAUCUCAUAAAUGGGGAUGAUCAUGCAAAUCAAUGGAGAUCUACAAAUCUCAACCAAAAGAUAAAUAUGCCCCAAUAUGGCAUCAAAUGUGUGGUAAGUUGGAAAAUCAGGUGGCACCAAAUCAUCCAUCACCAAGUGUGUAAUCCUAAUCAUCCAAAUCCACAGCUGAAUCAGAUCCAAACAUCAAAGAGGCGUCUCUCAAAAGAAGAAGCAUAUGACAUCUAAAUAUAAAAAAGUGUGAGCCUGACUGAAUGGCCCAAGAGAGGCUCCACUAGGGAAUCAUGAUAAGAUAACAAAUAGGUCAUCAUCUCGGUGUGUAUCUCGUAAGUGGGAAUGAUCAUGCAACUCCAUGAAGAUCUAUAAAUCUCAACCCAAUGUGCGGUAGGUCGAAAAAUCAGAUGACAUUAAAUCAUCCAUCAUCAAAUGUGUGAUCCCCGUCAUCCAAAUCCACAGCUAAAUCGGGUCUAAACAUCAAAGAGGCGUCUCCUAGAAGAAAAAACAUGAUGAUAUCUAAAUAUCAACCAAAUCUCAAACACCUGUCCAAGUAGGGGCUAUCGAAGAUGACAUCUGAUCCCAUGGCCUCAAGGUGGUCUUAAAACACAGGACAUAAUGUAGGCUAGGGUGACAGAGUAAUAGAAAUGAAAGGAAACUAGGCCAAAAUACCGAGUGAUCAAAAGCCCACACCCUCAUGUAUAAAAUGCAACAUGUAUAGAAAAACUCGUGAACCAUGGACCUAAGGGUGCCCAAUGUGAAUAUAAUAUCAAUAAUGAGACUAUGAAGAAAAUCAAACUAAUAAUGAGAUACGUAAGAAUGAUGUAAGGGAAAAAUCAAACCUGGAAUAGGUCGAUGUAAGAAAAAAACAAGUGGGGUGAAGCGAAGGGGAUGGAUCAAAAGCAAUGACGAGAAUGAUAGCGAAACAAUGAAUAUACGAAGAAAAGUGAUGAUCAACUCAAAUCAAACAUGGAGUGAAGUCACAUCAACAAUGAAUGUAAUGAUGGAAAACUUUCUCCAAUUAAAUGACCUUCUCAAACCAAGGGUCUUUGGAUCAAUGUCCAUGGUAUAGAUAAUGGAAAUGAUGUGACUAUCCUCCCUGUAAUGAAUUAGGGAGGAUCACCACUCAGGGUGGAGAAAAGAUGAAAUAGAACAAGUAGCAAAUGAGACAAAAAAGAGAUCAAGAACACAACUAAUGAGAUAUGAUGGAAUGUAGUAGUGUGAUGGUAGGAAAAAUAAUGAGAGAAAGAUGCGCUCGUAGGCCCAAGGCUCAUGAAACUCCUAAAUGAAGCAUGCAUACACCAAAGGGCCCAUAUCCCAAUGUAGAAAUGUAAGCAAGACAAUAAGAAAGAAAGACUCUGAUGCACAUGCGAUCCUCAAUGGGCUAACAGUGGUCUGCAUAUCAAAAGGGAAUAACAAAGUAUAUGGCCAACCAAAAUGAUGGCCACCCAUCCUACAACCAUGGUCUCAAACAUAAUACUUCUUUAACUGAUCUACAUUAGUUGGCUUUGAGAAUCGGUUUCCAUCUAGAUCCAUCAACCAUGCAGUGCCCUCUAGGGUCAACUCCCUAAUGAAAUAAGGUCCGCUCCAAUUAGGUCUGAACUUCCCUCUAGGAUCUCUAAUCAAUCCCUGGAUGACCUUCAAAACCAAAUCACCUCUCUGUAGUGGUCUAGGCUUUACUUGCUUUUUGAAUGCGCGAGCCAUCUUCCUUUGAUAGGCAUGAACAUGGUCUGUUGCCCUCAAUUCUCUCUCGAGUGGUAUCACUCUCUAAAGAUCUAACAACUGUGUGAGGUUGUUGUCAUACCACCCUGCCUCUAUGGAUGACAUAUUGAACAUCAUGAGUAACCGUCUCGUCAAGAUCUCGACUCAGUAUAAACAGAGACUGAAAUCAAUGACCCAAUUGUAGUCAACUACACUGAUGGUGUGUCAGGAACCAAUCUAAAUGGUGUAGAUGUCUGUGUAUUUGAGAUCACUCCAUCAACCUCAUAGCUUUCAUCCACUACUAUAGGCUCUGGCUCAGAAUCAUCCCAACUCAACAUGUGAAUGCAAUCAUCAGGCUCAAUGAAAUCCAUGAAAUGUAUGUCGCCGGCCGGCAAAGGGACUAUAUGUGAAGUAUGAGCUAGUAGAGGGUUAGUGGUUACACUUGAACCAAACCCUGAUUUAUCAAAUCUUGGAUAGCGUGUCUCAAAGUAGUACAACAAUCGGUUUCAUGCCUUGGCCCUUGAUGAUAUGUACAAUGUAGAUCCAUCCGAAACUGUGGCGGAAUAGGUUGAGACAAUGACCUAGGAGCAAGAAGCAUCAAUAAUCCAGCAUUUGUGAGCUUCCAAAGAGUCUGGCUCAACGACAUACCCAACUUUGAAAACUGUCUCAGUGUCCUCAAACCAAAAUGAGCAGGCAUUUAUGAAGCCUUAGGUCUAAGGUAUAAAGUUGGAGGUCUCUAUGUGAUUUGUGUUGCAUAGCAUGGUUGUACUAGAGCAGGGUAUGGGACUGGAGGCCUCUUUGUGCCUGAUACUGCAUAACAUGGUUGUACUAGUGUAGGAGAUGGGUAAGUUUGAUCAUACGGCUGAUGAGGUGCUUGUGGCCUAUACUGGUCAGGUGAAUAAGAGAGGUACGUCCCAAUAGGUUGUAGAAUUGGCUGAUGACACCUGAGAGGUCUUUGACUAGUAGAAGUGAUAGUACCCACAUCUGAUCUCUGUCUUCCAAUUGGUUUCUUCCCCUUAGCAUCAACAGGGGAAGAAUCAGACCAUAACCCUUUCAAAAUGUCAUCCUCCACGUCAUACAAUGCUGAAAUCAAAGAUCUAAAGUCUGUAAAAGGUACUCUAACCACAUGUCUAGCAAUCCAGGGUUGUAGACUCUUCAAAAUCAUCUGUAUAUGAUCUCUCUUUGAUGGUUUAUCAACAAUCUCUGCUAUCUUCCCCUACCAACAAGAGAUGAAGGAAGAAAUGGACUCAUCUGAUCUCUGUCUCAAAGCCUCUAGCUCUUUCCUCGACCAUCUACAAUAGUAUUAAAUGAAAACUAUCGCAAAAAAUCCUGAGUUAGGUCAUCCCAUGUCCUAUGUCACAAGGACUCCAAAGAUGCGAACCAACGUUGGGUUGUGCCACUCAAAGAUAAAGGAAACAUGGUGACCAUCUAUGACUUGUCUAACCCAUGGGCCCUCAUCACAAUACUAUAAAGUCGAAGAUGAAUGUGAGGACAACCAACACCCAUGUACCUCUCAAUGUCAGGCAUCAUAAAGGCCGGUAGACUGGCCACUGGUAUACUAUCAAGAUCAUCCCAAACAACUAAACUUUCAGAUACUCUCAACUGCCUGAUACGAUGCUCGAUAUGAUCUAUGUGUGCAUGAGUAUCCUUAGAGACUGUGGUGUGUUCUACUGUAGGUGGGAGAACCUCAGACUGGUCGUGUAAUUGAUAAGGCGAGGCUUGUGGUUUCGUCUGAUCAGGUGGUGGUGGUGGUGGCAAUAGUGAAUCGUGAGGCACCUCGUCCUAAAUUAUAGGUUGUCUGCUCUGCUAACUACCCAUAUCCUGUCUGAGAUUGGUCAAAGCCUCCUGAAUGGAAGCCAUAGCUGCUGUGAACUGGUCAACUAUAAUGGACUACUGAUCCAUGUAUGAUCUCAUGGGAGUGUAAACCAGUCUACCCUCUACUCUAACCCAAGAUGGUAUAUCCAUACUAAGAAUGAAAAACCAAUCCUACAAAGCAUGAAGCACGAGAUAAGGUAUGGUAUAGGAAAGACACGAAAGAAAUGCUAAUCUGAACUGGAAGAAACAAGUCAUCACAAAGCGAAAGGGUAGUCCAACUAUAACUCAAACUCAUAUUGAUCUCUAAGCUUUCUCAAUUAGAGACCAAAUGAGAAAGUACUAGAUUCGAAUUGUAACUAAAGAGGCUCUAAAAUCCCUCAAAUGCACUCACAUGUAGGAAAGAAGUCCUAAUCAAAGGAUCUAAGGCUCAACCUACAAGGUUAAGGUGGCUCUAGAAAUAAGAGGGGUGGACUUUAAAAGAUCCCUAGCAGAAGCGAUCAUACCCUCCAGUGGUACGCAACCCUCUGCAUACUUCCGAAGAGAUGGGGCACUUCUAUGCAAGGUGGUCAUGACCUUUAUACAUGCACUACCUCGACAUCCCAAGGGGUUUCCUAUAGUGAAAGCUCUCACAAUUCUCAACACUCAAUAGUCAACUAAAGUGUGCAGUGAACGGUGUAGGUGCAUCUGAAAAGCCUAUGAAGCCAAAGCAGAAAAUGAAACACACCGGUCACACAAAUAUCCAUGAAACCUAGCUCUGGGCUAUACAGGUGUGGACCCGCAUUUUUCACGUGCGCCCCCACUCGAUCUGCGAGACUCGCUUUUUAUUAUUUUUGUGAAAAAUUGAUUUUUGAAAAGAAAGUUGGAGUCACCACCUAUUUUAUUUUUAUUUUAAAGGGAAAAUAAAACAAGAAAGAAAAACCCUAAAAAGUGACUCCAUAGUUUUGGAAAAAGCAUGUCUUUGAGAAACCCGAGUCUAGGUUCGGGGAUCAGAUUACUUAUUGGGAAGGUACCUCUAGGAGGUAGCACCCCUCUAAGCCCUCUAAAGGUCUCUACUAACAAAGUUAAGGGAAAUGUGGCCAUUAAUCAGUUAAAUAUGGAUACCUAAGUAGGUUAGGUGAUUUCAAAUAUUGCAUGCCUAAAGAGAAAACCAACCAUAAGAGAGAGUUGAAGUGCGUACCUGAACGGCUUCUCAAGCGCUAUUAUAAAACAUAAAAGUUAGUGUAGAAAUGUAGCACACAACAUUUGUUUUAUUCAAGCAAAUCAGGCAUAUAUGAAGACAUCCAAGAAUCACGUCAAAUAUGGAUAUGGUCAUCAAUGACAUACAAGUCCAUAGAGUUCUAAAAAAUAGAUGAGAAGAGAGCGUACCUGGAUAGCAAGCUAGUACUCCUCUAUGGGAAGCAAGAAUAUCUCAACAAUAAAUAUAAAGUGAAUUCAAGUAUUUCAUCAAGAAGAAUCAAAAAUCAACAUAUCAAGCAAACAGUAUUGAAGUGAGUAUCAUGAAUGUCGGGCCCCCACCAAAGCCCUAAUUAAUUUUGCAUGAAUUGAUUCUAUGAAUUCCAUUGUUUGGAAUCAUGAAUUUUGUUCAUGCUUGGAAAAAAUUGAGAAAAAUCAAGAAAAUCAGUUGAAAAUCGAAUAAAACAAUGAAAGUGCAUGCCCGAAGGAAAAUGGUAGCAGAAGGGUGUUGAAAUCUGGAUUUUAUUGCCUAGAGAGGGUCUAAAGAUGGGUUUUCCAAACUUGAGAAUAUUUAGUUGAACAACGGUUCUAAAAUUCAAUUUAAAACAGUAAAUUCCCAAUCAAAGAAGCAAAUAGAGGAGAAGGUGUGUGUAGCAAGGUUGCCAUGAUGGAGUGGAGCUUGGGAAUAAAAUUUGAGACUGUCUUGCUGGUGUUGAAUCCCCAAAUAUAUUCUGCCUUCUUUUGUCACCUUCCGAGGCUAUCCUGGCAUAAUCAACUUUCCAUAUCUAUGUUUUCCUUGGAUCUAUGGGCUCAGACUGAAGCAGUUACUAAAUGGAUUUUGCAGUAUUAGCUAGGAAGCUCUUGGAAGUAGGAGUAACUGAAUUGGCAUAAAAUCUGCGAUUCUGUCCAGCUUUAUUUCCCCAUCAAACCUUUAAAUUUCUGCAUAAUGUCUUCAGUAUUCUGCCCAUCUGUUUCUUCUCGGAAAACCUAUCAGAAUUGUUUUUCUUUCAAUCCCAUAAUGUCUUCACCGAUUUCUUCAUUCUUCAUCUAUGUUUCAUUAAGCACCAAGACCUUGCUUUUCUUGAGUAGCACUCAGCCAAGACAAACUAGCUGCCUCUGACCCAUGCUCCAAUUCUCUCCAUUCUCAGUAGAUGCAGAAUCUGGCUUUCCUUAUUUCUUCCUGACUUUAUCCUAAAGCUGGCACUUGUUCGGAGCCUCCCAAAACCUAAAUCUGAGUACUCUUCAAAUGGGUCAAGAUUGCUCCGUAUAGCCCCUUCAAACAUGGUUGGAUCCUGAAGGAUAAUGCUUAGUCUGGACCGCAAAUCAUGUAGUCCAAUGGAAGAGAUGUUGGAACCAUCUAUCAUAAUCUGGCCAGUAGCAGGUUCGACAAUUCGAAAGAGGGUUUGUAUGAGGGUUAAUUUACCACUGCCAGUUCGCCCUUCGAUGCCAGUCUUCAUUCCUCCCACUUUGCUUUGAAUUCCCAUCGUCAAACUUCAAGAGUGAAACAGGGGCCGGAUUAAUUGCAAAAAUAGUUUUCUGGUGUCUGUAAAUGAAAUCAAAACUGAUUAAACCAUUCCUUGUCCGUAUAAGCCAUUUGCCAGAACAGGAUUAUGAGAAUCUGAUCAUAUCACAUCAUGGAGAAUACCAUGAACUCCACUUUUCAUAUUCAGCCUUUGGAUCCCACGGAUGAUUUUGGAUAUAGCUCUAUAUUGAUCUAUUUGAAUUCUCUGGACAUAAUUUAAGGGAGCUCCGUAUCAUCAUUUAGGUUCUUUGGAUAAUACUUCAUCUCCACUUGCAGGUUUCAGAAAUGAGGCAUUAGGAAGGCCCCAAUCCAUGCAAAGCAGAACAAUGAGAAAAGCCAUCAAUACCAAUUUUGGUCAUGACAAUCAUAGUGUGAGAGUUUAUAGGAUCCCUUAGAGUUUGCAGAAAUGUAAGUAGUAGACCCAAGAGCCUUUAAUAAAGCCCAUAAUCCUAUACUCCUCUGUAUGUAGUCUCUUUGCCGAAAACUCUGUACCUCCCAAAUUCUUUGAACAAGCAAACUGCUAUACUACUGUUGUCCUUGAGCUGCUCAUCAUGGACACCAAUAAAUUGAACAAUGAAUGCGGCAGCAAGAAGGCAUAUCUUAUUGCACAGUCUAUAAGUUCUGAGAUGAGGUAUGAGCAUAUCCGAUUAUGGUUGGGCACAAGUUUAUGCUCUUCACGGUCCUCUUGGACAUCAAACCAUGUCUCGGCCACUACCUAGUAUGCAGAUUCCCAGUUUAUUGUUGCCUUUAGGGAUCACAAAGUUCAUUUUUAUCUCAAGUCUUGGAAAAUCAAUUCUCUUCCUCAUCAACCUAUUGGAAUAUCUCAAAGCCAAUCAUCCAGUACCCGAGCUUCAGCCCAUUAACACUCAACCUUACGAAACCUAACAAGCCGUACAGGUUCUCUCCAGUGAUUGAAUCGUUAUAACAUGUAUGUAUGGUGGUAAUCAGAUGAGAGACGUUUGAACUUGAAUACAUCAACUCCUCGACUCUGAAAUGCUGCUUUUAGGACUCUAAAGAAGUUACGAGGAUUAUCAACUUCUUCUUGUACAAGUUCUAUAAAGGAUUCUAAUAACCCCAUGCUGAUCUUUGGCAAACUGUUUCUUGAUUUUGAGAAUAAAUCCCUUGUCUGUUCAUUGUGGAGCUCAAAGAUUUGUGACAAAGAAGUUAAAUCGAGACGUAGAAGUAGUAUUUGAAUUGGAUAAAUCAAACGACUCCUCAAAGACAUCGAGCAUAUAAACCACAAUCAUGACUAAGUCCUUCCUUGGUGCGUGUCUCUCCUGAUCGGGUUUGGCCAUAAGCAAAAAUAGAGACAUUAUAUCCAUCCAAAGCUGAUUGUACAAGUGGCUGAACAUCACUGGAAAUUUCAGCUUGCCCAACAUGAGGCCCAUAAACCCUUUAUGUUGCCUUUGGUUGUCAGUAAGUCAUUAAAUAACCUUUUUUUUUUCUUGUAGACUGACAAAAAGUCUUAGCCACAUUUCCGGUUGCUUUACUAUCACUGCCAAAAGAUACUUGCUGCAACCCAAAUACAUGCUCAUCAGACAUGAUAUCAAGACUCAAAUCAAUUCAGAACCCCUGCCCCACCUUACCUUCAUAGCCUUUAGUUAGACCUUCUUUAUUUGAGUUGUCAUUAUGCCUGUCAGUCCUGAUAUGGGAUACACAAAAACCAAAUGUUCCUUGCUGAAACUCAUUAGUAUACUCUGCUGUUACGGAAUCAAAUAUGACAAUAGCUUUCUAUACAUCCCUUUCUGCUUUUAUCAAUUGCGCAACUUGGGCUGAUCUGAUUUGCUUCGACUUGUUGAUAAUCAUCUUGUUGCCCAUUUUAACUUUCAAGGCAAACUUUUGAUAGUGGUGUCUUCAUCAUCCAAUCCGUUAUCAAGGUUCAACAGGUUCUCAAUAAACCAAUAUCUCCAAUCUCUGUCUCUUCUUCUUUUUUUAGUGAGUUGAACCCUAGGCAGUCCCUUCAUAGAAGUCCCCUUUUCCCUGUUUUCUUCGGUGAAGAGAGAUCCAUGAGACUUCUCUAGCAGAUUCAGACCCAAUUUUUGAGGUUUUAUUUGCACAUUAUUUGGAAAUUCCAGUACUAUUACUGAAUUCUUAUAUGCAUUUAUAAGCUACUCAAAUGCUGCCCCAGAUUUCAAGAGCUCCUCAUAGCCUUCUGAUUGAGUUAUCUGUCCAGCUUCCACAACUAGAAUUUUAUCGACUUCAAAGAGAAACUCCACUUAAUGAGUCACUAGAAUGACGAUUUUAUGAGCAAGGGCAGCCACGACGCAUUCAUAGAAAAGAAUUGCAGUUGUAUGUGCAUCUACUGCACUAAAGAGAUCAUCUAGGAAAUACACAUCUGAAUCAUUAUAAAUUCCCCUUGCCAAUUGGAUCCUCUGCUUUUGGAGUUGAUGAACACUAUCAUUGGACACUUGACUAUAUAAGAAACAGCCUCAACCUCUGAUUAUGGUACAAGAAUAUAAUCAAGGAUACUGAAAUUCUUCAAGUCGAACUUCGAAUUACAAUAAGCCAUUACUGGAAAGUGACUUCUGAGGAGAAAAACAAGUUCUUGAUCAGAUUUCCUGCACUAACUGAUAGAAUGUUCCUGUCAUCAAAAUUGACAGUUCUUGCUGCUUCAGGGUCAAAUAACCGUUCAGUGAAAUGACUUGAGACUAAGUGAAAACCAGAAGCAUUUGCCCAUGGAGAAACGUUUGAAUUUGAAGGUCCUAGAAACAAGUCAUUGUUAGGAACUUCUACUGCUUGUUUCCACAGUUUCUUACGAUCAACUCUUCCUCUCCAUGCACACUGUGUGGAGACUGCCGCUUUCUUUAAUCCCGUAUAAUGCGAGUGAGCUAAGUAUUUAUGACAUUGACUCUGGAUAACAAUUGCUGCUCUUGUCUACCUCCUGGAGCGAAACUCAUUACGAGCAGCCAAGCCACGCAUACCUCUUUGAAUGCAAAGAGUAGACGAGCACAAUUCUUUAUAAGCUUUCAUACGCAAAUCUUUUUGGAUCCUUGGAACAGAAACUUCUCUCCGUAUAAUCUCAUAAACUUGGCGAGUUAUCAUCUGCAAGCAGCUUGGAUUUGUAUUGCAGAACGACGCAUUGAGACGAAACUUCUGCGAGACAAAUGGGAACAAACUUUCCUCUGGAUAAUGCUGGCAAAUCUUCUUAAAACCCCACUCAUUCGGGCAUCUGGAUCAGCCAUCUGACCAGCCCUAAGAAAAACCUUUGUUUCACCAAUCUGAUAGCUUUUAAGUCCAACCUUCUCUAGCAGCCUCUUACAAGCAGCAAUCUCACCAGAACUCCCCUUCGAGACAUCAGGUGCAAGGAUGCCAAAACGAAACUCAACAAACGUUCUUCUUGUGGGAUAUCCAGCACAACUGAUCCUAAUUGCUUCCAAGACACCCCCACAACGUAGUUACUGUUAAACAUUAUUAUUCUCAAAGAUUGAUGGCUUAAGAGGAUUAUUUGGCUUCACACAGCGAAUGUAAUAUGGCUCAGUGGCACUCAGUGUUUCAAGCAAAGAUUGCAAUUGUCACUUAAACCGAGAACCUAUUGAUGAGAACUUCAAUGUUUUGGAAAAAUCCUCAGGUAAAGGUGAGAACAAGUCUGCCACGAAGGAGAAUCUGGAAGCACUCAGAAGUGAUUGAUGCUCAGCAACAACAUAAUUUUUGUUUUUAUCCAAGAAGUGCUCAGUUUGAUAUGUGACAUCACCAGCAUAGUGAUAAAUGGUGAAGUCAGUGCGUGAUAACUUUGGCUUGCUGAAGCGCAUAUGGUUUUUAAAUGUCUGGUAUAACUUUUGGGAAAAUGUUUCAUGUGUUGAUCUUAGGAACACGCAAGCUUCUUCCAGUAGAGCAAUUACACCACCAGGUUUCUUUUCAAUAAGUUCUAGAACAUCCUUAUUAUCGACAAAAUCAAUGUAACUCUAAUCAAUUUCUUCUUUCGUAUAUUCUUCUUACUCCAUUUUGAAAACGUGAUGAUUAAAAUGUUGCUGAAGUUUCCCAUUUGUCAAAUUGAUGCAAAAUUGCUCAAAGCUGUUUGUGUUGAAACUCUCAAAUCCAUAAUUAUCCAGCACCCCAAUCAAACACAUUGAGUCAGGGUCUUGACCAGUUGAACUAUUAAUCUUAUCCACAAGCCAGACAUUUUGUGAUGGUCUCAUCACGGGUUACAAUUAUACAUUUGCAGAGGGAAUCUUCUAGUGUCUUCUCAUCACACAUGAAAAGCUCAACUGCAGUUCUCAGAUGGAACCGAGAUUUUUCAUCUUUGGGUUCAGAUGAGUCUGUUUCCUUUCCCUUUUUGAAUUCAAUGUUUCCAAGAUGGAGAGUUGCAGCAACAACUCGAAAGAUUCCUUCCUACUCAUCAGAACUUAUUCCAACAAUGUCCAUUGCCUUUCUUGUUGCAAUGUAUUCCUUGGAAUCAUCAACCCCUUCCAACUCAUAGCAAUUUGAUUGAUUUAGAUAGUGGAAAGUUCUUGCAUUUCCCAAUUUGAACCUUUGAACAUUCUCUGCUGAUGCAUCACAAGGCAUGUAGAAGCAGUGAUAAUUUCUCAGGAUCGGGUACUUGACAAACACAGGAUCUUUCCGGCAAAUAAGUCGUGAUAGCUGCUCUUGAAAUCUUUCUCCUUUGAUCAAAUUGAAUCUCCACAAACUUACCAAACCGACUUGAAUUAUUGUUUCUGACAGUCUUUGCAUCACCGAAUGCUUCUGGAACUGGAUUGGACUCAAGAAUUUGUUGCUCAACAGUCCUCACAUAAAACAUCUUGAAACACCCUUAAAGCAUCCUCAAAGCUACAAAACUUCGUAAACAAAUCAAACAUUCCAGCUUGAACAUACCCCUUUGAGAAGAACCCAUUUUUCAGUGCAAGUGAAUAUACCAGUUUACCAUACAAAAGAGGCCCCAGGGCAGUACAAGCCGAAAGAACACUCCCAUAAGUGAACUGGUUGGGUUCCAAUUCUAAAAAAUGCAUCUUACAAAAACUCUUCCAUGAAUCCUCAGAUGAAAGGUUCUGGUUGCAGCCUGAAAUUAAAAUAUCCCAGGAAAUAACAUUUGGGUGAGGAGUUUUAUCAAGCAAACUGGGUGCAUGAACCAUGGAAUUGGAUUUACAGUACCAAUCCAUUAAAGAAUCGACUAUGAAGGUGUUGGAUUGCCACCAGCUUUGCCAUCCCGCUACUACCCGUCACCUAGGAUCAGAUUUUAACUGUACUUCACAUUUAACAGUCUAUAGCCAAGCUGGAAAAGAUAUGUUACCAUCUCCCACAACAUCUCCUUUGUUCGAGAAUUCCACUGAUCAUCUCGGAAUCACAAAAUUUCUAUGCACCACUGAAAAGUUUUUCAUCAAAGUGCAUGAUUUUAGCACAGAAGGGAACAUAUUACGACUUGGGUAUCUUCCAGAAGCUAGCACUUGAAUGAAGAAAGGGGUCAUGGGAAAUGGCAUAGUCAAGAUUCUGAACCUGAAGCUCCUGGUGUGUGCCUUUUAGUUGUGUGAAACCAAUCAUCUUGACGUUUAGGUUCCGCAAAAGUGCUCAUUCAAAGUCUGAAACUUUUAGAUUUCUAUUCUCAAAGGUAUUAUGCCCUCUGUCAAUAUCCCCAGCAAUGCAGCAGCACAGAUUUCAAAUCCCACAAUCUUGAGCAUAUACUAUGUAACUACACUGGUCUUCCAUCCUUCUAGUGGCUUUAUGCAGAUAUCCAUAACAGGAUCAACCUCAAUACUUGCCAAGAGCAAGCCUCCCAAUAAUGGCAUCUCAAACUUUCUCAAAGGAACUGGAAACAGAGGAAUACAGGGAAAGAGCAAAAGACAAGGAAAAGGAGCAAGGCAUAAAACAUUCACCAAACAUGCUGAACCCAUUUCAUUAUUUUAUCCAUGGGUUUAACAAUUAGUGGGCUAAUCCAUGGCAAAUGUCUUAAAAGAAAAGCACAAAAUGCAACAAGCUCUUCUAGUAUGAAACAGUAAACCGAAGCAUAGUCAAAUAUUUCCUUAAUGGAACCAGAGAAAAGAAAGAUUAAAGCAACAAUAACCAAUCCAUAACAACCCAACAAGCAAUGUAAAAAUCAUUUGAGAAAGAGGUGGGAGAAGCAUGAAAGAUGACAUAAGCGGGAAAACCAUAACAGCCAUACCUGAAAGUCUCUUCUGCAGCAAGGUGUGCUGGGCUUCAGGCUUGCUGCUCCUACUCCCAAGACUAGCCGAAAACCCUGUGAACCGUCCCUUCUGUUCUACUCCUCUUCUCUCUUGCUCUCCCUGAUUUUCUUCCAGAUCUCUCCUCCUCUGCUUUUCGUCCCUUUUUUUUCCUCUCUAAGGAUCUGGUCUUCCUCCCUUUCAUGCGUGCUGCCAGUCCCACUUUCCAAAAAAAAACCUUCUUGCUGAAAAGGAAAAUCCUACUUCAUUUUCUCCUUUCUUUCCUUUCUUUCCUUUCUUUUCUUCUUGUAGCCGAUCCCCACAUGGAAGAAGUAUAUGUGUUGUCCCUAUAAAAAUAAAAUCUCCCAUUUUUCAAAAUUCUGGUUAUUCUCCUUCCAAAAAAAAAAUGGCUGCCCUUUUCCUCAUACCAAAGAUAAGCCAAGAAAUCUGAGUUAGAAAACUUAUAAUAUAAUAUAAUAAAAUAAAAUAAAAUGAAAUGAAAAUAAUAAAGAAAGUCAUGCAAGCCACACAAGUCAUGUAGGUCAUGCAAUUAAGUGAGUCUAAAAGUGUCUAAUGGGCCAAGUGUUUCUAAGUGGGCCUAGAGCGGUGCCUAAUGGGCCAUGUGUAUCUAAAAGCUAUCCUAAAAAAAACAAGAAAAACCUAAGUCUAAGUUAGGGCUGCCAAGGGUCACAAUAAGGGAUCAAAUAAUCCCUCAACCAAAAUCUCCGAGGUGACUCAAAAAAGGUAAGUUGUACGAGUAGUAAUGGGUCACCAAGGAACUACUGUGGAGCACUGAAAACGAAAUUAAGGACAUGUGCUAAAGAGACAAAAUUGAGGGUCUACAACAGGUCUUCAAAGAUUGGACUCCAAUCAACAUCAAUGUGUCAGCCUCAUCUAGAAUGCUUCCAAACUUCGAUAUAACCCAUCUCUAGAUCCUACUCCUAAUCAACUAGCCCGGUCAGAGAAACAAGUACACACAAGGCCUCACACUUGCAAAUGUAAGAAUCGAAAAGAAGUGAAUGAUUAAAACUAGAGGGUUGGAGGUAAGGGGAUUGAUGUGCGACCCACACAGAUAAGCAACAUGCAAUCACACAGGAGAAGAGCAGUCAUGCAACAAGCAAUCAAGCAGAGCACAAGUAUAUCAUCCAUGUUCACACGCAAGCCAAAUGAGGACAUGACAAUCAAAAUGAAUGCAACAAGGAUGACAUGCUCAAAGAUGAUCAAGAUAAUAUACAAGCAAAAGAGUCAACACUAAGACAACAAGAUAUACAACAAUGUGAACAUACAUGUCAAAGUGAGCAAGAUAAUCAUGGCAAGAGCAAAUUCAAUACACUAAAACAAACGAGAGAAUCAAUCAAUAUCAUCACCAUGUUAAUAUCCCAAAUGGAUAUAGAAAUCAAUAAGAGGAAAAUCAUCACAUCAAAAUCCUCAAUGUGUUAUGAUCACUCAAGCAUAAAGAAGCACAAAGGGAAGGUAUCCAUCAACCGACUAAUCAAACGCCACAUUUGCCUCAACUUAAGUUCAAGUUUGACUCUCUAAUUCCCCAUUGGAAUCGCCAUUUUAUGAACCCCGCAUUUUUGCACGAUGCGUUCCUACUCGAUGGCGAACUCGCUUUUAAUUUAUUUGGUGAAAAAUAUGAUAUUUAGAAAAGACUUGGAGUCGCCACUUAUUUUUGUUUUAUUUUUAAGGGAAAACAAAAUAAGAAAGAGAACCCUAAGUGUGACUCCUUAUUUGGAAAAGACAGUAUGUGAAACCAAAGUUGGGUCCGGGGUCGGAUUACCUAUUAGGAAGGUACGAUGGUGAGUCGUAACACCCUUUUAAGCCCUAUAAUAAGGUCUCUUUUAAAUAAGAUGAAGCAAGUGUGACAAUUGAUAAGGAAAUCAAUGGAUAUCAAAAUAAUCAAAUAAUAAAAUGAAUCAUGCAUGAGAAUUAGAAAAGUGAGAAUGAGAUCAUACCUUAUCAGCAAAUAAUAAUGCACUAUCAUGAAAUGAGGUUAGUGCACAAUAAUAAAUAUAAAAUAUAUCGCAUGUGUCACAAAACAUAGUAAGAAAUCCUCAAUGGUGGUUAUGCAUUUCACUCAAAUCAUUUUUGAAGAAAAUAUCUCAAAUGUUGGGCCCCCACCAAAGCCCAAUUGAUUUUGCAUGAAAUAGUUCCACAAAUUCCAUUAUUUCGGAAUUAUGAAAAUUGCAUUCAUGCUUAUUAAAAAUUGAAAAAAAUAAAAAAUUAUUUGAGGAUUAAAGAAAAUUUGUGAAGGUGCUUGCUUGGAAUAAAACGACAGCAAGUUUAUUAAAAAAAAAUGGGAUUUUUGGUAACCCUAAUCCUCAAGGAGGGAAGAAGAAGAGAAAUGACCUAAAAUUAUUUGAAAACAGGAGUGAAAUUAAAAUUAUUUUGAAAAUCUGGAGUUUUGGAAAUUAUUUGAAAAUUUAAGUUUUGAAAUUUUUUUGAAAAUUGUGAAAAUUAUUUGAAAGUUGGAAUUUUGAAGAAUUAUUUGAAAAUGAAAAUUUUGAAAAUUAAAUUUGAAAAUUGAAAUUUUAGACAAUUAUUUGAGAAUGGAAGUUUUGAAAAUUGGAAUUUUGAAUAAUUAUUUGAGAAUGAAAGUUUUGAAAAUUAAAUUAAAAAUUGGAAUUUUGAAGAAUUACUUGAGAAUAAAAGUUUUGAAAAUUAAAUUUGAAAGAAAUUAGAGUUUUGAAAAUUAUUUGAGAAUGAAAUUUUUUUAAAUUAAAUUUCAAAAUUGGAAUUUUGGAAAAUUAUUUGAAAAUGAAAAUUUUAAAAAUUAAAAUAAAUUUUCAACAUCAAAAGAUGAAGAAACAAGAGGAUGGCAUGAGGCCAUCAGGAUUGCAUGCCAAAAGUGGCCAUGCAUGAAUGUGGACCCUGGGUGCAAGGUGUAGGUGGUAUAUGAGAAAAAAAAACCUUGCCAAACAGAGCCUAGACAUCCAUCACCCGUGGGGCGCUCAUCACUCCUUUCAAACAUCAAAUACAUCAUCACUCAUACCAUCAUACUCAAGCAAGCUAAAUUUGACGACUUUAGGAGCCUGACCCGGGUCCUUGAAGUGGGACAACUUCAGAUCUUGGAAGCCUUUCAUCUGCUAUUGGAGUUGUUGAAGCUACUACUGUGGGUUGGGUUGCCUUCCUUCCGGCCGAUUUUCGCCAUUGUUGUUUCCACCAUUUUUUUUCCCACCUUUGCUUCGUAAGAGGUUUCUUUUUUGCUGUGACUUCUGCUACAGGUUUCACAGCCAUUGCCAUAUUCUUGUCAGAAUGGGUAGCUCGAUUCAUGCACCUUUGUCUGUGAUUCACAGGGGAAGAAUUGGACAUGAAAAGUGAGAACCCAUUGUCGCCAAAGAAGGCUAAAGAUGAGGAAAGUCCUUUGAAGCUGGAAUAGACCUUGUAGGGCUCGAAAAUGAGACAAGAUCUAAUCAGAUUGUGGAUACUGGACCCAUAGAAAGAUGAAAUCCAACCACUUAAGAAAGAAUCAACACCACCAUUGUUGCAUUGUAGCCUUCGUUUGGCCCACCGUCUCAAUCUCUUUGGUGUCUGAAAAUUGACGAUUUUAGAGGGUGGUCUUUCUCGCACGCCACUGACAUGCAAGCUGGAGAGCCUCCUCCUAAUCCGUGCUAUUACGGAUGCUCAUAUCAACCAUGGAUGUAGACUUCUCUGGAUUUUCCACUGCGUGCUCAUUUCACUCAUUCCACCUUUCACUUUUAUCUAACUUCUCCGCCAUUGUGGAGUUCUCCAAGCUCUGCAACUGCUUCGGCUUUUCUUCAACCCUAGAAAGCUCUCCUCAGGCAAAAAGUGGCUUGGCUACCAAUGAUAUGUGCAUGAUCAGAAAGCCCAAUACACUUAAUGCAAAUGCCAAGUUCAAAACAAAAGUAAGAAAAGUGGUUACAAUGGUGCUUGUAGUUCUUUGCCCCAACGCAAUUGACAACCCAUACACAGUGAUGGUCCAUCUUCAAUAUGCAUCUCCCACAAAUAAAGCAAUGAUGGCACCGGGGUGGUUUAAAUUGGUUUCACUUCCGAUAAAGCCGGACUGCUUCACUUGCUGGGUCUGCAACCAUAUUUUCCUGGUCCACACCUAAGCCUACACUAGUAUGUUCUGAACCCUGCAAUAGAUCACCAUCUCCUUUCUCCUCAUCCACCAUGGGCUUCCAAUUCAAUGGAACACCACUCGGAUCUGUGGAAACAACAGAAAAGUAGCUCCAUAGUAGCAUCACCAACAAAGAAUGAAAUAGCAGCAAGAGAGGCCCAGGAUUAUGAAGAUCAUGACAGAGUCGACGCCAUGCAGUGCCAUAUAGAAUUUGAAGACAUUCCAUGCCAUUACAGCUCCAGAUCUCUCUACUCUUCAGCUGGAUACUCUUUUCUAUUUUUGCUCUCAAAGUCUCCUCACCCAGCUCUUUGUUUUUCUCUCAAAACCUCUUCUGUUUCUUGCCCUCAACAUUUUCUAUUUAAUGAUCAGAUCACCAUCAUUUGAAACUCUCCCAUUCCUGCCAUCUCCCUUGCUCUGUUAUUCUAUUUUUUUCGGUACCCACUGCUCUCUAUUUUUCUCCAAACCUUCAUGUUGGAAAACCAUCUCCAAUUUUACUUUUCGAGCUCAGUCUUCUCUCACCCCCUGCUGAAAAACCUUCUCCUAUAAGCUUCCACCAGCUCCACUGCUUACCAUCUAUCCACAUGUCUCUAUCCCAACCACCACCAUGGCAAGGUGGUGGCAUCCUUUACCACACGUCUCAGCAUGCAGCUCACCUGGAAAUUGUCCCCCACUCCAAAUGAAAAAUGCCCAGCUCACUACCCGGGUGCCCCACAAAGGUCACAGGAAAAACCAAAAAAUAAAAUCCAUUAAAAUGUAAUAAAAUAAUGGUAAUAAAUAUAAAUAAAAUAAAAUAAGUCCAUUGGUCCAAAAAGAGGGGUAUAUAUAUAUAUAUAUGGGUCUAUAUAUAUAUUUAAAGUUUUUCCCACAAAUUAUAAACCUUUCUAUGUUGUAGUAGUACGUAUGAUACGUGUUGUAAAAUCUUAAACCCUUUUAUUUAAGGUUAUAUUUGGUUCUUGAAAAAUGAGAAAAAAAUUAAAAAAAAUGUAAAAUAAAAUAAAAUAGAGGAAACACUUUGGAUGAAAGAUUUGAAAUUCAUAAAUUAUUUAUGUAUAUUACUCUAUAUUCAUUUCAUUUAUUUGAACUCAAGAUUAAAUAAUUUGAAAAUAAAUAUAUUUUUAAUUAUAUUUGACUUUUAUAUAUAUAUAUUUUUCAUAUUUAUGAUAAUUUUUUUAAUAUUAUUUUUCUUUUUUUAAGCACUCUCAAGGAACCAAACACAAUUUUGGAGCGGAAAAAAUAUAGAAAAUAGAAAAUGAGGAUCAAAGUUAACCCAUAUUUUAACAUUUUACCAUUGAAUUCUCACAAUCUCAAUAAACCUAAUAUAAAGUUUAUAUACUUUUUCAUUUAUGAGACAAAUAUGAGGACACCAAUUUUGUAGAAAGUAAAAUGCAAAAAAUCUAUAUCUCUUUCUUGAAUGUGGGAUUUUUCAAAUAUUCAAUUGAUAAAAUGGAAUGAUCUUUUAUUGGGUGAAUAGAGGGCUCAUUUUCUUAAAUAAUUUAAAUUUCUUUUUCCAAGGCACAAUUAUUUGAAAACUUUUUUACUUUUCUAACCAACCAAUAAUAUUGAACAUCUUAAAAAUAAUAUUAAAUCAUUUAUUGAUUUAAAUAAUAAAACUAUUAUAAUAAUAAAUUAAGUAACCAUAAAAUUUAUCAAACCAUGAGUAUGAAAAGUAAUGGACUUAGGAUCUUAAAAGAAUGACUCCCUAUAAAAUAGGAAUCUUGAUUUAUAAACUCAUGAACAUAAAAAUACUUUUCUUAACCGUCAAAUUGUUCCCCUAAAUUCAUGACAAAGAUUCUAUGUAGAGACCCUCCGUCUAAGGGCUCAUUAGGAGACAGUGAUCUCAUUAUAGAAUUAAAUAAAAAAUGAAGCCAUUGACUCAAAUGGUGGAACAAGAUCAAGUAAAAUAGAGACAAAGAAAAUGUCGAUAAAGCAUGGUGGUCGUUAAAGCAUGCAUUCAUAAUGAAAUAGAUAAAAAAAAAAUGAAUUACUCGACAUACUUCUAAUCAUGUCCAUCGAAGUAUCCAUCAAAGUAUAGUAAGUCUUUCAACUAACCAUUUUGUUAUGUCGUACCUAACACAAUGUAUUAAGCACAUAUGUUAUAUCUUUUGAUACUAACAAAAGAACCAAGACAUUGUCUUCAUUCAUUCUUCUUUCCAUAAUAUUCUCUACCCCUAUCUAAUCUUAUAAUUUUGAACAUAAUCAUAACAUGAAAAAUCAUUAAUAAAGGAGAUAAAAAACUUUUUCUCCUCCAAAUGAUCAAAGGUUCCACCUAUAUUGGUGUAUAUAAUCCUAACAAGUGGUGUACUCAUUUGUUUGUUUUGUUGGGCUUGUUUUCUUCUAAUAAAAUUAAUUUAUAAUUUGAGAGCAGUACAAUUUAAGUUGAGAAGAAUUUCAUUCUUACUAAUAAUCUCUUUAAUCUUUUUAUGACAAUAUGGCCAUUUCUAUUGCACCUAUCGACCCACAUUUUUUAGGUGCAUCCUCACUAAAAGACAAACCCCUUUUGUUUUGGAAUAAAUUAGUUUUUGGAGUUAUUGCUUACUUUUAUUUAUUUUUUAAGAGAAAACAAAAUAAGAAAGGACUUGUAAAAAUGAAUAAAAAAAAAUCUAGGAACUAAGAAUGAGUUAAAAGGUUAAGCAACUUAAUGAGAAACUGUUAGGCACCAUGUUGAGCCUCAUGAUACAUUGGUUUUUACUAAGUAGAGGAAAUUUUGAUAUUUUACUAAUUAGUUAACAUAUACAAUACUAAUAAAAACAAUAAAACAUAUAAUAACAUGACAUGCUGAUGCCGAUUUACAACACAACUUGUGAAUUGCAUGAAUAUAUUACAUGAAUAAGGCCUAAGAUCUAACCAUAAACUAGGGAUGACAACAAGGCUGGUUUAGGAUGGGAAAUCCCUAUCCUAACCCCAAUCUUGUCUCAUCUAUUUAUAUUUAUUCUUAUCCCUUCCCAAAAUACAAAUUUAAAUGGGACAAGGUGGAUAUAGAAAAUUCUCAUACUCGUCCCAUCCCGUUUAACCUUUUUAUUUAUUUAUUUCUUAUAAAAUUUUAAAUGGUGUUAAAAAUAAAUAUAAUUUAUAAUUUUAUAAAUAUUAUAAAAAUUUUUAUUUUAUUGUUAUAAAAAAGAAAUAUUUUAUAUAUUUUAAAAAAUUUUUAAAUUUUAAAAAAUUAUUAAAAUAAAUUUUUAUUCAAUAAUAUAUAUAAUUAAGUUAGGGCAAGGUAUGAUAAAGGCAUCCCAAGUUUUUUUUUGAAAAAAAAUUCAAACCCAUCCCAAACUUGUAUACAUAUUUCUUGAACUUAUCCUUUUAGGGGCAAGACAAAACCGGUAUUAUAAAAAUUCAUCCUUUUGUCAUUCCCAUGUCAAAUGAAAAUCAUGAUUUGAAAAGAAUUUUCAAUAUAAAGAGUCUAAAAAAUUCUUUAGGGAAUUAAAAUUAGCAGUUGGAAAGCCAGUGGGGAGCAUGCAAGUGGCAAGAAAGAGAAAGAGCAUGAAAUAUCCUAAAACAAUACCAGACUAUGGUACUAAAAUUUUGAUAUCAUACAAAACCAUACCAAUACCAUGGCAAGGGGAUACAAGUGACGUUAUAUUUGGUAUGAGAUCUGACAUCUGACCAAAUCGAUAUCAACUUCCAUGUCAUAUCUAACAUUAGCACAAAAUUGGAGCCAACCUAAAAUGAUACAAUUGAUAUUGGGCAGUACCAAAUUCGAUGACAAGUAGGAAUUGAUAUCAAAUCUGAUACUGUAAAUGAUGUCGCAGGAAAAUGAAAACCAAUUAAUAAAGAGCCUAAAAAUUCAAUUGGUAUUGGAAUGCACAUCCCUAGAUCUGAAAUCGGAUUUGAAAUAGAUGUCAGAUGCGAAAAACUACAUUUGAUAUCUCAAAGAUAUGCAAUUUCUAGUAGAUGAACAUUCUGAUAUUGGUAUAGGUAUCAAAUCCAAUAUUGACACAAAAGUCAUACCAGGUUCCACUACAAGAAAAAUGGGAAAAAAUGACGAUUUUUACGCCUCAAGAAAGGUAAUAAAUGACACUUCUCUAAAGUAUCAUCUUCUGACUUGACAUUGUAUGUGUUAGCCAACAAUGACGCUUUUAGGAAGUGUCAUAUUUGAUAAAUGCGUUCAAUGACACUUAAAGAAAUGUCAUAUUUGACUAAUGUUAACAAUCACACUCGUAAAAAGUAUCAUCUUUGAACAUUUUCUAUUGAAAUUAUUUUUACAAAAUUAGUAAUAUUGACACUUAUAAGAGCAUCAUCUUUAAUGUAUUUUAUCAAUGACAUGUUUAGAAGUGUCAUAUUUGAACAUUUCAUAUUAAAAAUAAUAUAUAUAUAUAUAUAUAUAUAUCCUAUUAUUAAAAUGUGAUUUUUUUUUAUAGAAUUAAAUAACAAUAAAAAUGUAGCCCUAAAAUUAAAUUGAAUUUUGCUAAGAAAAAUAUCUUCAAAUAUUGAUAUACAAUAACCUAGUUCAAACCAUCAAUGUAACUACUUAUAUAUAAUUAUUACAUAUAAAUUAAUUUAUUAUUUGUUUCAAAAUAUUUCAAUAAUCAUUUCUAAUUCUUUGAACAAAAGAACAAAUAAUAGUGCAAUAACUAUUAAGGUCAAUAUUCUACAAAAAAUAAGUUCAACCUCUAAAUAACUUUAUUAAUGUAAUCUUCAUGGUUUUCAAUAUCACCUCCUUUAACAUAAUAAUUUAUCCUCUUUUAAUAAACCAAUUCCUUUUGCAACCUAUAAACGAAUAUAGGAAGAAUAGAAAAUCUUUAAAUUAUACAUUCAAUAACCAAUAAGUACAAUUGAAAUUAUAACUCACAAAAAUUUGAAGGGGAAAAAACACUAGAACCAAUAUAAAAUAAAAAAUUAAAAAAUUUGAGAAAAAUAACAUGAGUUUGAGAAAAAUAAUUAGAGCUUAUCACUUGAAGAUAAGAUGUCUUUCAUUGAUUGAACAAAGAAACUUUGUAAUAAAAUAGUGUCUCAUUUGUAAAAAUAAAAAAAUAAAAAAAAAAAAAAAAAAAAAACUUCAAGAGUAAUAUAUUUCCAAAUAAAGUAUAGCAUCAAAAAGUUAAAAAUAACGAAUCAUGGUACCUUAGAACAACAAAAGGUUAAAUGAAACAUGAUAUUAACAUUAACUCACCCAAAAUAAGUAUUUUGCAAGAUGAGAAUCUACCUGAGCAAAAUUAGUAAGGACAAAGAAAGAGAAGAUAGCUAGAUUGAGAAUGGUACCUUUUAUUAUACUAUAAAAGAAACAAUGAAUCAACUUCUCACAAGCAUGAUGUUCAAAAAAGAGCAUCUCAAGUUUUGAAUUCAAAAUCUAAAAGAAAAGCAAUUAGUUAUGAACAUGAAGCUAGGUUUGAUCAUACUUAAUAUUAUAACUAUGAAAUUAUUGAGUUUUACUUGUUUUGGGCUUCUUAGAGGUUUAAAUUUGGUCUUUUAAAGGUUUGGAAGUAUUCAAGGAUGAUUUCAUUUACUUUAUUUUAUGUCAUGAAAAAAAAAAAAUAAGUGCAAAAAAUUUUAAACAAUGAAGCCAUAGAUGUAUGGUGUCCAGGAGCAUGGUUGCAUGACUACAUCCAUUGCUUUCAAUCCAUAUAGCUCAGAGUGGGAAAAUAGAGAAGGGUUUCAUAGGAUCCUUAUCUGGGCUUAGAAAUUAAAGCAUUAAUCCCAGAAACUUUUCUAUGACAAUUAUUCAUUGAAUUUUCUUUCUUUUUUAACUUUUAAGGGAUGUGCCUUCAACUGUACAUCUAUCACAACAAUUAUUUUGAACUUUUGGGAAAAAACAAAGAAAGGAGAAGAAGAGUAGCCUAAUGGGGAAUAUAUUUUCACCUAAAUUAAGAUUCACAAAAGCUAAUUGAACAUUUGGUUAAUUAUUCUAUGAAAAAUAAUCAGUUGAAGAAAAUAACUAAGCUACUCACAACAAAUUCAAAGCAAAAAAUGGUAAGAUCAACAACUCUCCUAAGCUAGCUUGCAGCUUCUGCCACUAGCUUAAUAACAAUACUUUGAUCAUUGAGAUCUUGGUUUUCUUUCCUAGUGGGAAAAUACUUCAAGCUGUGGAGAAGAAUCAUAUUUGAAAUCAUUGUACUAAUAAAACCAAUCCAUUUAGGAAAAUAAUAUCAAUCUAAUCAUCACAAAAAUUUAUUGGAAAAGAAGAGAGUUGUUCUUUCUAUUUUUAUUUUUUAUUUUAGUUCUGGCCAUUAAAAAGUAGAUUUUGUUUUUAAUGGGGUUAUUUACUAAGAAAUACAAAACUAUAGAGAAUUUCUACUUACAAUUUUGAGCAUUCCACUUGUGUCAUAGUGAUACCCUUCAAAGUUAAGUCUUCCAUCCAAAUGCUCUUGGUUAUUGGAAUAUGGUUGUAUAUCACAACAUGAUAUUCAUAACAAAAUGAUUGAAUUAAAACGAAAAUUUUCAUAAGAAGCAAUGUCUUUUUGGCCUCAAAAGUUAAAUACAUUGUCAAUAGCCAAGCUUUGAGUCUUCUUUGGGAUGUUGUAGAUACUUAUAGAAGAGAUGCUUUUAAGAGAAUUCUUGUUAAAUAAUUCUUGUCCAAUAAAGGUUCCAAUGAGUCUCCCCUGAAUCUUCCUGUUUUAGACAAGGAGCCAUUACUUCCCAAAGAGGGAUUUGUUGUGCUAGACAACUGAAAAUUAAGCAACUUUAGUUCCUUCUGAUCUACAUAGACUAUAUAAUGCUCUAGACUUCCUACUAGUCUUAGUAGAGCAGUUAUAGUUGGAAAAGAUCUAACUUCAAAGUCACUAACAAUAACAGCAAUAUUAGUUCCAUUGUCAAUGGGAUAUUUUCAAACUUUUCUCUCCACUUUCAUUUUGAUUCAAAACAAGUAUCAUUAGAGUAAAGUUUCAUAUAUAACUAAUACUAAGAUAAGAAUAACAAGUACCCAUGUACAAACCAAUUUAGUAUGAGGAUUUAGGUCAAGGAUAAGGGGUAUUGUUCUUUGGUUGUACUUCAGAACUUUAUUUAUUCAUUAUAAGCUUGGGUGGACUUCCCUUUUGUAAGUAACUCUUAGUCUAUUCACAUUUAACUUCACCUAGGGGAAGAAAACAAGACAAUUUUAAAAUGAUAUUGAGGAAAAUGCAAAUAUUAAAAACUACAACAGGGUACACCUUAAUAAUGACUACAAAAUUCAACAUUUUCUAAAGGAAUGCCAACAACAAUACCAACAUUUAGCUUUCUAAAUCCUCUAAUAUUUAUUUAUAUGACAUCAUAUUAACCAUAAUAAAUUAAAAAAAAUAGAGAAAACAACGUAGUAACAUGCAUUCAUGAUAUAGCUUGAGAAAUAUAUUUGGAUAUCCUUGAUUUCCAAUGAAGUUUAUAUUUCACCUAAAUAUUCCGGAGAAACCAUACCAACAUGCAUCUAGACUUAGGAAAUGAAUGUUAAACACAAUGGUUAAAUCCUUCCUAAUUAAAUUAGUCAAUUAUUGCACAUUAAUAUCAAAUAAUUAAUAUAUCCAAGCUUUAAAUUGCAUUAAAUGGGUUCAUCUCUAUCUCUUGUAUUUCUAUCUCCUUCACAUUUACUCUCUACGCAUCAUAAAAAAUACCAUGUCAUGAUUCCUCUUUCUAUUAUGUCUAAAACAACAUUAUUAUAGAUGUGAUAGAAAAGAAUCACUUCAAGGUAUACCCAAAUAGACCUAUAAGACAUUUAAAAAAGUUUCCUUUCAACCCAUCAACAUAGCAAGAUAAGUCAAUUAAACACAUGGGAGUUGAGAAUUCAACUCCUUAUAGAUUAAUCACUUAAUGGAAAGAGAGUACUUUCUUUUCAUCCUAAGGACCAAGCUCUAAAGUAUAGGUGUUGAGUUGGUCCUCCAAUGAAUCCAAAAUGUCUACAGAGCAAUAAACAAUUCACUUGGGUUUUAUAAUAUUAACUUUAAAAAGACCAUUUUCUCAAUGGCGUUGAUUAAUAGCAAUAAUACUUUCAUUCAUUUAAAAUAUUACCUGAGGAAAUCCAUAUCCCUUUGAUGCCUAGUUGCCUACUGUUAGCUCCUUAGCCUCUUCACCCAACGAUGGAAAAAAGAGCUUCAUGAGAAGGCCUUGCACCCAUGAGAGCCUAGAUAGAGAGCAAGGAUAGCCUGGAGGUUUGGUGAUUCAAACCCCAAGAGAUAAAAUGAGGAGACCAUGUGCACGCUAGAAAGGCACUGCACGCGCACUAGGCAGGCACCGUGCACGCACUAGGCAGGCACCGUGCACGCACUAGGCAGGCACCGUGCACGCACUAGGCCACAACAGCACGCACACUAGGCAUAUGUAGGUUAUGGAGUUGGUACAAAUGGAGGGUGAGAUUUAUUUUGGAAUAUAAUUUAUAAUUAUUUAAAUAUUCCAUUAUCUCUCCUCAAGCAAGUCUGAUGUCUCUUCCAAACAUCUUGAGAAUGGCACAUAUUGCUCUUUAAGGGGGGGUUAGGUGACUCAAGGGGGCACUAAGGCCAAGCCUUGACUGCACCAAGGGGGGCACCAUGGCACAAACCUAGGCGUGCCUAAGACGCAUGGACAACACUCAAGCAUGCACACAUAGGCUCCAUGACAUGCGUAGUGUGCACCCCGUGGCCACAACAGCACGAGGCCUGGUACGACCUACCUUCUCCCCAUGCUAGCACGAGGACGCCUAAGCCUUGUGCAGCGAGCCAAUUGGAGAAGCCAUGGGCGCAAUGCCAUGGUUCGAUAGGCCACUAAGCGUGCAAUUGGCUUAGACCUUUGAUGACUAUGCAUGGCACAGGGACGUAAUGCCUAGUGCACCAGGAAAGAACAACCAUAUGCACAAUGCCAUGGCUUGUUGCUGUGAAGCCUUAACCUGACGGAGAGAGCUAGGCACAUGCCUAGGCCAUGGGCACCUUAACAUGGCACGGGCUCACACAUCAGUGUAGGUGUAAACCCUCUAUUUUGUCCUUCUAACACAUGUCCUAUUAAGUAUUUGUCCGAUACUUUACAACAAUUCCUUGGUGGCCCAUUACUACUAGUGUAACCUAUCUUUUCUAAGCCACCAUGGGGACUUUGGUUAAGGGAUUUAUCUAACCCCAUUGUGACUCUUGGCAGCCCUAAUUUAGACUUAGGCUCACUUAGGCACCCUACGUCCAUUUAGGUACACUUGGCCCAUUAGGCACCACUUUAGGCUCACUUUAGGCCCACUUAGGCACCCUAGGCCCAUUUAGGUAAACUUGGCCCAUUAGGCACCACUUUAGGCCCACUUAGGCACCCAAGGCCCAUUUAAAUACACUUGGUCCAUUAGGCACCACCUUAGGCCCACUUAGGUACCCUAGGCCCAUUUAGGUACACUUGGCCCAUUAGGCACCACUUUAGGCCCACUUAGGCACCCUAGGCUCAUUUAGGUACACUUGGCUCAUUAGGCACCACCCUAGGCCCACUUAGGCACUAGAUACACUUGGCCCAUUAGGCACCACCUUAUGCCCACUGAGGUACCCUAGGCCCAUUUAGGUACACUUGGUCCAUUAGGCACCACUUUAGGCCCACUUAGGCACCCUAGGCCCAUUUAGACACACCUAACCCAUUAGGCACCACCCUAGGCCCACUUAGGCACCCUAGGCCCAUUAUGCACCAUCCUAGGCCCAAUUAGGCACCCUAGGCCCAUUUAGACACACUUGGCUCAUUAGGCACCACCAUAGGCCCACUUAGGCACCCUAGGCCCAUUUAGACACACCUGGCCCAUUGGGCACCACCCUAAACCCACUUAGGCACCCUAGGCCCAUUUAGACACAUCUGGCCCAUUAAGCACCACCUUAGGCCCACUUAGACACCACCCUAGGCCCAUUUAGGCACCUUAAGCCCGUUUAGAUACACUUGGCCCAUUAGGCACCACCCUAGGCCCAUUUAGACACACCUGGCCCAUUAGGCACCACCUUAGGCCCACUUAGCCACUCUAGGCCCAUUUAGGCACACUUGGCCAUUUAGGCCCCACCUUAGGCACCCUAGGCCCAUUUAGGCACACUUGGCCCAUUAGGCACCACUUUAGGCCCACUUAGGCACCCUAGGCCCAUUCAGAUCAUUUUUUGCAUGGAUGCAUUGUUUUCAUGGUUUGCCUGGUUGCAUGGCUCGUAUGGUUUGCAUGUGCUUGAUUUUGCUUUUUGUUUUUUUUAUCUUUCUCAAUUUAUUAGUUUUAUUCAUUUAUUUACUUAUUUUUAGAAAAUUGCAUGAGCUUAAUGAUCAUAUUCAUUUUGUUUUUAUUUAUCUAUUUAUUAAUUUAUUUUGGUAGAAAGUUGCUUGAAUUGAUAAUUCAUUUUAGUUUUGCAUGUGAUCUAUAUUUUUAAUUUUGUUUAAAAUUGUAUAUUUUGGAUUUUUAAUUCUUAGUUACACGUUUUUAUUUAUUUAUUAUUCUAACCCUUAGUUUUCUUUUAUUUGUAUUUUAUUUUUUUAUUAUUUGUUUUGGCAUGGGAUUCCACGUGCUCCAUAUGGGAAAGGAGAGGGAGCAGGCAUGGGAAAGGAAGGGAACACCAUUAGAGAAAGGAAAAUUGGGAUAGCUGGCUGGUGAUUGGAAUGAGAGAGAUGGAGAAGAAAAGGGAAGGUGUGGUUUGAAAAAAGUGAAAGGAAAUGGAGCAUGCAUGGGAAAGGAAUGGACCAUUUUAGAAAAGAAAAUUGGGACAGUCGGCUGGUGAUUGGGGAGAGAGGAAGAGAGAAAAGAAAAACUCACCAGAAAAUGAAGAUGGAACAUGAGUGAGUUGGAUUGAAAGAAAAGGAAAAACACACCAUUAAGGAAAAGAUUGGUAGCCACACGUAAGGAAUGUUGAAAAGAAAACGAUUAGAAAAGGAAAAGAUGUAGUUGCACCGGAAAAAGAAAAAAAACUCCAGAGGUGAGAAAACACUAAGCAGGAAAGGAAAAAGAGAACCAUUGAGAAGCAAGAGGAACAACCGCACUCUUAAGAGAUUUUUCCAGAACAGACUCACCAAGUGAAGAAAAUAGAAAUGUACAAGAACCGGUCACAUGAUUCUCCAAGGCUGCCACUUCGUCUUCAAAAUAAGGGAGGAGUUUAUGAGUUGGUGCAUGUGGUCGGUUUAUCAAUUGGACAACCCGAUUUUAUUAAACAAAGUCCAAUUCCAAGGGUUGGUGUCAUUGUAGUCUUUUGCAUCCUGAGUGAUCAUUGGAUUCAUAUUAUUGAUAUCCAUGUUGGGUUGAAUGAAGAUGGCUUGAUAUUGGAAUGAGAGAUUUUUGUGGUAUUGGUUGUUAAUUAUGGGUUCCAUGUCAGGAAUCAUUCAACGUCCUCUUAUUGCCGCCACCGUGGUUACUGUAGCUUCUAUCUCCUCUUAUCUAUCUGAAAAAUUGCAGCCUCUAAAGUCAUGUUCUACCUUGAAACCGAUUUGUGAUAGUUCGGCAUAAGAAUCAAAGUCAUCAUGAAUGUCUUACAUAUCUCUCUCUAAGUUGUCAAAUUUCUCAUUUGUUUCAAUAUCUAGAUGAAAGAGAGGAUGAGAAAGAAAUAAGACAGAGAGAGUUGACUUGCCAUUCAGAUCGUAAUGAUUCAAGAAUUCCAAUCAUUUGAGAAUAUAGAGGCCUUAAAAAUGUCGGAAACUAUAGAAGAGUCUAAACUAGACUCCAGAAUAGCAAGACCUCUAUAAGCUGUGGAACUUUACCUUUAUCCACAUGACAGUCCAUACAUGUUUCAAGAGAGAAGUGAAUAUUGCUCAGAACCAUUUUCAUCGAUCGCUUGAAGAAUUGUGGUGAUUUUUUUGUUGGUCCAGUUUUUAGGUCCAUUUUGAUUGAGGAGGUUGAAUGGUGCGUUUUUAUGUUGGUGUCACAUCAAACUCGGAUUCAUUAUAGCAAAGAGAAGCUACCGCCGGAGAGAGUGUCGAUCUUCAAAAGUGAUGGUGGCGCCGACAUAUGUGAGGCCAUGCAGCUGAUUAAAGGUCCAUCAUGCUACCCAUUGAAGCAUUUUUUUUUCUCCAUGCUCAAUCAGGCCCUCCAUGCACAACACACUCUAAAACAACUUGAAUAGAGGCUAGCAUUCACAUGCAUAGGAAAAAGGGAGAUUUUUCAAUCUCCACAAAGCACCACAGUCGCCAUCUGAGACAACAAGGCAACCAUGACGCAACCAUAUGGGAGGAUGCAGCAACCACUUUCGCAUUUUUUCUAUGUAUCUCUAGAAACUCCUUUGUACAGACCACACACGCCCCAAUGAAGGAGAUUCAACAGAUUUUAAGAGGGGGAAUGUGCCGUUUGUGAUAAAUUUACCUUCACCAUUUGUCCGAGUAUACAUGCUGCCAAUCUCCACAAAAUGGAUGGUAAUCUCUAUGGUUCUUCAAAUGACACGUGCUCCCUAUUCCCAAUUCCCUUUUGGCUGCAUAUACCUGACUUCUUCUUAGUGGAACCAUCAUCCUCUUUGUUGUUUAGGAUAGGGGAUACUUCAUGGGACCCACUAAAAUUCCUCUUCAAUUCUUUGAUAACAUCAAAAUUCCAGUUGCCCAUUGUGAGUUUAGUGUUGAUUUUGUAAAUCUGAAUUUUAUACCUUGUGGGGAACAUUUUCCUAAUGCAGCAACAUUGCCAUUUUGGGAGGAUAAUUCUAGUGGUGCAAAAAUUUUCAGAAACCUUUUUUUCCUUGCUGCCAGUUUUCAUUCAACCACUGACCCUUUAGUGUUAAAUUCAUUACACCAACUUUAGAAUAUUUUUAAAAAAAAUUUCCAAAACUUUCAUGAUUUUCCUCACUUCUUGAACUUGAAUUUAAAGUUUUUUUUUUAGUUAGAAAUCCAUUCUGGAAUAGAAGAUAUAAAUGAGUCUUUAGGAGGGUUCCAUUUUCACCCAGUUUUGGACACCCGAGAUUUUUUUACAAAAAUAAAAUACUAGAAAACUUUUUAAAUUUGAUUCAAUAUUUUUUCUCAAUUAAAGGCUUCUUUAAAUUUAUCUUAGAGACAUAAAAUAUUUAAAAAAAUUGCAUUUUUGAGGGAAAUAUGACUUUUCAAAGUCGUACCUAUUGUGCAUGUUGGAUUCUGGACAUCUGAUUAGUUUGAGUGUUUUAAAAAAUUUUUGAGUACUAUCCAACCCUGGAUUUAUUUUUUAUAUGAUAUAGACACUUUGAAAUAUGUGUGUGAUUUUUUUAUGAUUUUAUAUGAUCAUUUAUUAUUUUUAAAGAAUUCAUUUAUGCAUGUCACUUUUUUGUUAUCUAAUCUGGACUUUGUAGAACCUUUAGGUGUCUUUGCUGCAAUCUGUCCUUUGAAUGAGUGUUUGGAUUUCGGUAUGUUGAUGUAGAUGUGUAGGAUUUGUUUCUUGAAAUUUUUCAUAAUUAAAUUCCACUCUAAACCAUUUUAUUAGAAAUUGUUUUUUGAUGUUUCCUUUUCUAACUGCAUGCAGAUGGUUUUAUACUUUACUCGAAAUUGUUAUUAUUUUUGGAGUCAUUUGAUUUAUCUUAGCUCAAUUUUUGCUUUGGUACUGUAUAUUAGACAUAAUAAAGAUGUUAUAUAAUAUAUACUUGUCCUAACCAUUGUAGCCUCUUUUGAGGAAUCUUAUAAAUUAUGCAUGUUACCCAAGUACGCCCUCUAUCACCCACUUUCUAAAUUAUGUGAAUAUGCUUGUCACUAUGAACUAUGUCUAUGUUUGAUAGUACUUGGGUGUCUUGAUAUUUGUUUCAUUGUUCAAUUAUUUUUUAUAAAGCACAUGCUGGGUGAUAUGUUAUUUGAACUAACCAUUGAUGUCUUGUGAUAGUGCUUAAGAUGCAACUCAAGUACGCACCAUUUGACUCUCUUUUAUAAUCAUGAUUUGACUUUCUUGCUUAAUAUGUUAAUUCUGAAAUCACCUUAGUCUACUUAGGUACCCUCAAUCAAUUAAUUAAUUGCCACAUUCCCCUCAACUUAGUCAGUAGAGACCUUUGUAAGGCUUAGAAGGGUGCUACCUCCUAGAGGUACCUUCUCAAUAAGUAACCUGAUCCUCGGACCUAGACUUGGGUUUUCAAAUACAUACUUUUCCAAAAACUAUGGAGUCAUUUUUUAGGGUUUUAUUUCUUGUUUUAUUUUUCCUUUAAAAUAAAAUAAAAUAAGUGGUGACUCCGACUUUUCCAAAUAAAAAGUGAGUCUUGUCGAUCGAGUGGGGGUGCAUGUGAAAAUACGGGUCCACAGUAGGAAAGACACACUGAUGCAUCAGACACCUAGUCAGCUGGUUGGUGCAUGUUGUUGGUUUAGUAGGCCUUGAUCAGAGACAUCAGCAGCUUGAUGGAAAAAGCUCAAGGGGAUGGCAGCUAGCUAGUGGUAGCUAGUGAUCAGGACAACAUUCAACUACCAGGGGACUGGCAGAUGGUUGUGAUGUUGAUGGUUGAUACGAAGAGACACCUUGGACUGAAGGGGUGUCUCUAGCUGAGUGGUUUAUGCAAGAAGUUCCCUAGCUAGGUGGUUAUGCAAGCAGUUAUGGCGGUUAUGGCAGUUGCAUAACCACCAACAUGCUUCUUGGUUUUGAAAUUCAAAUUGUAAACUGCAGGUUGAGUCAUUUAAAAAGGCCCCUGCAUCUUUGAGACAGAGCAUGAGAUGUUCUUUGAAUGCUUAAGGGGUUUAAGCAUUGUACUCUGACUCAGGCAAAGUGUUGAGACACUUUGGAAAAAAAAAAUUUGUAUCUUGUAGAGUUGAAUAAUACAAGUUGGGAAGGGUGUUCCUGUAAUUGUUGUGGCUUGUUAUAGUGCUUUUACAAGGGUUUGAAAUGAAGGUUGGCUAAGGAAGACUCCUUAGCACCGCACACUCAUUGAAAAAAAAAAGGGCAGAUUCUAAGGGUGUGACAAGUGGUAUUAGAGCCUGCACCAGAGAUGGCUGGUUGUAGUGCAAUGGAAGCCUUGCAAGAGAGGAUUGCUCAGAUGAAAGAAAUGUUGGGGAAAUGGUUUCUUGGAGAUGGCACUGUGGCUUUGUGGGCAGAGCACACUGUGGGGGAAAUCCAAGUGUAGAGGAGUUUGCUAGAGACCCAUGACAAAUUCUUUGAGGAGAAAUUUGCUGGCUUGAAAGUAGAGAUCCAAUCCUUGAUGAAUGACUUCAAGGGCGCCCUGCAGUCUUAUGAGGAAGACAUUGCAGUCCUCGAGAAUGUUGUAUUAUAAGGAUGCUCCUCAGGCCCUGAAGCCCCUCCCAAAGUCUGGGUCCCAAAGCCUUAGAGCUUUAAUGGUAACAGGAACACGAAGAAGUUGGAGAAUUUCUUAUGGGACAUGGAGCAGUUUUUCAGGGUUGUUCAUGUUCCUGAUGGCAAUAAGGUAUCCAUUACUAGUAUGUAUUUGACUGGUGAUGCCAAACUAUUGUGGCGAACAAGGAUGGAGGAUGAUGUAGAGUUUGGAAGGCCCCAAAUCACCACUUGGGAGACUCUAAAGAAUGAAUUGAAAGAUCAAUUCCUCCCCACUAACACUACUUGGAUGGCCAGGGAAUCAUUGAAAAGACUCAGACACACCGGAUUAGUAAGGGACUAUGUUAAGGAAUUCAGUUCCUUGAUGUUGGAUAUAAAGAACAUGUCAAAGGAGGACAAACUUUUCAACUUUAUGUUUAGAUUGCAAGGAUGGGCUUAAACGGAACUUUGGAGGCAAGGGGUUCAUGAUCUCCUUGUUGCCAUGAUUACAACAGAUUGCUUGGUGGAUUACAAGAUGGGUGGCACCAUCUCCACCACGUAGAAACCAAAUUCAGAAGGAGGCAGGAAGGCUAAGGUUGAGGGCAAGACUUCUAAGAAGUCAGGGUGGAAGAAACAGAAUAAGAAGAAUUUGUACAGCAGUCCACCCGGAUGACAGGAUGCUUUAUUUGCAAUUGCCCACACCGAGCCAGGAAUUGCCCCAAAAGAGAAAAACUCUCGACCCUUAUGACUACAGAUGAUAAGGGAGAAUCUAACUCAGAGACCCCUCAUAGAUUCAAUCCAUUGCAACUCCUGAAUGUAAUUCAUGGUGAGACUCCUAUCCAAAAGUCUCUAAUGCAUGUGCAUGCGAUUGUGAAUGGUGUGUAGGUUAAGGCUAUGGUGGACAGUGGUGCCACUCACAAUUUUGUGGCCAAUCGAGAGGUAACUAGGUUGGGAUUGAAAUUGGAAGAGGAUACUAAUCGGAUCAAGGCAGUCAAUAGCAAAGCUCAGAAGAUCCAAGGUGUAGCCAAGAAUGUCCCUAUGCAAGUUGGUGACUGGAAAGGCACGUGUAGCCUACUUUGUGUGCCCUUGGAUGAUUUCGAUUUGCUCCUUGGUGUAGACUUCCUCCUGAAGGCUAAGGUGGCCUUGAUCCCACAUCUUGGUGGAUUGGUGGUUCUGGAAUAAAGACAACCUUAUUUCGUGCAAGCUUUGAGGGCAAAGAAUGGUGGUAAGGGUCAGCCUGAGAUGCUAUCCGCUAUCCAGUUAAAGAAAGGAUUGAAGUGGAGCCAGGAUACUUAUGUUACAACCUUAAUUCAAUGGUCAAAAUUAUGAAGGAGUUCAGAGAUGUGAUGCCUGCAUAACUCCCCGAGGAAUUGCCAUCCCGAUGACCUGUUGACUAUAAGAUUGAAUUGUUGCCUGGACCGAAGCUCUCGACCCAAGCCCCUUACAGUAUGUCUCAUUUAGAACUGUUGGAGCUACGCAAACAAUUGAGGGAAUUGUUGGAUGCAGGCCUGAUCUAGUCCUCAAGGGCUUUAUAUGGUGCACCGGUGCUGUUCCAAAAGAAGCACAAUGGCUCUCUACGUAUGUGUGUGGAUUACAGGGCUUUCAAUAAGGUGACCAUAAAGAACAAAUACUUGAUCCCUUUAGCAGCCAAGCUAUUUGACAAAUUGUCAAAGGCCUCUUAUUUCACCAAGUUGAACCUUAGAUCGGUCUAUUGGCAAGUGUGGAUUGCAACAGGAGAUGAGGGAAAAACCACCUGUGUAACUCAAUAUGGUUCAUACAAGUUUCUGGUAAUGCCCUUUGGGCGAACUAAUGCCCUUGCUACUUUUUCCAAUUUAAUGAAUGAUGUCAUGUUUGAUUACUUGGAUGCAUUUGAGGUAGUACAUCUAGAUGAUAUUGUCGUAUACAACCGACUCUAACAGAACAUGAAAGACAUUUGAGAUUGGUGUUCCAGCGACUGAGGGAGCACAGGAUUUAUGUAAAGCUAGAGAAAUGUGAGUUUGCUCAGAUGGAGAUCACAUUUCUUAGACACAAGAUCAGUGGAGGCUUGAUCAGGAUGGAUGAAGGCAAAGUGUAGACUAUCAAGGGGUGGCCAGUCCCUAGCAAAUUGACAGAGUUGCGGUCCUUCCUUGGCUUGGCCAACUACUAUAGAAGGUUCAUUAAAGGGUAUUCAAAAAUGGUGUCUCCCCUUACUAACCUAUUAAAGAAGGACAAUAAGUGGGAUUGGAGCAUGCAGUGUCAGAUGGCCUUUGAAGGCUUGAAGGAAGCCAUCUCCACUGAGCCUAUGUUACGAUUGCCAAACUUGGACUUACCUUUUGAAGUCCAAACGAAUGUCUCAGAUAGCGCCUUGGGUGGGGUUUUGGUGUAGGAUGUUUGAACAAUGCUGAGCAGAAAUACCCCACUCAUGAGAAGGAGAUGAUAACUGUGGUUCAUUGCUUGUAUCAGUGGAGGCAUUAUUUGUUGGGAAGCAUAUUCACAGUGGUCACUAACAAUGUGGCCAACACCUUCUUCAAAACUCAGAAGAAGUUGAGUCCCAAAUAGGGCCGAUGGUAGGAGUUCUUGGCUGACUUCAAGUUUGAGUGGUUGCAUCGACCAGGAAAGCAUAACACAGUGGCUAAUGCCCUUAGUAGAAAAGAGGUAAUUGCCUACAUCACGACCCUCUCAAAAGUCAUCUCUAACUUCAAUGAAAUAAUUAAGCAAGUUGUAGAGCAAGAUGUUGCAUAUGGCCGGUUGAGACAACAAGUUGAGGAGGGUGUGAUAAGGAGGAAUUGGCUAGAAGGAGACCUCCUUAUGGCAAAAUGAGGAAUAUGGUAUGUUUUUGUAGGUGGCUUGAGAAGAGAAUUGUUGCAGGAAACUCAUGAUGCAAAGUGGGCAGGCCAUCACGAUGAAGAAAGGACUCUGGAAUUGCUAGCUAGAUCUUAUUAUAUGCCAAAGAUGGAGGAGGAUGUGCAGACUUAUGUGAAAUCCUGUCUGGUUUGUCAGAUAGACAAGACUAAGAGAAAGAAGGUUGUAGGGUUGUUGCAGGCCCUUCCCAUUCCAGAAAAACCUUAGGAGAGCAUUUCCAUGGAUUUCAUUAUCGGAUUUUCAAAGGUUCGUGACUUCAAAUCUAUUUUUGUUAUUGUGGAUAGAUUUUCUAAGUACUCUGUGUUUGUACCUGCUCCUGAUCAUGUCCUGCGGAGGAAGCGAUUAGGCUAUUUUUCAGCCAUGUUGUAAAGCACUUUGGGUUGCCUCGAGACAUAGUGAGUGAUUAAGAUGCACGAUUCACAGGCCGAUUUUGGGUGGAGCUGUUCAAACUCUUGGGUUCAAAGUUGAAGUUUUCCAUAGCCAAUCAUCCUCAGACUGAUGGGCAGACAGAGAUGAUCAAUGUCUUACUAGAGGAAUACCUCAGGCACUAUGUGACGGCAACACAAAAGAACUGGGUUGAUUUACUUGACACUGCACAAUUGUUCUACAAUCUGCAAAGGAGUUCAACAACAGGGAUGAGUCCCUUUGAAUUGGUUAUUGGAAUGCAACCAAGGAUGCCUUUGGAGGUGGCCAACCAAAAGACAAGAGGAAAUAGCCCUACAACAUAUAAAUUGGCUCAGUCCCAAUAGGAGAUGUUUGAUGAGGCCCGAGACAGUCUACAAAAGGCAGCCAGACGGAUGAAGAAGUAUGCAGACCGUGAUCAGCGACCCUUGAAAUUUCAAGUUGGGGAUAAGGUCUUCCUAAAAUUGACUCCUCAGGUAUGGAAGAAGAUUAGCAACAAGACAAGGUAGAGGGGUCUAAUUGCUAAAUAUGAUGGACCGUAUAAGGUAAUAAAAUGGGUGGGGCAGGUGGCCUACAUGAUGAAGCUACCUGAGAGACUCAAGCUUCACCCAACUUUUCAUGUCAGCUUUCUAAAGCCAUACCAUGAGGAUCUAGAUGAAGAGAGGGUGCAGACAAAGCGGGUCCUUCCCUUGGUCAUGAAGCAAUUUGAUCAAGAGGUGAAGAAGAUCUUGGAUCACAAGACCAUGGGACAUAGUAGAAAGAACCGUUGAACUGAUUUCUUGGUUCAAUGGAAGGGGACUUCAGAAGCAAAAGCUACAUGGGAAAUGGAUGUUACCUUAUGGCAGUUUGAGGAUGUGGUCCGGGCAUACUAGCAAACUAAGUCAAUGAGGGCGUCGACUUCAGCAGGCGGGAGUGGGUUUAUCAACGCCCUAGCCUUUUGACCCAACGGUGGAAAAAAAAGCCUCAUAGGAAGGCCUUGUACCCAUGAUAGCUUAGAUAGAGAGUAAGGAUAGCCUGGAGGUUUGGUGGUUCAAACCCUAUGAGAUAAAAUGAGGAGAUCAUGUGUUCGCCAGACAGGCACUGCACACACCAGACGGGCACUGCGUGCACACCAAAUGGGCACCACACACACACACCAAACGAGCACCGCACACAUCAAGUAUUCAUCGCGCAUGUACUAGACAGACAUCGCAUGCUCGCCAGACAGGCACCGCACUUGCGCUGCGUGUGCACCAGGCAGACAUCACGCAUGCACUAGGCGUGCACCAAGUAGGCACAAUGAGCUCACUAAGCCACACCAGUUCGCACACCAGGCAUAUGUGGGCUAUGAAAUUGGUCCAGAUGGAGGGUGAGGUUUAUUUUGGAAUAUAAUUUAUAAUUAUUUAAAUAUUCCAUUAUGUCUCCUCAAGCAGGUAUGAUGUCUUCUCCAGACAUCUUGAGAAUGACCUGUAUUACUCUUUAAAAGGGAGAAUGAGGGGUAGGUGACUAAAGGGGGCACCAAGGCCAAGUCUUGACUGCACCAAGGGGGGCACCAUGGCAUGGCCUUGGGUGUGCCUAGGACACAAAUGACACUCAAGCAUGCACACAUGGGCUCCAUGAGAUGUGUGGCAUGCACCCCGUGGCAGCAACGACACGGGGCCCAAUACGACCUACCUCCUCCCCAUCUGGCACGAGAGCGCCUAAGCCUUGUACAACAAGCCAAUUAGAGAAGCUAUGGACACAAUGCCAUGGUUCGAUGGGGUACUAGGCGUUCAGUUGGCUUGGACCCAUGAUGACUAUGCAUGGCACAUGGACGCAAUGCCUUGUGCACCAAGAAGGAACAGCCAUGGGCGUAAUGCUAGUUGCUGUGGAGCCUUGACCUGAUGGAGGGAGCUAGAAACAUGCCCAGACCAUGGGCACCUUGACAUGGCAUGGGCUCACACAUCAGUGUAGGGAAGACACAAUGAUGCACCAGACACCUGGUCAGCUGGUUGGUGCAUGUUGUUGGUUUAGUAGGCCUUGAUCAGAGACAUCAGUAGCUUGAUGAAAAGGCUCGAGGGAAUGGCAGCUAGCUAGUGGUAGCAAGAGAUCAGGACAACAUUCAGUUACCAGGGGACUGGUAGAUGGUUGUGAUGCUGAUGGCUGGUGCGAAGAGACACCUUGGACUAAAUGGGUGUCUCCAACUGGAUGGUUUAUGCAAGUAGUUCCCUAGCUACAUUGCUUUUACAAGGGUUGGAAAGGAAGGUUGGCUAAGGAAGAGUUAUUAGCACUGCACACUCAUUGAAAAAAAAUUAGGCAAAUUCUAAGGGUGUGACACCUACCAUGCUUGGUAGAAAAAUAAGGAAUAAAAUAAAUAAAUGAAUUUAAUUUCAAAUUUACACCAAACCACACCAAAUGACCUUGGCUUUGUUUUUAUCUUGCUAACUUGUUGGAUUGUUUCGAAGAAAAAAUAAUUUUUUCUAAUGAGAAUUAAAAACAAUUAUGCAAUCUAUUUAUAAUUGAUAGAUUCAUUUAUAUUAUUACACCCAUAAUGCUCUUUUUCUUUUUUCCAUUUUUUUCUUUCUUUUCUUCUAUUAUUUCUUCCUCUUUGGAGAAAGAAGAAUUAAUUAAGAAAGGCCUAGUAAAUAAUGUUGCUACAUUUAAUUUCCUUAAGUUUUCAUAAUGUUGCCCAUAAGAUUAGCAGCACAUAUAAGUGAUAAUCAAAAUUGACCUAGUAAAUAAUACUCAUUCCAAGAGUUGAAAGUUCCACUUCCUUAUGUUGCUACAUUUACCUUUGCAUAAUGAUUAAUCAACUAAACAAGAGAUUAAGCAUGUGAAUAAACACAAAGCAAUACAUCAUGUCUUACAAAACCACAUCAACCAAAGAUAGAAAACUAAAACUAAAACUAAACUAAACUAAAAUAAAUAUAUAUAUAUAUAUGGAGAUUCAUUUUCUAAUUCAUACCAAGGAAAAACAUUAAUGAAAUAAUUUUAGUAAAAAAUUUGUUUCCUAUUUUCCAUUUAACUCAGCCAAAGAUAUUUAACAAAGGUUAUUGCAAAUGCUAAUAGAAAAGAAAUAAAGUUUCUUCAUUUAGCUUUAGGAAUCAUACCUCACUACAUCUAAAAGGCAUUUUUUUACUGAAGAAAAAUUUUCAUAUAAAUGUUUUUGGUCAUAACAUCAAAACCAUUAAUGCUCCAUUUAUCUCAAUAAAUAUUUUAUGACAAGUCAAAAUUUAUUCAUGGCCUGUUCUAGAGAGAGGAAUUCAAUCACAUGUAUAUCAAAGCACCCUAAGUCACAUACUCCAAUCUAAAAUUUCCCAAAAAGUUAAUAAAAGCCUAUGGUGCAACUACCAAGAAUAAAUAGUAAUAACAUACACAAAAUAAUAAAAUAUAACUUGUUUGGUGCAAUAUUUAAGCUCAUUCCCAUUAAAUCUAAAGUUAUUUGUGGUGAUGCACCAAAGAGAAACGCUGACCACAAACAGUACAAAUACAUGACUAGAGUAGUGCUAUUUAGGAGCUCUUAAGAUAACUCACUCUAGUGUUGGGCAUAAUACAUUAGUGAGAAUAAAUAAUUUAGUUAAGUAAAUUUAACUGGGCAAUUAGUGAUAUGACAUAGUCCAUCAUGGUAGCAACUCAGCAGGAAUUAGAAAAGCAAAAGAUAAACCCUGCAAAAUAUAGACACCAAACAAAUCUCAGCAUAAAAGAAAAGAAAAUUUCAAAGAUAAAUCUGACAGGUUCACUAUCUUUGAGUCCCACUCUACAACAAUUAUUAAGUUAAAUUUUGAUGCUCUCCCAGUCUUCUUAGUGAGAAUCCACUCAUAUGAGCUGUCCACGAUCAUUGCAUCGAAUUUGAUCAAUGACUUGGUGUUUUCAAAGUCUUUUACCCAUUGAUAUGCUCAUAUGCUCUUCCAGUCUCAAUAAUCUUAAAACCUAUUCUAAAACAACCCAAUAAAAGAAAAAUAUGAAAAGCAUAUUUGAUUCCACAAAAAUGCAGAAACUUGUUCCAAAUAUCCUAAAUUCACGAUCCAGAGAGUCCUAGAAAUUUAAAACAUUUCACUUUUCACUUUAAGAUUUCCAAUUUCCAUGCCUGUACUACCACUUACAUAUUAGAUUCAAGUUGGUCUUGGAAAAAAAAACCACCACAUCUUCUUGUUAUUUCAAAAAAGAUAUCACAACAGGAUCUUAAAAAUAAAAACCCCCAAACAGAUCUGGUUAUACUGACCAACUACACCUCGUUGUUUCACGAUGUGAUGUAUCACCCCGAAAUCGCCUCCCGCCUCUGUUCUAAUUUUGUUGUCGUUUGAAUCUAUGAGAUUCCAAUCCCGACAAGUCAAGGAUAAUUGUAGAUUGGGGUGUGAGCAUGGUAGUCUUCCAAGGGUUAAGGUUUUCAACGAAGAGUGAAGGUUUAUGGUUUUCAACCAGAGUGAAGGCUUAGUGUUCUUUAAGCUCUGAGAGUUUGGGUUUUCUAAGGGAUUUGAUACUCAAAACUGGUAUAAUAUGUAAGAAAAUGGUGAAGACUCAUCUGGGUGAAAAUAUGUCUUCUGGGGUGCAAGGAAUCAUAUGGAGGGACUGAAAAAUAUUAUAUAUUGUGUAGAAAAGAACGUGGCGCUUUUCAGAAGCGCCAAGGAUACCUAAAAAUGUUAGUAUACAAUGACACUUAUUUUAAGCGCCAAUGAUUUUAAACUUGUAUAGUUCAAUGAUGCUUGUAGAAGUUAUUAAAAAACAAAAAUUAAAUUUACAAUUAUGUAUGAGUUAAACAUAAAUAUGUUUUUAAUUAUAAAACAAUUUUUUUAUUCUAAUGAAAAAAAAUUACUAUAAGAUAAAAAUAAUUUUAAUAUUCAUUUUUAAUACAAAUCAAAUAAGUACUUUAAUUAUUUUUUUAUCAAUUUCUUGUUUGACCAUAAUUUCUUAUGUUUUUUUUUUUUAGAAAUUAUUUUUAACCUAAAGAACCAAAAAAAGUUUUUUAAUGUUUUAUAAAAAUAAAGAUAUUUGGAAAGUUGUUUUUAUAAAAGGAUUUUAAAAAUAAAAAACAAAAAUACUUAGUUGGAUAUUUAAAAAAAAAAAAUUUGUUUUGAUUUUAUAAAAAUAUUUUAAAUGCAAUUUAUAUAAUACUAAUUAAUUAAAUAUACUUGAAGUCUUAUAAUAAAAUCAUAAAUAGCAAAUUAAUAAAUUUAAAAAAUAAAUAGUUUUAGUGAAACAUAAAUAGCAAUAUUAUAAUAAAAUCAUAAAUUAUAUUUUUAGUAGAAAAUAUACAAUUUUAUUAUAUGUUAGAAAAAUAGGAUAUUUUGUUAUAUUCAUAAAUAUAAGGUAUUAAUGAGUUUAUUGUUGUCGUUUGAAUUUAUGAGAUUCCAUUCCCGACAAGUCUUGUACAAAAAGCAAAAAUUUACCUUGUCUUCUUAAAACUCAUUUCAAAAUUUAAAAUUUUUAAGUGAUCUUUUUUUUUCUUUUUACUUUCAUAACUUUUGAAAAUUUUAAAAAUACUUUCAACUACAUAAGAUAUCUACUCACAUUUUUAUAAGUAAUUUAUGCAUUUUAUGUAUAACUUUCCAUUUUUUCAAAUAAAAAACAGGAAAUGUAUCCAACCAUGCACUUGUAUAUUUAGUGGUCUUUGAUAAGAAGAUCAAAAUAUUGGUUCAUGUUUUUAUAUAUGGAGAUGGAUAAACAAAUAUAAGGGGAUUUAUUGAUGGAGAUAAAAAAAAUUUAAGGUCUGUUUAGUGGUGUUUUUAAAAAAUUUGUUUUCAAAAUAGAGGAAAAAAAAACAAUUUUUGAAAAUUUUUAAUAAACAAGAGUGUUUGGAAAGAUAUUUUUUUAAAAAUAGUUUUUAAACAAAAAGCUUAUUUGGAUGAAAAAAAAAUUGUAUUGUUUUUAAAAAACGACGUCUUACUUUUAUUUUAUAAAUUUCAUUUAUAAUAAUAUGAAAUCAAAUUCAAGUUAAGUCUUAUUAAAAAACAAAAAUUAAAUUUACAAUUAUGUAUGAGUUAAACAUAAAUAAGUUUUUUAAUUAUGAAACAAUUUUUUUAUUCUAAUGAAAAAAAUUACUAUAAGAUAAAAAUAAUUUUAAUAUUCAUUUUUAAUACAAAUCAAAUAAGUACUUUAAUUUUUUUUUUUUAUCAAUUUCUUGUUUGACCAUAAUUUCUUAUGUUUUUUUUUUAGAAAUUAUUUUUAACCUAAAGAACCAAUUUUUUUUUAAAAUAUUUUAUAAAAAUAAAGAUAUAUGGAAAGUUGUUUUUAUAAAAGGAUUUUAAAAAUAAAAAACAAAAGGACUUAUUUGGAUUUUUUUUUUUUUUAAAAAAGAAAUUGUUUUGAUUUUAUAAAAAUAUUUUAAAUUCAAUUUAUAUAAUACUAAUUAAUUAAAUUUACUUGAAGUCUUAUUGAAAAUGAAAAUAAUUUUGUAAUUACAAAUAAAUUAAAAAAAAUAAAUAGUUUUAGUGAAACAUAAAUAGCAAUAUUAUAAUAAAAUCAUAAAUUAUAUUUUUAGUGGAAAAUAUACAAUUUUAUUAUAUGUUAGAAAAAUAGGAGAUUGUUGUAAAACAAGGACAAAUAUAAUGCAAAUCAAAGUAGUAGAGAUAAAAUAUAUCUUACUUUGAUAUAUAAUAUGGAAGAAGGAAUCAAAUAAGAGAAUUGAGAAAGUGAAAGAAAGAGAGAGAGAGAGAGACUGAGAGGAAGAGCUUUCUUUCUUUUCUCGGGAUGCUUUUACAUUGGGGGGGGGGGGGGGGGGGGGGGGAAAAAACCCUUUUAAGGCCUCCAAAAAAAAAACCCCCUUACCCCCCUUUAAAAAGAAUAAAAGGGGGUUUUAAAGGGCCCCAAAGGGGGGCUUUCUUUAUUUUUUUUUUUAAACCCCCCCCCUUGGAGAACCCCCAAUUAAAAAAAAAAUUCCCCUUAAAAACCUNNNNNNNNNNNNNNNNNNNNNNNNNNNNNNNNNNNNNNNNNNNNNNNNNNNNNNNNNNNNNNNNNNNNNNNNNNNNNNNNNNNNNNNNNNNNNNNNNNNNUGGACGUGUACAAUUGGUAAGAUACAUAAGUGCACCAAUAGCACUAAGAUAUGGUACCUUAGGACCAAGUAACUCUUCAUCCUUUUCGCAAGGACGAAAUGGGUCAUUUUUCACAUCAAGUGAUCGGACAACCAUUGGAGAACUUAAAGGAUGCGCUUUAUCCAUAUAAAAACGCUUCAAAACUUUCUUAAUGUAUGUUGAUUGAUGUACUAAAACUCCAUUUGGAAAAUGCUCGAUUUGCAGGCCGAGACAAAAUUUUGUUUUUCCAAGAUCUUUCAUCUCAAAUUCCUUUUUCAAGUAAUUUGUUGUUCUUAUGAGCUCUUCAGGAGUUCCAACAAGAUUUAAGUCAUCAACAUACACUGCAAUAAUUGCAAAUCCGGUUUCUGAUUUCUUAAUGAAAAUGCAUGGGCAUAUAGGGUUAUUCACAUACCCUUCUUUUAGCAAGUAUUCGCUAAGGCGAUUGUACCACAUGCGUCCAGAUUGCUUUAAUCCAUACAAGGAUCGUUGUAACUUGAUUGAGUACAUGCUACGAGGCUUUGUAUUACUUGCAUCAGGCAAUUUAAAUCCUUCGGGGAUUUUCAUGUAUAUAUCAUUAUCCAUGGAUCCGUAUAAAUAUGCUGUAAUAACAUCCAUGAGACGCAUAUCCAGUCCUUCUGAGACUGCCAAACUAAUUAAGAAACGAAAUGUGAUUGCGUCUAUGACGGGAGAAUAUGUUUCCUCGUAGUCAAUACCAGGUCUCUGCGAGAAACCUUGUGCUACUAAUCGCGCUUUAUAUCUUAUGAUCUCAUUAUUCUCAUUGCGCUUUCGUACAAAUACCCAUUUGUACCCAACAGGCUUUACAUCUUCAGGUGUUUGGACUAUAUGUCCAAAAACUUCUCGUUUUGUUAAUGAGUUUAAUUCUGCUUGUAUAGCUUCUUUCCAUUUUGGCCAAUCAUUUCUAUGUCGACAUUCUUCCACAUUUCGUGGUUCGGGAUCUUCAUCAUUUCUUAUGAUAUCAGAGGCCACUUGGAAAGCAAAAAUAUUGUUAAUAACAAUAUUAUUUUGAUCCCAUUUUUCUCCCUUUUGUACAUAACUUACUGAGAUCUCACAAUUUUCAGGUACCUGUGCCUCUUCAGGAGCUUCUCGUUCAAUAUGUGGAUCUUCAGGGGUUUCUUGUUCAAUAUGUGCCUCUUCGGGGGCUUCUUGUUUAAUAUGUACCUCUUCAGGGGCUUUCUGCAUUAUUUGUGCCUCUUCUAGGGCUAUAGAUUUAUCAAUUUUAAACUGAUCAGUCAUUUUGAUGGCCUCUUCUAGAGUGCCAAGUUUUUCUUGGGUUCUCCUCUUCCGGGGAGUUACAUCCUUUGAGCCGACAGGUCUACCACGCUUCAAGCGUAUCUUAGAUUCAUUUGUUAACUGUCCUAUAGGGACAUCAAUCCGUGCUGGAGUAUUUGCAGCCGAGAUAUGUGACUUUGUCACUUUCUUUGUAUCAAUGAAUGCAUCUGGUAAUUGAUUUGCAAGAUUUUGCAAAUGAAUGAUCCUUUGAACUUCUAGUUCACAUUGAUUUGUACGAGGAUCAAGAUGGGUCAUAGUAGAUGUCUUCCAACUAAUUUCUCGUCGUUCUUCAGGAAUCGACUUUUCUCUCCCUAAUGAUGGGAAAACACUCUCAUUAAAAUGACAAUCCGCAAAGCGGGCUAUAAAAACAUCUCCUAUCAAAGGUUCAAGAUAUCUUAUGAUAGAUGGAGAAUCAAAAACCUACAUAAACCCCAAGUCUUCGUUGGGGACCCAUUNNNNNNNNNNNNNNNNNNNNNNNNNNNNNNNNNNNNNNNNNNNNNNNNNNNNNNNNNNNNNNNNNNNNNNNNNNNNNNNNNNNNNNNNNNNNNNNNNNNNGGAGACGUUUGAUGAAGGAUCUGCUAAACCAUUCUGGGUAUGGGUAUGAGCAACAGGAUGCUCAAUAUUUAUCCCUACUGACAUGCAAUAGUCAAUGAAUGUUUGAGAAGUAAAUUCGCCAGCAUUAUCAAGACAUAUUGUCUUAAUUGGAUAAUCUGGAAAUUGUGCUCGUAAUCUGAUUAUUUGUGCAAGGAGUCUAGCAAAGGCUACGUUACGUGUAGAAAGGAGACAAACAUGUGACCACCUAGUAGAAGCAUCUAUUAAGAUCAUAAAAUAACGGAAUGGUCCACAUGGUGGAUGGAUAGGCCCACAUAUGUCCCCAUGUAUUCUUUCUAAAAAGAUUGGUGACUCAGAUAUGACUUUAGUAAAAGAUGGUCUGAUUAUCAAUUUACCUUGUGAGCAAGCAGCACAUGAGUAUUCAUUGGGCGAAAGAAUCUUCUGGUUCUUUAGUGGAUGCCCAUGUGAGUGUUCGAUUAUUCGACGCAUCAUUGAAGACCCUGGGUGACCUAGCCUAUCAUGCCAAAGGACAAAAACUUUUGGGUCGUUGAACUUCUGGUUCACGACAACAUAUGAUUCAAUAGGCUUUAUAGUUGUAUGAUACAACCCAGAGGAAAAAGCUGGGAGUUUUUCCAUUAUAAGCUUCUGGCCAGAUAUAAUGGAAGUAAUAUAAAGAUAUUCUACAUUAUCUUCAUUCAUAGUUUCAAUAUGAUAUCCAUUUCUGCGGAUAUCUUUAAAACUGAGCAAAUUUCUUCUGGAUUUGCUAGAAUAUAACGCAUCAUUUAUAUGGAAUCUAGUUCCAUUUGGCAAUGUUAUGUUUGCUCUUCUAGAGCCUUCAACUAAGUUUGUAGUACCAGAUAUGGUACUUACAUUAGCUUUUAUUAAUGUCAAUUCGAGGAAAUAUCUUUUAUCUCGAAGAAUUGUGUGCGUGGUCGCACAGUCUGUGAGACAUACAUCAUCCUCAUUCAUCUUGAGACCAAAUAACACAUGGAUUUCAGAUAUAACAAAAAAACAAGGCAUAAUGUAAAUAACAAAGUAAAUCAGAUGUAAAUAUAAGACAUAAUAAUAUAUUAUUUUAUAUAUAGAGUAACAUCAAUCAAUGUUAAUUUUUUCAUCAUUUAUCAAAUGGUCUGGUUUUUCAUUGGGACCUCCAAAGAAAUCAAUGUCAUAGUAGGUUAGGUCCAAUCCAUCACCAUCGGUAAAGUUCAUCUCUAUCUCUUUUCCUUUAGCUUUUAUUGAUGCUUGGUAAAGGUCGACCAAAUGUUUGGGCGUACGACAGGUACGCGACCAAUGCCCCUUCAUACCACAUCUAUAACAAUUAUUCUCAUGGUUCUUAGGAGGUUUAUCUUGUAAACGCUUCCCAUUUUCUUGUAUUGUCUCAGUAUUGUUCCACUUCUGGUGGUGCAAUGAGGCUUUCAUUUUCUGAGAAUUAUUACUAUAAGAACCAUGGUAUCGAGGAUUUCUUCCAUGACCACGACCACGACCACGUCCUCGUCCUCGUCCACGUCCACGAGUUUGGGACGAUAUUACAUUCACUUCAGGGAAUGGUUCAGAUCCAGUUGGACGAGACUGAUGAUUUCUCAUCAAAAGCUCAUUAUUUUGUUCAGCAACAAGAAGACAUGAUAUUAAUUUAGAAUAUUUUGUAAAUCUACGCUCUCGAUAUUGCUGCUGCAGGAGCACAUUCGAGGCAUGAAACGUAGUAAAAGUUUUCUCUAACAUGUCUUCCUCUGUGAUUUUUUCUCCACACAGCUUUAAUUGAGAGCUAAUUUUGAAAAGUGCAGAGUUGUAUUCACUAACAGUUUUAAAAUCUUGCAACCUUAGGUGCAUCCAAUCAUAUCGGGCUUUUGGGAGAAUCACAGUUUUCUGGUGGUCAUAUCUUUCCUUCAAAUUACUCCAUAGAGUAAAAGGGUCCUUUACCGUAAGAUACUCAUUUUUUAAACCUUCAUGGAGGUGAUGGCGAAGGAAAAUCAAUGCUUUUGCGCGAUCCUGCAGGGAUGCUUGAUUUCCUUGUUUGAUCGUAGCUCCAAGGUUCAUUGCAUCAAGAUGUAAUUCAGCAUCAAGGAUCCAAGAUAGAUAGUUCUUUCCCGAAAUGUCAAGUGCCACAAAUUCGAGUUUUGUGAUAUUCGACAUUGUCAAAUAACUUCAGAGCAAUUCGUGCUGAUAACGUGUUGUAAAACAAGGACAAAUAUAAUGCAAAUCAAAGUAGUAGAGAUAAAAUAUAUCUUACUUUGAUAUAUAAUAUGGAAGAAGGAAUCAAAUAAGAUAAUUGAGAAAGUGAAAGAAAGAGAGAGAGAGAGAGAAUGAGAGGAAGAGCUUUCUUUCUUUUCUCGGGAUGCUUUUACAUGGGGGGGUAAGAAGCCUUUUAUAGGCUUCAUAAUAUGAACUCCCAUUACUCAUCUUAAAGAUGAGUAAAUGGAGUUCAUAAUGGCCAUCAAUGUGGUCAUUCAUUACUUUUCAUUUACAACAGAGAUUUUAUUAUAUUCAUAAAUUUAAGGUAUUAAUGAGUUUAUUAUUUCAGUUUAAAAUUAUUUUUUAAAAAAUAAUAGACUUAUUAACAAAUCCAACCUAUUAAAUCUUAUUUAAUUUGAAGUUAAUUUGCUUAGCAAAAAAAAAAAAAUAAUAAUGAUUUUAUGUAGAAAAUAAAUAAUAGAGUGUGUGUUUUUCUAUUGUUUUUAAAAAUUGGUGAAAAUAACUUUUACUUAUUCAAAUUGUUCUCUAUUUCACAUUAUUUUUAAAAAUUGAAAAUAGUCAAACAAUGUUAUGAAUUUUUAAAAACUUUGUUAAAAGCUCUGAAAUACUCAAAUGAGUAGAUUUAAAUAAGAAAAAAAAACAAAAUGAAUAUAAGAAACAAAUCAUAGGACAUAGAAAAGAGUAAUUAUAGGAAAAGUGUAUGACUAUGACUCUCGAUAUGAAGAAUGUAUGACAUGUGUUUAACUUAAAAAAAAAAAAAAUACUAUGGUAAAAGAGAUGACAUGGUAUUGGAGUAGGCAAUGCAAAAGCUGGCUUGCAUAAAAUAGUUGUUCGUGAGCAAUGUAUUUGUACUUGUGAAAAAAAAAAUAUUUGAAUGAUUAGUUCUAUAAAAUUAAAUAAAAAUAAAUAGAUAUAGACAAAUAAAUUGGGAAGUAAUAAAUACACACAUCAAGUUUGUUUUCUUUGUAUUGAUUGAAAGUUAGGAACGAUUAUUCAAUUUCUUAUUUAUUACGAGUUUUGAAAACCAUUCACAAAAAGUAGUGUUGAUAGCAUUUCUUAUUUAUUUUGAGUAACAAGAUUCUAUUUGAAAACACAAAUAUGAAAAAUAUUUUUUUUCUUAUUAUCUAUGACGAUUUUCUAUAUUGCAAAAGUUCUCAAAAUAUUCUUGAUAUUUUCAAUUAUUACUUAGAGUAUUCUAUAAAUAAAUAAAUAAAUAAAAUUUGUUCUACAAAAAAUGAUAUGCUUUCACAAGAAAUUCUCAAAAACCUAUAUUUCAUAAAAAAAUCUGUCCAAUGUGCUUUACAAAUUAAAAUUUACUUUUCUAUUUUAAAGAAUAAAAACUAUUUUUAAGAAUAAUUUUUAAAAUGCCUAAAAAUAAAGUGAAGCAUAACACUACAUGAAAGUGAAGAAUUAAAAUGACGAAGAACAAGUUAUGAUUUUCAUGAAAAUAAAUUUUUUAUUUAUCUCAUUAUUUCUAAUAACUAAUCUAAACACACAAGUUAAUAAAAAGCUAAGUAAAUUUCUCAUUCUUGUUUUCUUAUUAUUUUAUUUGUGAUGCCUCACUAACAUAAAAGAACGCUUUUGAUAAGCAACAAUAAUUUAUGACUGAAGAAAAUAAAAAUAAGUAGCAUUAAUCUUUUGCCAAAGAAAAUAAUAUAAUAAAGGAACUUUUGACAUUGGUUCACAUUUUGCUUUAACUUACCCCUUUAGCCUCAUAUAUUUUUUUAUUUAGUAAUCUUGUGCUAUUAAGUAACCUACAUAGAACCCUUAUAAAAUAAUACUCUUGCAACCAAAAGGAAAAUUUAUUAUGUUAUUGGGGUUAUUAAUUUAUCGAUAAAUAAAUAAUUUGUUAAUUCAUCAAUAAUUGAAUAUUUAUUAAUUUAUAAAAAGUAUUAUGUUUCUAUUGUUCCGUUCUUGUACAUGCAUGACUUAUAAAUCUAAAAAUAAUAGAUGUGCUAAAAAGUUAAUACAUGGAAGCCUAAAAGACUUUAAAAAGUAAAAGAUGAUUAUAAUUAUAAAAAAAUAUAAAGACUCUUAAAAAGAAGAGAUAUGGUGUGUCAAAACUUAAUGUCCUAAAAGAUAAAGAGGUUCAAAUAUGUAAUGAUAAGAGUGACUUGAGAAAAUAGAAAUUAUAAAAAGUUUAUCAAUACUAUAUUAUGCAAUUCUAUUUGCUAUAUUAUGAAUUUUAUUUGCUCAUUCAUUAUAUUCCUUGGGCCCCUAUGAAUUUCUAAAAAUAUUAUUAUCUUAUGCAUUUAGCAAGGUUAUUAAUUAGCAUAUUGGCCCAAAUUAAGAUAGAAAAUUUUUAUUAUUUAAACAAUGUUAUUAAUUUAUCAAAUAUUUAUUUAUCGAGAUUUUACUAUAAUUAAUGUUAUAAUUAUUAUAAAUAUUUUUUUAAUGAAACCAAUAUUUGGUAAGUAGGGUAUGUUGGAUUAUACAUUACUUUUUAUAAUUAAAAAUUUAAAUCAAAUUUGAAAAUCAUAUGUGCUACAAAAAAAAAUUCCUAAUUUCUAUUUAAAAAAAAUUGGAAAUUUAUUAGGGGAAAAAAAUCCCUUUUGAGGAUUUUUCUUUUUGCUUUUCAUGUUCAAUAUCAAAGAAAAAAAAAUGUCAUUUCAUGCACUGUAAUAGUAAUUUUGAAAGACUUAAAAAAAUUACCCUCAACACCUCCAUUUGGAUCACCAACUUAGAAAUUCCAUGUGAGCAAGCUCCAAGUCAGCUCUCCACCUAAGCUGAUGAUAUGACUCAUGUAUAUGUCAUCAUCCAACAAAGAAAAUCCACAUAGAUUAGAUUAAAAGGAAAAAAAAAAUCAAAAAUUGGAUUUUGAGAUUUACCCCUAAACAAGUCAUCUUCUUUCUCUUUAGGAAAGCAAACCCUAGCUCCAAAAACUCAUUUUCUUUCUCUUUCAUUCAUAGCCACAAACCAUCAACCUGUCACAACCCCAAAUAACCCAUAAAAAAUUUGCUAUCUCCUCAUUCUGAUACAACCCAUCAACCUCAAACAAACUUCCAAACAUCAUCCCUUAUUUUCUUUCUCCUCCCUCAUCGGAAGAUGAUCUCCACAUUCCCCCACUAAACAUUAGCCCCAAACAACCAUCCAAAUAUCAACCCAAAUAACUAACUCCACGAAGAACCCCUUUUCUUCUUCGCCCUUCACCAUUGACAAAGUGAUUUCUCCCCUUCCUUUGCUUCCCCUUUGUACUUUUCCUUUCUAGAGAAAAAGAAACAAAUAAAGAGAGAGUGAAUAAAGCAUAUAAAUAUUAUAGUUGCAUUUCAACUUCGAAGUUAAGGUUUUUCUAGGCGAUAUAUAUAUAUAUAUAUAUAUUUUAUCAUUUUUUUUUGUUUUUUGUUUUUUAUUCUUUGAGAUUUGAAAAGUGUCAAUUAUGUGAUUUUGUGCAUUUUGGUGAAUCAAACUUGAUUAAAUUGCAUAUCUCUACAUUUUGAACUUUAAUCAAUAAUUUAAUUAUCUUUUUUUAAAUUGUAAUUAAUUUAAGGUUUAAUUUAUUUGUAAUGAAUUAUAGUUUUAAUUUUCAAUAAUUAUGGCAAAAUGAGAUGUUGGUGACCUUUAUUGAUUUUGUUUUCUUUUCUUAAUUGUUGUGUUUGUGAUCUAUAUGGUUGGGAGAAUAAGGAAAAGGGAAGAAAAAUCUUGCAUGUGCAUCUUCCUUAAUUAUCAAAUGGAUAACUUAUUUAACCUCAAAUUGUAUUGGUAAAAUUCUCAACAAAAUUUAUGUACAUUAUGUAAGAAAAUUGCUUCUCAAGAAGCUUUAAUCAUCAACCAUGAGCAUACCAAAUAAAACAAAAACCAAAUGUACCUUUUUGCUCACAAUAAUUCAACUUAACUCUAUAUUUGGCCUUUACUAAGCAACAAUUCUCAAAACUCAACUUCUUCAAUCCUUCUAGUAAUCGUCCAAUAAGAAUAUCCAACAACAACUUCAAGCCUUUGUGAAAUUUGCAAAUUUUUGUUAGUGUUGAAAACAACUAAACAAUCACACCAAAAACAAGAAAGCAAACAAAAAGAAACAAACCUAAUCUAAUAUGUACAUGAAACCAAACCUUUUAAAAUGACUUUUCAAAUUUGAUACACAACUACACAAACUCAAAGAAACACAAAAAUCAAAAUCAAGCAAACACUUAUCUAGCAUACCUACUACACACAUGGGAUAAAGUAAACUCUGAGGCCUCUUUACCCCAUAGAUGAAAACAAUCACUUGCUAACCUACACCUACACUUCAAAGAUAAUUACAAAAUGAAAUAGUCCAUCAGUAAUCAUGCAGUAUUGUAUUAACAAUCAAAAUUUUACUAGCGAUAUUUUGGACAAUAAAUCCAUAUUUUUAUUAAAAUUAAAAGUUAUCACACUAUCGAAAAAGCCAUCAAAAUAAGAAAAACCAAAAAAAUGAAAAUGAAACCUAUAUGUGAAAACCUAUUAAAAUUGGAUUUCAUCAAUUCCAUCGGAUGUGUGCUUUGUGGUUUGUUAACAAUUUCAAGCAUAGUGAAUUUUCCUUGUUAAUUUUAAUUUCACCCUCUAAUUUGACUCAAACGAAGUCUCAUCUAUAUGCUUCAUGGAAACUUGAUUAUUAUCAUCUCUUUAAUAUAAGAGUAACUCAUGUCCCUUGAGCUUAUGCAUUCUUUCUUUAAAACAUUCUUGGUUUAGUUCAAGUUCAUCAAUGUUUUCUAGAUUUAGCUCACUCAUUAAUGUUUUUUUGAAUUUAGCUCGAGGAUAUCAAUUGAAAGGUUUUGUUACUUCAUGGUAUUUGUGUUUGAUUGCCUCAAAAAAACAAAUAUAUAUAUAUAUAUAUGUUGAAGAGCCUACUCUUUGAAAACAUGUUAUUUUUUUAGGAAUUGCUUUUAUAUAACAAUGAGUCGUUUUUAGGAAAUGUUAGUGUGGACCCGCAUUUUCUCCACAAAUGUGAAUUGAUGCAUCCCCAUUUGGUUGUGACAUUUUAAACUUUAUGGAAAAAUGAUUAUUUUAUUUUUCUUUUAGGAAUUGCUUUUAUAAAAGGUUUGACAACUUUAUACUAAAGAUUGGUUUCAAAAGGAGCAGUUAUGAUGGUUGUUUCUAUUUCAAGAAGUUACAAGGAAGUCUAAUGAUGUUUCUUCUAAUAUAUGUCGAUGAUAUGUUAUUGGCUUGCAAAUAUAAGUCACAAAUUCAAGAGGUGAAGAGGAUUCUAAAGUCAAAAUUUGAUAUGAUGGAUCUUGGGAAGGCAAAAAGAAUACUCAGCAUGGAAAUUAUAAGAAACAGAUAGGAUCGUACUUUAUUCUUGUCACAAAAGGGCUACUUAGAAAAGGUUUUGAAGAGGUUUUCCAUAGAGAAUUCAAAACCUGUAAGUAUACCAUUUGCAGGACAUUUCAUAUUGUCAAUGACACAAUGUCCUCAAUCUGAAGUUGAAAGGAAAGAGAUGAAUUUUGUUCCAUAUGCUAAUGCUAUAGGGUCACUCAUGUAUGCAAUGGUGUGCUCACGACUAGAUAUUGCUCAUUCAGUAAGUGUUUUGAGCAAGUUUAUGGCUAACCCAGGUAGAAAGCAUUGGAAUGGAGUUAAAUGGUUGUUAAGAUAUGUAAGAGGAUCUCUUGGUAUCACAAGUUAUGUGGAUUCAAAUUAUGCAAGGGAUCUUGAUAAGAGAAGGUCAACUACAAGUUAUAUUUUUAUCUUAUUUGGAGGACUUGUUAGUUGUAAGUCACAACUACAAUCGAUAGUGGCACUUUCAACAACUGAAGUUGAAUAUAUAGCAACUAGUGAAGCCAUGAAAGAAGCUCUUUAGUUGCAAGGACUUGUUAAGGACCCUGGAGUGUUGAAUAGUGUAGUGGAAAUAUUUUCAAACAGUCAGAGUGCAAUUCAAUUGUGUGAAAAUCUUGUGUUUCAUGAAAGGACCAAACAUGUCGAUGUUAGAUAUCACUCAUUAGAGAAAUUGUAAGCUCAGGAGCAGUGAAGCUAAAGAAGAUUUCCAUAGCUAAUAAUCUAGUUGACAUGGAAACUAAAGUUCUACCAGUAAGCAAAUUUAGGUAUUGCCUGGAUUUAGUCCAAGUAAUGUGCAACUAAUGUUUAAGUCAAAUCUUCAUCCCAAGAAUUGAAAUUCAAUUUUUUGAACUAAGGUGGAGAAUGUGGAAUUUGGUGGUCCAAAAAUUGUUUGGCCACGUAAGCAAAAUUAGUUGAUUAACUAACUGAAAGCAUAUCUGUUUGCUUAGCCUUUUCCAUGUACUUGUAUAAAAGUGUGAAAUAUAAAAAAAGAUGUGUGAGUUUUCUGAAUGACAGAACAGAAGUGAGAGGAUUUCAAAGUGAGAGGAUUUCAAAGUGUGAGUCUUCGUCAUUGUACUGUAGAGAGAGCUUGAAAGAUUCUUGAGGGUGUAAAAUGGUUCAAUCUUAGUGGAUUUUUGGAGGUGAUCUUAAUCCGUGGAUGUAGGAUUCAAAUCUUAGAUCCGAACCAAAUAAAUCCUACUUGUUUUGUUCUGUUUUUUCUGAUUUUUGGUAUUGUUUUUCUUUGUUUUCUUAAAUUGGUGUUCAAUCUCAAUUUAUUGAGGAACUUGGAUAAAACCUCAACAUUCCCUAAAAAAUGUUGUCACCUUCACUGAUCUCAUGACAUGUAAUCACCAUUUCAAUUUGAACUCAUUUCCAAACUUUCCAAAUCAAUUUUGUAAGCUAACAUAUGCUUUUUCUUGAGGUCUCAAAUUUUAAAAUUUUCCAUUUAUGACAUUUAAUUCAAAUUAGCAAUACCACUAUUCUUCACUCAACUCCCUGGUUUCAAAAGUUCAAAGUAAGAAUCAAUAAUAAAAUCAAUAAUAAUAAAUUAAGAAUGAAGACAAAAUAAAUAAAUAUAAUUAAAAUAAAAACAAAACAUAAUAAAGAUGCAAAAAAUAAAAUAAAAGAACAAAUAAAAAUAAAAAUAAAAGUAGAGAAUAUAAAAUUAUAUAGAAUAAUAAUAAUAAUAAUCAUGGGGAUGGAGACGGGUUCAAAGUAGAGAAUAGACUAAUUCAACUGGUUUAAUCGUUGACCGGAGCCUAAUUGGGUCCAGGUAGCCUAGUUGGGUUGGAAUGCCACUGAACUGCUCUUGAAUCGAAUGGACCAGCGAUCAAGCCGCUGACCUGGCCGCCGAUUCGGACUUGAUCUCUUUCUUUCAUAGAUAUUUUUUAUGCCCAAAAUGGGCUCAAAUAUGUGUUAUAUCUUGGGCCCAAGCCCGUUAUGUUUGUAUCAAGGGUAAUAGGCAAAGUAUUCCUCAUCUGCUUAUACAGUUGUUUUAUUCCUUAUUUGCUUCCAUGUGGGAUUGCUGCAACGUGGGCUGAGUAAAACCCAUAAAAUACGGAUGCAACCUGGGCUGAGAAAAAUCCAUAAAAUAUGGAUGCAACUUGGGGUUUUGAACUGACCUUGGGUUCAAAACGCAUGGGCAGCACCACUUUGCUGAAUAUGCUAUGCAUGUAAAGAGACACAAGAAUUAUAUAAUAAAAUUCUUCUUAAAAAUUUUAUAAUAUAGUAAAAAUGUAAAUAAUAUAAAUAAAAUAAUGUAAUAUGUAUAGAGGAAAUUAAGUAAUUUUCAAUAAAUAUCUUUAUAUUUAAAUAUUUUCUAUAUAUAUAUAUAUAUUAUUUAAUAAAAUGUUAAAAUAUUAAUACAUCUAUAUUUUACUUCAAUAAUAUUAAAGAUGAAAAAACUAAAUAUUAUUAAUUUUAAAUUUUUUAUAUGUCUAAAAAAUUUAUAUUAUAUUUUUAAUUUUAAUGAUAUAUAACAUAAAUAUUUAUGAUAUCACUGGUUCGAUAAUGAUUCAAUCAUAAGUCCAACCAAUGAACCAGUAACUUUUUCGAUUUAAUGAUCGAUCCGAUUUUAAAAACAUUGUAAGGGAUAGAUCCCUACCAAGACCCACAUUGAUGGGUCUUUUUGUUAUCUCUAUUAGAAAGACUUCCUUAUGUUUGGAAGUACAUUCGAAAAUCAUAUUUAAAAAUUUAAAGAAUCACUUUUGAAUAAUAACUUCAUAGAUGAUUGAAUCUUCCAAAAAUCUAUUUUUUGUUAAUAUUAGUUUAUAUCAAAACACUAAGUGGUUCUUCAUAAAAAUGUUUCUAAUGGAGCAAUACUAAUGAAAGAUUCAUAGACUAAUAGUUUACUUGAGAGUGAUUUUAAGAAAAGUUAGUCAUAAAUACUUUCUUGCAAAAAUUAAGCAUUUAAAAAAAUUUUGAAAAUCAUUUGAAGUGAUUCCUAAAUAAUUAUUUGGUAGAUGAUUCUUCAAAAAAUAGCUUUUUUGUUAUAUAAUAUUUUAUCAAAAAAUGAUUAAAGCACUUCUUUUUGGUUUGUAUUCAAAUAAUAAGUGACUUUUCUUAAAAGCAUUUAUGAUAAAAGUGAUACUAAUUAAAGUGAAUAUGCACUUGGAAACUAUUGUUGUGGUAUUAGAGAAGUGUCUUUACUAGGAUAUUUUGGCUACCAUCAAGACCACAACAAAAAUAAACCUUGAUCAAUUGUAAUGAUGUGACUCACAUCCUUUUGUGCACAUAUUGGUCCUUAUUGAAUUAAUUGUAUCUGUAUGGUUAGGAGUCUUACACCAAUGUGUAGGAUCGACUUUAACACUGUUUUUAAUGAUCUACUCCCUCUCAUGUAGGGAUAGUCUACACUAGAUCUAAUAUGUGUUGGAAAAUUUUUUAUAUGGGCUAACAUUAAUUGAAUAAUUUGUAUUUGCAAAAACGGGUUAAUGGAUAGUCUAUUAUAUAAUGAGCCCAAUUAACUAGUGAUUACAUUUUGGAUUGAGUUUUGCAUCUUUUGAGUAGAAGCUCAGUUGAGUGGCAAGUGUAGGUUAUGGGUCUCAUUGAAGCCCAUUAUGGGAGGGCCCAAUGAGAAUCCAAUUUGAGUUAUGAUAAGUCCCCUCUCUAAUCUAGAUAAAAAGGGUUUUUCUGUUUUCCCAUAGAGCCACCAUAGCUGUUAUCAAGAUCAUAGAGAGGAAGACUUGGUUGCAACAAUCAAUCAUGGCUCAAACAGGUAUGUUCUUUAGAGUGAUUUCCUAUUGUUAGUAUCCUUUAAUCAUGUAUGAUUAAUCUAUGUGAUUAUGUAAAUAUUUUACAUGUGGUAUCAGAGCCUGAUUUACAUGAUUUAGGAUUUACAAUUGGAAAUCGAAAAUAAAAUUUUUAGUUUCUUAUUUUAUUUUAUUUUCGAAGCUGAAUCUGUGAUCCAUGAAUGUGUAUGUCUUUUUGUUUUUUAGUUUCUUUUGAUUGUGAAACUUUAGGCCUUUUGUUCCUUUUGUCACAAGCUUCAAAUUGAUAUAUCAUAUGUGCAAUCUUGUUGUUUAAAUUGGGAGUAAUUAAGUUUUUAAAUUUUCGGAAUUUUCUUGUUUAAAGAUUCAAGAAAAAUUUUAUUUGUUCAAAUUAUUGUGUUUUACUCAAAUUAAACUCUUAGAUUUUGUUGUUUACAUAUAUUAUAGUUGAUAUGUAGCAUCAAUUUCGGUUUUUUGGCUCAAUUUGGUGAAAAUUGAAAAUUCGAAAAUAUGGGUAUGAACCCUAGUAAAUUCGUUUUAUAUUUUUUUUAAAAAUUAAGCAAGAUUGAGAAGCUUUUUUUUGUUUAAUUAAUUGUUGUAGAGAGAUUUCUUAAUUGUUAAGGUAAAAAUGCAUAUAAAAUGAGGCCGAAAUAGGUGUUAAAAUAGAGUUUUUCAAUAUUGGCUAUGGAGGUAUGAAAAACCGAAUUUUGUUAAUCAACUAUGGAGAUCUUUAAGUUGUUUUUUUUAUGAUUAAAUGUCCUAGAAUUGUUAGAAACAACCUAAAGUUUAAAACCCCUCAAGAUCCCGAUCAAAAAAACUUUUUUUUGAUUGUUUGUAAUCCGGGUUGCAACCAGGUCAUUUGACCCGUAUUGCAGAAUUUUUGACUCAAUGCUGGAGGUUGAAGAUGACCUCCAGCACAUGUUCCCCACUUACAUAUUAAGUGUGUGAGGCACGUGUAACCUCAUUCGGUGUCCAUUUUGAGCCCCGUUUUUUCCUGUGCGCUCAUUUUUUUGUAAUCUAUUUUUAUGGAUAUAUUAUUUUAUUUUUUGGGGGUCAAAAAUAUUUAUUAAAUGAUUAUUACUUAUUUAUGUGAUUUAAUUAGCUUAAAAUUAUUUUUUGGUAUAAUUGUCUAUUGAGAAUUUACCAGAAAUUAUGCUAAUAUAUAUGGAAUAGGAGUGUAGUACUUGCUCUCUCUAGAUUGAAACCUUUUCAAGCAUACUCUCCCACCUGGUCUAAAUCAUAUAAACUAGUUAAAUAAUUAGUUUAAAGUGCAAUUAAAAAAAAAAAUUGUUGUUCAAAUUCUUGCAACUAUAAUUGAUCAUAUGCAAAUAUAUCGCUAAUAUGCACUACUGUUGUUGGGCAAUAUUUUUUUUUUUAAUUUAUCCAAAUUUGGAACGUUGCAUGUGAAUUGUUCAGGUUAUUUCACCAAAGUGAUUUAACCAUCAAAAUUUGCAAGUUUAUGAGUUCCUAUUUUGUUGAUGGGGAAAAUUUUAGAUUAAUUUGUACAAUUGCCUGCCCAAAGGGGGUUAUUGUGCAAAUUAAUUUAACAACAUGAGGAUAUUGAAUGAGAUAAAUAAUUUGAUAAAUUUAUUUGCCCAAAGGAAAUAAGUUUUAAUGAAUUAUUUGUUGAUCUUCAUGCUUAGAGAAUAGUUGUUUAUUGUAGACUCUGCCCAAAGGGGAGUUUAUAAUAGUACAAUUGAUUCUUGUAUUGUAUUGCUUAUGCUUAUCUAAGUUUUUUUUUUUACCUAUUGCCCAUAAUUGAUCUAGUUGCAGAAUUUUGUCAAUCAGUUUCCUUUGCAAUGAACAACAAUAAUGCUACAAUUGAAAUUCUAAGUGGGUCGAACUAUAAGAGAUGGAGAUCAGACAUAGAGUUUGUUUUAGGAAUGAUGGACUUGGACAUGACUCUACGUGAAGAUGAACCUCCUAAGCCUACUAAUAAAAGCACCGAAGCUAUGAGAGCUCAUUAUGCGAAAUGGGAAAGAUCGAACCGUUUGAGUCUCAUUUCAAUCAAGAGGUCCAUUGUUGAGCAUCUCCUUGGAGGAAUACCUAAGAGCAACAAUGCUAAGGAAUUUCUUGUUAUUGUGGCAAAUAGAUACCAAACAUCUGACAAUGCUGAAGUUGGGCAUUUUAUGGAUGAAUUGAUGAAUAUGAGGUAUGAUGAUAUGAAAGGGGUUCGUGAGUAUAUCCUAAAAAUGGUGCAUCUUCAUACUAGAUUGAAAGCACUAGACAUUCUCAUUCCUGAUAAGUUUAUUGUUCAUCUAGCCCUCAAUAUUUGCCAUCUUCUUUUAGCCAAAUCAAGGUUGCAUACAACACCCUGAAUCAGUCUUGGGGUGUGAAUGACCUGAUCACUAAGUGUGUAGCUGAGGAAGAAAAGCUGAAAAAAGAAAAGAAUGAAUCUGCUCAUCUCGUUGCUCUUGGAAAACCAAAUAAUCAAAAGAGAGUUGAAAAGGCUAGAAAGCCCAACUUCCAUAGUCAUAAGAAAAAUAAGAAUUUCAAGAAGAGUGGGAGUGAAAAGCAGAAGAAUGGAAAUGCCAAGAACACAGACCUUAAAUCACUGCAACAAAAAGGGUCACAAGAGGGUUGAUUGCUUUAACUUUAAGAAUUGGCUAUAGAAGAAAAAGAAGAAACGAGGUAUGUUAUCUCCCUGUGUCUGUUUUGAAUCUAAUUUAGUUAAUGUUCCUUUAGAUUCAUGGUGGCUUGACAGUGGUGCUACUGUUCAUGUUGCAACUUCUUUACAGGGGAUAAGAAAUCUGAGGAAGCCAAGUGAAAAAGAGUCAAAGCUUAAAGUUGGUAGUGACAUCGGGAUUGAUGUUGAGCAUAUUGGGGUUGUUGUUUUAGAAUUAGAUUUUGGUUUUCGGCUUGUUUUGGACAAUGUUUUUUGUGUACCUUCGUUUAGAAGGAAUUUAAUUUCCCUUUCAGUACUUGAUAAAACUGGAUAUAGUUUCACUUUUGCAAAUAAAAGAGUUGAUGUGAUUUAUGACUCUAAAGUGAUUGGCAAUUGUGUUUUAUCUUACGGGCUUUAUAGAUUGUCGUUGUUAUCUACUUGUUCUUACAAUGUUGAAAACAAUGUUGCUAAAAGACCUUUGACUAAGGAAAGAUCUUCAUUGUUAUGGCAUAAGCGUUUGGGGCACAUUUCUAAAGAACGAGUAGAACGCUUAAUUAGUUCUGGGAUUCUUCCCUGCCUUGAUUCUGAUGAUUUAGAGCUUCAUUAGAUGGAUGUCAAGACAGCUUUUCUCAAUGGUGAUUUGAGUGAGGAGGUCUACAUGUCACAACCUAAAGGAUUUAAGGAAAAUAGAAAAGAGAACAUGGUAUGCAAAUUGAAAAGGUCAAUUUAUGGUCUCAAGCAAGCUUCUCGCCAGUGGUACUUGAAAUUUGACAAAAUUAUGACGUCUUUUGGUUUUAUAGAGAACAAGUUUGACCAGUGCGUUUACAUGAAGGUUAAUGGGAGCAAAUACAUUUUCAUGGUCUCUAUAUCGAUGACAUUCUACUUACUAGUAGCGAUGUGAAUCUCUUGAAUGAUAUCAAGCGUAUUUUGUCUGCUAAUUUUAACAUAAAGGAUCUUGGAGAAGCAUCUUUUGUGUUGGGUAUUGAGAUUUAUCGUGAUAGAUCUCGAAACCUCCUUGGGCUAUCUCAGAGAGCCUAUAUCAAUCGUGUGGUUAAAAGAUUCAAUAUGCAGGCGUGCAAAGCUGGUGAUGUACUUGUUGUGAAGGGAGAUAAACUCAAUAAUGAACAAUGUCCAAAGAAUGAUUUGGAAAAGGAUGCCAUGAAGACUAUUCCUUAUGAUAAUGCCAUUGGUAGCCUGAUGUAUGCACAAGUAUGUACGAGACCUGAUAUCGCCUUCAUUAUUAAUGUUCUUGGUAGAUAUUUAUUGAACCCUGGACAUGAUCAUUGGGUUGUUGCAAAGAAAGUCAUGAGAUAUCUACAAAGACUGAAGGAUUUUAUGCUUGUGUAUAGGAGGAUGGAUAAUCUCGAGGUAGUUGGAUACUUAGAUUCUGAUUUUGGUGGUUGUUCUGAUGAUCGCAAAUCUACUUCAGGAUACAUUUUUAUGUUAGCUGGUGGAGCCAUUUCAUGGAAAAGUGUCAAAUAGAACCUAAUUGCAUCCUCGACCAUGUAUGUUGACUUUGUAGCUUGUUAUGGUGCAUCAUCUCAAGCUGUUUAGCUAAGAAAUUUGAUUUCAAAGUUGCAGGUUGUUGAUUCCAUCUUUCGACCCAUUGUGAUUUAUUGUGACAAUAAUGCAGUUGUAUUCUACUCUGAGAGCAAUAAGAUUAGUACGGGUUCUAAGCAUAUGGAAAUCAAGUACCUUAUAGUCAAGGACUUAGGGAAGAAAGAAGAUAUUGUGAUUGAGCCCAUAAGAACUGAGUCCAUGCUAGUUGAUCCUCUAACCAAAGGUUUAAAGCCUAUAACGUUCAAGGAACAUGUUAUGAAUAUGGGUGUCAUUAAGUCUUUUGAUUCUUUGGUUUGGUGGGAGCUUUUGUGAUUUCCCUUAUUUCAAUUAUUGUUUUAUGUAAACAUUGAUCAUUAUUGUUCUACGACUUGCAAAAUUAAAAUAUUUUUAUUAUGAUCAUCAUAAUUAAGUAUUAUAUUAUAGCAUGUCGUAAUUGAAUUACAUACAACAUGGUAUCUUGAGAUAUUGAACCUUAAGAAUUACAGUUGUAUACUAUUGGAUGUCACAAAUACCAUUAUUUUGAGAUCUUGUGGUGCACUGUUGGUGACAUAUGACUUGUUAAAGUCAAGCAAUUUCAUAUUGUUUAGAAAUUGCAUCAAUUUCAUUUUGUUGAGAAAUUGCAAUUACAAUUUCAUUUUGCUGGUAAAUUGUAAUGAGGACUGAUAAGAAACAAUGCAUAUAGAUGAUGAUCACAUGUUGGCAUUGAUUUCUUACUACACUACUGGGUUUACGAUCCAUGUCCAUAUGGUUAUAAAUAUUCGUGACUAUAAGGGGCAUUAUGUUUGUUGAGAUUAACAUAUAGACCAUUAUAGUCCAAUAUUAAGACAAUGUUAGACCAGCUAAGUUUAACAAGAUGCUACUUAUAGACUGUCAUUUCUUUAAAAAAAAAGGUGUGGCCACACAAAAUAAACUUUUUUGUACUUAACCCGAGAGUCUUAUUUUCAAAAUGAAUUUAAUGAAUCCUCAAAAACAAUUAAUGUAGCCCAAGUGGGAGAAUGUUGGAAAAAAUUUUAUAUGGGCUAACAUUAAUUGAAUAAUUUGUAUUUGCAAAAAUGGGUUAAUGGAUAGUCUAUUAUAUAAUGAGCCCAAUUAACUAGUGAUUACAUUUUGGAUUGAGUUUUGCAUCUUUUGAGUAGAAGCUCAGUUGAGUGGCAAGUGUAGGCUAUGGGUCUCAUUGAAGCCCAUUAUGGGAGGGCCCAAUGAGAAUCCAAUUUGAGUUAUGCUAAGUCCCCUCUCUAAUCUAGAUAAAAAGGGUUUUUUUGUUUUCCCAUAGAGCCACCAUAGUUGUUAUCAAGAUCAUAGAGAGGAAGACUUGGUUGCAACAAUCAAUCACGGUUUUUUAUCAUGGCUCAAAUAGGUAUGUUCUUUAUAGUGAUUUCCUAUUAUUAGUGUCCUUUAAUCAUGUAUGAUUAAUCUAUGUGAUUAUGUAAAUAUUUUACAAUAUGGCCUUAUGACUUUAAAAUGUGACAACAUAGUUUAAAGGAUUGAUAUGAGAUAUCAAACCAGUUUAUUCAUGUAUGAGGGGUUGGUGAAAUCUAUCAAAUGAUGGUUUUGAAUACCCUUGUAUUUGGAUCUCAUGUAAGUGUUCAUGGUAUGAUAUAUUACCAUUGAAGAAUUUGGUAAAAGUAACUAGAAUGUAUAAGAAUUUUCUUAGAAAAUGUUUUUGAAUUUUGACAAAUAUACAUGACCCUCAACAAAAAAGUUUGUAUUUAAUAUCAGUUCACAUAAGCAAAAAUAAUACUAAUAAAAUAUAAGGUGCACAAAAUCUUAAAUUCACUCACAUUUUAGAUCAUAGAUAAUUGAAUUGUAGCAACUUAUAGAGUUCAAUCUUUUGAAUAAAACAUACUAAAGAUAUCCAACUUAGAGAUAAAUAACCUUCCAAGUUCGAUUCAAACAAAGGAAACAUCAUUAGUAGGUGCCUCUUUACUAAGGAUGUUAAUCUAUGCAUCUCCUCAAAAGAGAAGUCGAGCAUACCUAAAAUAAAGACAUGAAAAAAAAAAGGCAAUACUCCUAAGAUUUGAGAAUAUAUAUGUAAGAAAAAAUGAAGAAUAAUAACACAAUUGAAGGCAGUGUUUCACUCACAUGGAUUAUAAAAUUUGUCUCCUUCAAAAUCCUCUUCCCCACAAUCUCAAUCAUUAGAAUCCAAUUCCUUAGAAUCUUCCUCUUUAUAGUUCUGGGCAUUCAGCAAACAUAAAGUCUCAUAUUGGGUAGGAAAGAUAAAAACUAGAAUGAUGAAAGUUAAAAUAGAAUUAGGACAUAAAUUCAUUUGGAUAGGAGGGAAAAUCAUAGGAUAAUUAUCCUUGUGUUCUCUAUAAGUGGUAGUUAUUUAUUUAGUGCUAAUUCUUGGUUACAUUUUGGCAACAAUAUUGAUAAAUAUUAUAAACCACCUCAAGUCUUGCCUGGUUCUUCUAUGCAUAAAUGAGACUCUCUAAUUAGAAUCUUGGUGUAGAACUUCAAAUGGAUGUCUACCUUUGACUUUUGACAAAAGGAAAAAUAUUAUCAUAACCUGUAAUAUCUCAUAUUAGAUAAGGGAAAAUAGUCCUAAUAUCUUUAUAAUGGAUUUCUCUUAAAUAAGUGGAUGACUUUGAAAAGUGUGAGAGCUCAUUAGGAACAAAGUGAAUAAUAUCUAUAUGGGAGGGAAUAAAUAGUUACAAAAGGUAUUAGAGUCAAUCCCUAAGCCCGACAUUACAUGACCAUAUAAACUAUUUUUUUUUCUAGAUGCUUUAUGUUUUUUGUCAACAAAAUCAAAGAUGAUAAAAGAAUGAAGAUUUGACAAUUCUUAUAUCACUUUCGUCCCUUUAAUGAUGUCUACACCAUCAAGAAAUUAAUUCUCAGACCCAAAUCCAAAAAAAAAGAAAUUUCCUUUUUUUCUUUUAUUUUAGACUAGAUAAAUUGAUACUAGCUAAAUUAAUUCCCAAUCCAAUACAAGUAUCCUUCACUCUUUAGGUUUCAACAAGACUUCAAUUUUCUUAUCCAAUUAAACAUCACAAUCUACAAACCAAAAAGAAAAGGAGAAUAUUGUCUAUAAUAGGUAAAUAUUUCCCAUCCAAUGUCCCAUAAUAGUCUAAAUCUAUAUUAAAUCCCAAACAAUUUUUAAAAUUCAAGAAUGAUAUACCUUCAAACAUGUGAUAAUAACUUAGGCCUCUCCCUCAAACUCUAACUUGGAAAAUAAAAGUCAAAUAAGAUUUUAUUGAAUUUCCCAGCUUGCUAAAUUAUGGUUCCAUGAGACACCCCCAAUUCUAGAACUAUUUCAACUUGUAAGACAUCUUUUAUCAAUGCUAACACGAUUAUUCAAUGAACUUAAUAAUCAAAUUUCUUGCUUCAAUUAUUCUAAAUAAUCAAGUUAGAUGCAAGAUUAGCUCUUAUGCUAUUCUAAAUUAAUUUUUUAACCACAAUACUAGACUCCUCGCUCUCUACCUUUGGAUUUUAUUACAUAUACACAUGUAUUCGUACAUACAUAUGUAAACUUUCUGACAAGCAUUUUGUAGUUGUUGCACAACUUGGGCCUUCAAAAAAUUUCACCAAAACACAAUCACUUGAACCUUUCAUUUCUUAAAUAAUCAAUAAAUUCAUGUGCAAUUGUUUAAAAAAUAAUAGUAACUCCUAUAUAAAAUGUAAAUUUUUUAAAAGACUUACCUCAAAAGGAUAAUAGUUUAUAAAAAAUUGAGGUAUUAAAAUUUUUUUACUAUCUUAAAUUUUAAAAUUUUAAAGAACAUAUAGUAAGUUCAUACUUUUUGUAUAAGAGUUCUUAUAUUUUAUAUGGAAUGUAUUAUUAUUUCUUCUUAAAAUAAAUAAAUAAAUAAAGUGUAUCUAAAUGAAACCUUAAGUAUCAAAUUUUUUUCUAUAACUAUUCUAACUUGAUGUUCUAACUUCUGGCUUCAACUACAAUGCUAUAUUCUCUUUUUAUAGUUCUGCACCUAAAUUGAUUGGUGUGUGUGUAUAGAUUUAAAUAUUUUGACAUGCACUUUCACUUCUUAAGUCACAAGAGAGCCUCAUGGCUUCUUAAACAUGUUAAGAAAUUAGAAUAUGAAAGAGUAAUGAUGUCACUAAGGUAGCAAACAAUAUCAACACAAAUUGCUUAUAUUAAGAAAUUAAACAUGUCACCUUCCAAACCUAUUUCUUGAAAGAGUAUCUCCACUUUAUCACAAUUGCACACUUUUAAUUCCUUCAAAAGUUGUCAUCUUGAAGCAAACCUUCUCGAAUAAAAUCUUUUGAGUUGGUGUAAGGAUUCGAGUGUAAAAGAGGUUAGUUUAGGGAAUAAGAAUAAAGGUGUCGUUUCAUCUUCAUCUUCAUCUUCAUUGACAACAAUUACCUCUAAUACUUCACAAGAUAAUAUGCAUAGGUCCUCAAGUUGCACAAGGGCUUUUGCCACGGAAAGGGGAAAAACAUUCAAUAUUUUGUUGCAAGAAGCUACAUGCAAGUGCUUUAGUUUGGAAAAGGAAUCUGCUGAAAGUUGGUUGUGCCACAAUGCUCUCACAUUAUCCACAAGGUAGGGAAUGCAGCCUGUGCAAUUGAUGAUCCCUUUUGGUUCUACACGCAUGUAAAUAGAAUAUGAAAAAGCACAAAAAUAAAUUCACAAUUUUAUCUAAAUAUUUUCUAAAUGGGAAACUUUAUUAUUAUGAGGGGUCUAAAACUAUUAGCUUGAGAGGUCUCAUUAUAUAAGACUUUGCUUUUGUUAUUUUCCAUUUAUACGUACGUUCUCCAAUAUAACUUUUAUUGAUUAAAAAUGAGUAGAUAAUGCAAUUUUCUCAUAUUAUUUAACAUUGACAUGUUGGAUUGGUUUUUACUAUGCCCCUCAAUCCAUCUCUAUCUUAUUCUUGAUUUAUACCAAUGCUACUUAAAAAUGGAAAACUUGCUUAUGGCAACAAGCUUGGAACUCAUUAGGAAGGAAAGUUUAUUGUCAUUAAUCGUAUGAAACUAAUAGAAUUCUCAUUAUAUAAUUCUUUGGUUUUAUUAUUUUUUGUUAAGCUAACCAAAUUCAGUUAGGAAGUUAGCUAACCUGUAACUAUGGUCAGUUAGUAACUAAAGUCAGUUGGUAACCAAAGUUAAAUUCCAGAAGUUUUGAUAUAAAAACAAAUGUAAAUCAAUCAGAUGAAAAAAUGAAAGCAAGAACACAUUUCAGUUCCAGAUUUUCCAAUACCCUGUUUUCUCUUCGUUAUACUCUGUUUUUCUGCUACAACCUGUUCUCUUCAUUUUCUCUUCAACAAAACAUUUUUCAUUUAUACAUUCUCCAAUACAAUUUUACUAACUUAAAAUGAGUAGAUAAUGUGACUUUAUUAUAGUAGUAAAUUAUUAAGCAUUUAUAUAUUGGAGUAAUAUGUAUAUGAUUAUUUUAUCUGGUUUUUUCAUAAACUUGGUUACUAUAGCAUAUAUUAAGAGGUAAUAAUAUAUAUAUAUAUGAAAUCCUGGUUAAAAGCAACAUGCAUUUGGAAGUGAAGAUAGAUUGCACAAUCUAAAAACUUGACAUAUCUUUUUUUAUUAAUUAAUUAUUAUUUUAAAAAGGUUUUAUUCAUGUGAUUUGAUGAAUGGACAAAUAAGAUUUGAAAAUAAAAAUAAAUUAAAUAUAUUUAUCAAACACUUUCUAAAAUAUCGAUUUACUAUCACAAAUUAUAAAAUCAAAAUUAUAAAAUUAAAACAUUGGUUUCCAACUGCAAGUUCAUCAUUUUAUUAAUAUCUAUAUUAUGUUUAUCUUCUUCUUCUACAUUUUGUUUGAUGAUUGUUAUUUUUUUGGUAAUAAACAAAGUAUUUCAUAAUUUUAAAACUUUAUAACUCUUAUAAAAAGAUUCAUUCUUUCCAAAAUCGAAUUCUUCUCUAAUAUAUAUAUAUAUUUAUAAUUUUCUUUAAACCAUAUUAAUAUCAAAUUUUCCUUUCACGGAAAUAAAAAGAGCUUAAUAUAGAAAGAAAAUUAACAAAAAUAUUGAUUUUUAAAAUAGUUAGGCAAAAAAUCAUAUAAUAAUUAAAAUUUAUUCAGAAAAUUAAAAUAAAGAUAAUAAAUGUAUGAUAAAUAAGAAAAUUUUAAAAAGGAAGAAAGACAGGUACAAAUACUUUUUACUAAAAUUUUAUAUAAUUUUCUCUUUUAAGUUUACUUUUUAAUUUUACAAAUACUUUUUAAUUUUGGUUUUUAUUUUUUAGAAUUUAUUUAUUUAGUGUAAAAGUAGUAGUAUAAAUAAAUACUAGAAAUGGCAGAAAUGAGAUAUCAAGUAGUAAGAUACCUGUUGAUUGAAAAAUGUCGCCGACUCCGGGAUACCGCUGCUUCUUGUGGUGUAGAAGCUAAUGAGCUUUGGGAGAACCCUCAGUGACAAGGAUUGCAGUUGAGGAAAAGCUGAUUCCCUUCCAUGUUGUGUGGGAAGAGAGAAGACAUAUUUCAAACUCUCACACUGACUCACUCUUACAAUUCUUAAGUUACCAAAAGACCCCAUUCCAUGGCAUACGGCCUCCAAGUUACCGAGGGAAGUAAGAAACAGUUCCUCCAACAUACAGAAUGUAUUACGUGGUGGAACCCAUUCCACUGAAGUGGAAUGAAGGAUGUAUUGCAUGGUAGAUACAGAGAUACUUCACUUGAGGAAAACCAUCCUCGUCUAACUCAUAAACCACAUGUUUAGUAUCAUUCAAUCUCCACAACUGUACAACUUGACUUCUCUUCAACAGUUUGGAGAAGCGGUUCACCACAUGAAGACUUUUAAUCCCAUCCAGCCUCAAAACCUUCUCGAGGCUUUAUACUCAUAAUCAUUUGGCAACCUUGCUAUGGAUUUCUCCUCAUCGUAUGGCCUCCAAGAAUCACAUCAUCUUCGGGAAGCAAACUGGGAUUAGAUACUUCUAACUCCAAAGUCCUCAAGCCGGAUAGGUGUUUCAGCUCAGAAAGGCAAGCAUUAAUUCUUUCUCCGCUAUUAAAUCCUUCUGCCUCCCAUUCAAUAUUAACACUUCCUUUCAUGCUCAAAUACUCUAAUCGAGAUAGACUGAAUAUAAGAUUUUGUGGAAUUACUUUGAGGGAGAAGCAAUACCGCAAAUCCAACACCCUUAGAUCACUCAAUUCCAUCAUUUCUUUUGGCAACUGAUAAAUGUGGAAGCAUGCCAAACAGAGAACUUGUAGUCUCUCCAGGUGUCCAAUUACUGCUAUGUCUUCUAGCACGCAUCUAUUUAGACACAAUGUGCGAAGAUUUAAGAGAAAACCAAGCGAUGAAGGAGAUGGCUUGAGAGAUACUCCAGACAAAUCUAAAACUGUCAGUUCUUUGGUGUCUUGGAAAAAGAUGUCUGGAAUUUUCAAGUAAAAAUCACUUGAAUACAAUAAAAAGAACUUGAGUUUGGGACAUACCAAUCCUUGAGGAAGCUCAUCGAUGUUUUUGCAUUACAAAGAGAUAUGAGUGCAAUUUCUGCAUUCAUUCAUCCACUGCCAUUCUUCUUGUAAUCCAACCGCUUCUUUCACCACAAAUUGAUGAGGAUCUUUGGAUGCAAUUGAUAUGGCAACAUCACGAACAACAUCAUGCAUUCUGACAAACGCGUCAUUGAAAAACAAGCUCGAAAAUCACUCAUUGCCUCUGUCUUCAUCGUCAAGCAAGCUUGAGGCUUUCAGGUUUUCCACCAGUGUAAUUAGUUUAUUUGCUGCUUUCUCCCAUGAAUAGAAUCCUUAAAACAAAUUCAAACCCAUAGCAUAUAGUAGCAAGAAAUCCAUGUAAAUAUCUCCCAACCCCAGAACACCACAAAGUAAAAACAAUGACUUUACUUCAUCACUUUCCAAAUGGUUGUAGCUCAGCUCCAGACAUGAGUAGACGUCUUUACUCACUCCUCUGAUGUUUGUUGGUGCAGACCUUCUCAGUUCUUCCAAGGCAUUCUCCCAUACAUGCACACUCUCACCUCUUAAUGCAUUUGCAAUGGUGACAAUUGCAACUGGUAGACCGUCACAUUUUUUAGCUACAUCAACUGCUAUGGGUGAUUCAUGCCCAAUUGGUGUCUCAGCUGAUUUGUGUUCAGCUGGUGCUCCUUGAUUGAGGAAGUGAUCAACAAAAUUUAUUACCUAUAACACCAUACACUAGGGUAGCAAAGAAAAAGCUACUAUAGUAUAGUGGCUCUAGGGUCGUUCACUGGGAAUGACUAACAAGCAAUCAAUGAUACCAAUUCCAAGUGAAUUGGUCUUGUUUCAUUUCAAGGUUAGCUUAAGAAAUAAAACACAAACUUUGAUUUGUAAAGGUUGAGACUUAAACUAACUAACUUAACAGAAGUUUGGAAUAAUUUAGGAAGAAAAGCAUUCCUUGGAGAUUUAGGUUCACUGGGGUGGUUCCUCAUGCAAAAGACAUAGCUCCGGUCAGUUGGUUCAUUUCCUCGCAUUAGAGAUUCAACUUAUAGUCAAUUCUCUAACCGGUGAUGUACAGAGACUCCUUCAAUUAGAUUUCACUUUAAUUCUCUCACUGAUGCAACUUGCAAUGGUUUAAGCCUCUCACUAAGCCUUAGCCAUUCAAGGUGAUCUUUAACCUUGGAUUACCCGUCAAAAGCUCGCAAGAGAUAACUAAUGGAUGUCUCCUAGGAGUCCAAAAGCUUAUCAAGUGUUGGCUAUUCUAGAAAAUCCUACCCUAAAGUCACCUACCAGAGGCUCGCAAGGGGUAAACUAGUGCAUUUCCAUGGUUGGAAAUCACUUGCCUUACCAAGUGUUGGCCCAGGUGACUCCAAGGUGUUUUAAGUUAACUAAAAACAUAGAAAUCACUAAAGGAUUUCACUUCCUCUUCAUUACUAGCUAAAACCACAGAGCUUUGCAUUCUUGCACUUGGAACCUUCCCUGGCAACCUUAGCUCCAAGGAAUUAGAAGUUUAGUUACUCAUUCUCUGGGGAAAACUCCUCAGAGAAUUCAUAACUUAGAAAUAAAAUGAAAAUACAAAGUGAGAAGGUAAGGCAGUAGAAAGAAAAUAGACUUUACUUGCUUACCCAAACGGUUACAGAAGGAACUCCUCCCUGAGAACAGGCUCCCGAGAGGUAUUUAUAUCAAAACAAUAUAAAACUAAUUUUUACAAAGAUAUUUAAUCUUUUUACUAACUUAAAAACUAAGGAAUCAUGUAAUUGGUGGUUUACAAGGAGUAUUUUGGGAUUUAGACAACAAAAAAUCUAAUGGAAAAUAUCUCCCAAUGUCGGUAGCAAGCUUCGGAAGGCUUCAAGAACCAUUUUGCAGGAGAAAAAUGGUGUCUGCGAAAUUUCGCAGACACCCAAGAGGGCUGCGAAGUUGGCUUCCACCUUGAGGUUCCCAGCUCCCUUCUCGCGGCAUGGUUCGUGUAUCGUCAGAAGGAGAAACACCUUACUGUACAAAAAUGCUGCGAAAUCACUUCGCAACAAAAGGGUGAUUUCGCAACACUUUGCAAAAUGCUUCCUUCAGCUCGGACUGACUGGCUUGUAAUGGCUGCAACUUCUUCGUUUCAACUCCGAAUUGCACACCGUUUGAAGCAUUGGAUUGUUAACUUCCUGAAAUUUGAAAUGGUAUAUAGCAUGCAUCAUUUGGACUUCAGAAAGUGCUCCAAAAGUGGCUGCUACGACUGUCAUCAAGAAUAAGCUACAUGGCAGAUUCUCUUUGCUUUUUCUCCUUGCAAUCCGGAUUCACUCUUGGCAAAUGACUUCUCAACUUUGCCCAAGAUUCCUCAAAGCUCUCCUCAUUCUUGACUUGCUUUGGUGAUCAAUAUACUAUCAAAAACACCAAAACUUAUACAAAGUGAUCAAAAUUGCUUUAAAGGAUCCUUAACAUGCCAAUUGAGUUAAAAGGCCUAAACUACUACUCAAAAGUGUUUAAAAGGAUUAAUUAUAGGCUAUCAAAUAGCACUUUUUGAGUAGUAAUCAAUGGGAUGCAGUUCAGGCUUCUCCACGGAAUCAACUGCUGUCUUCUUGAAUAAAUUCCAGGCUUCAUCUUCACUUAAAUGUUGAAGAUGGAACUCCUUUUGAGUACGCAUAUCUUUAGAUAAAACCUGACGCUCCCGGGAAGUCAGCAGCACUUUGCACCCCUUGUGAUCAUCUCGGUAAGGAAUUCCUAUUUCUCCCAACUCAAGUUUCCCCCAAAUAUAAGUUAAAUGAGUUUGAAGAAGGAUAUACAAAUAAUUUGUUGAUUUUGAAUUUAUUUUUUUAUUUUUCUUCCACUUUUUCUCAUAUUUUUCCUCAAAUUUUCUGGGAACCAAACAUUAGCUUAGGAUUUUGAAACUGGAAAUGGAAAUGAGACAUAAAACAUGUUUUCUGGUGGCAUGUUUUGAAAGCUGUUUGAGAAAACGUUUUGUAAAGAUAAGUCAUUAAAAAAUCUUUAAAAAUGCAAGCACUAUAAUAAUUGAAAAUGAUAAAAUGAUAAAACAACCUUACCUUGACAAACAAACAGAGCAUUCUACUGCCAAUGUUGGCUCGCAAAACAGUGUCAAGAAAGUAAUAUAAUAAUAACAUAUUUAUUUAAAUAGAGAUUGUGUUUAGUGGAACAAUUAAAGGGUAAAUUAUGUUUAGUGGAAUAAUAAAGGGUUUCUGUGGCCUGUAUCUCUCUACCCAUAUCACAAAUUGAAAAAAAAAAUAGAAAAAUUAAGAAAAAUAAAAUUUUUAAUAAAUAUAAGUCUAGAUCAAAUAAAUAAAAGGAAUAGGUAUUAAAGUAGAUUUAGCUUAAACAAAAAAUAAAAAAGAAGAUUCUUAGAAACAAAUUUAGGGAACAAGAGUUUUACAUAAAAUUGGAAUUUAGAAAGUAAUUAAUUAAAUUGAAAUAAAUUAAUAACAAUAAAUAAUAUUAACAUAAAAUUUAUUAAGAAUAUCAAACUAUAAUUUUAGAUAAAUUGUUAAUAUUAGUAAUUGUUUUUUAGGUACAUUAUGCUAAGUUAUGUUUAAGCUCUCAGUAUUUAAAUUUUCAGUUCUUCAAGAUAAAGGGAAAUCAAUACAAAUUUUGUAAAAGAAAAUAUUUUUUUUGUAUAUAUUAUUUUAAAAUUAUAUCAAAUAUUAUUUUGUUUCUUUACAUGGAUCAAAUACAUUUUGCAUGAAAAAUAUGUUAGAUUAUCUUUGACUAUUUAUAACCAAAAAUACAAAUAUUUUGCGAGUUCAAAUAAAAUGAAACAAAUUGUUUAACUUUAGUUUAUUUUACCCUAGUUGACAAAGGGAUUAUUUUAGACCUUUAUAUUCAUUUGUUGGGAAAUAUGAUUGCAUUGAAUAUGGGUUUUAUUUCAUCCACCUUAAAAAGUAAGACUACCUAGUUGUAAAGUCCCAUUUAAUUGGGCAUUGUUUUCUCUUUCUUAGUAAGAGUAAAUACAUUUUAAAAUAAUUUGAUUUUGAUUUAAUAAGAAAUUAUUAUUGACAUAAAUAAUAUUGGUUGAAAAUUUUGAAUAUCUUAACAUGUUUGAACUUCAAGAAGUUUUAUGAAAAUGAUUGUAAAAUCAUGUCUUACUAUUUGUAUUCAUAUUUGAAAAUUUUUCAUCCAUAAAACUAUAUCAAUAUUCUUUAUUCAUUGCUAUAUAAAUUGAGAAUUUUGAAACUAAUUAAUCAAAUUGAAAUUGAUUAAUAAUAAUAAUAAUAAAUAUUAAGAAUAAUAAUAGUAAUACAAAAUAUUAUUAGAAAUGUGAAACUAUCAUUUUAGUAAGAUAACUAAUUGUAGUAGUUGUUUUUAACCUAUGUUAUGCUAUGUAAGGUUUUAGUUUUUCAAGAUUUAAAUUCUUCAAGAAUUUGAAUACUUCUUUAAGGUAAGGAAAAUUAACACACAAUAUUAUAAGAAAUGUCAAAGUAUAAUUUUAGAAAAAUAGCUAAUUAUAAUAGUUGUUUUUUACCCAUGUUAUGGUGGUGAGGUUAAAGUUCUUCAAGAUUUUUUUUUUUUUUUUUUAAGAAUUUGAAUGCUUCUUCUAGGUAAGGAAAUUAAUACAGAUUUUAUGAAAGAAAAUAUAUCAUUUUUGUAUGUUAUUUUGGAAUUAUAUAAAAUGUUUUUUUGCAUGUAUCAAAUACAUUUUGCAUGAAAAUAUGUUAGAUCAUGAUCUUCGGGGUUUUUUUUUUUUUUUUUUUUUUGUAGUAGAAAAAUAUGAAGAUAUUAUAAUUUUUAUAAGUUUGGAUCAAAUGAAACAAAUUGUUUGGCUUUGGUUGAUUGGCCCAAGUUGGUUUAAGAGAAAUUGAAGCUGGGAUUGGGUGAGUAUUCAUUGCAAAUCCAUUACUGAUGAUGAUUAUUUUGAUGAAGCAAAGCAUGAGAUUAGGUGUCUACCUAUUUGCAUGCUGACUAGGCUUAUCCAACUUGUUGCUCUCUAAUUUAUGUUUACUAUCUUUAUUUAGUGAAUUUGAAAAGGUACCUAUCGUGGUGCCAGUAGACCAUUAAGUGGGAGUGAGGAAAUCUUUUGUGCCUUUUUUCUUUUGAAUUAUUAAUCCAAUUUAACUAAUUACCCAAAUUAAUUACUUGUUCAAUGAAGCCAAUCCGUGAAGAACGUAAAAGGAACCAUCCCAAAUAAAUAUAAAAAGUACUAGUACCAGUACUAAGUCCCAUUUGGAUCCACUUCUUAUUUUUAAAAAUAGAAGUCAGUAAUAACUUCUAUAUAAAAAAAUAGAAACUCUUAUACAAAAAAUGUUUAGAUUUAUCUUAUGUCUCUAAAAAUUAUUUUUAAAAGAUUUUAAAAUUUAAGGUAGUAAAAUUUUUUUUGAUACUCUUUAGAAGCUUUUAAGGGGUUAUUAUUGUGCCUCUUUGAGGGGUUUCUUGUUGAACAGGGCUCUUUGGAUUUUCAUAUUUGAUAUUAGCAAUGGCUUUCACUAAUACUAUCAUCCAAUAUCUUCCAUCUUUUUCUAAAAAAAAAGUUAUUUUUGAAAAUUUCCAGUAAUAUGGGGACAAAUUAACAAAGAUUGAUCAUGAUGUAAAUCUGCGACUAAUUGAUGAGUACAACGUCUAUGGAUUGUCAACUCUGAUACUCUUAAAAAAUGGACAGGAAGUUCCAAAAAGAAGAAGGGAAGUUGCAAUUACAAAAGCCAAGCUAAAAGAAUAUGUGGUGGAUGCUCUUUUGAAGUCGAUAUCAGUAGCAUAGUUCACUUCUGGAUUACAAAAAAUUUGCUGCGUAAUUAUCUCCUUUGUAUAUUAAUUCUUAUCCUAUUUCAUUUGUACAAUAUAUAUUUCUAUAAACAAUUGAAAAUUUUGAUCCUGAGAUUAGAUUUGAGGUGUAGGUUAAAUGUAAUUUUUCAUGCCUAGCAAUUUUCUGGUAUCUACUCCCUGAAUAUUUAUAGAAAACUGAUGUUAUUUUGUUUUUUGUGUUGGUGCACUACCAACAAAGAAGUAUUUAGCUAGUCUCCGCGUGACGUAGACAGCGGUUGCACCUGCACAAAAGAAUGUCUGGAUGGGUUUUCCGAACAUACCCCUCUGAAGCUUAAGUAAAAAAUGGAAGACUUGAGCAAGAGAUUUUUUGGAAAAAAAGUGGUAGCAUACCUUUCCUUUGGUGAAUAAUGGCUAUUUAUCCUUGCCCAAAAGUAGCAUCUUCUCAAUGCCUUAAUCGUGCCUUUGAUUGCAUUUUUACCGUCUUUAAUGUUAAUGACUGUCAGCUCAUAACGAUUGUUGUGCCUUGAUGAGUCGAGAAAUACUCUGGCGUUUUAGCUUCAUAACGGUUGCGUUAAUCAAUGCGCUUAAUGUCUGUUGUACCUAAUGCUUAGCAAGCAGGAAUGUAUCGUGCUCGAUUGGUUUGUGUCCAUCUAUACCCAGGGUAGACAAAUAAUGCUAAAUGGCUCUUGUACAGAAUAUGCGUUAUGGAUCAUGCUAGACGAUAGUGAGCGUCCCACAAUGCUCCUUAAUUCUUGCAAUUAGGUUCAACUAGGUUCCAAAUGGUCAGGUGGAAGAAUUUUAUUGCCCAUGCAUUUAAAUUAUUAGUGCCAUGGGACAUGUGUCCAUUGCAUGCGUCGCAAAGGGUCACAUCAUUAGGACAUGUAUCCACACCAUGCACGCCUUGAUGCAUGCACCCAUGCCUUAUAUAAGAGAUUGCUUUUGGGUUUCCUUUUCCAUUUCAUUUUGAGGGUUCAUUUUUCAUGCCUUCUCUGUGAUUUUUCAUUACUGCCUAUGAUUUCGACUUUGUCAUUGGCUUUCAGCAUUGUUGCCAACAACAUUCUUCUUUCAAAUUAGUUCUUUCUAUCUCAUGGUCUUCAUUGUAGUGUAGUAUUAUGUUUCUCUAUUCAUAUUGCUUUUUGAUUGAGUUUUUUUUAUCUUUGAAGACUGCUUUCUCCAUUUCUGCUUUUAAAUGCUCUUGGUUGUUUGUUGUUGUGAGGUUGUGUAUGUAUAGACUAGCUUUUUGGUGUCGGAAUCUUCCUCUAGGCUUCCUAUAGGGAGCUUUUUCUUUGCAAAGUUUGGCUAGUUUUAGAUAACUUGCCCAACAAGUCUCUGUUGGUUUUGGUCCGUAUAGGUUGAGAUGGUAUUUCAUUCUAGGAAAACAACCCGUUUACAAACCUGUUUGAUUAAGGCGUCAUUGUGUUGACCAAUUUGUAUUUUUGCCACAUCGGUUUGUAACAACCCGCACCCAACCAUGUAGAUAUUGUCCGCUUUGGGCCCAAGAGGGCCCUCACGGCUUUAAAACGCGUCUACUUGGUUAAGAGGAGUCUCUACAUAUAUAACGCUAGGAACUUUCUCUCAUAUCCGAUGUGGGACAUCACCAACACUCCCCAUGUAGACACAACGUCCUCGUUGUGUCACAUGGGAUUGCGGGGCCAAACAGACAAACACCCCUUACAGGGCCAAAAAAAUCCCCACACCGGGGUCGGGGAUCGGCUCUAAUACCAUUUGUAAGGAUCCGCACCCAACCGUGUAGAUAUUGUCCACUUUGGGCCCAAGAGGGCCCUCACGGAUUUAAAACGUGUCUACUUGGUUAAGAGGAGUCUCUACAUAUAUAACGCCAGAAACUUUCUCUCAUAUCCGAUGUGGGACAUCACCAACAACCAAACAAACCCCCACACAGGGGUCGGGGAUCGGCUCUAAUACCAUUUGUAACGACCUGCACCCAACCAAGUAGAUAUUGUCCACUUUGGGCUCAAGGGGGCCCUCACGACUUUAAAACGCAUCUACUUGGUUAAGAGGAGCCUCUACAUAUAUAGCGUUAGGAUCUUUCUCCCCUAUCCGAUGUGGGACAUCACAAACACCCCCCAUGCAGACACAACGUCCUCGUUGUGUCCCAUGGGAUUGUAGGGUCAAACAGACAAACACCCCUUAUGGGGCCAAAUAAACCCCCACACCGGGGUCGGGGAUCGGCUUUGAUACCAUUUGUAACGACCCGCACCCAACCAUGUAGAUAUUGUCCACUUUGGGCCCAAGGGGGCCCUCACGACUUUAAAACGCGUCUAUUUGGUUAAGAGGAGCCUUUACAUAUAUAGCGCCAGGAACAUUAUCCCCUAUCUGAUGUGGGACAUCACAAACACCCCUCCAUGCAGACACAACGUCCUCGUUGUGUCCCAUGGGAUUGUAAGGCCAAAUAGACAAACAAACACCCCUUACGGGGCCAAACAAACCCCCACACCGGGUCGGGGAUCGGCUCUAAUACCAUUUGUAAUGACCCGCACCCAACCAUUUAGAUAUUGUCCGCUUUGGGCCCAAGAGGGCCCUCACGGCUUUAAAACGCGUCUACUUGGUUAAGAGGAGUCUCUACAUAUAUAGCGCUAGGAACAUUCUCCCCUCUUGAAACUUUAGCCACAUAACUCAUGAAGUUCAUGGCUUCCUCUGCUAUCUCGUAUUCAAUAUGGCAUGCACAACUAGCAAUUUGUAAAUUAGAAACAGAGAAAACAAAAGAAAACAAAAGAAAAACAAUUCUAAGAAAAAAUUAAGGUAAACUAAAAACUAAAUAAAAAGUAUACUAAAAUAUGAACAAAGAAAAAUAAACAAAUAAAAAGAGUUAGUAAAAGGAAAAGAAAAGUCACCAAACUUGUGAUGAAGAUCACAAGUACUCUAAAAAGGUCAUAUCACUGUAAAGUGGCACCAUCCCCGGCAACGGCGCCAUUUGAUUCAUGCCCAAUUGGUGUCUCAGCUGAUUCGUGUCCAGCUGGUGCUCCUUGAUUGAGGGAGUAAUCAACAAAAUUUAUAACCUAUUACACCAUAUACUAGGGUAGCAAAGAAAAAGCUACUAUAGCAUAGUGGCUCUAGGAUCGUUCAAUGGGAUGGGCUUUCACUUCACAAAUGAUAUUAAUUCAAAGUUGAAUUGGUGUCUUUUCAUUUCAAGGUUAGCUUUAGAAGAAAACAUAAAGAUGUUUGAAAGAAAAAGGUUUGGUUUUAAACUAACCAAAAAUAGUAACUGAUUUUACUUACAAAGAAAAGUGUUUCUUGGAGUUUCAGAUCACUAGGCUUAGAUUCCUCAUACAAAAAGAGAGUUCCGGUCACUUGUUUCUUUUUCCUCGCAUUAGAGAAUUAACAUAUAGUUCCUUCUCCAACCGGUGUUGUACAGAUGCUUCCCAUUAAUGGGUUCAAGCACUAAAUCCCUCUCACUGAUGCAUCUUGCAAUGGCUCAUACCUCUCAUCUAGCACUUGCCAUUCAAGGUGAUCUUUAACCUUGGAUUACCCGUCAAAAGCUCGCAAGAGAUAACUAAUGGAUGUCUCCUUGGAGUCCAAAAGCUUACCAAGUGUUGGCUAUUCUAGAAAAUCCUACCUUCAAGUCACCUCCCAGAAGCUCGCAAGAGAUAAACUAGUGCAUCUCCAUGGACGGAGAUCACUUGCCUUACCAAGUGUUGGCUCAGGUGAAUUGAAGGCGUUUUAAGUUAACUAAAAAGAUAAAAACCAUUAACGGGUCACACUUUCUCUUCAUUAAAAACUAAAACAACAAAACUUCCAAUUUAUGCAUGUGGAAACUUACCCGGUUACCUUAGCUCCAAGAGACGAAGAGCCUAGCCUCUCAUCCUUUGAGGGAAAACCCUCAGAGUUUGAUUGGCUAGAAAGAAAAAUAACGAGAAAACAAAAAUAUAUAGGAAAAACAGAGCAAGUGCUCUGUAGAAUAUAUUUCUUCCUUUCAAAACUGUACAAAGGAUGCGUCUUCCUCCUCCUCCUCUUCCCUCUCGAGAUGAUAUAUAUAAAGAAAAUUACAAAACAAAAUAUCUGAGGUUAUUCACCCUUUUUCCAACUUAAUAACUAAGGAAUCCUAUAAUUGGUGGGUUAUAAGGAGAAAAUGGGGAUUUAGACAUCAAAAAAUCUAAAGCAAAAUAUCCAAAAGUGUCGGUCGCAACUAUCAGGAAGCUUCAGGACCGUUGCACUGUGCAAAAUGGCUGCGAAAUCAUUUCGCAGCAAAAGGAUGAUUUCGCAGCCAUACAAAAUUCUUCCUUCAGCUUGGAGUGAUCAGUUUGCAAUAGUUGUAACUCCUUCAUUUCAACUCCAAAUUGCUUACUGUUUGAAGAAUUGGAUUGUUGACUUCCUGAGCUUCGAAACAACAUAUAGCAUGCAUAAAUUGGACUUCAGGAAGUGGUCCAAAAGUGGCUGACAUGACUGUCAUCAAGAAUGCUUCAUGGCAGAUUUCUCUUUACUUCCCUUCCUUGCAUUCCGGAUUUGCUUAUGGCAAAGGACUUCAAAGCUUCGAUUCUUCAUGUUUCUGAGCUUUCCAUUGCUUUGCCAUGGAUUCCAAAUAACUCACCUCAAUCUCGGAUUGCUUUGGUGAUCAAAAAGCUAUCAAAACACCAAAACUUAACACAAUUUGAUUAGAAGUGCUUGCAAAGGUCCUUAAUAUGUUAAUUGGGUUAAAAGGCAAUAACUACUACUCAAAAGUGUUUAAAAGAGUUAAUUACAAGCUAUCAAAUAGCACUUUUUGAGUAGUAAUCAGCAGACUAUUUCGUCAAAGGAUCAGAGACCCAUCCUCAUAUGGGGGAUUUUGACGUUGUGACUGAUAUAAAGGGAGUGGAUGAGCUUCAACAUCAAUUUCACCAUUUACAAUUAGGAGAUGAGACUUUUGGUACAUCAGUGUUAGUGAUGAUUGUUCAUUCGUUACCAAAUCGAGCCAACUUUUUAUCUUUGUGCUUUCCAGAGGAGACUACUGAUUGUGGAGUAGAUGUUGAGCCUACUGGGGUGACUGAUGGAGUUGUUCCUUGUGAGGAGUAUAGGAUUGAAAUAGAUAUGAUGAGUAUGAAUUAGAUUGCUAAGAUGGUUCAAUUUGAGUUUGCUUCACCGUUCGAUCUGUUCGGGGUGUCUACUAUCGAGGUUGUCGAGGAGAUCCAGACAGUUCUUACUCCAGAGCUUAUGGAGGAUGUUAUAGUUGGUGAUGAUGAGUUUUAAGACACUUUUGGCUUUAUUAAGGGAGCGUCCAACUUUGUGGACCCACCACCUUUAUUUAACAUUUUAUCGGGAUUCAUUUCCCGCUUUGACGAUGUUUAUGAUUCUGUAUCCAUGGAUUUGAAUAUUUUUUAGUAUUUGCCAAUCUCUUGUGAUAGUAUUUAUAUAUCUGCACCCUACUCACUCACUCCACAGAUACUUGAUAUAGAUGAUGAGAUCACACAGCCUGAUUCAAAUAGAGACUCUUCUGAUCAUGACUCAGAUCCCAUAGAUGAAAGAAUUUCACCCGCUAUAGGGGAUGUUGAAAUUAUUGAUUUUGGCAUAGAGGAUUAGCCUAGAGAGCUGAAGAUUGGUUCACCCCUGUCUACAGACGAGAAGGAUAGACUUAUUCAUUUACUCAGGUCAUACUUGGAUAUUUUUGCAUGGUCUUAUGAGAACAUGUCGGGUCUAGAUCCCUCUAUAGUCCAGCACCAUCUGCCUAUCUUGCCACAUGUCAGACCCGUUAAGCAUAAAUUGAGGAGAUUGCACCCACGUUGGAGUCUACAGGUGAAAGAGGAAAUUUAGAAACAACUCAGUGUUGGAUUUAUAUCAGUGGUUGAGUAUCCAGAGUGGUUGGCUAAUGUCGUCUCUGUUCCCAAAAAGGAUGGCAAAGUUAGAGUUUGUGUUAAUUUCAGAGACCUUAAUAAAGCUAGUCCUAAGGAUGAUUUUCCUCUCCCACACAUUGAUCUGUUAGUUGAUAGUACUAUAGGUCAUUCGAUGUUAUCCUUCAUGGAUGGAUUUUUGGGGUAUAAUCAGAUUCUGAUGGCUCUAGAGGAUAUGGAGAAGACAACCUUCAUUACUAAGUGGGGUACUUACGGUUACAGAGUUAUGCCAUUUGGGUUGAGGAAUGUAGAAGCUACUUAUUAGAGAGCCGCUACCACUUUGUUUCAUGACAUGAUGCAUAGGAAUGUGGAAGUUUAUGUGGAUGAUAUGAUUGUGAAAUCCCGAAGUAGAGCAGAUCACCUAGCGGCUCUAGAGAAAUUCUUUUAGAGGAUUCAAAAAUUCAGGUUGAGGCUAAACCCUAAGAAAUGCACCUUUGGAGUGACUUCUAUGAAAUUGUUGGGGCAUAUGGUUAGUGAGCGGGGUCUAGAGGUUGACCCAGAUAAAAUCAGAGCCAUACUCGACAUGCUUGUGCCGAGGACUGAGAAAGAGAUCAAGGGUUUUCUGAGCAAAUUACAGUACAUCAGUUGUUUCAUAGCCAGAUUGACAGACAUAUGAGAACCCAUAUUUCAUCUUUUGAGAAAGAACCAACCAACAGUUUGGAAUGAUGUACUUGGGGUACUUGAUGAUGAUGCACAUGAUCUCAUGUUGCAAGAGCAUGAUUCGCGUACUCCCUUAUGGUCGUUUCCUCACCAAAGUGUUCAAGGAUGUCGGCGUUCACUUAAGUAGAGAGACAGAUUUUGAGGUUCCCAGCACUUAUGACACGUAUGAUGAUCAGUCGAUGGCAAUGAUGAAAUUUGAGAAGGUCUCCGAUGGUUCUUGGGUUAGAAAAGCAGAGAGAGCACCAACACAAGCCUUGGGACAGGGAUGACACAUCUCAGAGUAGAAAAGGAGGCCGAGAUACGAGAGGUGGAGGGAGGAGUAGACAAUCAGAGUGGCUAUUGGUAGAGAGAGCCCGAACUUGACAUUCUUCCACUCUAAUCAGAGGGUAUUCAGUUUGAGGCUACCUUCUCUGAGUCGAUGAUGUUUGAGCCGACUUAUAUAGCAGGACCAUCUACUCAACCGUCAUUCAUUGAUUCUUCCUUUGAACCUAGAUUCAUUGAGAUACCACCUUCUCAGGAACCUCUCACUUUUGACCAUACUCCUUUGAUGGAUCUAUCUGCUCAAAUUAGUUCUCUAGGCAAUCGCAUGGAGGAGCUUGUUGUUGUAAGUGAUACUCAAUUCUAUUCCAUGGAAGAUCAUAGGGAUUAGUAUCAGGCUGGUUUCACUUCACAGUUUGAGCAUCUCCAACAGAGGUUUGAGCGUAUUGAGGAUCGAAUGGAUCAACAUCAGGCUGGCUUCACCUCAUAGUUUGAGCAUCUCCAAUAGAGGAUUGAGUGCAUUGAGGAUCGCUUAGAGAAUUAACAUGAGGAGAUGAUGGCUUACCUACUUUCUUUGUUUCCACCUCCACCUUCUCAACCUUGAUUUCGUAGAGACCCCUUUUGUUCCUUUUUUAUGUUGCCAAAAAGGGGAGAUAUUUAGUCUAUAGAAGACUUACAUGCAUCUCAUUGUCAUAUCAUAUGUUUGGAUCGUACAUAUUGGAUAGUGAUACAUUUGACUUAUAUAUGAUAUGCUUAUAUGUUUCAUGACUUAUAUUGUUUCUUAUUGCAAAUUCAUUUUGUCUAGCAUGCCUUGAUUUUCUUGGUUUUAACUUCGUAAAUUUUGAUUGUUGACCCAUGAUUGGUUUGAGGGGGAGAUUCUUCUUCUCCUAGAUAACCAAGGUUUGUCAUCAUCGAAAAGGGGGAGAUUGUUAGCCCAAGGGUUCUCCUAAUUAGGUUUUGAUGAUAACAAACCAUUGUUAAGUUACUAGUUGAUUUGAUUUACAAAGAAUUUCAGGUGUUAAUUUGAAAAUUCAUCAAAUGACCUAAUGAAUGCAAGAUCAAGACCUUUGAAAGACCUUUAAUCAUAGGAAACAUAUGUAAGAUGAAUGCAUGGGUGCACUUAGGUUUUACAUAUCAUUUCAUGCAUCUUUCAAAAACUCGAUUUAUUCUUUAAAGUUACAGUUUCAUCAAAACCUGAGUUUUAUCAAAUGAACCUUAGUCAAAUCUCUUCAAAAUUGGCAUAUUAAUUUACCUAAAGACCUUGCCUAAGUGUUAGAAGAGAAAAUAACAAAAAAAGAUAGGUUUUCGGGCAAAAAAUGGUGAGCUAGUCGAGGCACUGGCCAACCGGCUCAACCGACUAGGGGUGUCGGUCGAUCGAUUCUCUCUUCCCGAUCGAGGUCUGGUCGAGAUGAGCAAAAAACACUUUCUCUUUUCCAGUAGCCUUUCCUUCCAGGUCGAGGUAUUUGCCUUCUUGGUCGACCUCCAGUUGAGGGUAAUGGUCACCUGCCAAGCAUUAAAUGCUCUAAUGGCUAGUGAAUCGGUUGACCCUCAAUUUCGCCGGUUGAGGCUGCUUUUUGGUUUUCUUGGCUCCUAAGGUUAGAAACUUAUAAAUAGAGAGCUCCACUUCAUUUAUGAGUAAGCGAACACCUGCAUUUAUUUGUCUACCCACUUGUUCUUACCUUAAAAGCUCUCAUUCUUUUCUUGGUGCAUUAAAUCCCCAUUUGCAUAUCAUUUAGUGCACCUUUGUGAUAAUCCUAGCCUUAAGUUGUAUUUGAGUUAUUGUUGAGCUAAGUUGAGAGAUUCAUUCUUGUUAAUUGAGUGUUAAAGCCUUCAAGCGAGUUAAAACUUGAAGAGAUUCUGUAAGAGUCCAUUAGAGUCGGAAUCCAAGUGUAAAAGUGAUUAGAAACUUGGUUGAAGCUUCAAGUUAAUAGAACCCUCGCUUGGUUAGGAGCUUGAGCAGAGUGGACCUAGGCAAGAAAGUGUCGAACCACUAUAAAAUCUGAGUUUGAUUUCUCUAACUCUAUCUCUUUAUAUUUGCUUAUCUUGUGCUUAAAUUUGCUGUGUUUAAAAAGAUUUUUUUUUAAAAAAAACCCAAUUCACCCUUCUCUUGGGUGUUUUUCUCAUUUAAGAUUAGCGUUUAUUUUCUCAUAAAUAUAUGAACUUUUCUAAAAAAAAAAAAAAAAAACCCCAGCUAACUUAAUCAUCAGAGAAGGUGAUCCUAGGGAAAAACCGGGCAAGCCUUGUGUAGUAGGUACAAGGAAGCGCGCAGCAAGAAGAAGACGAUUACUUAAGAAAUUCUCAGCUCCAACAAUAGUUGCAACUUUAAAAAAUAAAAAUAAAAUAAAAAACUAUAUGAAUAUCAUUAAUGAUUUUGAGACAAAUUUUAUUUACUAUUUUUAAAAUUUUUCUUGAAAUCUUAGUAUAUUAAUUAUCAUUAGUACUUAAUAGUAAAUCUUAAUAUAUUAAAUAGUUGCGAUGUUCAUGUGACAUCUAUCAUCAAAUUGGAUUUUUUUUAAGCCCAUUAAGGGUAUUAUUGGUAUUUCUAGUUGAUAAAUUCUUCAAAUGUUCUUCACAUCAAUUAUGCAUACACUUCUAUGCUUUGAAUCCAAAUAUGUAUUUUAUAUGGACCUCUCACCUAUUUGUUAGGAAUGAAAACCCUUAAACAUAAUUGUUUCUAUUUUAAAAAGUAAGGUGAAAAGGAAUGUUUUAAAGAAAAUGGUGGAAAAAAUGCAUCGCACACCUUGGAAAAAAAGAAAAAAAGAGAAAAAAACAAUUGUUGGUCUAAUCAACCAAUUCUUUGAUCCAACGAUUCAAAAUCAGUUUAAAGGUGAAAAUGGUAAAAAUGUGAAUCCAACCAAACGUGCAAUCAAUCAAUAAUUUGACCAAUCUAAUUCGAUUUCAAAAACAUUGUUUUACCUUCUCCAAUAGGGUAAUAAUGACUCACUAUUGAUCACCUAGUUUUUAGGUAAUAGUGAUUCAUCACAAUCCUUGCCUUCCAACUAUCAUUUUAAGGUUGGGUCAAUAUAUACAAAAAGGGUGAUCAAUCACAUCAUAUUACAUGUAUAUUUAGGUUCCAUUUCUUUGUACUAAGUUUGGUUUUAUUGCUUUAUAUCUUGUUCCUAUUUUUUUGCACCUUUGCCUUAUUACUUUGUAAUUAAUCCUAUUUUCUUUUGUGCCUUCAUCCCAUUAUUUCAAUCCUUAAGGUAAAAAAUUUAACAAGUAGAUCUUGAUUGGGUGCCUUAAACUUUUUCAUUAUUUAUUUUCAUCAUUAUAUAUAUUAUUAUAUUGGCAAAUUUAAAAACUUGUUCAUGGUAUUGAAAAAAAAAUAUCAAUUUUUAAAAAUAUUUCUUAAAAUAUGAUAACUAAAAAAUUAUUCUUAAACUUAUGGCAAUCAAGAAGUUAUCUUUUAAGACAAGCCAGUUAGAACAUUAAAGCAUAUGCUACAAGUCUAUUGGCAAAAAGACACACGCCUCUUGAAGUUGAUUGAAUAAAUCAUCAAUACAUGGUAAUGAACAUCGAUUAAGAAUGGUAGCCUUAUUAGAAUCUCAAUAAUCUAUGCAUAACCUCGUAUUACCGUCCCUGUGUACAAAGAGGACAUGGGCUCCCCAUGGUGACACACUUGAUCGUAUGAGUCACAUAUCCAAUAACUCCUAUAAUUGAACCUUCAACUCCCUAAGCUCUGUUGGAGCCAUACGGUAUGGCACCUUGGAUGUUGGUGUAGUUCUUGGCACCAAGUUUAUGGCAAAGUCCAUCUCUCUCGCUGGUGGUAAUCUAGGCAAGUCUGUUAGAAAAGCCUCUAGAAACUCACAUGCCACUGGUAUGUCCUCAAGUCAUGGCUCUAUAGCAUGACUAUCCACAACAUGAGCAAGGAAAUCCCAACAACCCUCACUUAUUAAAUCACUGCUUACAUAGUUGAGAUCAAAUAUGGUGGUGAUAAGACCCUUGAAUGCUUAACUCCAACCUCAAGGGCACCUGGUAAUUUGAAAAAUAAUUCAUAAAGCAUGAUAUGUGGCUAACCAAUCCAUCCUGAGAAUAACAUCAAAGUCUUGCAUAGCCAUGAGUACCAAGUCUACUAGCAACUCCCAGUAACUAAUGGUCUCAACACAUCCUCUAUAUAUUAUGUUUACAAUCACCCCAUCCCAAUUGGAGUAUUUUUAUUUUUAUUUUUAUUUUUUAAUUUUCAAAUGAUAACUUAAAAUAGAAAACACUUAUAGAAAAUUAUAAAACUAAUAAAACGAGAAUAAAAUUAAAUUAUAAAAUUAAUUUUUUUAUUUAAUAAAAUUAAAGAUAUUCAUAUAUCUACAUUUUAUUCACAUUUCACUAACUUUAAAUUUUCUCAUUGUUAUUUAUAUUUUAUUAAUUUUAUGAUAUUAUUCGAUUUUAUGUAAAUGGUGAAUAAUCAUUAUAUAUUAUUAUAAUGGUAAUUAUAAACAGAAGGAAUUUGGUCUUUGGUUAACACCUUUCCCCUUUUAAAUAAAGAGGAGCCCUAAAAUGGGGCUGCCCACUACCCACAUGACAUUUGAAAUAUUAAAGUUUAAAAAAAGCUGUUUGAAAACUCACGCUUUAAAAAAAGUUUGGGUGAUAAUGGUUUUGAUCAAUUGCUUUUGAAAAAAAUUAAAAAGUUGUUUGAAAACCCAUUGAUAUGUGUUUGGAAAAUUAAAAAUCUAUUUGUAAACCUAUCCUUUGGAAAAAGUGGGGUGAAAACCAAUACUUCAAAGAAAAUAAAGUUUCAAAGGCUAUUUGAAAACCAACUUUUUAUGACUAGGUGUACCUUAAAAGAUGUAUAAUUGAUGCUAACUUCAUGAAAAUUUAUGUACAAUAACAUCUUUUACUAUUAGUAUUCACAUAUGUAUUUACACCUUUUUCUUCAUUUUCAUUAUUUACUUUUUAUAUUAGAUUAUUGAAAAUAUUGUUUACACGCAUGCAUAAAUAUCAAAUAUAAUUUUUAUUUUUAUCUUAUAUAUAUAUAUAUAUAUAAACACUUGUAUUCAAUGUACACAACAUUUGUAUUAUUAGUAGAAGACAUGUAUAAGUUUGUAUAUUUAUGUGAUUUUUUCAUUUUCUUUGACUAUUUUUUUUAUAGUAUUGGAAACAUUAUUUUCAUAGAUGCAUGAAUGUCAAAUACAAUUUUUUAAAUUUGUCACACAUGUACAAGUUAGACAUUUAUACUAGUUGUAUAAGGUUUGUACAAAUCUACAUGUUAUGAAUAUGAAAAUAUUAAAAUGUUGUACAUCCUUUUUAUCCGGUUAAUAUGCAAAUAACUUAUAGAUCAUCUCUGAAAGUGAAGCAAAGGAAUUGAUAUAAUGAUCACUAAAAUUGCAAAUAAAAAAUAAAAGUAAUUAAUUAGAAUUUGAUUAUUAUUAUUUAUAAUUUGAAAUAUCCUACUAACCCAUAUUAUCACUUAUAAUUUAAAUUAAAGAUAUAUUUUCUUAAUUUGAACAAUUAAGUAAUACUAAGUCUUAUUGAGAUUAAAUAGUAUGCAAUUUAAUAUAAUUCUAUAGUUUAAUUGUAAAUAUGUUGUUACUUAAUGAAAUUUCAAAACUAAAAAAUUUCAAAAUUUUAAAAUAAAAAAUUAUAAUAAUCGAACCUUAAAUUAAUAAAAAUUAAACUAAGAUACACUACAACAAAUAUGAGGUUUUGUCAUAAAUUAAUUUUUUUAUUAAAAGAGAUUAUUUUGUAGUAAGAGAUUUUUUUUCCACAAAAAAAUUAUUUAUGGUGAGUUUGUUGCUAUAUUAUUUUUAACCAUAAAAUUUAAUAUUAUACCAAAAACAAAUACUUUUUCUACAAAAUAAAAUUUGUGACAGCAUAUCAUUUUUUUUUUACCAUAAAAAAAAAAAAUUAUAGUAACAUGUCAUUUUUGACAUAAAAAUAUUCAUGAUAAAAGGUUAGUUUUUACCAUUUUUUUUAAAAAAAUCACUUUGAAAGAUCACCCCUUUAUCAUGGUAUAAAAUUUCUAGCGAUUUAUGUUUUACUACAAAAGAUCACCCCUUUGGAAGCCCAUCGUCAUGAGGGUGGCCUCAAUCCUGGAAGCCCAGCUUCAUGUGGGCUAUUAGCAUUGCUUCUUAGUAUUGCAAACCAAAGAUAAUAGAACAUGAUGCGUUUCAAAAAUUUUAUAAUAAUGAAAAUGUAAAUAAUAUAAGUAAAAUAAUAUAAUAUUUUUUAAAAUUAUAAAUAAUAUGCUAUAUAAAUUUUAAUGUAUAGGUAAAUUAAUUAAAUUUCAAUAAACGUCUUCAUAUUUAAAUAUUAUAUAUGUUUUAUUUAAUAAAAUGUUAAAAUAUUAAUAUAUUUAAUUAAUUUGAUAACAUUAAAGAUGAAAAAAUAAAUAUUAUUGAUUUUUAUUUUCUUUAUAUAUAUUUACAUUUUUUUAAGUAUUUUAAAUUUUAAGAAUAUAUAGACUAUAUAUUUAUAAAAUUAUUUGAUCACCAUUUGACCACCAAUCCAAUCAUUGAAAUAUAAAUUAGUGACUUUUCUAAUUCAAUGACCUGUUCGGUUUUGAAACUAUUGUUUGUAUCAACUUCUAUUGUAUUAAUCAAGUUCUCCCCAUCCACUUUUGGGCCAAAAACUGGUUCUACAUUUGGGGGUGCUAGCACUGUAUUUUGUCAUCAAAAACUGGUUCACAGUUCUGAAAACUAGUUCUGCUUUUCAUCAACUUUUCCGGUUCAGAAUGUAUGAUGUCAAUUCGAUCAAAAUUAAAUGAGAUGAAAUUACCUGAAUUAUACCACCAUGAUCUUCUCUUAAGUGGUCUGUCUCUGUUGAUGACCAUGUUCCAGGCCAAUGUGAACCAUGCAUCAGCCAUCCCAGUAGCUUUUGGAGCUUUAAUGGCUUCCAAAAGAUGACCAAUUCUGGGAAAAUGGUAAAAAUAUGGACCUUGAGAAGUCACCAAGACGAUCAUCCCUAUUAUUUUAGGGUCCAGAAGACAUUGCCAUUGUUACUCUCAUCAGAUUCCAUGUUAUCCAAGUGGAGAACUCAGGAUAAUAUAUUGUAUAGAUAGUAGUCUCAUUUCUAUGAUAGAAAUAUAGUCCAGUCUUUGUAGACAGGAUGGCAUUUAUGAGCAUAUCUUUACGUUUAACUCUUCUUAAUUUUUUCCUCUUUGUAUAAAGAAUCCGCUAUUAUCAACACAUAUUUAUCCAUGUCAGAUUACUAAAAAUACAGCUCUUAAGUAAUUCCUAAGUUAGAGAAACUAUUCAUGAACAGGGCAUACCCUAUCAGCUGCCUCCUUGGUUUAGGACAAGUGACCACAUCAUUCUGACCAAGACAUUUCUCCACCAUGACUGUACUUCUCAACUCUCAACUCUAAUAAACAUGAUUUAAGUAGGAUAAACAUGUAAAAAUUGUGAGAAUUCCACAUUUAAACUAGAAACUGAAGUCUGGUAGUAGCAAAUUUAAGGUAGCCUUGAAUUCUUAGCAACUAAUCAGACCAUUAACCAACAAAAAAAUGCAACUGAACCGCUUCUUUUUAACAUGGAGAAGAUUGAAGAAGCUCAAAGAAAGAUCCAGCCUUCAUUUUCUCUCAUUCCAAAUGCAGAAAACCCUAAGCCUUGAAUUUUUCACUCUCGUUCCUUAUAUCUUUUUAGCAACCAAAUGAAGCAUAGUAAACCUUAAUUUACUUUGUAGAUGAAUUAACAAUGCCAGACCAAACAAACACAUAAUAAUGAUCAACACAUGUAUAGAAAUUCAAAUUUUCUUCUAAACCUAUGCCAUGUUGCUGAUUGUUAGUGAGGAUUAGUUAAGAAUUACUGUCGACAAAUGGGAAAUGCUAAUCCCUUCUGUUGAGUUAUCAGUUUUACCUAAAAACUUAGUAGGUCAGGUAAUGAACCAACAAUGUAUAUUGAGCUGACUUACUUGAACAUGUUAACACUCUUCCUGUCACGCCCCAUGACCCACUCCAAGGGCGUGACGGUCAUUUCACACCUCAAACCCGAAGGCUUAAAGUAUAAUCUGACCCAAACAAUCAUAUUGUAACUGAAUGUUACCAAUUACCAAAUACCUGUUCAGAGUAGCGGAACAAAAUCUAAAAUCCUCAAAAUUCAAUUUCCAAAUAACUUCCAAUUAUCAAAAGAUUCAAAUGAACAUAACUAAUAGUUAAACAAAAUCCAACAUAAAAUCCUAAGUCAAAUCCUAAUGAUGACCAUUCCUCAGCCUAGCCAUCACUCCUCACCCGAACUAAGAGUACCUGAAAAAUUUUCAACAAUUGGGAAUGAGCUCACAGCCCAAUAAGGAAUAUUAAUGCAAUUCAUGGAUCAAAUAUUUUCAUUUCAAAUAGGAGAUAUCAAUUUUUUUUUUCUCAUCAAAUAUCAGAGUUCCAAAAAUACCAAUAUAUUCAAAAUUCAACCAACCAAUUUCAUAUCAAAUUCAAACACUUUCACAUCAGAUUCAAUCAAAUCCAUUCAAUUUUUCAUUACUCUGGUUAUCAAAUAUCAAAUGCCCAGUUAGGUGGGACUUUUCAAAUGGGUGGCUAGUCUCAAAUUGUUCCUGGUGGACGGAACCAAACACUACUAGUACUAGUAACCUCUAACCAAACCCCUAGAGGCUGGGGUCCAAAUCAAUUACAUUCCCACCAUGAAAUGUAAAGGUCAACUAUUAUAUCCCGUUGACAGGGCCAAAUAGUCAACUAUUAUAUCCCGUUGACAAGGGCCAAAUAAACCAGAAUGAUGUUUUUGUUCAAGUAUUCAAAUUUACACAACAUAAUAUCUCCAUAUUUUGUGUCAUAAAUAAAACAAAAUAUUCCAACAUAACAUUUAGUGCAAAACAAUUUGAUCCAUGCAUGGUAACAAAAAAUCAUUUUCUUUUCCACAAUUCAAAAUAACAUAUAAUAUAAUUUAAUUUUAUAAAUAUUACAUUAACUUCCCUUACCUCAAAAGAAGUCCUUGAAAGCUUGGGAGAAGAAUAAUUCUGAAAAAUAUAAUCUACUCUUCACCUAAUAUAGCAUAAGAGAAACAAUUAUUACUAUUUAUUUAUAAUUUAACUAAUCUAUUCCUUAUUUAGAAUAAAACUAAUAAAUUCUCAAUUUGUUUCUAAUAACACAUUACUAAUUUAAUUUAAUUAAAUUAUAACUUUAUUUCAUUAUAAAAUUCUAUAUAUAUAUAUAUAUAUUGCUAAAUCUCUUAUUCUAUUUAUUACAAAAAUACCAUUAUUACUAUUAUCUUAUUUGUUAAUCUAAAACUAAAUAUUAUUAUUAUUAUUUUUUAAUUAACCAAUUCAAAGCCACUCAACCAUUACUCAUCUCGGGUACACACCAAAAAGCUUUUUUUUUUUUUUUUUUUUCCUUCCUUCUAGUGUGCACACGCGUCUCUUGUGUCUCUGUUUUUUUUUUUUUUUUCUAUUCUUUGUUCCAGUAGCAUCCUUGCUUCCAGCAGAGUACACGCGUACGGCCCUUUUUUUUUUUUUUUUUUUUUCCUUCCUUCCUUCCUUCCGGUGCUGUGCACACGCGUUCUUUUUUUUUUUUUUAUAUUAAAAUUAACCCUAACCUAAAAUCGAAAUAUUCCAAGGAAUUUUUUUUUUUUCAUCUAAUAAAACUUAAUAUCUCCCAAAUUCCAAUAAUAAAAUCAAAAUCUUAGAUUUUCACUAUUUGAUAUUAAAACGAAUUAAAAAAAAAAUAAUCUAACCCUAAUCUAGAUUUGGAGUUUUCCAAAAAAUAUAUCUAAUGCUUGAAAUUAACUAAUGAAUCUAAAAUAAUAAUCUAGGGGUUAGAAACUUACCUAUAGAGAUCUGUUAUUUAACCCUGAAAUCUGACUCCAACCUUACGUUCUCUGGAAUUCUGCAAACAGGAACUCUAUUCAGAAAAGAAGGGAAAGAAUAAAAUUUCUAAUUUAUACCUAGGGUAUUUAUUCAUAAAAUUACACUUUUACCCCUCUUCCACUUUAUUAAAUUAAUUAAUCAAUUAAUUUAAUUAUUAAUAACAAUUUCCUAAAUUACCCUUAAGAGAAAAUGCUUGGGUGUUACAUCCUCCCCUCCUUAACAAAAGUUUAGUCUUCUAAACUUGACAUACCUGAGUCUUGAAAUAAUUGAGGAUGUUUUUCUCUCAUCUCUUCUUCUAACUCCCAAGUAGCUUCACGAACACUAUGGUUGCUCCAUUGAACCUUUACCAAUUUGACAACAGCAUGUCGCAGUACCUUAUCCAUCACAUCCACAAUUUGAACGGGUACCUCUUCAUAGUUCAAGUCCUCAGAAAUUUGAAUAGGCUCCAACUCCACAAUAUGAGAGGGAUCAUAAAUAUACUUCCUCAAGGUUGAAACAUGGAAAACAUUAUGAAUCUUAGAUAGACUUGGGGGCAAGGCUACUUUAUAUGCCAAAGUGCCUACUCUUUCUAAUAUUUCAAACGGACCCACAAAACGAGGACUAAGUUUUCCUUUUCUCCCAAAUCUCAUCACAGACUUCAUAGGUGAAACUUUCAAGAACACAUGAUCACCUACCUCAAACUCCAAAUCUCGCCUACGAUGAUCAGCAUAACUCUUAUGUCUACUUUGAGCUGCUUUUAAUCUUUCUUUAAUCAAAGCAACUUUUUCAACAGUCAACUGCACAAGUUCAGGCCCCAAAAGUUUCCUUUCUCCAACAUCAUUCCAACAGAUAGGAGAUCGACAUUUCCUACNNNNNNNNNNNNNNNNNNNNNNNNNNNNNNNNNNNNNNNNNNNNNNNNNNNNNNNNNNNNNNNNNNNNNNNNNNNNNNNNNNNNNNNNNNNNNNNNNNNNAUACACCACAAAUCCUCCUGAACCUGAAGGGAUAGUCAAAAUAGGAGCUGACACUAAUCUAUUCUUCAACUCUUGGAAGCUACAUUCACAAUCAUCAGACCACUCAAACUUAACUCCCUUCUGUGUCAACUUAGUUAAAGGUAGGGCAAUCUUAGAGAACCCUUCUAUAAACCGCCUAUAGUAACCAGCAAGUCCCAAGAAACUUCGAAUCUCAAUCACAGUACUAGGUCUUCUCCAAUUAGCUACAGCAUCUACCUUGCCAGGGUCAACUGAGAUGCCAUCAUUGCUUACCACAUGCCCAAGGAAAGAAAUUCGGUCCAACCAAAACUCACACUUCUUCAGUUUAGCAUACAACUGCUUAUCUCUGAGGGUCUGUAAUACAAUACUCAAAUGGCCCUCAUGCUCCUCUCUACUUCUUGAGUAAACCAAGAUGUCAUCUAUAAAAACCACCACAAACUGAUCUAAAUAGGGUUUGAAUACCCUAUUCAUCAAGUCCAUAAAAGCAGUAGGUUCAUUAGUCAAACCAAAAGGCAUAAUAAGAAACUCAUAGUGCCCAUACCUAGUUCGAAAAGCAGUCUUGGGUACAUCUUCCCCUCUAACCCUCAACUGGUGAUAACCCGAUGGAAGAUCUAUCUUGGAGAACAUACAAGCACCUUGUAGCUGAUCAAACAAAUCAUCUAUCCGAGGAAGGGGAUACUUAUUCCUCACUGUCACCUUAUUCAACUCCCUAUAGUCAAUGCAAAGUCUCAUUGAGCCAUCCUUCUUUUUUACAAAUAGAACAGGAGCUCCCCAAGGUGAAACACUAGGCCUGAUAAAACCCUUGUCUAAUAACUCCUGAAGCUGAACUUUCAACUCCUUAAGCUCCACAGGUGCCAUCCUGUAUGGGGCCUUAGACAUAGGACCUGUUCCUGGUACUAGAUCGAUAGUGAACUCCACCUCUCUCUCUGGUGGCAAGCCAGGCAAAUCCUCUGGAAAGACAUCAGGAUACUCCCUUACUAUGGGUAUGUCUUCCAACUUCAAAUCACUUUCAUUACUUACCACACUAGCCAAAAAUCCUUGGCAACCCUUCUUAAGCAAGCUACUAGCUCGCAAGGCUGAGAUCAUACGCAGUGGUCUGUCCACAUGCUUCCCUUCAAAGCUAAACUUAGGCUGACCAGGAAUACUAAACGUCACCCUUUUCUCAAAACAGUCAACAGAGGCAUGGUAGGAAGCUAACCAAUCCAUCCCCAAAAUCACAUCAAAAUCCUGAAGGUCAAGGAGUAUUAAAUCAACUGGCAUUUCCCUAUAACCAAUCAUCACAAUACAAUUUCUAAGCAUUCUACUAGCCACCAUAGAAUCUCCCACAGGAGUAGCAACAAUCAAAUCAAAGUCCAUGCUAGCAACAGGCAAACCCAACAAACCAGCAAAAGAUACUGAAACAAAAGAGUGUGUUGAUCCAGGAUCAAUCAAGACUCUAGCAAAUAAGGUGUGGAUUCGAAGAGUACCUGUCACCACAUCAGAAGUGGCCUGAGCAUCUCGAUGAGUCAUAGCAAACACCCGUCCUUGGGCUUUGGGUUUCUGUUUAUCCUCCUUAUUUUCCUCCUUAGGCUUCCCAGUGAUGAACUUCCUAUUCUCUGGACAAUCUCUAAUCAAAUGUCCUUGCUUCCCACAACCAAAGCAAGCUCCNNNNNNNNNNNNNNNNNNNNNNNNNNNNNNNNNNNNNNNNNNNNNNNNNNNNNNNNNNNNNNNNNNNNNNNNNNNNNNNNNNNNNNNNNNNNNNNNNNNNAAGCAAGCUCCAGUCUCUCUAUAGCAUGUCCUACCCCCAUGCUUCUUACCACAAGUAGGACAAGCCCCAUCUAAAUUCUGCGCUGCCUUCCCUUUAUUAUGAUUUCUUCCUGAUGUAGACCUUCGCUGUGCUUGAUUACCAUGAGCACCAUCACUCCUAUUUCGCUUCCUUUGCUGUUCUCUAUACUGAUGAAGCUCCUCAUUAUCUUUCUCUGCUAUAAGGGCUCUGUCAACAACCUCUGAAUAGACACCAAGCUUCAGAAUAGAUAUCUUGUUCUUCAAAUAAGGCUUCAAUCCAUCCUGAAACUUUAAUGCCUUUUCCUCCUCUGUAGCAAUCAACUGUGGGGAAAAACGUGAUAACUCUGUAAAUUUGGCCUCAUACUGAGCCACAGUCAUAUCCCCCUGUUCCAAACGAAUAAACUCUCCCACCUUCUGCCGCCUAACACUGUCAGGAAAAUACUUCUUGUAGAAAGCCUCCCUAAAUUGUCUCCAUGUUAUGGGUCCCUGAUCCUCCAAAAGUCUCCUAGUCAUACGCCACCAAUGAUCUGCCUCUUUAUCUAACAUAAAAGCUGCAUAAGAGGCUUUUUGCUCCUCAGAGCAAUCUAUGACACCAAAGAUUUUCUCCAUCUUAAGGAUCCAAGCCUCUGCCUCUGUGGGAUCUGUAGCACCAGAAAAGUAAGGAGGACCCAAUUUCUUGAAGUCAUCAAAAGAGCUACCCCUAGAAGAUGAAGACUGUCCCUGAACAUUAGUCCCAACAGCUCGAGCUUGGCGUUCAACUAAACCAGCUAGUGUCCCAAGAUACCUAUAGAUCCCUUCUGCACUCACGGGAGGCAAACCCUCAACUGGAGGUACAUCAUCAUUAGCCUGAUUGUUUUGGGAAGAUGCAGGUCUCCUUGGUGGCAUGGUGUCCUAUAAAGCAAUAGGUGUAACUAAAUUAGUCACUAAGAAGUCAAAUAAGCAAAUCAGAAUUGUAAGGAAUAAAAAGAAUCAGACUAGAUGAAGUUGAAACUUAAACUAAUACGUCACUCAUCUAUUCCCAAAGGUACACUAAACAAGUUCCCAUCAAGAUCACAACCUAGUGCUCUGAUACCACUCUGUCACGCCCCAUGACCCACUCCAAGGGCGUGACGGUCAUUUCACACCUCAAACCCGAAGGUUUAAAGUAUAAUCUGACCCAAACAAUCAUAUUGUAACUGAAUGUUACCAAUUACCAAAUACCUGUUCAGAGUAGCGGAACAAAAUCUAAAAUCCUCAAAAUUCAAUUUCCAAAUAACUUCCAAUUAUCAAAAGAUUCAAAUGAACAUAACUAAUAGUUAAACAAAAUCCAACAUAAAAUCCUAAGUCAAAUCCUAAUGAUGACCAUUCCUCAGCCUAGCCAUCACUCCUCACCCGAACUAAGAGUACCUGAAAAAUUUUCAACAAUUGGGAAUGAGCUCACAGCCCAAUAAGGAAUAUUAAUGCAAUUCAUGGAUCAAAUAUUUUCAUUUCAAAUAGGAGAUAUCAAUUUUUUUUUUCUCAUCAAAUAUCAGAGUUCCAAAAAUACCAAUAUAUUCAAAAUUCAACCAACCAAUUUCAUAUCAAAUUCAAACACUUUCACAUCAGAUUCAAUCAAAUCCAUUCAAUUUUUCAUUACUCUGGUUAUCAAAUAUCAAAUGCCCAGUUAGGUGGGACUUUUCAAAUGGGUGGCUAGCCUCAAAUUGUUCCUGGUGGACGGAACCAAACACUACUAAUACUAGUAACCUCUAACCAAACCCCUAGAGGUUGGGGUCCAAAUCAAUUACAUUCCCACCAUGAAAUGUAAAGGUCAACUAUUAUAUCCCGUUGACAGGGCCAAAUAGUCAACUAUUAUAUCCCGUUGACAAGGGCCAAAUAAACCAGAAUGAUGUUUUUGUUCAAGUAUUUAAAUUUACACAACAUAAUAUCUCCAUAUUUUGUGUCAUAAAUAAAACAAAAUAUUCCAACAUAACAUUUAGUGCAAAACAAUUUGAUCCAUGCAUGGUAACAAAAAAUCAUUUUCUUUUCCACAAUUCAAAAUAACAUAUAAUAUAAUUUAAUUUUAUAAAUAUUACAUUAACUUCCCUUACCUCAAAAGAAGUCCUUGAAAGCUUGGGAGAAGAAUAAUUCUGAAAAAUAUAAUCUACUCUUCACCUAAUAUAGCAUAAGAGAAACAAUUAUUACUAUUUAUUUAUAAUUUAACUAAUCUAUUCCUUAUUUAAAAUAAAACUAAUAAAUUCUCAAUUUGUUUCUAAUAACACAUUACUAAUUUAAUUUAAUUAAAUUAUAACUUUAUUUCAUUAUAAAAUUCUAUAUAUAUAUAUAUAUAUUGCUAAAUCUCUUAUUCUAUUUAUUACAAAAAUACCAUUAUUACUAUUAUCUUAUUUGUUAAUCUAAUUAUUUAGUGCAUAUUCUUGGUUACAUUUAGGCAACAAUAUUGAUAAAUAUUAUAAACCACCUCAAGUCUUGCCUGGUUCUAUGCAUAAAUGAGACUCUCUAAUUAGAGUCUUGGUGUAGAACUUCAAAUGGAUGUCUACCUUUGACUUUUGACAAAAGGAAAAAUAUUAUCAUGACCUGUAAUAUCUCAUAUUAGAUAAGGGAAAAUAGUCCCAAUAACUUUAUAAUGGAUUUCUCUUAAAUAAGUGGAUGACUUUGAAAGGUGUGAGAGCUCAUUAGGACCAAAGUGAAUAAUAUCCAUAUGGGAGGGAAUAAAUAGUUACAAAAGGUAUUAGAGUCAAUCCCUAAGCCCGACAUUACAUGACCAUAUAAACUUUUUUUUUUCUAGAUGCUUUAUGUUUUUUGUCAACAAAAUCAAAGAUGAUAAAAGAAUGAAGAUUUGACAAUUCUUAUAUCACUUUCAUCCCUUUAAUGAUGUCUUUUAUUUUAGACUAGAUAAAUUGAUACUAGUUAAAUUAAUUCCCAAUCCAAUACAAGUAUCCUUCACUCUUUAGGUUUCAACAAGACUUCAAUUUUCUUAUCCAAUUACACAUCACAAUCUACAAACCAAAAAGAAAAGGAGAAUAUUGUCUAUAAUAGGUAAAUAUUUCCCAUCCAAUGUCCCAUAAUAGUCUAAAUCUAUAUUAAAUCCCAAACAAUUUUUAAAAUUCAAGAAUGAUAUACCUUCAAACAUGUGAUAAAAACUUAGGCCUCUCCCUCAAACUCUAACUUGGAAAAUAAAAGUUAAAUAAGAUUUUAUAAAAGCUAAAGUAUGGUUCCAUGAGAUACCCCCAACUCUAGAACUAUUUCAACUUGUAAGACAUCUUUUAUCAAUGCUAACACGAUUAUUCAAUGAACUUAAUAAUCAAAUUUCUUGCUUCAAUUAUUCUAAAUAAUCAAGUUAGAUGCAAGAUUAGCUCUUAUGCUAUUCAAAAUUAAUUUUUUAACCACAAUACUAGACUCCUCGCCCCCUACCUUUGGAUUUUGUUACAUAUACACAUGUAUUCGUACAUACAUAUGUAAACUUUCUAACAAGCAUUUUGUAGUCGUUGCACAACAUGGGCCUUCAAAAAAUUUCACCAAAACACAAUAACUUGAACCUUUCAUUUCUUGAAUAAUCAAUAAAUUCAUGUGCAAUUGUUUAAAAAAUAAUAGUAACUCCUAUAUAAGAUGUAAAUUUUUUAAAACACUUACCUCAAAAGGAUAAUAGUUUAUAAAAAAAUUGAGGUAUUAAAUUUUUUUUACUAUCUUAAAUUUAAAAAUUUUAAAGAACAUAUAGUAAGUUCAUACUUUUUGUAUAAGAGUUCUUAUAUUUUAUAUGGAAUGUAUUAUUAUUUCUUCUUAAAAUAAAUAAAUAAAUAAAGUGUAUCUAAAUGAAGCCUUAAGUAUCAAAUUUUUUUCUAUAACUAUUCUAAGUACUUGAUGUUCUAACUUCUGGCUUCAACUACAAUGCUAUAUUCUCUUUUUAUAGUUCUGCACCUAAAUUGAUUGGUGUGUGUGUGUAUGGAUUUGAAUAUUUUGACAUGCACUUUCACUUCUUAAGUCACAAGACAGCCUCAUGGCUUCUUAAACAUGUUAAGAAAUUAGAAUAUGAAAGAGUAAUGAUGUCACUAAGGUAGCAAACAAUAUCAACCCAAAUUGCUUAUAUUAAGAAAUUAAACAUGUUCUUUUAGACUUGAAUAAAAUAAAAAUUAUGUGGUAUUGCUUUUUGUCUUUUUCACAUAACAAUAUAAAUUAAGAAUCCAUUUGAAAGUGAUUUUAAAAAGGGCUAAUAGUACUUCAUAAUGUUUGAAAACAUUUUCUUAUAAAAAUUAGGUAUUUGACAAAUUUUUGAAAGUGGUAAAAAAUUUAGAGAAUUUCAUGAAAUGGUUCUUGGACAAUAACUCGGUAAAAAAUUGUUUUGUUGUUAUACAAAACAAUACUAUCAAAACAUUUUAUUUUUUAGUUUAUAUCCAAACACUGAGUGAUUUUAAAAAAAAAUGUUUCUAAUGGGAAUGCUAUUAACAAAAAUGUUAAAGAUAAAAAUAUUUUGACUAGAAUAACUCCCAAAUAGCCUUUACAGGAUAAUACACAAAUAGGAUUAGACUAGCAUUUACCAUAUUUAUAGAAUAGCCAAUGGAAAAGAUGGUAUUAAGAGUAGAAAUAAUUAGUUAGGGGAAUUAUUCCAUUCGUACCUGUACCAUGAACAUCUUGUGUAUGGUGGUAUUCAGGUCACCUUCCCAACAUUGUUCGAAAAAAAGAUCACCCAUUUGUACACAUUGUAGCCUUGGUGUGUCUAAGACUUCUGAAUGGUCACCCAUUUGUACACAUUUUAGCCUUGGUGUGUCUAAGACUCCCUUGCAAAAAAAUUUCAUCUUAGGGCAUGCUGCCAUACUUAUUUCUUCCAAGAAUGGGAAUCGGAAGGCAUAUCUUGCUGAGCAAAAACUUUUUAGAUUUGGUAAACAAUCAAGUUCCAACCUUGUUAAUCUAGCAAAAUCAAUCUCAUCAUUUGGUGGUUCAUCUCCCUCAUUUGCCACUAUUUCUUUCAUCAUGUGGCAUUCUUUUAUAAUAAGUGUUUUGAGUUGCACCAGUCUUUUAGCCAUUGAGGGUGUUACCAAAUUAAUCAAACUCCUACAAUUGACCAUCUCUAGAGUUUCAACACUUUGCAAAUAUGGGCUUAAUCCAAAUAAAUGCAUCAACAUAGGUAGAUCCUCGAGGUGUAUUUCAGUUAAUCGUGGAAGCGUGUCAACAUGAAAUUCUUCACUUGAAAGCCUUUCCACUUGGAUAACCUCAUUCACUGAAUCACACUUUGUCACCUCUAGUCGUUCUAGAUUAUGUAAUAUUUGAACCAUGUUUGAGGAAAUCAUAACCAAAAUACCAUGAUGCUUUGUUAUAUUCAACACUCUUAGUUUGGAAAAUGACACCCUUGAAAAUUGGCCCCGCCAUAUCUCCACAGUGCCCUUUAACGUCAAUCUCAAUUCUUCCAAAUUAGGGAAUGCUUCCUGACAAACCAUAUUACACAAGAUGAAUGAUAUUUAAUUUAUGUGAACAAAAUAUUUGGUAAAGAAAUAAGUUAUAUAUAUAAAGUUAUCUUCUUUGAGCUUUCAAAUAACUCAAUAAAUGAUAAAAAUAAACAAGCCUUAAUGUUAAACUCAUGAUCAUUUAUAAAUUAAGGCUUUGAGAUACCAUGGUAGUUAGCCAACAUUUAUAUAUUUCAUAAUUACAGUUAUUAUUAUUGUUGUUGUUGUUGUUAUUGUUUUCCACACAAGGCAUAAUGAAUUAUUGCAUCUAAAUGAUCAAGGUACAAUUACCUACUACAUGUACAUGAUUAGGAACUCCUUGAAUCUUUAGUAGUUUGAUAGGUUUUGAUGCAAUGUGACUAAAAAUAAAUUGGAUUAGUGGUGCACAUUAAUUCAAAUAAAACUAUAACAUUUUUUUUGUUAUAUUCUAAGUAAACACUACUAGAAAUUAGUGCAAUUUGGUUUAAAAUUCAAUUAAGUAAACUUGUUCUUAAAGCAUUAUAUGAAUUGCUUGAGUCUAAUAUUAACUAAAAAUGAUUAUACUAUAAAAGCUCUAAAGUAAUUUAUUUUUAUCAUAAGUUAAGUAGGAUAAUUUUAUAAAUAAUUGGUUGUAGUUUCUAGUAUUAUUAUAUACAAUUGUUAUGUUUGUUGCACCUCCAAAAAUCUACUCUUAUAAUUAAUUGUGUAUUAUUCUUCACAUUCACAAUAAUUUAUGUAGUAUGAUUAAUUUAGCAACAAAAUAUAAGUUUACUUCAAAUCAUUUUAAAUUCUUAUGAUAUUAAAGUUUAAGAUUAAAAUAAUGACAUAUUAGUUAAAAGGGAUAAGGACCUAUAGUGUAACAUAUAAAAUUUAGAAAACUCAAGAAAGGCUAGACACAUACCUUUUCGACCAAGAAGAGUGAUUGUUGAAUUUUGUUAUCAAGUUCACCUUCCAAACCUAUUUCUUGAAAGAGUAUCUCCACUUUAUCACAAUUGCACACUUUUAAUUCCUUCAAAAGUGGCCAUCUUGAAGCAAACCUUCCCGAAUAAAAUCUUUUGAGUUGGUGUAAGGAUUCGAGUGUAAAAGAGGUUAGUUUAGGGAAUAAGAAUAAAGGUGUUGUUUCAUCUUCAUCUUCAUCUUCAUCUUCAUUGACAACAAUUACCUCUAAUGCUUCACAAGAUAAUAUGCAUAGGUCCUCAAGUUGCACAAGGGCUUUCGCCACGGAAAGGGGAAAAACAUUCAAUAUUUUGUUGCAGGAAGCUACAUGCAAGUGCUUUAGCUUGGAAAAGGAAUCUGCUGAAAGUUGGUUGUGCCAUAAUGCUCUCACAUUAUCCAGAUUUUCUACAUGUAAGUACUCCAAGGCAGGGAAUGCAACCUGUGAAAUUGAUGAUCCCUUUUAGUUAAUACAUUCCCAAUAACUACACGCGUGUAAAUAGAAUAUGACAAGUAUAGAAGGUGAAUAUGUGAAUAUGAAAAAGCACAAAAAUAAAUUCACAAUUUUAUCUGAAUAUUUUCUAAAUAGGAAACUUUAUUAUUAUAAGGGGUCUAAAACUACUAGCUAGAGAGGUCUCAUUAUAUAAGACUUUGCUUUUGUUAUUUUUCAUUUAUACUUUCUCCAAUAUAAUUUUUAUUGAUUAAAAAUGAGUAGAUAAUGCAAUUUUCUCAUAUUAUUUAACAUUGACAUGUUGGAUUGGUUUUUACUAUGCCCCUCAAUCCAUCUCUAUCUUAUUCUUGCUUUAUACCUAAUAUGUAUAUGAUUAUUUAAUUUACAAAUCGUUUGAGUGAUAAACCAAUACCAAUGCUACUUAAAAAUGGAAAACUUGCUUAUGGCAACAACCUUGGAACUCAUUAGGAAGGAAAGUUUAUUGUCAUUAAUGGUAUGAAACUAAUAGAAUUCUCAUUAUAUAAUUCUUUGGUUUUAUUAUUUUUCAUUUAUACAUUCUCCAAUACAAUUUUACUAACUUAAAAUGAGUAGAUAAUGUGACUUUAUUAUAGUAUUAAAUUAUAAAGCAUUUAUAUAUUGGAGUAAUAUGUAUAUGAUUAUUUUAUCCGGUUUUUUCAUAAACUUUGUUACUAUAGCAUAUAUUAAGAGGUAAUAAUACUUACUAAAAUAUCGAUUUACUAUCACAAAUUAUAAAAUAAAACAUUGGUUUCCAACUGCAAGUUCAUCAUUUUAUUAAUAUCUAUAUUUUGUGUAUCCUUUUCUUGAUUGUUAUUUUUUUGGUAAUAAACAAAGUAUUUCAUAAUUUUAAAACUUUAUAACUCUUAUAAAAAGUAUUUCUUUCUUUCCAAAAUCAAAUUCUUCUCUAAAAUAAAAAAAAAAAUAUAUUUAUAAUUUUAUUUAAGCUAUAUUAAUAUCAAAUUUUCCUUUCAUGAAAAUAAAAAGAGCUUAAUAUAGAAAGAAAAUUAACAAAAAUAUUAACGUUUAAAAUAGUUAAGCAAAAAUCAUAUAAUAAAAAAUAAUGAAUUGGACCUUCAAAAUUAUUUUUAAAAAAAUUAACAUAAUAAAUUAAUGAAAAAGAAAGUGAAGAUUAAGCCUUAAAAUUUAUUCAGAAAAUUAAAAUAAAGCUAAUAAAUGUAUGAUAAAUAAGAAAAUUUUAAAAAGGAAGAAAGACAGGUACAAUUACUUUUUACUAAAAUUUUAUAUAAUUUUCGCUUUUAAGUUUACUUUUCAAUUUUACAAAUACUUUUUAAUUUUGGUUUUUAUUUUUUAGAAUUUAUUUAUUUAGUGUAAAAGUAGCAGUAUAAAUAAAUACCAGAAAUGGCAGAAAUUAGAUAUCAAGUAGUAAGAUACCUGUUGAUUGAAAAAUGUCGCCGACUCCGGGAUACCGCUGCUUCUUGUGGUGUAGAAGCUAAUGAGCUUUGGGAGAACCCUCAGUGACAAGGAUUGCAGUUGAGGAAAAGCUGAUUCCCUUCCAUGUUGUGUGGGAAGAGAGAAGACAUAUUUCAACCUCUCACAAUGACUCACUCUUACAAUUCUUAAGUUACCAAAAGACCCCAUCAGAAUUGGGCCAUGGCAUACUGCCUCCAAGUUACUGAGGGAAGUAAGAAACAGUUCCUCCAACAUACAGAAGGUAUUACGUGGUGGAACCCAUUCCACUGAAGUGGAAUGAAGGAUGUAUUGCAUGGUAGGACAGCUCCAGAUACAGAGAUACUUCACUUGAGGAAAACCAUCCUCGUCUAACUCAUAAACCACAUGUUUAGUAUCAUUCAAUCUCCACAACUGUACAACUUGACUUCUCUUCAACAGUUUGGAGAAGCGGUUCACCACAUGAAGACUUUUAACCCCAUCCAGCCUCAACCUUCUCGAGGCUUUAUACUCAUAAUCAUUUGGCAACCUUGCUAUGGCUUUCUCCUCAUCGUAUGGCCUCCAAGAAUCACCUAUUACUAUUGAAUAUCUGGUCAAUGUCAAGUUGUCAAAGAGCACAUCAUCUUCGGGAAGCAAACUGGGAUUAGAUACUUCUAACUCCAAAGUCCUCAAGCCGGAUAGGUGUUUCAGCUCAGAAAGGCAAGCAUUAAUUCUUUCUCCGCUAUUAAAUCCUUCUGCCUCCCAUUCAAUAUUAACACUUCCUUUCAUGCUCAAAUACUCUAAUCGAGAUAGACUGAAUAUAAGAUUUUGUGGAAUUACUUUGAGGGAGAAGCAAUACCGCAAAUCCAACACCCUUAGAUCACUCAAUUUCAUCAUUUCUUUUGGCAACUGAUAAAUGUGGGAGCAAGCCAAACUAAGAACUUGUAGUCUCUCCAGGUGUCCAAUUACUGCUAUGUCUUCGAGCACGCAUCUAUUUAGACACAAUGUGCGAAGAUUUAAAAGAAAACCAAGCGAUGAAGGAGAUGGCUUGAGAGACACUCCAGACAAAUCUAAAACUGUCAGUUCUUUGGUGUCUUGGAAAAAGGUGUCUGGAAUUUUCAAGUAAGAAUCACCUGAAUACAAUAAAAAGAACUUAAGUUUGGGACAUACCAAUCCUUGAGGAAGCUCAUCUAUGUUUUUGCAUUUCAAAGAGAUACGAGUGCAAUUUCUGCAUUCAUUCAUCCAUUGCCAUUCUUCUUGUAAUCCAACCGCUUCUUUCACCACAAAUUGAUGAGGAUCUUUGGAUGCAAUUGAUAUGGCAACAUCACGAACAACAUCAUGCAUUCUGACAAACGCGUCAUUGAAAAACAAGCUCGAAAAUCUCUCAUUGCCUCUGUCUUCAUCGUCAAGCAACAAGCUUGAGCCUUUCAGAUUUUCCACCAGUGUGAUUAGUUUAUUUGCUGCUUUCUCCCAUGAAAAGAAUCCUUUAAACAAAUUCAAUCCCAUAGCAUAUAGUAGCAAGAAAUCCAUGUAAAUAUCUCCCAACCCCAGAACACCACAAAGUAAAAACAAGGACUUUACUUCAUCACUUUCCAAAUGGUUGUAGCUCAGCUCCAGACAUGAGUAGACGUCUUUACUCACUCCUCUGAUGUUUGUUGGUGCAGACCUUCUCAGUUCUUCCAAGGCAUUCUCCCAUACAUGCACACUCUCACCUCUUAAUGCAUUUGCAAUGGUGACAAUUGCAACUGGUAGACCGUCACAUUUUUUAGCUACAUCAACUGCUAUGGGACGCAGUUCAGGCCUCUCCACUGAAUCACCUGCUGUCUUCUUGAAUAAAUUCCAGGCUUCAUCUUCACUUAAAUGUUGAAGAUGGAACUCCUUUUGAGUACGCAUAUCUUUAGAUAAAACCUGAUGCUCCCGGGAAGUCAGCAGCACUUUGCACCCCUUGUGAUCAUCUCGGUAAGGAAUUCCUAUUUCUCCCAACUCAAGUUUCCCCCAGAUAUCAUCUAAGAUCACCAGGAUUUUCUCCUCUCUCUUCAACCUUUGCCUCAGGCGACCUGCUCUAUCCUCCUUCACCUCAAAUUUCAAACCCAACAUUCUUGCAAUUUUUUCUUGAAUUUCUGCGAUGUUGGGAGUUUGGGAUAUGUGUAACACCAUGACCACCUUGUGAAAGAGCUUGUCUUCCUCCGCUUGUUGGGCUACUUGUUUGACAAGAGUGGUUUUGCCCACGCCGCCCAUUCCCCAGACACCGAUCAUGCGCAUAUCUUCGUUUCUCAAGGCCUCCAUAAUUUGGUUAAAAGUAGACUCUCUUGACUGGAAAGCCCCAUAAUCUUUGAAAGAUGCAGAGCUGAUGAAUGGAGGAGGAGGAGGAGGAGGGCGAUACGAUACUCUGUCACCAAAGUUAUGAGCUUCUUGGAUUUUAUCAACAAUCUCCGCAGCCUGCUUCUCUGCUUGCUUGCUUAGUUGGUAGCGGGACUUUAAAUAGAAACAGCUCUUGCUUGCUUUCCUUUCAUCUUCAUUGAAAUCGUUUCUCUUUUGGAUGAUCCCUUCGGCAUACGUCUGCCACUCCUGAACACCAGGAAAGAUUUCAUCCCCUUGCCUAUUAGCCUCAUCCACAGGUACCUGCAGCCUCUCCCUUGCAAGAUGGAGACUGUCAAUUCGUUGGUUGAGAUCCGUAAUGUUGCGAUGGUAGUUAACCAGAUAACCCAGUGGACGUAUAAUUGAAUCAACCAGGUACUCUGCAACUUUUGCUGCAACGGAAAUAACAAUUUCAACCAUUUCCAACUUCUUUUUUCUAGAAAUAGAUGGGAAUUGAGCGAAAACAGAUAAGGAAAAGGGAAACAACAGCAGGAGAAGGAGAAGGAGAAGGAAAAUACACGAAAGAUUGGUAUUUGAUCGAAUCUGUUGUGGCAGAAGAAAUGGAAGGUUUGAGGUAUGGAAGGAGCAGAGUUUGUGGGAGGCAGCAGAUUUUCCUUUUUUUCUUUUUUAUGGAAAUUAAAAGAGAGUGAUUACAGGUGAAGAAUGAGAAAUAGUUGAUAUAAAAAAAAUAAAUAAAUGAGAAAAAGGUUACAGAGGGAAGAGAUUGAGAAAGCUUUGGAUUAUGGAUUUUACUUCUUGGAAGCAAAUGGAAAAGGAGCAGAGUAUAUGUUGAGGUCCUGAGGGGAAGAAGAGGAAGAAGGCAGGAAGGGAAUCAGACACUGAGUGUUCCUCAGGCAACAAUUGUGACAGACGGACAGCAGGAAAAGGGGAGAUGCCAGGUAGCCUACCUGAAACUAAAAUGACUCAGGCGUCUUUUAUAUAUAUAUGUUUCACGGGAAAAGCAUUCUUUAAUUCACCAAUUUACGAAAAAAGAUAUUCGUUCCUCAACUUUCAUAUCUGAACACAACUGUACAAAACAUUUGAUAAAAAUGAGAGGAGGGUUACAGAGGGAAGAGAUUGAGGAAGCUUCGGAUCUUGAAUUUUAUUUAUCGGAAGCCCGAGGGGAAAAGGCGAGCGCAGGAAAGGAAUCAGAUACUGAGUGUUCCUCAAGCAAUUGUGAGAGACAGGCAGCAGCAAAAGGUGAGAUGCCAUGAUUCGGAGGUCUUGGUUUUUUUAGUGGGAAAAGCAUCCUUCCAUACAACCUUUUUCUUUUUUUAUCUUUUUCUUUCUUCAUAUUUAAACAGAGCUUUUCACGCGUGACUGCCUGGGCCAUGUUUGCUUGCUGGUCUAAAAAAUUAUAAUUAAAAUUAAUAAUUUAUUUUUACCGCUUAGUUCAAGUUUAUUUUAUUUACUUAUUAUAAAAAUUAAAUAAAUUUUAUAACAAAUAAAUAAAUAAAUUUUUAAUUCAUUUUAAUUAUAUUUAAUUUUAUAUUGUUACAUAUUAAAUUUAAACAUAAAAAAAAAUUAUAUCAAAUUCAUUUACUGACCCAUAGAGAGACUAAAGUUUGGAAUUGGAUAAAUAGUAAAUAUUCAUUGAAAAUUUAUUAAUGGUAAUUGUUAAUUUGCUGAAAAGGUACCUAAAGGGGAGUAAACUUGUCAUGUUCAAAAACAUAAUACUAAUUUUUUCUUUCAUUUUUUUUGUUGUUUUUUUUUUCAUGUUAAAAUACAGGUUCAAUGCAGUGUGCAAACUUGAUAUUAGGGGUAAAAUUGUAAUUAUAAUAAAUAAAGAAAUAAAUAAAAUUAAACCAUAUAUUAAAAACCCUAUAUAAAAAUAAUAUGAUUUCUUUGACAUCUUUAUACAAAAGUCUUUUUACACAUAUAGUGGAGAGAUGAAGGAACGUAGGAUUUGACAAUUUGGGAGUUUAAAGUUUGAACAUCGGUUUUUUCAUUGAUUAUUAUUUUAUAUUCAUUAAAUAGUUUUGAAGCAUUUAAAUGUUUGUUUGAAAAUUUAAAUCAAAGUUAGAGUUUGAUUUAUUUAUUUAUUUUUUUAAAAUAAAAAAGAUAUGUACAUACAUUGAUUUAUUAAUAGAGAAAUUGUGGUUAUCUAGUUGAGUAGAUAAAAAAAAAAUAGAACUAAAAAUAAAAAUCAUACUGUAGACCCCCAUUUGGGAUUCAUUAUACCUCAUUUUUCCUACAACUCAUCUUUGCAUGUGGAAAGCUCUCAAGGUGCCACAUGCUGUCUCCUGAUUGACUGGUAAGGAAUCACAAUAGUGCUUUUGAAGAAGCAACCAAAAGGCGACAUCUGGCAAGGAAUCUGCAGGAGCGUAUUCUUUCUGUUACGGAGAGGGCCAGUUGCCAGAGGAGGGGGUCCUUUUUUGGACGUGUUGGUUGAGGGAUAUUUUGGGGGUGAGGGAGGCAGCUACAGGGAAGGGGGAGUUUAAGAGAGUGAGGGGUUCUGGAUAGAGUUUUUUGGAGGAGAGGACACUUUUUUUUGGGAGAUCCUGGAGUUGAAGAAAAGAGGAGGACGUUCUGGAACUUGAGGAGAGGUAUUUCUUUAGCUUGGAGGGCAAGAACUCUGAAAGAGCAUCUCCAGGUACGUUUAUGAUAACUUUCUUGGGCUAUUCUCACUCACCCUCUAUUUUCUUUUUACCUUACGCUCUCUCCAUUUGUCUUUGGUUUUUUUUCUGGGCAUUGGUGGAUGGUUCUGUUAGACAACCACACUGCACACACUGGUUAGUUCAUAAGAAAAUAAAAGAAAACUGAAAAAAAAAAAACAGAGAAUUAAGGAAGAAGAUUAGACCGAGUCUUGUGGAAAACACAAUCUCCUUAAAACAUAUUCGCCUUCUCCACAGGUGCUUUGAGAAUCGCAAGGCGUCUGUCUCCCAGGAUAAAACGAUCUUCGAAUGGCAGCAACAACACUCUGCAGCCACUCCGGCAAACUGGAAAUUGUUCAACUCUAUCACAGACAUGGAAGGAAGGAACUCUUCAACACUCUGACAAUACUCCAAAGUUUUUCUGUUCUUUUUUUUAUUUGAAAGAAAGUCUACCACUAUUUAUAGACUUCAAGGAGGGAAGAACACAGACAGGUUCAGAAAGCCAAAAUGAAUUUGGCUUCUUGAGACUCUUAGAAUUCUGGAAAAAUGAAUGAAUUUACUUAAUUCAAUGGAUUUACUUAAUUUCAUUCAUUCCCUUUUUCCAACAAUUCCCCACAUGAAAGAAAUUAAGACACGAUGAACUUUGUGAUAGAGUACAACGGUUGAAACCUGCAUAGGAGAGGUAGGUGUUACCUUUUGAACCUUCCCUUGUAGAAAUAUGUUUACUCUACUAGCUAAACAGUAGACACGAUGUCCUUGAACUGUUCUGCCAUUUAUGUAGAUGAUGACAUAUCUCACACAGGAAUCUUCCUAACAUAUUUCAAUUCUCACUUUUAUGUUCAUUUUGGCCAUGAACAUACGCCUGGUUCUGUAAGAGUUUAAUAAGAAUUGUGCCCUAUUCAAUUCCCUUAGAAGCGGCCCCACUUCACUCUUACAUAGGUGAUCUCUUAAUCACGAGUAACCCGCAUUACUCUGUUCGGAUUUCCGAAGCAUAAGGAUCAUUAAAAGCAUAGCUUACCCUUUCCUCUUACGGGCAUCACUAUUUUAUCAUAGGAAUGGACUAGGGAAGAUCCCCACAGUGAUUUAACAAAGUCUUUACAGUUUAGUUGUCCCUUUUGAACCUAGAUCUCGGGAUCUCCAGUCAACUAGGUUGGGUAUCCACUGUAUUGACUUAUUCUUUUAUGGGCUUUAGUCCCAUUCCCCUUGAUGACUUUUCAACUAACUCUCUUUUUAACCCUUUGGUUAGUGGAUCCGCAAUGUUAUCUUUGGAUUUCACAUAGUCCACAGAGAUAACCCCAGUUGAGAGUAGUUGUCUAAUGGUAUUGUGUCUACGACGAAUGUGUCUAGACUUACCAUUAUACAUAUUACUCUAUGCUCUACCAAUUGCAGAUUGACUAUCACAAUGUAUGCAAAUUGGAGGCACAGGCUUUGACCACCUUGGAAUAUCCUCUAGGAAGUGGCGUAACCAUUUAGCCUCUUCCCCACAUUUAUCUAGUGCUAUAAAUUCAGAUUCCAUUGUGGAUCUGGCAAUAACCGUUUGUUUUGAGGAUUUCCACGACACUGCUGCACCUCCUAGUGUAAACACAUAACCACUAUGGGAUUUUGAGUCUUUAACAUUAGAUAUCCAAUUCGCAUCACUAUAUCCUUCAAGUACAGCAGGAUAUCUCGUAUAGUGCAGCCCAUAAUCACGAGUAAACCGUAAGUACUUUAGUACUCUUAUAAUUCCUUGCCAAUGCUUGGCUCCGGGAUUACUCAUAUAUCUACUCAGUUUACUAACCGCAUAGGCUAUGUCUGGUCUUGUACAACUCAUUAAGUACAUUAGACUACCUAUUACUCUAGAGUAUUCUACUUGAGAAACACUCUCACCUUUAUUCUUGGACAAAUGUAGAGUUACAUCCACCGGUGUUCUAGCAACUCCAGAAUUAUCUUUAUCAAACUUUCCAAGAAUUUUGUCUACAUAAUGUGACUGACUUAAUAUGAGUUCAUCUGAUGUUCUUUUGAUUUUUAUUCCCAAUAUAACAUCAGCAAGUCCCAUGUCUUUCAUGUCAAACCUUGAAUUCAACAUGUUCUUUGUAGAUGUGAUCAUCUUAUCAUCACUACCAACAAUAAUCAUGUCAUCUACAUACAAACAUACAAUGACAUAUCCAUGUUCUGUAUCCUUGACAUAAACACACUUGUCACAUUCAUUGAUUUUGAAGCCAUGUGACAACAUAACAUUGUCAAAUUUUUCAUGCCAUUGUUUCGGUGCUUGUUUUAAGCCAUACAAAGAUUUCACCAGUUUACAAACUUUAUUUUCUUGUCCUGGAGCUGAAAAACCCUCAGGUUGCUCCAUAUAGAUUUCUUCAUCUAAAUCUCCAUUUAGAAAGGCUGUUUUUACAUCCAUUUGAUGUAUUUCAAGAUUUCUCAAUGCAGCAAUUGCAAGUACCAUCCUUAUGGAAUUUAUUCUCGUCACAGGAGAAUAUGUGUCAAAAUAAUCUAGGCCUUCAAUUUGUCUGUAGCCUUUGAUUACAAGUCUUGCUUUAUACUUGUCAAUUGAUCCAUCUACUUUCAUCUUUCUCUUGAAAAUCCACUUGGAACUUAAAGGUUUACAACCUGGUGGAAGAUCCACUAGUUCCCAAGUAUGGUUUUGCAAUAUGGAAUCAAUUUCACUCUUAAUGGCCUCUUUCCACAUAAGACCUUCUGUAGAGUUCACUACCUCUUUAAAAGUUUGAGGUUCGCCUUCAAGCAUAAAAGUUAGAAAAUCUGGACCAAAAGACUUUUCUGUCCUUACCCUUUUGCUAUGUCUAGGUUCUACCUCAACUUCUUCAUUUUGAUCCUGACUCUCAAGCAUUCUUUUUGAUGAACUUGGCUCUUCUUUGGAUUUACAUGGAAAUACAUCUUCAAAGAAUGAUGCAUUCUUUGAUUCCAUUAUCGUGUUCUUAUGAAUAUCUGGGAUAUUUGAUUCAUAAACAAGAAACCGAUAAGCAUUACUAUUAUGUGCAUAGCCAAUGAAAAUGCAAUCAAUAGUCUUAGGUCCUAUUUUCACCUUUUUAGGUGGAGGAACUGCCACUUUAGCAAGACAUCCCCACAUUCGUAAGUAUGUGUAGGAUGGCUUUCUUCCUUUCCAUAACUCAUAUGGAGUCUUUUCUGCUUUCUUUUUGGGUACCUUAUUCAAAAGGUAAUUAGCAGUUAAAAUGGCUUCUCCCCACAUGUUUUGUGGCAAACUAGAACUUAUUAACAUUGCAUUCAUCAUUUCCUUUAAGGUACGAUUCUUUCGCUCAGCCACUCCAUUGGAUUGAGGCGAAUAAGGUGUUGUUGUUUCGUGUAUAAUCCCAUGUUGAGCAAAAAUGUCAANNNNNNNNNNNNNNNNNNNNNNNNNNNNNNNNNNNNNNNNNNNNNNNNNNNNNNNNNNNNNNNNNNNNNNNNNNNNNNNNNNNNNNNNNNNNNNNNNNNNNNNNNNNNNNNNNNNNNNNNNNNNNNNNNNNNNNNNNNNNNNNNNNNNNNNNNNNNNNNNNNNNNNNNNNNNNNNNNNNNNNNNNNNNNNNNNNNNNNNNNNNNNNNNNNNNNNNNNNNNNNNNNNNNNNNNNNNNNNNNNNNNNNNNNNNNNNNNNNNNNNNNNNNNNNNNNNNNNNNNNNNNNNNNNNNNNNNNNNNNNNNNNNNNNNNNNNNNCCUCAGCAUGUAUCUCAUGCAAGAUUACUUGAAGUUCUUGGACUUGACUUACCACAGUCUUGGAAUCUACCAUCUUAUAGUCGAGGAAGCGACCCACAACAAAUUUCUUAGCCCCGGCAUCCUCAGUUUUAUAUUUCCGGUCUAGAGAUUCCCAUAGCUCCUUAGCUGUUUUCUUGUCAGAAUAAACAUUGUACAACGAAUCAGCUAAACCAUUCAUGACAUAAUUUCUACACAAGAAGUCAGAAUGUUUCCAAGCAUCUAUAGCACUGAUGACUUGGAUAUCGUGCUCGUCUUCUUUGAGCUUAGGAGCAUCCUCAGUCAAGAAUCUUGCAAGAUUCAACGUGGUCAAAUAGAAUAACAUCUUUUGUUGCCACCUUUUAAAAUUUAGUCCACUGAACUUCUCUGGUUUUUCUCCUGGUGAGACAGAGAUUGGUACAGCAGUAGGCAUCGCUGGCACUUGGGGCACAGUAGGGGUUGCCACUGGGGCUAAUUCAGUUACAACAACGUUAUCGGAUUCAGUUGUCAUUUUUCUGAAACAUCCAAGAAAAUGUGUCAAUUUCUUUUUUUUCCUUUUUUUUUUUUUUUCAAAAAAAAAAACUUCAAAAAAAACUGAAAAUCACUUUACAGAGUAUUCCCAAGAAAGACUAGUGGGGUAUAAUGACCCAGACCAGGACUAGCUUCCUUAGACAGAAUAUUCAGUUCCCAGGAAAUUGGAGGGGUCACAAAUGGUCCCGCUUAAAUUCCAAUUACCUUAGACAGAACUUCUUUGUAUCAUAAUUUCCAAAUUUUCAAAAGACUUGGUACAAACUUUAUAAGAAGGUAUUUUUCCCAUAAUAAAAAAACAUGAGUCACAGUCCAAUGGUGUCUUACUGAGUUGAGCAUGAGAAAAAGGGCUCAGGUUAAGAGUUCGAAACUUCUUUUUGUAACAAAUGGUUGUUUUUUUUUUUUUUUUUUUCUCUUCUAACAAAAAAACACAAAUUUGAAAUUUUUUUUUUUUUUCAGAUUUGUUUUUUUUUUUUUCCAGAUAAACCCAAUUUCAACAAACUUAAUUUUUUUUUUUCUUCUUCUUCUUCCUGAUAACUUGUUUCCUUUUCACCAACCACUGGUUUUCCUUUGAAAAAAUCUAUUUUAAGAAUGUUAGACAACCACACUGCACACACUGGUUAGUUCAUAAGAAAAUAAAAGAAAACUGAAAAAAAAAAAAAAACAGAAAAUUAAGGAAGAAGAUUAGACCGAGUCUUGUGGAAAACACAAUCUCCUUAAAACAGAUUCGCCUUCUCCACAGGUGCUUUGAGAAUCGCAAGGCGUCUGUCUCCCAGGAUAAAACGAUCUUCGAAUGGCAGCAACAACACUCUGCAGCCACUCAGGCGAACUGGAAAUUGUUCAACUCUAUCACGGACACGGAAGGAAGGAACUCUUCAACACUCUGACAAUACUCCAAAGUUUUUCUGUUCUUUUUUUUAUUUGAAAGAAAGUCUACCACUAUUUAUAAACUUCAAGGAGGGAAGAACACAGACAGGUUCAGAAAGCCAAAAUGAAUUUGGCUUCUUGAGACUCUUAGAAUUCUGGAAAAAUGAAUGAAUUUACUUAAUUCAAUGGAUUUACUUAAUUUCAUUCAUCCCCUUUUUCCAACAGGUUCAGAUAUGAGUGUGAUUACUGUGUUGCUCUCCUCUCGUAUCUGUUUUAUUUUAACAUGGCUGACUCUCAUUUUGGUAUUUGAUUUUAAAACUCUUUUUGCUACACUACUGGUCGGAACCCCUGGAUCUCAAUAUGAAAGGGGAUACCACUUAAUGCUUGGCUCAUUCUGUUUACUUUGUCAUGGGCACACUGUAUCUCGUUUUGUUUCCUCUUCCAUUUCUGGUAUCUCAAUCCAUGUCUUGGCUUCUGGUUCAUGUUUCUGGGUUUGUUUUGGGCUUUUGGUUUUGUAUUCUGAUCUGUGCUUAAGGGAAGAAGCCCUUGGGAGCACGAAUGACAAUGAGUAGAACAUUCAAGCUCUAUAAGUUGUUGGAUUCAACAAUGACCCCUGGUUUCAGAAAAAUGGAGUUUCGAGACGUGUCUAUCAUUGCCUGCCGCUGGUGUGCUUGUUCGUAUUUGCAAGUUCCCCAUUUAACAGAUUGAAUGAGUGCUCCAUUACUCUUGAUGCUUUAAAGUGGGUUGAUUGAGGAAUUGAGAAAGAAAUAAAGCAAGCAAAGCUGUCCUCGAAUGACGCCGGCGGCGAAACGCCUCUGCCAUCACCAGAAUCUUGAGGAACUUGCUUCUCAAAACUCUCUGGUGCUAUUUGAGUGUGUUGCUUUUAAGAGAGAGGACUACUCAGGCUAUAAUAAUAAGAGAAGAGCUGGUUCAAGAUGUGAUGAGCCCUUCCAUUUGGGGGCUUGUAGUACUCCCAAAUCCAGAUUCCUCCACUGCUAUGAAAAUGUCCAGAAUCAUGUGCCGAUCAAGACUCAAUAACAUCCUUAAUUUGCAGCAAUUCUGAUCUCAACCUGUUUAAAUGUUGAAGCUCUGCAAACUGGCCGUGAUGGAUAUAUAUCUGCUGACCUUCGAAACAAGGCUCAAAUGCUUAAUGCUCGUCAAGAAGCUGAGGUUGUUUUCCACAUGACUGUUUCUUCCUCAAUCUUGAUCCUGAAGACACCGAGAAUCGCAGCAAUAGUGCCAGUUCUCGAAGGAGAAUCACUAAAAGCCUUCCAAUAUCAUAUGCUGCUGUAGAAAAUCCAGUUUCUCUGCUUUCGUUUGGUGUAAUUUUCGUACAAUUUGGUAAAGGUUGUUAGGGUCUGGACUAAUCAGGAUUGGUUUUAGGGUUUCGAAUAUUUAGAAAUGAAGAUCGAGGAUUUGGAUGAUGUUGAAUCUGAUGGGAAGGAGAGUGUUUAUAGAAGGCAGGUUGUUAAGGUUGAUGCCAAGAUGGCUUUGGUCGGCGCGGGGGGCUCGGUUCCUCUUUUACUCGACUCUUCUGCAUAAUGUGUUUCGGAACAAGAUUCAGGCAGAGUUCAGAUGGUGGGAUGAAGUUGAUCAGUUCCUUCUGCUUGAUGCGGUUCCAUUUCCUAAGGAUGUCCCACGGCUGAAGCAGCUUGGUGUAGGUGGCGUAAUUACUCUAAAUGAACCUUGUGAAACUUUGAUUCUCACGUCUUGUAUCAUGCUCAUGAGAUAUACCACCUAGAUGUGGCUGAUUCUUGUAGGACUGGUGCUGCAAAAAAAUUGUGAUUUUCGGGUUGGCUCUGUGAUACAAGUCUGUCAUUAUUCCGAUAUUUGCCAUUGCCAUUGCUAUCUAUGUGAGUUUCAGCAUGGCUGUCAUGUAUGGAAUUGCAGUGGCAGCUUUGGGGAAUGCUCAGCACUAUCGCCGCUGGGCUUGCCAUUGAUGUGUACAGCCCCAUAAGUGGCAAUGCUGAUGGUAUCGCUGAAAUGGCUGAAAUGAGUCACAAAAUAUGUCAAAGAACUGAUUCUCGUGCUAGCAUGGGAGGAUAUAUCUCAUCACAAUCUGUGAAGAAAAUCAUUGAAAUUAAUUCCUACAUGCUUGGCACAAUGGCUGGAAGAGCUGCUGAAGACCACAUUAAAUUGUUGCAUCAGCCAACUUAUCGGAAUCAAAGGUUUAAGUUGUGGCUAAGCUAUUUUGAGAUAUAUGGUGGAAAACUCUUUGAUCUUCUCAGUGAUAGAAAGAAACUUUGUAUGAGAAAAGAUGGAAGGCAACAAGUUUGCAUUGUUGGACUGCAAGAAUUUGAAGUUUUUGGAUGUACAGGUUGUGAAAGGGAUCCUUGAGAGAAGUUUCUAUUCUAUGUGGUGGGGUCCCUGUUGAUGAUGAGACGACCUUCAUUGUCACUUUGAUGAGUCAGCCUGCUGCCCAUCUCAAAUAGCUUAUGGAUCAGAAUCCUAUGAGGUUAUAGGAUAUCCUCCUGCAACUGCCAUAAAAAGCCCAACCCCACUCUGCAUGGGUUGCAUGGCCACUUUUGGGCCACAUGUCUUUCUGCCUUUGUUUCACCUUUAUUUUUUAAAAUAAUCCUUCAAAUCCCAGUUUUCAAAUAGUUUCCAAUUUCUCGAUUUUCAAAUAAUUUCAACUUUUCAAAUAUUUAUCCUUAGUUAUUUUUCAGGAUUCAAAAUACCAAUUUCAAUAAAAUUUUGCCGCCAUUUUCUUUUCGACAAGCCACUUUCAAAUUUUCUUUGAUUUUUAAAAAUGUUUUAAAAUAAUUGUGAAUGUAUUUUCGUAAUUCUUAAUUAUAGAAUUUAUGAAAUUAAUUCACUCAAAAAUAAACAGGCUUUGGUGAGGGCCUCACAUAUGUGAUUUAUGAUUGAUUGAUUUAAUUGUCAUGCAUGAUUGAUUUUAUUCUACUCUAUGACCUGCUCGAAAUUAUUUCUUAAUUGUGCACUAACCUCACUUUUUGAUAGCAUAUUAUGGCUCGUCGUCCAGGUACGUAUUCAUUCUCACUCUCGUUAGUUUAUAUGCAUUUUCUGACUCCCAUAUGUGCAUGAUCGCUCUGAGUAUUCAUUGAUUUAUGCAUCAAUUGCCACAUCAGCUUCAUUUUAUUAGUAGAGACCCGACUUUAGGGACUUAGAGGAGUGCUACGGUCUUUACCGUACCUUCCUGAUAAGUAACCUGACCCCCGAGCCCGAUCCGGUUUUUCGCAGACCAUCUUUUCCGAAAUAAGGAGUCACACUUAGGGUUUUUCUUUCUUAUUUUGUUUACCCUUUAAAAAAAUAAAAAUAAAUAAGUGGUGACUCCAAGUUAUUUUCAAAUAAUAAAUCAAUUUUCAAAUUAAAAGAACGAGCUAGCCAUCGAGUGGAAGUGCAUGAGCCGAAAUGCGAGGUCCACACAUACAUAUUUAACACUAAAAAUAAAAAAAAAUUUAGAAAAAGAAAAAUUACAAACAAUCUGACCCUUGGUUUGAAUCCCAUAGUUAUUUAUUUUUUUUAUGCCUAUAUCAAGUGAGUGUGAUAAUGUUAGGGUGAGUGAAAUGGUUGUUUUAUGGGAGAAUAAAAAAAAAAGGAAAAAGAAAAAGAGAAGGAAAGAAUGAAUAGAAUGCGUAUGGAAAAAUAAAAAAGAGAAAGACAAUAAUAAUAAUAAUAAAAAGGAGAAAAAGAAAAAUGAAAAAGAGGAGGAAAGGAAUGAAGUGUAUAUAGAAAAAUGAAAAAGAGAAAGAUAAUGAUGAUAAAAGAAAAAGAAAAAAGAAAAAGAGAAGGAAAGAAGGAAUGUAGUGUAUAAUAAUAAUAAUAAUAAUAAUAAUAGGGAGAGAUACUUGUUUAAAUAAAGGUUGUGUUUAGUUCAAUAAUAAAAGGUUAGUAGAAUAAUAAAGGCAUUAAUUGUGUUAGUAGAAUAAUAAAAUAUUAAGGAAAAGUGGGUUUUGACUCACUAAUUUUAAAAAAAUAUAGAAAAAAAAAACACUAACUUUUAUAAAUUGGUUUUUUCUUCAUCCAUUUAAAAAUAUUUAAAAAUAUAUACAAUUUUUUAUAACUAAAAUAAUUAUUUCUUGAAAUAUCCUUUUACUUGAUAAUAUUAAAUAAAAUUAUCUAAAAUUAAUUUAUCUUUGAUAAAAGCGUUUUAUAAAUAAAUAUAUUAUAAAUUUUAUAUUAUAUAAUAUAAGAUACAAAUCAUUAUAUAAAAAAAAAUUCUAGGAUUUUCAAGUGAUAAAUAAAAUCUUUUUAAUCCCUUAAUUAAUAAUGAUUUUAUAUCUUGUACCAUAUAAAUCCCUUCAUUUUUUUAUUUAUUUUUAAUAAAAUUGAAUAGAAUUUUUUUUAGUUGACAUGAACAAUAAAAUAAGAAUUAUAAAAUUUAAAAUACACUUAAGAUUAAAAUAUAUAAAAAAAUACAAUUAAAAAAAAAUUAAAAAUUAAAAUAUUUACUCUCAUGGCAUUUUCAGCUUUUUCUCAAUAUCUAUACUUUCUGCCGAGGGUUUUAACUAAAUGAAAGUUAUUAUUUUAUUUUUAUAUUUUUAGCUUUAAAUUUUUUUUAGUUUUAAUUGUAUUUUUAAUUUUAAAAAUUUCUUUAUUAAUCUCAAAUUAGUUCUCAUAGUAAAUAUAUAUAUAUAUAUAUUAAUUGGUGUUAUUAACAUUAUAAGUAAAAUGAUUAUUUUAGAAAAUAAUUAUUUGAAUUAUGAAAAAGUGUAUAUAUUUUAUAAUAUUUUUAAAUGAGUGAAAAUAAAAUUAAUUUAUAAAAGUUAAAUUUCUUUUUCCUAUAUUUUAUUAAAUUAGAGAACACUUUUUCCAAGGAUUAAUUGUGUUAGUAGAAUAAUAAAGGGUUAUUGUGGUAGGUAUUUAUCUCCUAUCAUAUCACAUAAUGAUAACAAUUUAUGGUGGUAUAUUUUAUUUGAGAAUUUUAGGUUUCUGGUUCAUAAGUGUGCAUAAAGACAUUUUAAUAAGACUAUAAAAUUUUAUUAGAUUUUAUGAAUUAACUUUUUGGUAUGAGUAAAUUAAUUUAUUGGAGUCCAAUAAAGCGAAUUAAUGAAUUAAGACCUAGGUGAACUAGAUUAGGUGACUUAAUGUCAUGUGCAACAAUUUUAAUUUAUUUAUUUAAGAUAUUUUGGUUUAUUGAAUUAGUUUAAAUAACUAGCAGUAGUGGGCUAGAGAGGGGUUAACGUGAGCUAUUCUUUAGCUAGCUAUUUUUUAGUAAUUGUUGUUGUUUAAUCUCUAAGUUGUUGAGUUUGUUAAGUUAUAAAUUUCCUUAUUCUUGUGCAAUAAAAUCAUCAGAUGAAAAACUUGCAAAAACUUGUCUUUGUUUUUUGCUUUCCAAUUUCUUUCAAUUCUACUCAUAUUUUGUCUUAACAACAUAGCUCGAGGGUGAGGGAGGGGACGGGAUCGUGCCAUUAACUUAGAACAUGACAUAGUGGUAUCAGAGUCGGUUAUGGCUAACGAUCAAUGACUCCAAAGGCUUGAAAAUCAGGUUGAGAACCUGAGUUCAGGUCAAGAAAGGCUCCUUAAGCAUAUGGAAGAACUAGUGGGGGCAAUGAACUCCCGAUUAGACUUGCCGAAGGAAGGGUCCAUCAAUAGGAAUCGGGGACCACAUGGACAGGGUGGUGUUGGGUACGCAGGUAGACUAGUGGUUCCUAAGCUUGCAAAGCUUGAUUUUCCUCGCUAUGAUGGCUCGAAAGAUCCAACUCUAUGGAUUUGCCGCGUAGAACAAUUCUUUAAAAAUGUGUUUAAACUCCAUGGCAUGCCAAGUUCAAUAGUAUGUGAUCGGGACUCCACUUUUAUAAGUGAUUUUUGGAAAGAGCUUUUCAAAUUUCAGGGCACUAGCUUCAAUUUCAGCUCAUCUUACCACCCCCAAAUAGAUGGCCAAACUGAAGCAGUGAAUUGAACUCUUGAGAUGUACCCGCGUUGCUUUACUAGUUCAAGACCAAAGGAGUGGGUUCAAUGGGUUCCUUGGGCUGAAUUAUGUUACAACACCAGUUUACAUGCUUCUACUCGCAAAACUCCCUUCGAAGUGGUGUAUGGAAGAAAGUCUCCCAACUUGCUUUCCUAUGUUCCUAGUACAUCAAAAAUUGAAGCUAUACAUUGAUUGACUAGAUUCUCUUUGAAACCAAAAGUGAUGAGAAUUUUAUGGAACUUAAGAUACCAUUGUUUAGAAGCCUACUUUAGACCAUAUAUGGACUUUUUAAGUUUACAUACCAUAUGUUCCUUGCCUUUAUCCUGAAAACCUUCAGGUUGAUCCAUAUAAACCUCUUCAUGCAAGUCACCAUUCAAGAAGGCAGUUUUAACGUCCAUUUGAUGUAACUCUAAGUCAAAAUGACCUACUAAAGCCAUGACUAUUCUUAAGGAAUCUUUCUUGGAAACAAGAGAAAAUGCUUCCUUAUAGUCGAUUCAUUCCUUUUUAGUGUAUCAUUUUGCAACUAACCUAGCCUUGUAUCUUUCGACAUUUCCCUUAGAAUCAUGUUUGGUUUUAAAAAUCCAUUUGCAACCAAUAGUUUUAAUUCCUUUAGGCAAUUCUAUGAGAUUUGAAACUUCAUUAUCUUUCAUUGAUUUCAACUCUUCUUCCAUAACAUAAAGCCAUAGAGUUGGAUUUUCACGAUUGAUGGCUUAAUCAUAAGAAGUAGGAUCAUUUUCCAAGCCAACAUCAUAAUCCACUCAUUAAAAUAAACUUCAUAGUCAUUUGAUAUAGCAGGUCUUUUCUCUCUUUGUGCUCUACGUAAAGAUACUUCUAUAGUUGGGACAUUCUCAUUUUCAUUAUGAGAAACUUCUUAAGUCACACCAUAUUCCAUCAUUGGUGUUGAUACUUCAUUAGAGGUUAACUUUUUAAACUCAGUUCUCCCACUAAAAUAUUCAUUUUCUACAAACACAGCAUGUCUAGUUUCAACAAUUUUAGGGCCUAACCAUGACAAUAAAAUCUAAAACCUUUUGAUCUUUUAAGAUAGUUAAUGAAAUUACAACUUAUGCUUUUAGAAUCCAAUUUCUUUAUUUGUCGGUUAAAAUUUUUAGCUUCAGUUGGACAUCCCCACACAUGUAAAUAAUUCAAAGUUGGUUUCCUACCCACCCAUAACUCAUAAGGAGUUUUGGGUAUAGCCUUACUAAGAACACGAUUGAGAAUGUGAACAACAUUUUUCAAUGCUUCACCCCAUAAAAAUUCAAGCAAGGUUGAGUUACUCAUCAUACUUCUCCCCAUGUCAAUUAGAGUAUAAUUUCGUCGUUCUGCUACACCAUUUUGCUCUGGUGUUCCAGGCAUUAUGUAGUUUGCAAUGAUACCAUGCUCUCUUAAAAAUAAGGCAAAAGCACUAAGAUGUUGACCUAAUUCGGUGAACCUACCAUAAUAUUCACCACCUCUAUCAGAUCUUACACUUUUAAUUUAACGAUUGAGCUGGUUUUCAACCUUAGUUUUAUAAAUCUUAAAAACAUCUAAUGCUUCAAUUUUUUCACGAAUAAGAUACACAUAAGAUACAUCAUUACCUUGCUUUUUUUUUUUCUUAUAUUUUUACCUUUCUUGAAGGCUUUUUUAUUUGGACCAAUAGUGAGGUGAACCAUAUCAGACUUUUCCUCUUUAAGCCUCUCUUCUUCUUGAACACACAUGGUAAUUAGUUCACUCAUUUUUCACUUAUCCUUCUGAGUAUUAUAAUUAAUUUUGAAAGGACCAAAUUUUGAAGGAAGGGAAGUCAUUAUGAAGUGAACAAGAAAACCUUCAGAAAUUGCCAUGUCCAUUCCUCUCAAUUGAGAAGCCACAUCACUCAUCUUCAUGAUGUGCUCGAUCAUGUACACCACUAUGACCAUCAUAUUUCAUUGUUAUCAUUUUGAUCAUAAGAGUAAUUGCCAAGGACUUGGAAGUUCCUAAGAAUUGUUAUUCAACUGAUUUAAUAUAGCUAAUUGCAUUAUAUAAAUCUGGGAUUGCUCCACGAAUUGUAAGAGUGAUUGAACCUUUCAUAAUCAUUAGGCUCAUGCGAUUAGAACGCUCCCACUUUUCAUAUAAAUUGCCUUUUGUUCAUUAGUACUUUCAGAAGUAGGCUUUGUGGGUGUAGGCUUUCUUAAGGCAUAGUCCAAAUCCAUGCAACCAAAAACAUUUCCAAUUUGUUCCUUCCAUUUUUUAAAAUUUGCCCCACUUAAUUGUUCAAUACCAGACAAAUAACCUGUAAUAGUAGUAGGAUUCAUUGCUGCAAAAUAAAAUUUAAUUCAAAAGAAAAAUUAUUUUACAUCAUAAUAAUAUUUAACACCACACUUUACAAUAAUCUAACUACAACAAAAAUUAAGUUAGAUAUCACAUUAUUCAUAAAUAUAAGAAGAUAUCAUAUCAUGGUUCUUUCAUUGGACUGAACUACAAUCACAUAAUUAAAAAGUAUAUUAUUAUAAUCCCUCCGUUGGGUUGAAUUAUAAUAAUUCAUAAAUCAUAUAGAUAUGACAUAAUUAUUAAAAUAAAAGUAUUGAAAUGUAAAUGAUUCGUCCUAAAGUGCUUCUGUGCCAUUUGAUUCUAGCCCAGAUGGGUGUCAUCAACAAAAUUUAUAAACCUAUUUCACCAUACACUAGGGAAGCAUAGCUAGCAUAGCAUAGUGGCUCUAGGAUCGUCCACAGGGAUGGGUUUUCAUGGGACAAUUGAUAUUAGUUAAGAUACUGAAAUGGUGCUUUUCCUUUUGAAAGUUAGCUUUAAAAGAAAAUGUAAUUGUGGGUGGAAAAUGUUGAUUUUAAGUUAACCAAAAAUAGUAACUGAAAUUAAUUACAAAGAAAAGGUUUCUUGGAGUUUUAGGUCACUAGGUUUAGGUUCCUUAGGCAAAGGGGGAGAUUCCGGAUCUUUUCCUCGCGUUGGGAACAAUAACAUAAAUGAUGGUUAUCUCCCGAACCGGAUUUACAUUUAGCAAUUAGGAUUUGAUCCAAACGUGUUCCUAAAAACUGUAGUUGCUUCCCAUUAAUGGCUUCAAACACUAAAGACCUCUCCCUAUGAAUCAUCUUCCAAUGACUCGUAAAUGAUAACUAAUAGACAUCCAUGGAUCAAGCAAUAAGCAUCCAUGGAGCCCAAAAAGCUUACCAAGUAUUGGUCAUUUUGGGUAAUCCUACCUUUAAACCACAUUCCAGAGGCUCGCAAAUGAUAACUAAUAGACAUCCAUGGGGUUCGAAAAGCUUACCAAGUAUUGGCCCAGGUGAUUUUAAGGGAUUUUAAGUUAAACCUUGAAAUAAAAACCAUUAACUGGUAAUAACUCUCCUCAUUUAAAGCAAGGAAAACUCCCACCUUUGCACUCAGGUCCUUCACCUAACUUCCAUCACUCCAAGAAACGUAAAACCUAGCCACUCAUCCCUUGAGAAAUUAUCCUCAGAGGUUGUUUGGCUAGCAAGAAAAGUAAAAACAAAACAAAAUGAGAAGGAAAGGCAAAGCAACAGCUCUGUAUAUUUCUUCGUACCAGAAUUUACAAGUGUUCCUUGAAAAACAUCCAUCAUAAUAUCACACAUAUCUCUCCUUAUAUAUCUACUACCUAAAAGAUAUAUAAAAAAAUAAAAAAGAAAAUAUCUAAAAACUAAAAACUAAAUAAAAGGUAUACUAAAAUAUGAACAAUAAAGAAAUAAAAAGAGUUAGUAAAAGGAAAGGAAAAUAUCACAAGUACUCUGAAAAGGUCAUAUCACUGUAAAGUGGCACCGUCCCCGGCAACGGCGCCAUUUGAUUCGUGCCCAAUUGGUGUCUCAGUUGAUUCAUGUCCAGCUGGUGCUCCUUGAUUGAGGGAGUAAUCAACAAAAUUUAUAACCUAUUACACCAUAUACUAGGGUAGCAAAGACAAAGCUACUAUAGCAUAGUGGCUCUAGGAUCGUUCACUGGGAUGGGUUUUCACUUUGCAAAUGAUAUUAAUUCAAAGCUGAAUUGGUGCCUUUUCAUUUCAAGGUUAGCUUUAAAAGAAAACAUAAAGAUGUUUGAAAAAAAAAAGUUUGGUUUUAAACUAACCAAAAAUAGUAACUGAUUUUACUUACAAAGAAAAAUGUUUCUUGGAGUUUCAGAUCACUAGGCUCAGAUUCCUCAUACAAAAAGGGAGUUCCGGUCACUUGUUUCUUUUCCUCGCAUUAGAGAAUUAACAUAUAGUUCCUUCUCCAACCGGUGUUGUACAGAUACUUCCCAUUAAUGGGUUCAAACACUAAAUCCCUCUCACUGAUGCACCUUGCAAUGGCUCAUACCUCUCACCUAGCACUUGCCAUUCAAGGAGAUCUUUAACCUUGGAUUACCCGUCAAAAGCUCGCAAGAGAUAACUAAUGGAUGUCUCCUUGGAGUCUAAAAGCUUACCAAGUGUUGGCUAUUCUAGAAAAUCCUACCUUCAAGUCACCUCCCAAAAGCUCGCAAGAGAUAAACUAGUGAAUCUCCAUGGACGGAGAUCACUUGUCUUACCAAGUGUUGACUCAGGUGAAUUAAAGGCGUUUUAAGUUAACUAAAAAGAUAAAAACCAUUAACGGGUCACACUUUUUCUUCAUUAAAAACUAAAACAACAAAACUUCCAAUUUAUGCAUGUGGAAACUUACCCGACUUUCUUCACUCUAAGAGACAAAGAGCCUAGCCUCUCAUCCUCUGAGGAAAAAUCCUCAGAGUUUGAUUGGCUAGAAAGAAAACUAACGAGAAAACAAGAAUAUAUAUGAAAAACAGAGCAAGUGCUCUGUUCGUUGAUUCUAUAUAUGAUAUAUCUAUAUAUUUCUAUAUCUAUUACGGUGGAUGCAAGGGAAUAUAUAUAAAGACGUUUUUCCAACCUUCCUAACUAAGAAAUCUUAUGGUUGGUGGAUUACAAGGAGAAAAAUGGAAAUUCAUACAAAAAUAUCUGAAGAAAAAUAUCCCAAAGUGUCGGUCGCAAAUAUCGGGAAGCACUAAGGACCAUUUCGCAGGUGAAAACGAGGUCUGCGAGAUUUCGCAGACGCACAAAAAUGGCUGUGAAAUCACUUCGCAGCAAAAGGCUGAUUUCGCAGCGCUGCGAAGUUGGCUUUCAGCUUGCGGUGUUCGGCUUCCAACAUGUCGCAAUUAUUGGGAAACUUCAGGAGGAAAUCCACAGCACUGUGCAAAAAGGCUGCGAAAUCAUUUCGCAAUAAAAGGGUGAUUUCGCAACCGUGCAAAAUUCUUCCUUCAGCUUGGAGUGAUCGGAUUGAAAUGGUUGUAACUCCUUAACUUCAACUCCAAAUCACGCACUGUUUGAAGCAUUGGAUUCUUGACUUCCUGAGCUUUGAAAUGGUAUAUAACAUGUAGAAAAUGGACUUCGGGAAGUGCUCCAAAAGUGCGAAAGAAGACUAAAGCUACUGUCCUCUGUUUUCCUCUCUCCAGUGCUCUUUCCUUGCAUACUUUGAACGACUAAGGCAAAGGACUAUGAGGCUCCAAAGCUUGGUUUCUUCAUGAAUUUGAGCUUCCAAAAGCUUUGCCAUGAACUAUAUACAGCUCUCCCUCAUUCUUAAAUUGCUUUGGUGAGCAAAAAACUAUCAAAAACACAAAAACUUAACACAAUUUGAUUAGAAACAAUUACAAGGGUCCUUAACAUGCCAAUUGAGUUAAAAGGUAAUAACUACUACUCAAAAGUGUUUAAAAGAGUUAAUUAAAAGCUAUGAAAUAACACUUUUUGAGUAGUAAUCAGGUUACAAGGAGAAACUAGGAAAUUACACAAAAUAUCUGAAGAUAAAAAUCUAACAGAGUCGGUGCAUAAAUAUCUGGAGAUUACACAAUAAGUUUUGCAUGGUAUUCAAAAUUCCUUCAUGGUUGCAUCUUGGUUUCGUACUGUGUUUGAAAUUUUGCAUAGGGUGAGAAAUUUCUUUCACUCAUUCCUGCUCUCUAUCCUACAACUAUUGAAGCUCCUCUUGAUUUCACAUGCUAUGAGAAAAUUUUGCAUAGCCAUGCGAAAUUGCUGGUUACUAGAUUUCUUCUCUGAUUCUCUUCCUUGUAUACUUGAUUGGCUUCGCAAAGCGCUAUGAAGCUCCAAAGUUUGGAUUCUUCAUGUAAUUGAGCUUCAACUUGCUUUGCCAUGGACUACACAAAGUUCUCCCUCAUUCUUGGCUUGUUUUAAUGAUCAAAAGGCUACCAAAAACACCAAAACUUGCCAAAAAUUGAUCAAUAACACUUGCAAGGGUCCUUAAUGUGCCAAUUGAGUUAAAAGAUAUUAAUUACUACUCAAAAGUGUUUAAAACAGUUAAUUUCAAGCUAUAAAAGAGCACUUUUUAAGUAGUAAUCACUCCCCCUAACAGACAUAUUGCUAGUCCUUUAGCAAUGAAGGAGAGAUAAAGAAAAAUAAACAGUAAAAUAAUUUACAAAAUCAUACUGAUCACUCCAAAAAAAUUUCAAGUGGCAUGAUGUGGAUCAUACUCUCUCAUGGAACAUUAAGGAGGCAAAACCCAACCUUCAACAAGAGCCAUCAAAUAUCUUGCCUAAUCACAAUUUAUAAAAAGUAGGCAUUUUGAAAAUUUAAGUAUAAAAGGAAUUUCUACUCCCAAAGGGCCAAACCUUACUCUUCCACAAAAAUCUAUGUGUUAUUUAUUAGUUUCCAAAGAUAGUAUGUCGAACUAUUCUCUCCCCCCAUCCUAGUUCUUUCUCAAAUCUUAGCAAACUGAUCAACCUCCAAUAGGCUAAGAACGUACCUCUUUUAUUUCACAAUUUUUUUUCAUUGUAGGAGUGCAAUGCUAAAGGUAUUGUUUUCUAAAGUGUCCAUGUAACGAGGAUCCAUCGAUGACUCCCAACCAAUCAAGGUUUAGGGCAUCAAGCUUUAAGGAUGUUUCGACCACUAACUCCUCGGAUUUUACCCCGGACUUUUGAGAUUGGAAUUUAAUACCCAAGCACCUACAAUAUGUUAAACUCCACCUAUUCACUCUUGUAACAAGCAUUGAGGUCGGUGACUCCCAAACAAUAAAGGCUUAGGGCACCGGGUUUUAAAGACUUUCUCCAUAUACCCCUCGGACCUUGCUCGGGUUUCAAGGCAAGAGUAACACUUUGUUCUUUCUUAUAUUUUUUUUCAAAGGCUCAUUAGCCCUUUAUAAAGUGUCCCAACACUAUUAAAACGAGGUCAAAGGUACCAAGUUGAAAUUUUCCUAAGUUCAGGGGGUGAGAUAGUUUUUCAUCUUAUAAACGGAACCUAAUGUGCAUAAUGUGUGGUAAGAUUAAAGUGGAAGAAAUAAGAUUGAAUUCAAUAGGAGUUUCAAUAAUUCAUCAAUCUCAAUACGCAUAAUACAAACUCUAAGAUUCAAGUAAAAAGGUAAGAAUUCAAUUUCUCCCAUUUCAUUUUGAGAAUUUUUUCUUAAUAAUCACAAAGAGUAGAGUAAAAACUUUUAAAUAUAAGCAAAAAGUACUAAAUUAACAAUAUAACCUAGCAUUAUUAACAAAACUUCCUUUCUCAACUCUCCCCCCAACCAAGAUGAACAUUGCCCUCAAUGUGGCAAGAACGAUUGUAAAUAAAGGGAGGAAGUGGUACCUCCUGAGUGAAAUGGAGUCUAAGACGUAUAGGAGAAACCACAUGAUUCAAAAAACAAAAGAGUAAUGAGUAGAGGAAAUAGAAAAAUGCCAAGUAUAAACAAAAAUGAUGUCUAUAUAUUAAUCUAUAUUAAUAUGAGAAAGUACAAUAUGAGAUAUGAUCAGGUAAUGCAUCUAAUCUCAUAAUAUAAAGCAUCAAAACAAGGAACAAUCCACUAAUAUAAUAUGUAAAUACAAUAGGAUAAAGAGAUGUCCUAUGAUCAAGUAGCGGAGGCCUCUGGUAGAGAUGAUGCAUCCUCAGGUGGGGCGUCGCAAGGUGGCAGAGGGAUUCGCAGGGCGUUUUGGUUUUCGCACAAUGCCUUUUGGAAUUCGCUUAGUGAAUUUGGGUGUGCGAAAUGGGUUCGCAGAUCCCUUAUAAUUUCACACAAUAAACUCGCACAGCAAAUUCGCAAAGCAAAUUCGUAGACCAAAUUUUUGCACAGUAAAUUUACACAUGAAUUUCGCACACAAAUUUUGCAUGCCCUGCGAAUUUUUUUUUUUCUUUUAGUGCUCUACAAAAAUUUCGUGGAGUGUGCGAAAUUUUGUGUUCGUAGGGUGUGCGAAAGUUUCGCACCCCAUGCGAAAUGAACCAUGAAUUUCGCAGGGUGUGCGAAUUGCCUUAGUUUUCAGGGUUUUUCCUUUGCCAAAAAUAUUUAAGGAUAUGCCCAACUGUUUUGAAGUCCCCCUUGCAAUUGAUCAUAAAAAAACCUAAGUUAAAUCAAACCAAAGUAAAAUUAAAGCAAGAAAUCAAAAUCAAAAUAGUUCAAAACUAAAACAAAAAGAUAUGGACUUGCUAGUCUUUAGAAAGACUAAAUCCAUCCAAACCUUGGUCCUGUUUCAGCUUGCCUGGAUCCCAAACUUUUUCUCCCUUAUAAGGUCUUUGUGUCUCCUCCUCAUUGACUAAGGGUUCAAGUAACCCUUCAUCAUGCUUUGGCUUGGAUGUGUGCUAACCAACCUCUUUAUCACUCCUCACGAUGAUAACUGCUUUGACUUCCAUCACUUGUGAAGAUUCUCCCUCUCGAGCCUCCACUUCAUGGAUACCCUUGGGAUUUUGAUAAGAUUGAGAAGGAAACUUUCCUUUUUCUUGCACUAUGUUGAGGUUGGUAAGCCUUGAGAUUGCGUAUUGGAGAUUGUCUAUCUUCUGAGACAGAUCAUUUUGCAUCCCAUCCAGCUUUUUGUUCAAUGUACUCUCCACACUAUCAAUUCUCUGAUUCAGUUGAGCAUUGAUGAACUUCUGAUCUGCCACAAAGUCUCCCACAACCUUGCUAAGGUUCACUAUAGCUUGUUCAAGAUUCGAGCCUUGCGGAGGUGUGUGGUCAGGUUAUGUGUACUAAGGUGGCCUUGGUUUCCAAGAGAAAUUUGGAUGGUUCCUCCAAUUUGAAUUGUAGGUGUUGCGAUCACCAAACAUCUCUCUUACGGUUGGAAUGGUAAGACACUCCUUCACCAAGUGCUCAUAAGAUAGACAAAUGGAACAAGGGAUAACUUGCACUGGUUUCUCAAAAAUGGUGUGCGCUUCUUGUAUCUUCCUCAUUUCUAGCUCCUCCAAUCUUCUCACCAUAGCUGCAACUUUUGCCUUCAUGUCAAUGUCUUCAUUCAAAAUAUACAUCCCAACCUUAGCAUUAGGUUGAGACUUCAUUUUUCCCACUUCUUGAGCAUUUGGUUCAUCCCAUCCUCUUGAAACUUCAGUAACAUAAUUCAAAAAGUCCAUGGCUUUUUCCGAAUUCUUACUCAUGAAGUCUCCUCCACACAUAGUUUCUAGGAGUUGCUUCAUUGAAGAAGACAUACCAACGUAAAAAUAGCUCACUAAGAGCCAUGUGUCAAAGCCAUGGUGAGGACAAGCAUUGAUAGCUUCCAUGUACCUUUCCCAACACUCAUAGAAUUUCUCAUUCUCUUUAGCCGAGAAGUUCGAAAUUUACAUUUUCAAACCGUUGGUCCUAUGAGUAUGGAGGAACUUCUUAAGAAACUCGGCUUGCAAAUCAGUCCAAGUUCGGAUACUCCUUAACCUUAAAGAAUUAAGUCAAAUCUUGGUCUUAUCCUUCAAAGUGAAAGGGAAUAGCUUAAGCCUCAUCAAGUCAAUUAGAGCUCCUCCUUCUUGGAAUGUAUUACAAACCUCCUCGAAUUCUUUAAUAUAAGAGUAAGGAUUCUCACUUUCCAUCUCAUGGAAAGUAGGUAGGAGUGGCAUAAUGUGAGGUCGGAUUACUAGCUGCUUAGUGGGAGGCACUAUGCAUGACGGUGCACUCAUACGAGGUGGAUGCAUGCGGUCCCUCAUGGAUCGGUAUGCGUUGAAAUUAUCCUCUUGACCAUGUUGGCUAAAAUGAUCUUCAGGUGGAACAUCCAUGAUGUUUAAGCACACUUCCAACUCAGUUUCUCGAGGAGUUUCAAUCUUCACCAGUCUUCCAUCAAUAUCUCUUAUCCAAUUGGGCAUGCACAACUAGCAAUCACUAAAACAAAAACAAAGAAAACAAAAGCAAUACAAUACUAGGAAAAAGUUAAGGUUAGCUAAAAACUAAAUAAAAUAUAAAUAUAAACAAAGAAAAAGAAUUAGUAAAAAGAAAAAUCGCCAAACUUGUGAUGAAGAUCACAAGUAUUCACCAAAAGCGUUGUCAAUGUACUAUGGCACCAUCCUUGGCAACAACGCCAUUUGAUUCAUCCCAAAGUGCUUCUGUGCCAUUUGAUUUUGGCCUAAACGGGUGUCAUCAACAAAAUUUAUAAACCUAUUUCACCAUACACUAGGGUAGCAUAGCUAGCAUAGUAUAGUGGCUCUAGGAUCGUCCACAAGGAUGGGUUUUCAUGGUACAAUUGAUAUUAGUUAAGAUACUGAAAUGGUGUUUUUCCUUUUGAAAGUUAACUUUAAAAGAAAAUGUAAUUGUGGGUGGAAAAGGUUGAUUUUAAGUUAACCAAAAAUAGUAACUAAAAUUAAUUACAAAGAAAAGGUUUCUUGGAGUUUUAGGUCACUAGGUUCAAGUUCCUUAGGCAAAGGGGGAGAUUCCGGAUCUUUUCCUCGCGCUAGGGACAAUAACAUAAAUGAUGGUUAUCUCCCGAACCGGAUUUACAUUUAGCAAUUAGGAUUUGAUCCAAACGUGUUCCUAAAAACUAUAGUUGCUUCCCAUUAAUGACUUCAAACACUAAAGACCUCUCACUGUGAAUCAUCUUCCAAUGGCUCAUAAAUGAUAACUAAUAGACAUCCAUAAAUCAAGCAAUAAGCAUCCAUCGAGCUCGAAAAGCUUACCAAGUAUUGGCCAUUCUGGGUAAUCCUACCUUUAAACCACAUUCCAGAGGCUCGUAAAUGAUAACUAAUAGACAUCCAUGAGGUCCGAAAAGCUUACCAAGUAUUGGCCUAGGUGAUUUUAAGGGAUUUUAAGUUAAACCUUGAAAUAAAAACCAUUAACGGGUAACAACUCUCGUCAUUUAAAGCAAGGAAAACUUCCACCUUUGCACUCACGUCCGUCACCUAACUUCCAUCACUCCAAGAAAUGUAAAACCUAGCCACUCAUCCCCUGAGAAAUCAUCCUCAGAGGUUGUUUGGCUAGCAAGAAAAGUAAAAAAAACAAAAUGAGAAGAAAAGACAGAGCAACAACUUUGUAUAUUUCUUCGUACCAGAAUUUACAAGUGUUCCUUGAAAAACAUCCAUCAUAAUGUCACACAUAUCUCUCCUUAUAUAUCUGCUACCUAAAAGAUAUAAAAGAAAAUAUCUAAGUUAGUUACUAGGAGAAACUAGGAAAUUACACAAAAUAUCUGAAGAUAAAAAUCUAACGGAGUCGGUGCACAAAUAUCUGGAGAUUACACAAGAAGAUUUUGCAUACCAUGCAAAGUUUCGCAUGGUAUUCAAAAUUCCUUUAUGGUUGCAUCUUGGUUUUGCAUGGUGUUUGAAAUUUCGCACAGGGUGCGAAAUUUCUUUCACUCAAAGCUCCUCUUGAUUUCGCAUAGCCAUGAGAAAUUGCUGGUGGCUAGAUUUCUUCUCUGAUUCUCUUCCUUGCAUACUUGAUUGUCUUGGCAAAGGGCUAUGAAGCUCCAAAGCUUGGAUUCUUCAUGUAAUUGAGCUUCAACUUGCUUUGCCAUGGACUACACAAAGUUCUCUCUCAUUCUUGGCUUGUUUUAAUGAUAAAAAAGCUACCAAAAACACCAAAACUUGCUAAAAACUGAUUAAUAACACUUGCAAGGGUCCUUAAUGUGCCAAUUGAGUUAAAAGGUAUUAACUACUACUCAAAAGUGUUUAAAACAGUUAAUUUCAAGCUAUAAAAGAGCAUUUUUUCAGUAGUAAUCAGUAAAGAAGUUUAAAUCAUUGUGUAAAAACUUCAUCAACCUUUUAUUAUUUAACUUUAGUCAUAUAAUCAAACAUGGUGAUGAUUCUCCGUGGGGUUGAUCAACACUUGUUUCAUAAGUUGAACAACACCCACACAUAUGAUUAUCUUCAAACAAAAAAGUAAAUAAACAUACAUACUAAAAAAACUAUUUCUUGAGAUUUCCAUAAUCACAUAUUUAAGUUACUAAUUAUAUUUUUGUAAUUUUCAUAAAAUCAUACAAUAAAUAUGAUUGAAAUCAUGAAACAUUGAAAAUGUGUGUUACUACAUCAUUCAUAUGCAUCACAUGAUAUAUAUUUUAGUUGUCCAUAAGAUUAAACAAUAAUCAAAAAUGAAAAAAAAAUAUGUUUUAUGAUCCAAAAUUGGUUGGCUUUGAUACCAAUUGUUAACCAAACUUUUAUAAACUUUAUGCGGAAAUAAUUAUUUUUAAAAACAAUUUUGGAUGCAUGAAACAAAAUAAAUAUAAGUACUAAAAUAAUAAUCAUAUUCUUACCUUAAUCCAUGAUACCAAUAACACUUUUGAGGUGAGAUUGAGUCACCUUGUGAAUUGUAUUGUUAAGGUCUUCAACUCACUACUCUCAUAUAGUGGAUGGGUCAUUUGUGUGGUGUAUGUUGUUAAAAAUAAAACAACAAAAGGACAUAAGAGUGAGAAUGUGGCUUGGGACCUUAACUUAUAAUAAGUUGUACAUCUCUUAGUCUUCCCAUCAAAGACUCUAUGGGAGUUAUACUCAUUAUUUACAACCAUUAUGUACAAAUUAAUGGGUAAUGGUGAGUUAUUAACUUGAAUGCAUCUAUAUAAUUGCAUAGGUUAUACUUUUCCAUUUUCCUCCAUUACUCAUGAACAUAAUGUACAAAUUAAAUUUCAUAAUGAUGAGGUUACAAAAGUUGUAAUACUACAUUCAUAUAAAUUAAAUUUUCUAACUCUCCAUUUAUAAUUUAAGUCUUCCAUACAUAAGAUUCUUGGAUGCCCAAUCAAUUGAUUCACCUACCUAUCAAUUGAUACCCUUAAAUAAUAUUUACAUAAAUAUAAUUAUAUAUGACCACAUAUUAUAGGAAAAAAGCUAACAACUACAAGAAUAAAGAAGCCUUUAGAGCUUAUUUAUGUGGAUGUGCAACCUAAUUCAUCCAAGUUCUUUUGGUAAGAAUAAAUAUUUUUGCUUUUCAUUAAUGAUUUUAGUAGAGAUUAUAGUUUCUUAGCAUAGUUGCUCUUCAAGCACUUGCCUACAAUCUCACAUUCGACUUUGUUUAUGCUAUAUGAAUUUGUGGAAUAGUUUCAAUUUGACUUUUAUGUCUCAUCUUAGCCUAGCUAAAGUGACAUUCCAAAUAUAUAGUUUAUUUUGAUUGCUUUCUUAGUACUAAAAUAAAUAUCAUUUCAUUUUGCAUGCCAUCUAAGCACUAAGGUGAUUGCUCAUGUGAAUGGACCAAUCUAAAUCUGGUGAUAAUCAAAUAAUGUAUGUUGGUGGUAUCAAUAAAACUAAAAUGAAAUCCACAUCUAUGAGGAAUAAAUGCAUAAGAUACCUAUAAAUAAAAUGUGAAUACAAGAGGUGCCCAAAAAUAAAAUAGAUAUAAUGUUGGGAUUGAGUCCUUAAAAGCAAGACAUGAUGUAACAAAGUUAGAUUUAAUUGUCCCUUUGUUAUUCUUUUGGUGUAUUGACAUUGAUUUGUGCAUUCAACUCUUAUUUCUUACAUUGUACAUGACUUGGGUUUAUUAAGCGUUGCAUAGAAAAUAUAUGUCAUGGGUUCCUUGUAAGUAAAUAAGUUGUCCACGAUCAAUUCAUGGAUUUGGGCAAUCCAGUAGAGAUUGUAGUGCACAAUGUUCUAAUUGGAGGGAUAGUUUGUCUUGGUUGUCGGGAUGAGCUUCUCAUAGUAAGUGCAGUAGUGUAUGUGAUGUACACUGGUCAAAACUUAUGGUGAAUCAUGAUGCAAGACUAUCAAUUGUUAUGAUUCACCAAACUAUUAUACUACAUGAACUCGCAACCUUGAGAAGAUAUUGAGUUUGUGCCAAAAUCAAUAGGAGGCUUUGACUUAUUGGUGAGAUCCUAAAGUAGUCAUAUAUCCAAAUGGAUUAGGUCACUAUUGAUGGAGGCUAGUGACAACAAGUAUUCUCAAUAUAGGCACCAUUAUAUCUCAUGGGAUCUAGACAGUGUGGCCCCUUAGGUAAUCCAAAGGACAUGUGAUCAUGAAAUUUAUGGCGUUGCAGUAAUUCUUUAAGUGAAAUUUGACAUAUGCCCUUUAUGAGAUAGUGUAUGUCAUUUGAUCAUAUAAUAAGUAAGGUUUAUAACUCAAGGAUUAAAGAGGUAAUCUUGAUAAGUAAUUGUAGACCCUUCAUUUUGUCCUCUUAACACAUGUGAUACUAGUUUUUCUUCCAAUGCUUUUUUCUUAACUCAUCUCUUGGUGGUCCAUUAGCUCUUCUAUCUUUUUUUUUUAAGCCACCUUCAAGGACCCUUCAUUGACGGGCUCAUUUAGAUGACCUUGGUCACCCUUUAAGCUUAGGUUAGGUUUCACUUAGAGGUAUUUGCACUUAGUUCACUUAGGCACUUUUUAGGUUAGCUUUCACUUUGACACUUUCCUAGACUUAGAUCACAUAGACACCUUUUAAGUAUAGGUUCACUGAGAGGUUUUUUGAGCUUAGUUCACAUAGGUUUGUUUUUUGAUUUUAAUUACUUGAUUUUUGACAUUAGGUGAGUAUUUGACUUAUUUUUUUUUUUUAUUGUUUGAGGUGAAUUUUUGAUAUUUAAUUAUGUGAGUUUGAUAUUUCAUUUUUUGAUUUUAUCUAUUCCCUUAGUUUAAUAUUUUGACUUUUGUGAUUACAUGAGUUUAAUAUUUAUUUAUUUAUUUAUUUGCUUAUUUAUUUUUUAGGAAAAUUGCAUCAGGUUGGUUCUAAUUAUUUUUCUAGUUGUAUAAAUUAAUUUUUUUAUUUUCUUAUAUAUGUAUGUGAUUGAUUUUUAUUUAUUUAUUUAUUUUUUUUACUUUUCAUAAUUCCUAACUUCUAUUUUUUUUUUAUCUGAGAUUUCGGUGACUUUCCAAACAAAGAAGAUGGGCAUCUCGCAUAUGAUUCUUGAGGGAGUAUUAACGUGCACAAGGAAUGAUUUGAAAGGAUCCUGCACACUGCCAUAUAAAUCCAUGCGCAACAUGCAUCAAAGGAAACAAAUGGCAUUCUCCAUAUUGAGCCACGCACAGCCCAUAAAAGUGUACUGCCACUUUCCAUUCAGGAAUGAGAAGGCACAUGACACCUAAGAGAUUUUGGAGCCACCACGCACAUUUUUCUCUAAAAGGAAAGCACAACCACUUUCUAUAGGAGAGAGGUCUGCCAUCCGAGGCAUGCCGCAUUCAUGGAGGUCUUUUUUUAAGAGGAUUCAGCCUGCAGAAAUCGGGAAGAGGCUGCCCAUUGAAAAGAUCUCCACCGCCAGAUUUUUAGAGCAGCACGCACCAUUGAAAAAUAAGGAAUUCUUUUAGCUUAUGUUUGCUUACCAAAAAUGAAUAUGAAAAGAAAAAAAAUAUUGAGGAUUUCUAUUGCACUAUAAAAAAUAGGAAAGAAAACUAAAUAUAAUUAAAAUUAAUUUCAAAUUUAUAUAUUUUAAAAUUAUUGAGUUUUUAUAUAAUAGAUGAAAAUAAGUUAAAUGCAUUUGAAAAAUAAUUUGUUGAUUUUGAAUUUAUUUUUUCUUUUCUUCCAUUUUUUUCAUUAUUUUCUUUUCCUCAAUUUUUCUCGGAACCAAACAUUAGCUUAGGAUUUUGAAACUGGAAAUGGAAAUGAGACAUAAAACAUGUUUUCUGGUGGCAUGUUUUGAAAGCUGUUUAAGAAAACGUUUUGCCAAGAAAAGUCAUUAAAAAAUCUUUAAAAAUGCAAGCACUAUAAUAAUUGAAAAUGAUACAAAAAGGAAGUGUUUACUGGUUUUGACUUUGGUAACAAACAGCCUGAACCUUACCUUGACAAACAAACAGACAGAGCAUUCUACUGCCAAUGUUGGCUCGCAAAACAGUAUCAAGAAAGUAAUAUAAUAAUAACAUAUUUAUUUAAAUAGAGAUUGUGUUUAGUGGAACAAUUAAAGGGUAAAUUAUGUUUGGUGGAAUAAUAAAGGGUUUCUGUGGCCUGUAUCUCCCUACCCAUAUCACAAAUUGAAAAAAAUAAAUAAAAAAUAUAAGAAAAAUAAAAUUUGUAAAAAAUAUAAGUCUAGAUCAAAUAAAUAAAAGGAAUAGGUGUUAAAGUAGAUUUAGCUUAAACAAAAAAUAAAAAAGAAGAUUCUUAGAAACAAAUUUAGGGAACAAGAGUUUUACAUAAAAUUGGAAUUUAGAAAGUAAUUAGUUAAAUUGAAAUAAAUUAAUAACAAUAAAUAAUAUUAACAUAAAAUUUAUUAAGAAUAUCAAACUAUAAUUUUAGAUAAAUUGUUAAUAUUAGUAUUUGUUUUUUAGGUACAUUAGGCUAGGUUAUGUUUAAGCUCUCAAUAUUUAAAAUUUUUAGUUCUUCAAUAUAAAGGGAAAUCAAUACAAAUUUUGUAAAAGAAAAUAUUUUUUUUGUAUAUAUUAUUUUUAAAUUAUAUCAAAUAUUAUUUUGUUUCUUUACAUGGAUCAAAUACAUUUUACAUGAAAAAUAUGUUAGAUUAUCUUUGACUAUUUAUAACAAAAAAUACACAUAUUUUGCGAGUUCAAAUAAAAUGAAACAAAUUGUUUAACUUUGGUUUAUUUUACCCUAGUUGACAAAGGGAUUAUUAUCGACCUUUAUAUUCCUUUGUUGGGAAAUAUGAUUGCAUUGAACCUCAAUCUCUAUGGGUUUGGUUAGAGGCUUUGGACCUUAUAUAGUUUUAUUUCACCCACCUUAAAAAGUAAGGCUACCCAUUUGUAAAGUCCCAUUUAAUUGGGCUUUGUUUUCUCUUUCUUAGCACUAGUAGGAAAAAUGCAAUUUAUGGCGCUUGAUUCCUUGGCGCCUCUAAAAAGUGUCAAGGAAUUGGGUCAACCUUGGCGCUUGUAGAAUAUUUAUAAACCUAGGCGCUUCUAAACCAUGUAUAUUUGAUUCAAUGACGCUUUUUAAGUUGAUGCUUUUGGAAGUGUCAUGGUUGGAAAUGGAAGGUAACCUUGGCACUUUUAUAAGUGUCAUUGAAAUGGAGUUCAGACAUUGGCACUUACAUUAAGCGUCAUUGAAUUUACUAGUAUAUAUUUCUUUCUUUUUCCUCAUCCUAACACAUUACACUCUCAUCCCAACCCUUGGAGCCCUAAGCCAGGACAAUCACCCACAUCUUCAACCACCACCAGCACUAAUCGAUGAGAAAAUGUUACGAACAUGUUGAAGGUACUCUCAUUUCAUUUCUUUUUGGUUUGUUUGCUUACCUAGAAAAUGCGAGAAAAAACCAUAAAUUAGGUUUAAAUUUUUUGAAUCUAAAAUCUUGAAAUUUUUUGGAUCCAAAAUCUUGAAUUGGUUGAUUAGAUUGUUUCAGUUAUAUAUAACCUUCUGAUUUUUAUGUUUGAUUGAGAAAAACGUGAGAGGGAUUUGAAAAAUGCAGAGACCCUAUUUUCCUAAACCCUAACUCUUUAAACAAUCCAUUAUUGAGGCUUUCUCCAUUGUAAGGAACCUCGGGGUGCACUUGUUUUAUCCAUUAUCAGCUUAUAGAAUUGACUGCAUUUUUUCUUGGUUUCUCGAUCCACUUUACUUAACAUCUCUGGUGUUGCUCCUGGAAGGGGCAAUCAGUGUAUAGAAUGAUGCCAGUUGUUUAAAUAUGUUUCACUUGUCCAAUAAAUGGUUGAAUUUUUGUUUAAGGUUUGGAGUAACACCAUUGUGUCCAUUAUGCAGACAAUUUUUAUUUCAGAAUUUCUUAAUUUUCUGAAAUGUUUUAUGUGCAGUGUCUGGGUUGCACGCAGACCACCAGGCUAUGCUUUUAUCGACUUUGAUGACCGUAUGUUUUAAAGAUUUUCUUAUAAUGGUGUUUAUUGUUCUUGAAUUUUCUCUAUGCUUGAACCCCAUGCCAACAACCAUUUCAUCUCCUUUCUCUAAUUUCUGGACAAGUUUGUCUUCCUCUUCACCUCAAUAAUUAUUAUUAAUUUUCAUUGCUAUUCAGGGUUGGAGACCUAAUAAUAAGAAAGAAUAUUCUGUUCUGUGUUGGGUUUUGGGGAUUUUUGGGUUUCAUGUUGUUGUGUUUCGAUCGUGUUGAUGUUUUUGUUUGUAUGAUGAGAGGGAUGCUAGAUAAUGANNNNNNNNNNNNNNNNNNNNNNNNNNNNNNNNNNNNNNNNNNNNNNNNNNNNNNNNNNNNNNNNNNNNNNNNNNNNNNNNNNNNNNNNNNNNNNNNNNNNGGGAUAUCUAAGUAAAAGAAAUUUAUCUCUUAAUGACUUCAUCAACUGAGUUCAAACAUAAUUUAGUUUUUCUAUUGGCGUAAUUAUGUCGUUAAUUGAACUCACUUUAUGGGACAUCUCACCAUCUCACACAAAAGCCCCCCAAAAUACAGAAGAAAAGAGAUCAGUGCAAGGGGCACGUGAUUCCUUAAAACUACAAGAUGCAUAUCUAGAUUGGUAGUUAUUAUUAUUAUUAAUUUUUGAUAAGCAAAAGAGAAAUAGAAUGGGUAUGAAUUGGAAUUUGCGCUAGCUUUGAUUGCUUUUUUUUUUUUUAUAGUGAAAAAGACUUGUAAUUUUUUUUCCCUUUAAGAUUAUUGGCUACCAAAUUAAAAAUUAUUGAAUUUGCAUUUACCAAACUUGGUAUUAGAUAAGAAUUGCAGAACAAAGUUUUUUCUUAUGUUAAAAUAAUUGUUUUUCAAACUAUGGAAUUGCAUAUAUAUGAGUAAACUGAUUGUACUCUUAGAGUGAUCAGUUGGAAAGAUGACGGUAAUAAGUUCCUCAUUACCUAUUUCUUCCAACUUAGCUUAAAUAUAUUAUUUUACUCUUUCUAGUGUGAUUCUGUAUUCUGAUUGUCUUCUAAGCCUCUAUACAACAACUUAAUUAGAAUAUUGUCCAUAUUUUGAAGUAUCUUUUAUUUGAUAAUUCAACUUAUGUUUAUCCUUUAAGUUUCUUUCCCUUUGUCCUCCUCUAAUUUUUCCUUAUUGUCUUCGGCCACUUGAAUUCUUGAUAUAAAUCUUUGGGAGUUUUUUUUUGCAUAAUGAUAGUUAAAAAAAUAUUAAUUGAAUUUAUUUUAUUUUAUUUUAAAGAACUAGAUGAUUUUAAUAUUUAAAAAAUCAAAUUUAAAAUUUAUGAAGAUUAAUUUGAUUUGAUAUUUAAAAUUUUAAAAAUAUAAUUUUAUCGUUUAAUUAGUUUGUUUUUAUAUUUAAAAAUGUAAUUUUAGCUUUUAAAAAAAUUAGUGAUUUCAAUAUUUAAAAGUCAUUUACAACUACCUUAUCAACUCGAAAAGGUAAUUUGAAGGUAAUUUGGGAAGUGUUUAAAAAGUAAGAUGAUAUUUUUUUAUUUAUGGAGAUUUCUUUGAUUUUAUAUUAAAUAAAUCAAAAUUUUAAAAUUUAAUUUUAUUGUUUGAAACUUUUAGUGAUUUAAUUUUAAAUUUAAAAGUCAUUCAUGACUACCUUAUCAACUUGAAAAGGUAAUUUGGAGAUUGGUUGGAAAGUUAGAUAAUAUUUUUCUAUUUAUGGAGAUUAAUUAAUUUGAUUUGACAUUAAUUUUAAACUUUCCUUUUAAUAUAAAAUUUUAAUAGCUUCUAAGUAAAAGGUCAUAUAAGUCUUUAUACUUUAUUUUUUAAAGAAGUUUCCCCUUUAGGAAUUAUAUUAACUACAAUAUAGUAAAUUAAAACUUGUCUAAUACACUAACAGGCAUAUGAAAAUCGAACCAAAUUUUGAUACUAAUCUUGACUUUGUUGUUUUCAUUUGUGCUCUUGUAGAUCUUAGAUUAGUUUAAUUUCUUAAAUUUGGCAUAUUGGAUUAAGAUAUAUACCAUAAGUUUGGCAUAUAUUUUUUUACUCAUUUUAUAUCUUUUUUUUCAAUGAAAUAAUUUAGAUAAAAUGUGUAAUUCCACCUAUUUACCUAAAAACUAGAUGUUGAUGCAUGUAUACACUAUCAUUUAUUUUUUAAUAAAUAUAAUUAACUUUAUUUAUUUUUCAUUGUUAGGAUUGCAAGGUUUUGUCAUAUGUUGACAAGGUUUGUGGGUUUGUAAAAUAUAGUCUAGAUUAUGUGUUAAGAACAAGAAACCAAUUAUACCAAUUUUAUUAUUUAUUUCUCAAGUUAGUCUACCAAUGUAGGUUUAGAGUACGUCACUUAACAAAAGCUAUCCAAAUUCGUGAGCAUACCAUAUUUAUGUGGAGUUUGUUGUAGAUUUAUAAUAAGUUAAAAGAAACUAUUGUCUUUUCAAUGCCUUCUUCAACCUUGCGCACUCUACCUUAUACAAAGAAAAGAAAGAGGAUAGGUCAUUUCUAAUUUUUGUUUUUUAAGUGGACCUUCAUUUAAAGUAUUUGAGGUCUCUUUCAAUAUUAAAUGUAUAUAUUAUUUUAUUACUAAAAGUUACUCUAGAUGGUUGAGUGACUACACAACUAAUCCUAAUUUAAAAAUAUAAAAGUUUUGAGUCUUUUUUAUGUGGGUUCAUAAAUGUGUUCUCCUUCCCUCUUUAUUACGUUUCUAUUUUUUUUCUUUUUUCUUUUAUAAAAAAACAAGAGAUCCAACUUUCAAUGUUUUUUAAUAAUAUAUCUUCAUUAUUAUUGAAUGGAAUGAGAUGUAGUGAUUAGACAAAGUGGUCUUCUAUUGUUGAUACAGGAAAACAAGUUAUCAUUUUAUAUGACAAUUAGGAGUAGAAGGUAAUGAUUGUGACAACUAGGAGUAGAGGGCAAGAUGCACAUAAGACAUUGUUUUUAAAGGCAAGUAUCUCCUCUAUUUAUAAAGGUAAUCCACCACUACACUAGAAACUUCUCUCUUAAAGAUAGAAUAGCUUGAAAGGAUGACUAAAUAGAAGAUAAAAUUUUAUUUCUAUUACUUUACAAAUUAAUUAUUUACUUUUAUAAUUGCAUAGGAGUUAUAUGUUAUCCUAAACAAGACAAUGAUACAUUUCAUGGUUUUAUUGAAAUAAAAUAUAAAAAGAAGUUUAUUUUCCUAUCCUUGGAUUCUUAUCAUACACUUACCUAAUGAUUUAUAUUUUCAAAAACUUUGAACAAGCACCUCUUAUCAACUCAAUAAAAUUAAAAGUCAAAGGAACUAAAAUAAAAGUAAAAACUAAUCAAGUAAAUAAAAAAUAAAAAUAUAAGAAAUUAAUAUUAACAUAGUGAUAGUAAGAUGGUUUCCAUCUUAUUUGGACCUUGGUAUUAUUUUUAACUGUGCAUAGUAGGUCUUAUGUUAUUCUUUUAUUUGAUAAUGUUUUAAGAGUUCUUUAUUAAAAGUCCAUAAGGAGCUUCCCCAACUCCUAUGCUUUAUUAAUUAGCUUUGAGGUUUGCAUUUGUUAAUAUUGAAAGAAACUAUGUGUUUCUUUCUUAUGAAGUAGGCAACUAUUAUCAUUGUAAUUCUUAAAAUUGAUGCUUUUGACGUUACUUGUUGGGAACAUGCAAGUAAGUCUGCUAGUUGAAUAUUCAUGUUGAUCCACUAAGGGCAUAUUUGAGUGCAUUUUUUUCUUCUAUUAUUUUUCUUUCAUGAACUUUAUAUUAAUAAAUCAACAUCGGAAUAAACAAGAGUUCAAGUUCAUUGCAUUGCUUUUUAAAUAUAUAACUUAAUUAAUUCAUCUUUCAUUUGCUUCAAUUUUUUAUUGACUGCCAUUUUUAUUUUUAUUAAUAAGUUUGAACUCGAUAAUGAAUCAAUUUUCAAAUCUCAUGUAUGAUUGUUUGAACAUUCAUCAGCCAGUAUAUGAUUAUGUAAAUUUUGUUGAAUUUUAAAUUUCAUCAUCCAGUUAGAUUUGGUUAAAACUCUUCAUAAUAUACAUUAGUUUUUCUUGUAAAUUAUUUUGAAUUCUUUUUCUUAUAAUUUUCUCAUUUUCUUGUAGUGGCUAUUUUGUGAAAAAUUAAAUUUGUCAAUGUUUAUUUAUUUAUUUAUUUUUAAUUAACCUCUUUUGAUUUAUGUUACUCUAAUGUUAUUGAUAACCUCUCUGAAGCAAAAGCCUAAUGAAGAAGACUUUGACAGGGAUGAUGCCAAUGACAAGGUAAAUGAAGAUUUUUUUUUUCACUAUCAACAUAGUAUAAAUCAUUUUAAAAUGGAUCUUUUCAAUAAUUAAGGAAACUAAGACAUAUUCAUGUGGUUGUAUACUUAAUGAUUGAGAUAAUUAUCUUACUUAGUAGCAGUAUUUUUUAACACUAAUAAUUUAUUUACUCUAGUAAAACUUUUUACCUUUGACCCAAUAAGAAGAAUAUUAGCAUGUUUGUUUUAUUGCUUUACUUGAACAAAAGCUAAUUAAUGUGUUGGAUUAUUUUCUAUUCUCAUAUCCUCUUUGUUUCAAUUAUAUUGGUUGUUAUAUGUAUAAAUUUAAAGUUUUAUAUUUUUUUUUAUUUACAGCUUGCAAAGGAAAUUGGCUUACAAGAAGAAGAGAAAUCAUUACAAUAAAGCGAUGUUGGAAAUCAUGAAGAUGAUAUCAUUUAAAUCUUUAAGAGGUUGAACUAGACUUUUGUUGAUGAUGGUUUCUUUUUGUAGUUAUUGCACCAGUAUUUGUUCUUAUAUUGGAUUUAAAAAUUCUCAUUGAAAUAUUUUGAUCUAAUGAACAAAUUUAUAAUUUGUAUACAAGUAAUUAUACUAAUUAUUGAAACUAAGCCAUUAUAUAUUAAUAUUUGGAGAUAUUUUAAUUUGUACAAUUCAAUUUAAUUUUAUGAUUUUGCGUUUAUUUAAUUAUAUAGGAAAUUCAUUAUUUUAAAAACAUAAUGCCAAUAUUAUUAUUAAAAUAAAAUGCUUAAAGAUGACGCUUCUAUUAAGUGUCAUUAUUAACAUAAACCAAAGAUGACGCUUUUAAAAUUGUCAUUGAAAAAUAAUCUAAAGAUGACGCCUUGUAUAAGCGUCAUUAUUGACUAAAACAUAUAAUGACAGGGGAGAAAAGGACGCUUUAGAGAAGUGUCAUCUUAUGCUUUUCUUGACGCUUAAAAAACGUCAUUAAUUCCCAUUUUAAAAUAAUUUGAUUUUGAUUUAAUAUGAAAUUAUUAUUGACAUAAAUAAUAUUGGUUGAAAAUUUUGAAUAUCUUAACAUGUUUGAACUUCAAGAAGUUUUAUGAAAAUGAUUGUAAAAUCAUAUCUAACUAUUUGUAUUCAUAUUUGAAAAUUUUUCAUCCAUAAAACUAUAUCAAUAUUCUUUAUUCAUUUCUAUAUAAAUUGAGAAUUUUGAAACUAAUUAAUCAAAUUGAAAUUGACUAAUAAUAAUAAUAAUAAUAAUAAUAAAUAUUAAGAAUAAUAAUAGUAAUACAAAAUAUUAUUAGAAAUGUGAAACUAUCAUUUUAGUAAGAUAACUAAUUGUAGUAGUUGUUUUUAACCUAUGUUAUGCUAUGUAAGGUUUUAGUUUUUCAAUAUUUAAAUUCUUCAAGAAUUUGAAUACUUCUUUAAGGUAAGGAAAAUUAACACACAAUAUUAUAAGAAAUGUCAAAGUAUAAUUUUAGAAAAAUGGCUAAUUUUAAUAGUUGUUUUUGACCUAUGUUAUGGUGGUGAGGUUUAAGUUCUUCAAGAUUUUUUUUUUUUUUUUAGGAAUUUGAAUGCUUCUUCCAGGUAAGGAAAUUAAUACAGAUUUUAUGAAAGAAAAUACAUCAUUUUUAUAUGUUAUUUUGGAAUUAUAUAAAAUGUUUUUUUACAUGUAUGAAAUACAUAUUGCAUGAAAAUAUGUUAGAUCAUGAUCUUCGGGUAUUUUUUGUAGUAGAAAAAUAUGAAGAUAUUAUAAUUUUUAUAAGUUUGGAUCAAAUGAAACAAAUUGUGUGGCUUUGGUUGAUUGGCCCUAGUUGGUUUAAGAGAAAUUGAAGCUGGGAUUGGAUGAGUAUUCAUUACAAAUCCAUUAAUGGUGAUGAUUAUUUUGAUGAAGCAGAGCAUGAGAUUAGGUGUCUACCUAUUUGCAUGCUGACUAGGCUUAUCCAAUUUGUUGCUCUCUAAUUUAUGUUUACUAUCUUUAUUUAGUGAAUUUGAAAAGGUACCUGUCAUAGUGCCAAUAGACCUUUGAGUGGGAGUGAGAAAAUCUUUUGUGACUUUUUCUUUUGAAUUAUUAAUCCAAUUUAACUAAUUGCCCAAAUUAAUUACUUGUUCAAUGAAGCCAAUCCGUGAAGAAUGUAAAAGGAACCAUCCCAAAUAAAUAUAAAAAGUACUAGUACCAGUACUAAGUCCCAUUGGGAUCCACUUCUUAUUUUUAAAAAUAGAAGUCAGUAAUAACUUCUAUAUAAAAGAUAGAAACUCUUAUAAAAAAAUGUUUAGAUUUAUCUUAUGCUCCUCAAAAUUAUUUUUAAAAGAUUUUAAAAUUUAAGGUAGUAAAACUUUUUUGGUAUCUUCGAUAUAAAUGUCAUUUUUCAAUUGAAUACCCUGUUCUUAGUGGGAGGUUUGUGUGUAAUGCUGCAGCUUUAGAAGCUGUUAGGGGGCUAUUAUUGUGCCUCUUUGAGGGGUUUCUUGCUGAAUAGGGCAUUUCCUUUUGCUUAUGGUACACCAUAUUUUUCUUCUGUUGCUUUUAUGGAUAAGCUCUUUGGAUUUUCAUAUUUGAUAUUAGCAGUAGCUUUCACUAAUACUAUCAUACAAUAUCUUCUAUCUUUUUCUGAAAAAAGUUCUUUUUGAAAAUUUCCAGUAAUAUGGGAACAAAUUAACAAAGAUUGAUCAUGAUGUAAAUCUGCGACUAAUUGAAGAAUACAACGUCUAUGGAUUGUCAACUCUGAUACUCUUAAAAAAUUGAUAGGAAGUUCCAAAAAGCAGAAGGGAAUGUGCAAUUAUAAAAGCCAAGCUAAAAGAAUAUGUGGUGGAUGCUCUUCUGAAGUCGAUAUCAAUAGCAUAGUUCACUUCUGGAUUACAAAAAAUUUGCUACGUAAUUAUCUCCUUCUUUGUAUAUUAAUUCUUAUCCUAUUUCAUUUGUAUAGUAUAUAUUUCUAUAAACAAUGGAAAAUUUUGAUCUUGAGAUUAGCUUUGAGGUGUAGGUUGUUAAUAGCGGGAGAUACCAGAGUCACUGUAAUUUCCUAAUGUACUCGCCUCUUCAACUGAGAAUGAUGCUUCCUUCUUUUGCCCUGCAAAAGAUGUCCGGACAAGGGAUCCGGACACACCCUCCGAAGCCUUUGUUAGUUUGACAGUUCAGCAUAUUGAUAUUCUUGGGCCCUUUUUUUAAGAAUGCUUACCUGUUUCUUUGACUGGAUCGUCGGGGGCCUUUUAUAGUUUCUGAAGCUUCGUCACUUUGAAGGUGGGAAGACUCUUUGACUUUUGCGGUCAUGAUGGUACUCAAAGGGUGACAGAGCCAUCAUUGUCUUGCAGGCGGCUGACAAAGAUUGUUGGGGGGAUGAUUUGUUGUCACCCUUGUCUUUUUACUCUGUAGGCAGCGCAGGACAGGUCGUGGAAGGUCGCCUGAAAAGACCCACAAACGUCCUGUUAAGUAUACUUUUGGCGAAAUGAGUAAUGAUUGCCCGUGAAAUAUGGUCAGGAAUCCUGUUUGGGACGACAACUACUGGGUCCGGACUGGACGUCCAGACAGGGGGGGUGGGCGUGCCACAUGUCAAUCCAUGUGAUCAUCCGGACAGAGGGUGGGACGUGCCACGUGUCCACCAAAGGAGUGCCUUGUGAGGCCAGGGUGUCCUACCACGUGUACACUUAGGGGUGGUCCCUACAUAGGUCAAAUGUAAUUUUUCAUGCCUAGCGAUUUUCUGGUAUCUACUCCCUGAAUAUUUAUAGAAAAAUGAUGUUAUUUUGUUUUUUGUGUUGGUGCACUACCAACAAAGAAGUAUUUAGCUAGUCUUCGUGUGACGUAGAUAGCGAUUGCACCUGCACAAAAGAAUGUCUGGAUGGGUUUUCCGAGCAUGCCCCUCUGAAGUUUAAGUAAAAAAUGGAAGACUUGAGCAAAAGAUUUUUUGGAAAAAAAUGGUAGCAUACCUUUCCUUUGGUGAAUAAUGGCUAUUUAUUCUUGCCCAAAAGUAGCAUCUUCUCAUUGCCUUAAUUGUGCAUUUGAUUGCGUGUUUACCAUCUUUAAUGCUAAUGACUAUCAGCACAUAACGGUUGUUGUGCCUUGAUGAGUCGUGAAGUACUCUAGCGUUUUAGCUUCAUAACGGUUGCGUCAAUCAAUGCACUUAAUGUCUGUUGUAGCUAAUGCUUAGCAAGCGGGAAUGUAUCGUGCUCGAUUGGUUUUUGUCCAUCUAUACCCGGGGUAGACAAAUAAUGCUAAAUGGCUCUUGUGUAGAACAUGCAUUACAUUGGAUGGCAUGUAUGGAUCAUGCUAGGCAACAGUGAGCGUCCCACAAUGCUCCUUAAUUCUUGCAAUUGGGGCCAACUAGGUUCCAAAUGGUCAGGUGGAAGAAUUUUAUUGCCCACGCAUUAAAAUUAUUGGUGCCAUGGGACAUGUGUCCACUGCAUGUGUCACAAGGGGUCACAUCAUUAAGACAUGUAUCCACACCACGCACGCCUUGAUGCAUGCGCCCAUGCCUUAUAUAAGAGAUUACUUUUGGGUUUCCUUUUCCAUUUCAUUUUGAGGGUUCAUUUUGCAUGCCUUCUCUGUGUUUUAUCAUUAUUGCCUGUGACUUCGACUUUGUCAUUGGCCUUCAGUAUUGUUGCCAAUAGGAUUUCUUCUUUCAAGUUAGUUCUUUCUAUGUCAUGGUCUUCAUUAUAGUGCAGUAUUAUGUUUCUCUAUUCAUAUUGCUUUUUGUUUGAGUUUUUUUAUCUUUGAAGACUGUUUUCUCCAUUUCUGCUUUUAAAUGCUCUUGGUUGUUUGUUGUUGUGAGGUUGUGUAUGUAUAGACUAGCUUUUUGGUGUUAGAAUCUUCCUCUAGGCUUCCUAUAGGGAGCUUUUUCUUUGCAAAGUUUGGGUAGUUUUAGAUAACUUGCCAAACAAGUCUCUGUUGGUUUUGGUCCGUAUAGGUUGAGAUGGUAUUUCAUUAUGGGAAAACAACCCGUUUACAAGCCUAUUUGAUUAAGGCGUCAUUGUGUUGACCAAUUUGUGUUUUUGCCACACCGGUGUCUAUACGACUUCGUUUCUUAUGGCAUCAUGGAUAAAAAAGGAGUCGCUUCCACAAGUGGUAGGUCACAACGAGGCGGGAUGAAGGUUACUAGAUCCGAGUGCUCCAGAACAAAACACCUUAUAGACGAGCUAUAUGAACAAGAGUUUUAGGUUCUUUUUCACAUCCCUUACUCUAUACCCAUCCAGUUGUUAGACGAAGAAGCUCUGUUAACAUACGGGCUUCCCUAUGAUAUGGUUUACUUCACGAAGGAACGGUUCGUAGCUAUACUCCAUUUCCCAAUUUCGUCUCUCCUCAAACAGUUCUUACACUUCUCUGAGAUUCCACUCGCCUACAUUCAUCCAAACAUCAUCUAGAUGUUCAUAGGAUGCAGUGUCUUGGAUGCACUGUAUCAACUUGACCUCUCAUUCUUGGAGAUUCUCUUUGUUUAUACCAUCAAGAUGAGCCCUAAGGAGAGGUUUAGCUCAUCAUCUCAUAUCCUUUCUCUUUAGUUUGUAACCGAUCUUCCUGAUUCCAACAAAGAUUGGGAUAAAGAGUAUGUCUUCAUAUCCAGCCCUUAGAGUGGUUCAACAAAGGGGUUAAAUCAACUAUUCAGCCCUUGAACUACUAAGUAUAGUUUUCGUUUGCAUUGUUUUGCUAUUAUUGCCCUGUACAACUUCAUUGAUUAAAUAACUAAUGUUUUCUCCGUGCAGCCAAAGAGAGGUGCGACCACUUGGUUGAGUGGGUGGACAAAUCUUCAUUGACCAGUCUUAACAAGUUGUUCGAGAUUGAUGAAGUCGAAUAGAAGUUCUCUAUGCUAUUGAUCGAGAAGAACUUCGAAAGUUUAUUGGAGCACCAUCAAGCGUUUGUAAUUCUAGCGUUUCCAAGAUUUGCUUCUUCUACCUUUGUUCCUGGCGAGCAUUUUGUCUUAAAGAGUUUGCAUUCUACAAAGUUAGCAGGCUCAUUGAUGCUAAGGCAAGGUAAGCUUAUUUAGACGAGCAUGAAAAGAAACACCAGGAAGGCGCUUUACGCCAGACUCUUGUUUUUGCAUCUCAUCCAGCUUCGAGCUCCACACCCCGGUCGACUAAGGCAAAACCUACACCCUAUCCGGCUAAGAAGAAUCAAGCAUAAACUCAAGCGACUACGUCUAAUGAGGCUAUUAUAUCAGAUGGUGGUGAGCAUAGUGAGGCUCUCAAUCACGUUCUUCUGCCCAUAAUCAAUGAAGAAGAAAAAUAAAUAAAUGACUACCAACUUGCACGUCAAUUUUUGCGAAAUGCAACAAAAAAAAACUAUCUGAAGCCCUUGAGGUUGCAUCUCCUCUAGCUAAGAAAGGGAAGACGAGUGCCGAGAAGGGUUCAACCUCAAAGUCUUCUCUUGCUCUUCCUCCAGCUACUACUUCCUUGUCUACUCCAGCAGCUAAGCCGUUUGUUGAGGAGCUUCCUUUCUACUCUACGGGGGAACUUGUGGUUAUUCUGGCUGGAUCCACUCCAAGCUCCUAGCCAUCCCCUGCUACAACGAAGGACAUGCUUAGCUGGGAGGAGUUAGACGAAUUGCUAAAGCACUUCCCUUCAUUCAUAGACAUGGAACCUUCUGUCACCAAUAUGAAUUACCUCUUUCCGAUUGCUCAACAGAUCUUGGUCGAGGUUGACAACGACCCCGAACAAAGUUUCAUUGCUCGUGCUCCUUUUGGGACUCCGAACAGUGCUAUAGAGGUAAUCAUGCCUAUGAAGAGGUAUUUUGCCAUGUAGAUAGCUGAAGUAGUAAGAAACAUCCCGUCUUUCCAUUAUUUUUCUUUCUUUUCUCCCAUGCUUCAUCUAACUUUGGUUUAUCUCCUUAAAUUAUAGUUGGGGUUCGAAACUUAAUGAGGCAACGCGACCAUCUGUUCCAAAGGUUAGAGGUGGCAGAGAAGAUUAGUGCCUACACGACUCACACUAGGGAUGGACAGUAAGACCUACACGCCGAAUUGGAAACUGCCAAGGCUACUGCUGCUGCUGUGACCCAGAAAGAUGCUAAGGAGUGAGCUAGUCUACUUUGCAAGGCAGAGUUGGAGAAUAUGGUGCUUUAAUCGGAAGUGUGCAGUUUGAAGCUAGACAACGCCCCAUUAGGAUCCGCCAAGGCUCAAGCGAAGGAAUCGAGCACUUGGCUAAAGCUUGAGCUCGAGUAAGUGUGGGUUGGCUUCGUCAAAAAAGAAAAAAGAAAAAAAGAAAGAACUAGAAGCAGCUAACCAUGAGCAAGUAGAUGACAUGUUCUUCUAUGGCUACAAUUGCUGCAUAAGGAAGCAUAAAAUUACUAAUGGCAUUCCUAAUAUUUUGUAUGAUGACAAUGAUGAAACUAACCUGAGUGAAGACACUCCGGUAGUAGACAAACAGGAUGCUCAAGGGAAAGAUACCAAGACUCAGUUAAGUACUUCAACUUAGUAUACUUAGGCUACUAGCUACUACUAAACUAUGCUUUGUAAAUGAUAAUUUUGGUCAUUUAUGCCUUUGGUUUUGUAAAACCAUUAUUGGUCGUUUAGGCCUUCUGUUGUAAGACAAUGGUGGUUGUUUGGCCUUUUAAAUAUUCUUGGCUAACAAAGCCGUUUAUUCUUUUAUUUGGCAUACUUUGUAGUACAUGCCCCCUAGUGUUAACCUUAUAUAUUAUUUCUUAUCUUUGUGGCUCAUGCCACUUGUCUUAUGUAGUUUGGCUUCUUGAUUGCUAGUCAUUUUGACUUGACACCGUUUGACUUUUUCAUUGUUAGCCAUUUUUAGCUUUAUGCCAUUUGGCUUCAUGGCUUAUAUCGUUUAGGUUUUGCCCGUUUAGAGUUGCCAUUUGGCUUACCCUAUGAAGGGUUAUUUCUCAAUUUUUAGCUAAUUUUGAACACAUAAUAUUUGUAAAACAUCAUACUUUAUUUAUAGUACUUUUUCAAAUUUGCUACAUUUCAUGGUUUUAAUAUGGGCAUUUUGUCCAUAAUUUGUAGAUGGUGUAUCCCUGAAUCUCCUGCCUUAGUUAUAACAUACAUGUUUUCCCAAUUAAUUAGCUUGGAACUUACCAACUCCUAUUUCUGUUGUAUUCUUGAAGACCCGUCUCAGUACCAAAUCUCCUGGGUGGAAUAGUCACUAACGCGUUUUCUUAUUGUAUUGAGGAAUGACCCUUUGGUGAUAUGAGGCUAUUUGGAUAUCAAUUGCUUCCUAUUCCUCAUCUACCUAAUCCAAAUGUCUCUCCAAAUCAGUAUUAUUACUCCUAGCCAAAUCAAUAUUGUGAAACCAAGGUUUGGUUAAUCUUGAUUUUGAUGAUAACAAAACAAGGUUUAGAACUAAUGAUCAUAUUUCAAGUGUGAUUAGGCAAGACGACUUCCAAAGUGGCAAUCCAAAGACAAAUCAAGCCAAGGAGAAAUCAUGAAGAAGAAGACCACCUCAAAGAGAAGAGUUUUUCAAGACCAAAGCUUCUUAAGAUCUCUUUGUAAGGUUGUUGGUGCACUAAGACUUUCAUGCAUUUCAUUCUUUAUUUAUGCACCAAAAUCAUCCAAAAGUAAUAUUGUUUUAAAUAUAUUAAGAAUUGGAUGAUUUCAAGUUUUCAACUAAAACCUUGUGUUAAAUGAUUUUCAAACUUGUGUUAAAAGGUUUUAAGUUGAAAAAGGUUGAGUGUUGAGCCAAAAAAAUGGCUUAACUGGUUCAACCGGUUGUGCUCGUCCGGUCGAGGACCGGUUGAGGGAGGCCAAAAAGUUUCUCUCUCUCCCAGUGGCAUUCUCUUCCCGAUCAAGGUUGAACCUCAAUCGGUUGAGGUUCGGUCAAGGUCCGGUUGAGGUCCAGUUGAGGCCCAACGGUCACUUUUCCUAACAGCUAGUCAACCGGUCGACCCUUAGCUCGACUGGUCGAACCCCCAACGGCUAGUUUGGCUUUUUUCUUCUAUAAAAAGGCUCCAAUCUUCAUUGUUUCAUAAGCAAAACCUUCCCAAAUCAUUCUUGAUUAUAUUUGAGCCUUGGAACAUUGUUUCAUAACUUGCAUAUCUUUAGUGCACCAUUCAAUCCUAUUUUUUCUUGUAUCUUUGAGCCUAAAGUUCUAUUACUAGGAUUUUUGUGAGAUCAAUCUUUGUAUAUCUUUGAGAGGAAUUUUCUCAAGUGUGGGGUAUCACUUGAGAGGUAGUUCAAGAGUGGGAUAACUCUUGAGAAGUGUAAAGGGUGCUUAGAGCCAAAAGUCCAAGAUGGUGAAUUGGAACCACAAUCCAAUUGUAAAGAGAUUGGAAGCUUGGUUGAACCUUCAAGAUAGUGGAACCCUUACUCAGUUAGGAGGUUGAAGAGAGUGGACGUGGGCAAGGAAAUGCCGAACCACUAUAAACUCUCGUGUUUGCACUCUCUCUUCCCUAAGUCUUUUAAAUUAUAUGCAAUUGUAUUUAUUUUGUUUAUUAUAUAUUUGCAUAUAAUUGUCUCUUAUUUUUGCAUAGUUUAAUUUUGUGAAAAAAAGACCAUCACCCUAUUUAACCCCCCCCCACCCCCCCCCCCCCCUCUAGGGUGAUUACCAUAAGUUUGGGAUUAAGUCUCAAAUUCCUAACAAUUGGGUAUCAGAGCAAGGCUUCCUUGUUUAAGAACUUUAACCGUCCUAAAAAGUAAAUGGCUAUUCCAUCAAACCUCAUUCCCAAGGUUUGAAAGUUUUUNNNNNNNNNNNNNNNNNNNNNNNNNNNNNNNNNNNNNNNNNNNNNNNNNNNNNNNNNNNNNNNNNNNNNNNNNNNNNNNNNNNNNNNNNNNNNNNNNNNNUUUUAAAUUUAUAGCAAAUGUUUUUUUUUUUUUUUAUUAAAUUUUGCAAAAAAUUUUUUUUUUUUUUUGGCAUAGUUUAUUUUGGAAAAAAAAAGCCCUUCCCCUUUUUUACCCCCCCCCCCCCCCCCCCCCCCCCUCUAGGGUGAUUACCAUAGUUUGGAUUAGUCUCAAAUUCCUAACAAUUGGUAUCAGAGCAAGGCUUCUUGUUAAGACUUAACCGUCUAAGAAGUAAUGGCUAUUCCAUCAACCUCAUCCCAAGUUGAAAGUUUUUCAACCACCCGACCUCCACUUUUCACGGGAUCCGAUUAUCCCUAUUAGAAAACCAAAAUGACUUGGUUUAUCCAAUCUACUAAUCUUGAUUUAUGGGAUAUCAUUGAAGAUGGUCCCCACAUUCCUUGAAAAUUAGAAAAUGGAGUGAUGGUUCCAAAACUUAAGCAUGAAUGAGAUGAACUUGAUAGAAAGAAAGUUCAAUUAAAUGCCAAAGCCGUUUUUAUCUUACAUUGUGCUAUUGAUAUAAAUGAAUUUAAUCGUAUUUGGCAUUGUAAGUCGGCUAAGGAAAUUUGGAAACUAUUAGAAGUCACUUAUGAGGGAAACGACCAAGUUAAAGAGUCUAAAAUCAAUAUCCUUAUGCAUGAUUAUGAAUUAUUUUCUAUAAAGGAUUUUGAAUCUAUUGUUAAGAUGUUUUCUAGGUUUCUUAUGAUUGUGAAUGAACUUGAAGCCUUAGGAAAGACCUACACCGAAGUAGAGAAAGUCAUGAAGAUCUUAAGGUCUCUACCAAGGAAAUGGGAAACAAAAGUGACGGCUAUUAAUUCAAGAAGCGAAGGAUCUCACCAAGCUCUCACUUGAAGAACUCAUUGGGUCACUCAUGACUUAUGAGAUAGAGUUGUACAAUCAUCAAAGAGUUGAAUAAAAUGAGAAAAGUAUAGCCUUUAUGGCUAUAACAAAUGAUGAUGAUGAGAAAGAGAGUGAAAGUGAAAGUGAUGAGGUAAACUCCAACUCUAACCAUUUUGAUUUUCAAGAUGAGCUUCAAAAAUUAUAUUUUAAUCUUGAAAAACUUGGUUCCAAAAAUAUCCCUCUCAAGAAAAAGAUUUAUUGUCUUCUAAAUGAGCUCAAUGAGGAUAAUGAAAAUAUUGAAAAUAUUGAGAAGACAAAAAUUCCUUUUGAAAAGGAAAAUGAGGAGCUAAAAAUUCUCAAAUGGCCAAAAGACUUUUGAUAUGAUUUUGGCAAAUCAAAAAUUGCAUUUUUGAUAAAAAGAGGUUAGCCUACAAGCCUUUCAAAAAUCAAUUUCUUUUUAAAAGGAAACCUCUAGUUUUUCGCCUUUAACUAUUUGCGAUUUUUGUGAAAGAAGAGGUCACUUUGGUGAUAUUUGAAAAUCCCCUCAUGUUCUUCAAAACUCUAAAUUAUUUUGGAUUCCAAAGGAAAGAAAGACUAACCCUCUAGGACCCAAAAAGAUAUGGGUACCAAAGGUUUCUUAAAAUUGUUUUGUAGGGAUCCAUGCAAAAAGGAGGAUAUGCUUACCUUGGAAAGAACGUGUUGACAAUAUUGGUAACGGUAUCCCUUUUACAGCUAAAUUUGCAAUUGGUAUCAUUUUUGCUAACACUUGGUACAUCUUUUGAUAAUAUAACUUUUGGUAUCACUUUGAUAAAAUUGGCAUAUUUGUUAAACCAAGGUUUUGGAUUUAAAAAGAAGAUUUUUUAUAUACCUAUGUAAAAUUGAAUGAUCAUAUGCUUGUGUGCCCUAAAAUUUUUAUUUAAUUCAUGUUAAAUAUCUUUUUAAUGCAUAUGUUCUCCCAUAUAUUGUUUUCUAAAUCAUGCUUUAAAUGGGGAAUACUCUAAGGAUGAGCAAUCUUUUAUUUGGAAACUAUUCUCAAAUGAAAAAUGGAGAGAUUCAUUUUUAUGAGAAAUUAUAUUUUUUGAUAACAUGUGAUUCCCUUUAUAUACUUUAUUGAAACUUUUUGUUGAUGACAAAAAGGGGGAGAAGUAAUGGUAGGUUGCUAACUUGGGAAGAUAUUUCAAAUAUUGUUUUUAGCAAUCCUAUUCAUAUUGAUGUGAUGUCCUUUAUUGGUUAUAUUUGUAUGCAUCAUUUUUAAUAAUAAUGUCUUACCAAAUUGUUAAAUGCUCUUUAUGCUAUUUAUGUUUGAUUAUAUCAUUUUGAGCAUCCUUAAUAUACUCCUUGAAGUUUCUAAACUUGAAUAUUUUCUAAAUUCAAAGGAACAUAUAUUGAGGGGGAGCUUUUUAGCAAUCUUGGUUUUGUCAUCAUCAAAAAGGGGGAGAUUGUGAAACCAAGGUUUGGUUAAUCUUGAUUUUGAUGAUAACAAAACAAGGUUUAGAACUAAUGAUCAUAUUUCAAGUGUGAUUAGGCAAGACGACUUCCAAAGUGGCAAUCCAAAGACAAAUCAAGCCAAGGAGAAAUCAUGAAGAAGAAGACCACCUCAAAGAGAAGAGUUUUUCAAGACCAAAGCUUCUUAAGAUCUCUUUGUAAGGUUGUUGGUGCACUAAGACUUUCAUGCAUUUCAUUCUUUAUUUAUGCACCAAAAUCAUCCAAAAGUAAUAUUGUUUUAAAUAUCUUAAGAAUUGGAUGAUUUCAUUUUUUCAACUAAAACCUUGUGUUAAAUGAUUUUCAAACUUGUGUUAAAAGGUUUUAAGUUGAAAAAGGUUGAGUGUUGAGCCAAAAAAAUGGCUCAACCGGUUCAACCGGUCGAUCGGUUGUGCUCNNNNNNNNNNNNNNNNNNNNNNNNNNNNNNNNNNNNNNNNNNNNNNNNNNNNNNNNNNNNNNNNNNNNNNNNNNNNNNNNNNNNNNNNNNNNNNNNNNNNUUAUUAUAUAUUUGCAUAUAAUUGUCUCUUAUUGUUGCAUAGUUUAAAUUUGUGAAAAAGAGAUCAUCACCCUAUUUACCCCCCCCCCCCCCCCUAGGGGGAAUACCAAAAUUUGGAUUAACCCCAAAUUUCCAAAAAAAAUUAUUACCCACAGCCCCCCACAUGAAUAUUCUUGGUGGGGGGAUUUUGACUUUAGUUGGGAAAAUUGCUUCCAUCCCAUAUGCUAAAACAAAAGGGGGGGGCCCCAUGGGUUUUCGACUAGUCAUUUAAAAAACUUAUAAAAAGCUUGAUGGGUCGUCUACCCAUUUUUCUUUUGGCCCUUUAAGCCUUUUUUUUAAAGAAAUCGAAAGUGGUUUAUUAGUUUAUUUCACAUGCCUGUUGGUUUGGGGAAAUCUGGGGCUUACAUAAGGAUUUUUUAUCUUUAAUUUUGAACGGAAAGUUCAAAAAAAACUGCUAUCAAAAUAUAGCUCGGUGUCCAAGAUAAUUGCUUUAAGGAUUCCAAAANNNNNNNNNNNNNNNNNNNNNNNNNNNNNNNNNNNNNNNNNNNNNNNNNNNNNNNNNNNNNNNNNNNNNNNNNNNNNNNNNNNNNNNNNNNNNNNNNNNNAUGAGGGGGGAGCUUUUUAGCAAUCUUGGUUUUGUCAUCAUCAAAAAGGGGGAGAUUGUGAAACCAAGGUUUGGUUAAUCUUGAUUUUGAUGAUAACAAAACAAGGUUUAGAACUAAUGAUCAUAUUUCAAGUGUGAUUAGGCAAGACGACUUCCAAAGUGGCAAUCCAAAGACAAAUCAAGCCAAGGAGAAAUCAUGAAGAAGAAGACCACCUCAAAGAGAAGAGUUUUUCAAGACCAAAGCUUCUUAAGAUCUCUUUGUAAGGUUGUUGGUGCACUAAGACUUUCAUGCAUUUCAUUCUUUAUUUAUGCACCAAAAUCAUCCAAAAGUAAUAUUGUUUUAAAUAUCUUAAGAAUUGGAUGAUUUCAUUUUUUCAACUAAAACCUUGUGUUAAAUGAUUUUCAAACUUGUGUUAAAAGGUUUUAAGUUGAAAAAGGUUGAGUGUUGAGCCAAAAAAAUGGCUCAACCGGUUCAACCGGUCGAUCGGUUGUGCUCGUCUGGUCGAAGACCGGUUGAGGGAGGCCAAAAAGUUUAUCUCUCUCCUAGUGGCCUUCUCUUCCCGAUCAAGGUUGAACCUUAACCGGUUGAGGUCCGGUUGAGGUCUGGUUGAGGCCCAACGGUCACUUUUCCUAACGGUUAGUCAACCGAUUGACCCCUAGCUCGACCGGUCGAACCCCCAACGGCUAUUUUGACUUUUUUCUUCUAUAAAAAGGCUCCAAUCUUCAUUGUUUCAUAAGCAAAACCUUCCCAAAUCAUUCUUGAUUAUAUUUGAGCCUUGGAAGAGUGUUUUUGAGUGCACCAUUGUUUCAUAACUUGCAUAUCUUUAGUGCACCAUUCAAUCCUAGUUUUUCUUGUACCUUUGAGCCUAAAGUUCUAUUACUAGGAUUUUUGUGAGAUCAAUCUUUGUAUAUCUUUGAGAGGAAUUUUCUCAAGUGUGGGGUAUCACUUGAGAGGUUGUUCAAGAGUGGGAUAACUCUUGAAAAGUGUAAAGGGUGCUUGGAGCCAAAAGUCCAAGAGGGUGAAUUGGAACCAUAAUCCAAUUGUAAAGAGAUUGGAAGCUUGGUUGAAGCUUCAAGAUAGUGGAACCCUCACUUGGUUAGGAGGUUGAGGAGAGUGGACGUAGGCAAGGAAGUGCCGAACCACUAUAAACUCUCGUAUUUGCACUCUCUCUUCCCUAACUAUUUUAAAUUAUAUGCAAUUGUGUUUAUUUUGUUUAUUAUAUAUUUGCAUAUAAUUGUCUCUUAUUGUUGCAUAGUUUAAAUUUGUGAAAAAGAGAUCAUCACCCUAUUUACCCCCCCCCCCCCCUCUAGGGUGAUUACCAUAGUUUGGAUUAGCCUCAAAUUCCUAACAAAUAUUAUUACUCACAGCCUCCCACAUGACUAUUCUUGUUGUGGGCAUUCUGACUUCAGUUGGGAUAAUUGCUUCCAUCCCAUAUGCUAAAGCAAAUGGCGUGGCCCCUAUGGCUUUUCGACUAGUCAUUCAAUAAGCUUAUAAGACGCUUGAUGGUUCGUCUACCUAUUUUCCUUUUGCCCCUUUAAGCCUUUUCUUUAACGAAUUCGAUAGUGUUUUAUUAGUUCAUUUCACAUGCCUGUUGCUUUGGGGAUAUCUGGGCCUUACAUAAGGAUUUUUUAUCUUUAAUUUUGAACGGAAUGUUCAGAAAAUACUGCUAUCAAAUUAUAGCUCGUUGUCCAUGAUAAUUGCUUUAGGUAUUCCAAAACGACACACAAUAUUCUUCCAGACGAACUUGGAGACAUUUUUGUUCUUGAUGCUAGCAUUGGCUUCUGGUUCUACACACUAAAAUAAUUCGUUGUCAUGAGUAACAAUUUUUUCUAUGUUGCACCAAUUGGGAGCGGAUCGACUAUAUCUAUUCCCCAUUGUGGAAACAACGAAGCACUUGUGAUUGGAUUAAGGCAUUCAGACGGUAUUCAGGGUAUGGGAGCAUAUCUUUGGCAUUGAUCACACUUAUUGACAUAAGUCUCUGUGUCCUUCUUCAUGGUAAGCCAAUAGUAGCCUUGAGAAUAGGCACGAUAUGCCUAUUCUAAAAAAUCAAUUUAAAAUAUGCAAAUUCACACAAAAACAAAGGAAACACACCAUGAUGAGGAAAAGGUGGCUAUGCAUGGCCAUGUAGAAGUGGGGGUCUAGGGUGGAAAGGAGCUCAAUUGAUUGCAACUAUAAGAGUUGAUGGUUGCAGUUGUGACACUUGUAGACAUAAAAAUUUUAGCAAGUUAAAUUACCACUAAUUUGGUUUUCAAAAUAAAUAAAUAAAUAAAAAUAGAUAUCCUUUUAUGAAUAAGUUUCCUAAAAAAAGGAAACUAAUCUCCAACUAUAAAAAGGAUAAGAAUAAUAAUAAGAAAAACAUAUUAUUAUUAUUAUUAUUAUUAUUAUCUUGUUGGUAAAACCAUUCGAAGAAGAAAAUUUGCUAAAAUUAAUGAACUAAAUCCCUUGAAUUAAGUAACUAAAAUUCAAGAAUUCAAAAUUUAAUUUCCUAUCUUUACCUAUAAAUAGAGGUGACUUCUUUCAAGGAGGAUUAGGGGAAAUAUCCAUCGAAAAAAUCAAAAGGAAAAAAAUCCAGAUGAAAAAAUCUAGAAGAGAUCAGAAAAAUCAAAAUCAAGAAAAACGAGAUAUGCAAAACAACUUCAUAUGGGAAAAGAGGCUUCACAAAAAGAAAAUGAGCUUCAUAAAAUCUCCUUGUAAGUUUGAUAAACGACAGAAGGGCUACACAAGCAUUCUUCGUCAUUCAACAAGAUCAUUCAGAAAAAAGCCACUUCAAGCCCAUGAUUAAUCUUUAAAUCCAAGAAAACAAUUUUGUCUUCGUUCUUUAAGUUGUGGUCAAAACAAAAAAAAAAAAAUUCAAAGGAAAAGUAUUUUUUUUGAAAAGAAAAUUAUAUUUGAAAUUGUACCCCACACGAUUUUAAUUUCCCAUUGUUUUGCUAACUUUGCAGGAAUUUAUGAAAUUUGUGCCCACAACACCAACUCCUUUUUCAUUACAUCUGAUACGCUUUCUAUCUUGCUUCUGAGGUUUUGAAAUCUCCAAACUCAACCCAGUUGCUCCCUCGCGAUAGUAAGGAAAACAAGAGUACCUUAUUGCAGUUCCUUGACUGUUCUCCGCAUACCAGGCUUCGGUUCCCUCUUCUUUUAAUAUUUUAGAGACCGCUGAACAAGGGUGAGGUCCCACAUACUCCUCUUGUAACCACUGCCACUCUCCUGCACUCGCUUAAUCUUGAGGAUGCGUGAACACAUUAGGUUGGAAAGAUGACUUCCUUUGAAUAUAUAGAUCCAUGGAAUUUCAAGGAGUUUGCAUCAUGAGGAUUGAAGGCAAUCUCUGGGACAUUGAAUAUCCUUCGAAUAUGGCAAGCUCGGUUAGUGUCCUGCUGACUGGUCACCAUCCAUACAGUAGCAACGUGAAAGGAGACCAUGCUUCCGUGUCACCUUCCUGACCAAGAGGAGAGCCUCCGAUUGAGUGGAGCAUCUCACCAUGUUUGGGGAAGGUGCACCAUCCAUCAAAAUGUAGAAAUUUUGGAAGCUUAUGCCUUUGAAUUGAACAGCAGGUCCAAAGAAUUUGGAACCCUCCAAAAUUUCUGAACCCAUCUCUUCAUUGUCAUUUUCAGAUUGUUCUCGCUGCAUAAGGUUAGGAAUUGAUCCUAAAUUCAGAACUCAGCAAUUCAAUUAAUCCUUCCCAUUGCUUAAAACCUUCAUCAGAAAUUGACCUUCCAGCAAAAUCAAUUGGCUGCUACACAAUUCUACUCAGACGAAAUCAUCCCAAAUUUGUUGAAGCUAGAACAGUCCAGAACCCUUCUUACCAUGCUUCUAGUGAUACGCCCCAGCAAUCUUCAUAAUGCUUGAACUGAUGCCUUUGAGGUAUGAUAAAUUUCUGUAGUCUAAAGGAGCAACCAGAGCCAUCUCCGUCAAACCCUUGCUUUCAUUUCCAAAUUCUAGGAUCCAACAAAAAGGAACUUGUGUCGGAGGGGAACCAUUUCAAUGAUCCGCUUGAUGACUAUUCACUGGAAUACACCUUCUGGAGAGUCCUCCAGUAGGUUCCAUAGCUGCUCAUAGCCAUGGAUCCUUUGUUGUAGUUCAAAGCUGCUGAUGCACGUGGGAUCUUGAGGCAAUAGAACUGACAGAGUCCUGUUUCUCAUCUUCUGAGGCUCCAGCUUUAACUAAUCCAAUGCAGUAGGUGAUUGACCCAGAUUAAUAAAGAUUAGGCAAGGCAAGAAUAGAGCAUACACAAGCUUGCUGAGGAGCUUGAAGGUCGUCCUAGGGAUCAUCUAGGUUUUCUAGUGUGCAAGAACUAGUCCUAGCACCACAUCAAGACCCCUUUUUGAUAACCCAUGAACAUGUACCUUCCACCAUCUAUGAUUCCAAUACCAGUAACAAUAACAGGAUCAUUAGCCAAAGAUUGAACCAAAGUUAAUUCCCGGAUAUCCAAAUGAAUGAAGCGCCCAGUGAAAACUGCAAUCUUAAUUUAAGCCCUUGUGGCAGCAAGAGAAAAAUUGCCUGCAUCUCGUCCCAUAUCUGAUUUUCUUCAAUUCCUCCAGUCUCCUUGAAUAGCCCACGGUUAGCAAAAUCUCUAACAGACCGCAUUAGAAGGGAGAAGACAACAUCAUGUCAUGAACAUGACAUCUCUAACAUCCCGAUGCAUUCUUAAGUAGAGGAUUCCAAGGACGAUUGGAGACAUCUCUCCAGAAUAAUGAGAACCAACUCUGUGGCCAAGAAGAGUAUCAACACCGCCACUGCCUCGGGGCCCAUAAAGAAGCUAUGAUUGGCAUGCAUGACCAAGAGCAACUAAAGAAGCCAGGGAUAAAAGAAGUGUAGCUGGAAUCUGGGUGCCACCAUUCAAACUGUCAAGCAGACAAGUGUUCGGUGAUGCUGCCAUCUAAUAAGAAAACUCGUUGGACACCUCUUCUACGAACAAGUGAGGCAGCAGCCAAUUCUGAAAGGUGACAUUUAAUCAACUGAGUCCUUGACCUCCAAUAGCAAAACCCUACUCACCAAACCAUAGUCCAUUCUCACUAUAAUAACCACCUUCAAAACUAACACAGAUAGGGCCUGGAGUUGUUGAAACAUCGGAAGGCUCUUCUGGCCAAUUUUACACAGCUUCACCAGAGACCUUCUCAGACCAUUUCCCGAGGGUUUCUCGUGGAGCUUAUACAAAAGUCUGACCUGCUCUUUGAUAACAUCUUCAGCCUGAGGGCAUGUAUCCUUAUAGGAGUUCAUAACCAGACCCGGGUCUUCUUCCUCACAGCCCAUGCAUUUGGAUAAGAGCCAAGGACAAAGGAGAGCCACAAGAAGGAAGAAACCAUGGAAACAGAGCAUAAAAGAAAACAAAUAAAGAUAUGAGGCUCCACUUCAAGGGUUAUCAGUGAGCCUGCUAACUAGGUAGGAAAAUCCAUGUCAAAUAUGAACAGGUCAUGAUUCUCAAGCAUUUCACAGUGGAAUUGAAACAGAGUGAGGUCAUCUUCUAGCAAAAACCAAGAGGAAAGAGAGACAAAAAGCUAUAACAAUAAAUCCACAUUCAUCCCAGAAAAUCAACAGAAAUCAAACAAUGGGGGUAUCCACACUCAAACCAGCAAACAAUACCCAGAAGCAGCAGGAAGAAUAAUGGAUAAAUAAUGAUGAUAAGAAAAAGACUGAAAAUCAUGAUUAACUUACUUGGAGAUCCUCCCCCAAGCAGUGUUGUCUUGGCUUCAAGCAACCCCCAUCCUCUCCAAAAUCAACAAAACCAGUGAGCCAGCUAAACCAUCCUCCUCUGCUCUUCUUCUGCUGUUCCUCAUUUCUUCCUCUGGAAAUCAGAAUCCUCCUUUUCUCCUCCCUGCACCUCUCUAAAAACAGCUACGCCCCCUCUUCUCCUACUCUCGUUUUCUUCUCCUUUCAAGAAUGGCUCACAGCCUGCUCACUCUCUCUGUUUCACAUCUUUUUCUCAGCUCUCUCCAGACCCAGAAUAUCCCCAUCUUCUCUUUUUUGCUCCCUGAAUACAGCUUUUCUUUCAGCCUCAAGGCAUUCUGCAGCCCCUCAAACAGCCUCUGCUACGUGUCUUCCGCUGGUUCCCCUCAGAAAAUCGCUGCUCUCAUUAACAAACCUGCUGCCAUUUUCUAACAGCCUCUCCAUAUAUAACACGUGCUCCUCAAAAACCCCACCAUCUGGCAAAAAAUGUGAGAAUAAGGAGUCCCAAAAUGGGGGUCUACACUACGAUAUGUCGGUAUCAUUUCUCUAUUGAAGAGGAUCAAUAUUCAGCGCAUUUUUCCCUGUCCGAGUUAUGAUCUUUUACUUGGUAUAAAAGCUUUAGAAACUUCUUAUUGUUCUUAAAAAGUGAUGAUAUGUGUCAAUUUCUAAAUUUAUAGUUGAAGAAGAUGUGAUGCCAAUUUGUUUUCAAGAAAAAAAUUAUAUUAUUUUUUAUUAUUUACAAUUAGUAGGAAUAAAAACUUUUACUAUCAAAAUAAAUAUUAUUUAUACUAAAUCGGAUAAACAUUAAAAAAGAAUUAUGUUUUUCUUAAUUUUGAAUUUUAUCUUAAAAAUUAAUUUAUAUGACUUUUAAAAAAAAUUAAUUUAGUUUUAAAUGUUUUUGUUUCUUUUUUUUUUUUCUUUUUUUCUUUUUUUCUUUUUUUAAUUUUUAUUUUACAAAGGAGAGGUCUUCAAACUCAUGAAUAAAAGGAUUAGAAUUUAAGAUACUUAAAAAAUUAUUCAAUACACUCAAUACUUCUAUUUAUUGGGUUUCCUUAAAAAUUUGGGGAACUUAAACCUUUGUUUCUUCAUUUCGCUUUAUUCUUAAUCGUUCUUUAUUAGGAACAAAGAAAUUCAAGUGAAAUAAAAUUUACAAUGAUUUUAGUUUUAAUAUUUAAAAAUAAUAAUAAUUAGAAACAGUUAAAUAUAAUGUAAUUUAACUUAUGAAAACUUAAUAUGAUGUUUUCAAACAUUAAGGCAUCAUCUUCAUCUAAAAAGAUAGGAGAUGUUUUAUCUUCCAAUGCAAAUUGAACGAGAGUAAGAGAGUGAAUAUAUGUGAAGUUUACUUGAUAGUAAGUAUGAUCUAAUUGAAAAUGACAUACUAGCAAGGAGGAAAAUGUCGGGAUAUAUCGGCGAUAUAUCGUGUAUCGGGAAGGGUCGACACGAUAUUUCGUGAAGAAAAAUCGGAGGGGAGAUAUUUCCGUAAAUAUCGCCAAAAUAUUGACAAUAUAUUGGUUCGGAGAGAUAUAUUGGAGAUUUUUUGAAAAAAUCGCCUUUGGUGGCAAAAUAUCGGUGAUAUAUCGGAGAUAUAUCGCUGAUUUUUUGGUGAUAUUUCCCCUCCUUCAUGCAACGUGAUUUGACAGCCCAGAUCACGCUCAUGUUGAUCCGACGGCUUAGAUGUGAUUCCAAUGGUAAUAUGGCGAUCCAACGGCCAGAUUACUCCCAAUUUUUUAUCCAACGGCCAAAAUUGAUUUUCAACGAUAAAUUAAUGUUCCAACGGCUAUUUUGGCCCAAAUUUAUUCUAUAAAUAGCCCAAAUUUCAUCUAUUUUUGCUUUCAUUCUUUAUUUGCUCUAUCAUUACUCCAAUUUUUAUUAAGGUUGCGCAAUUAUUUAAUCAUUUUAAGGUAUAUUUGUUUUAAAUUGUAAUUAAUUUUGUUUGCAAUUAUAAUUAAUCCAUGUAUUUUUAAUUAAUUAGUAUGUUUGCAAUAUGGAUUAUUUAAUGCUAUUUUUACAUUCAAUUGUAAUUAAUUUUUAUAUUUUUAUUGAAUUAACUUAGGUUAAUUUGAUUAUUUAAUUAUAAAUUGAUAUGUUUAUUUUAGAUGAUUAUUUGUGAUUUAUUUUCACAUUUAGAAUUAAAUUAAACUAGUUAACUUAGCUAAAUUAUUUAAUUAAUUUAAUUAACAUGCUAAAUUAUUUAAUUAAUUUAAUUAACAUGCUAAAUUAUUUAAUUAAUUUAAUUAACAUGAACUAGUAUAUUUUGAAUAUGAAAUAUGUUUAUUUAAUGAAUUUAAUGUGUACAAAUUAUUGAUAUUUAAUGAAAUAAAAUAUUUUAUGUGACUUUAUAAUGAGAACAAUUACAAAAUUAACAUUUCUUAUAGAUUGACAUGAUAUAAUUACAUUUAAUAUUGCAAAUUAUAUCAUAUAUAUAUCAAUUUUUUUAAUAAAACAACUUUAAAAUGUCUAUUAUACUUCUAAUUAUAUUAUUAUGAGGUUUUCCUUGCAUUUUCAUGAGUUUUUAACAAUUUUAAGCUUACCAAUACUUUUUUCCAGAAUAUCCACCGAUAUAUCCAUAAAAUCGAAGUAUCGAUAUAUCCAUGAUUACCGAUAUUUUCAUCCUUGCAUACUAGUAACCAUAUUCAAAACUAAUAUAAAUAUAUAAAUUUAUAAAUAUUUUCAAAUUUAUAAAAAUAAUUUUAAUUUUGAACAAAUGAGUUCCCAUUUUCCUUUUUUUUUUUUCAAAUAAAGGUGCCAAAAAGCACAAUUCCCAAAAGAAAAUUUUUCUUAUGUUCGUAAAACAUAAUAUAAAAUAGAUUAUAUUUAAUUAAAAAAAUCAAAUAUAAAAUUAUGGUUUUGUUAUGAUACCAAUAAGGUACAACCAAUCAUGAGUGUGAUUUGUAUACCUUUGUCAUGCCUUAUGCCUCAGUUCCUUUAAUUUGUACUUGGGAUUCUACAUUUUAUCAUUAUUUUGUACUUAGAUGUCAUUAUUUUUGUACUGUAGUCACUAUUUUUUCAUAUCUUGAUUUUAUGUACUUGUACCUUCAUUCAACAACUCAAAUAUCACCAUAUAUUUUUAGAACUCAUAUAAAAAGAUAUCAUAGCAUGGAAUAAAAUUAGUAAUAUAAUAAUAUUAGUAUUUUAUAACCCUAAGCAGCCUAUUUAAUAUAGGUUAACUUAAAAGAAAAUCUGAUAAAAUUUCAAAGUUGAAAGAAGUAGAGCCCUAACUCUCUCCUUGUCAAAGGUACUCAAUUUUUUGAGAACAAAAAGUUAGAGCUUGUUUAAAAAUUAAUUUUUAAACUAUUUUUUUUCCUCUCUACAACAAAAACCAUUUUUUUACUUAGAAAACAUAUUUGAGAAAUUUUUAAUAGAAAAUAGUUCUUUUUUAAGAAUUUGUUUUGAAAAAUAAAUUGUUUUUAAUAUUAACUUUGAGGUGUUUUCUAUUGUUUUUUGUAGAGUGUUUUAAAUAAUAAUUAAAAAUAUGAAGAAUAUUUAGAAACUUUUGCAUUUUAUACCUUCAUGAAAAAUAAGUCGAGAAAAUAUUUCUCAAAAUUUGAUAAAUAAAUAAAAAAUACUUCUAAAGAAAAGAUCUUACUUGUGGCUAAGCCUAUAUAUUAAUUAUCAAAUAACAUUGGAAAAUAGUAAACAAGAUUAACAAAGGUAUGUUCAAUAUUUACAAACUGAGUUUGUGGUUGGUGAGGCCUCAACUUGAGCGCAACCUGCGUUUGCUUAUUUCAAACCAAUCUUAUAUUUAGUUUUAAAAAUUUUUAAAUAUAAAAAUUAUAUGUAUAAAUAUAAAAUUAUUUAAUAAUAAUAAUAAAUAUAAUUGGAGGGACGGGUGGAAAUGGGUUCAAAGCAGAGAAUAGGGUCCACUUCCCUUCCCUCAACCUCGAUUCUUACUCUUCUUAGCUACCUCAUGAGGGAUGGAUCCCUACCAAGACCUGUGUGGAUGGGUUUUUUUGUUAUCUCUAUUAGAAAUACUUCCUAAUGUUUGGAAGCACAUUUGAAAAUCACAUAUCGAAAUUCAAAGAAUCGCUUUUGAACAAUCACUUCAUAGGUGAUUGAAUCUUCCAAAAAUCUAUUUUUUUGUUAUAUUUAGAGUGCGUUUGGCGGUGAUUAUAGGAAGUGUUUUUAACAUUUUUUAAAUGUCAAUUCGCGCAUUUUUUUAUUAGAAAAGACUUUUUUCUUCUUUUGUGAUUGUAGUUCAUUAGUUCCAUGCUAGUUUAUUUUAAUCUAUAUGAUAUUUUAAAUGUGUUUGUGAUUUUAAUCUAAUUAGUUUUUAAGCAAUGUUUAGUUUAGUUUAGUUUAAAUUUAUUCUAUAAUUUGAAAGCGUUCAUGAUUUGAAUUCAAUUGUUUGACCAAACCUCUUAGAUAAAGUUCAUGUUUUUUGUCUUAAUUCCAAUUUUAGUUUAGUUUUAAUUUGCUGAUUUAUUUAUUUGUUUUGGCUUAAAUGUAUUUGCAAUUUCAAUUUGAUAGUUUAGCUGAUCUCAUUAGAUGAUGUUGAUGUUUUUAAUUCUAAUUUAAUCUAGUAUUAAAUUUUUUUUUAGUUUGAAUGUGUUUGUGUGUUCCUGAUUUCGUUAAUUUUGAUUCUAAUCCAUUUAUAUCCAAUUUUGUAGUUGAUUCUAAUUUUGGUUAAUUAAUUUAGUUAAACAUGUGUUAUUAUUUUCAUGUCUUAAGUAUGAUAAUUUUAAUUUUGAUCCAUCAAUAUUUAGUUUUAGUGUUUUUAGAGUUUUGGUUAAUUAAUUUAGUCAAUCACAUGUUAUUAUUUUCAUAUUUUGAGUAUGGCAUAUUUUGGUAUUGAUCUAUUAAUAUUUGGUUUAAGUUUUUAGGAAUUUUAGAUAAUCAAUCUAGUUAAUUGCAUGUUAUUGUUUUUCAUAUUUUUCAAGUUUGCAAAACUUUGGUUUUUGAUUUAUCAUAUUUUGUUAGAGUGUUAAUUUACUUUAAUUAACCCCACAUUAUUAUCUCCAUAUGUUAAGUUUGUUGACUUUAAUCUUUGAUUGUUUUUUUUAUUUGUUUUAAUUCAUGUGCUUCUUGUAUUCUAAAUGUUAGUCUUGGAUAAUAUUUUUGUUAGUUUGUUUUAUUAGGAAGUCAUAAGUUUGUUGCCUUAGUGAUUGUUAGUCACAUCCCUUUUUUUAAAGGCCACUGGAAACCCAUGAAGGUUGGCCCUACUCUCACCACUUUAAUUGGCCUGAUUGUCUAAAUCUUUAUUUUAUGAUUUUUGUUUUCCUUUUGUUUUGAUUGGUAUUUUGUUUUCUAUGUUUUGUUGUUUUCAAAAUUAAUUUUUUUUAUUUUAAAACAAAACACUUUUCUCAAAAGAUCCCUUUAAAAAUCUAUUUAAAAAAAAAUCAUUUAGAGUCUUUAGAAUCAAAAUCUCCUUUUUUUUUUAUUUAAAUAAUAUGCAACCAUAUCUUGAUCGGUUUGCAUCUUUCUCAGUUUUCAAUGAAAAUUUUGGUUUUGAACAAAACACGAAUCAAAGCUUGUGGUCCUAAAUAAAUGGGAUAAUUCUAAGCUAAAUUUGUGUAUAUCAAUUGGGGAAUUGGUGAAACCCCUACAUAAGAAAAUCUUUUCAAAACUUAUUUUUGCUACCACCCUUGCUAUUUGUUGUAAUCAUAUCUAUCUAUUUUUUAGGAAUUGUAUACAAGAUGUGUGUGAUAAUUGAUUAUUUCAUAUAUUCUACUCAUUUUUGCUAUGCAAAUUGGAUAAUAAGCAUGCCAGAAUUUCUUAUUUUAUUAUUUAUUAUCUAACCCCCCAUGUCCUGAGGAAACGUAUUAUGAGUUAUCUAUGCUACCCAGGUACGCUCCCUAACACCCACUUUCUAAAUUUUGUAAAUAUGAUUGUCAUUAUGAACUAUGUCUAUGUUUGACAGUGCUUAGGUGUCUUGAUAUUGGUUACAUUGUUCGAUCAUUUAUGAUAAAGUGCAUGCUGGGUGAUAUACUAUUUAAACUAACCUUUGCUGUUUUGUGAUAGCGCUUAAGAAGUGGUCUAGGUACACACCCUAAAUCUUCUUUAUGAUUUGUGAUUGGUUUUCUUGUUUAGCAUGCUAUUUUUCGAAGUCACCUAGCCUACCUAGGUAUCUAUAAUUAACCAAUUAAUUGCCACGUUUCUUUCAACUUAGUCAGUAGAAACCUUUAUAGGGCUUAGAGGGGUGCUACCUCUUAGAGGUACCUUCCCAAUAAAUAACAUGAUCCCCGGACCUAGACUUGGGUUUUUCAAAGACAUGCUUUUCCAAAAACUAUGGAGUCAUUUUUUAGGGUUUUAUUUCUUGUUUUAUUUUCCCUUUAAAAUAAAAUAAAAUAAAAUAAGUGGCGACUCUAACUUUUCCAAAAUUAAUUUUUCACUCAAUAAAAGUGAGUCUCGCCAAUGGAGUGGGGGCGCAUGUGAAGAAUGCGGGUCCACAUUAUGAUAUGGACCCUAGAGCAAAAAACAUUCUUAUAGUAUAUAGAAUAUACUAUAAGGCUAUGACCACUUCAGUAAAUGCUAAGUGUUUACUGAAAUCUCUAAAAGGGAAAACCCUUUUGUUCCAAGCCAAUGAGGAACAAUCCUUAGUUAUGACCCCUGAAAAUAUCCCUUAGGAAUCUCUAACCUAUUCAAACACCUGGAAUUUCACUUCGUUAGCUCUUCCAAAACCUAUUCAAAAUAGGAAGCCUCUCUUUAUCAUGCAAGAUGAUAAAGGGAAUGUCACUAUCCAAUUUCCAAAAAGAGAAGAAGGAUAGAGUAGUAGAAUCUUUGUUCAAGGAAGUAGAACUUCCUCUCAUCCUAGGCAAUCUUUUGAGAUAAAUUCUCGAAAAUUGCUGUCAAACUUGAUAAUGUGGAUUUUACUCUAAACAUCCCUCAUCCUAAGUAUGUUACCCAGGAGUCACCUCUAACUUCACCAACACCCUCUCAAAUGUUGUCUGACAAACCUAACCAAUUGAUGGUUAUAGAUAGCACUGAACCCUUUCAAAUAGAUAAGGAAUACCUUAGCAAAGAGUUGCAUCUUCCAAAACAUAACAAAAAGAGAGAAUGGUUAUUCUCCACCAAACUUACCACUCAAACAAGACAUAAGUUUAGAGAAGAAUGGUAUAAGUGUAAGGAAAGAAAUAUGAUAGAUAUCCCUAUGUUCACAUACCUUGAGAUAUAUGCUUCAAAUAACGAUAUUGACUACCCUUUCCUAGAAGUCAAUAUCUUUCAAAAGGGACAAGUUGGGAAAACUACAUCCAAUAAAACUAUUGUUUCAAAUCACCCUCCACUAGAAGAAGUUACCAUAACCGCUCAAAUGUUGACAUAAUAGCUUCUCCUUUCAAAACAUUAAAUCCAAAGGAUAAUGAAGGAAGAACAGUAACAUUAAAAGAUUGUAAAAACCUUCAACAACAAAAUAAUUUUACAAAUCAAAUUCUAGGUACUCUCUUCUCUCAACUUGAUAGGAUAGAAGACAAACUAGAAGAUCGUCAAAUAUCUCGUCAAAUAGUUACUCCUCAUUUUCUCUAGAUAAAAAUCAUCCAAUUUUCAAACCUACAGAAGUAGGGAAUCAGAAACUUAAACUUUCAAACAAUAACAAUAAUGAUUUGAUUCAAACUUUAACAAAGAAAAUUGAACAAUUUGAUCUUUCAAACAAAGCGUCAACUUCAAAUACAAAGUCUGUUAAUGUUAUAACAGAAAUUACUCCAAAAAAUGUAAACCAAAUACAAACUAUGUUUGAGGAACAAGACCCUCAAAUAAAUAGAAUUGCCCAUAAAUUCAAACAGCAAACCAAAACUAGGAAUUAUUAUCCUAGAACAACUCCUCUUGAUCUUCAAUAUGAAGAAAUGAAUCAAAUUGUACGGUCAAAGUAUGAUGAAGAUGGCAUCUAUGAAUGGAACAUAGAUGAUGUAAGUGAUCAUCAAGUCUUGAAUAUUCUUCAAGAAAUGAUCAUGGCUUCCAUAGCCUACAAAUCUAAAGAAAACUUUGACCAUCUGAUCUGUGUACACUUGGUUGCAGGAUUUACAGGCCAACUCAAAGGAUGGUGGGACAAUGCUCUCAUUGAAGAAGAAAAAAUCUUUAUUCAAACUAGCUUAGAUGAAAGAGGAAACCAAAAUUCAAUUCACACCUUAAUCUUCGCUAUUACCAAACAUUUUCUUGGAGAUCCAAUUGUCUUCGAAGCCUGUACCUCAGAAAUCCUUCAAAAUAUUAGAUAUAGAAAACUGAGUGACUAUAGAUGGUAUAAAGAAGUAUACUUUGCUAAAGUCCACUCAAGAACAGAUGUUAACUAACCCUAUUGGAAAGAAAGGUUCCUCAAUGGGUUACCAAAAUCCUUUAGUCAAAUAGUCUAAAUGAGAAUCAAAGAGAUGUAUAAUGGUAUUAUCCCUUAUGAUUCUUUAACCUAUGGCCAAUUAGCAAAUUUUGUUAGUCAAGAAGCAUUAAAUCUUUGCUCCUUGAUCAAAGUUAAUGCUACCCUCAAAAAGUAUCUUAGAACAUCCGAGAAAAAGUUAGGAUCAUUUUGUGCCCAGUAUGGGUAUGAUAAUCCUCUGCCUCCUUCAGUCAAACAAGAAAAGUUCUAUAGAUCUAAGAAGAAAAGGUAAAAUAAAAAAAUUUCAAAUUUCAAAAAAGAAUCCUUCUAUAGAAAACCCAAGCAUAAGAAACAUUCAAAUAAAAAAAUAUAAAAAUUUGUCUUCGAAAAAAAUAAAUAAAGAAAGAAGAUAUAAAAUGUUUCAAAUGUGGCAAAAAAAAUGGCAUAUCGCUCUAAAUUGCAAAAUCAAAGAAAUAUUUGCAAAUUUAGACAUUAUAAAACGUCUCAAAUAGCAAAUGAUUAACUUAAUCAAAACAUAAUUAUAGUCAGAUUCGUCUAGUCAAACUUCAGUAGAAUCAUCUAGUGAUGACCAGCUUCUUCUAAUAGAAGACAACUCUUCAAAUGAGUCAAAUGAGUCUUCACAGUCAUCAUGUGAUUGUGUAGAAAAUUGUUUAUGUAAUAUCAAACAAGUUAAUGUAAUAACUAGUGAUCAAAAUUUUCUGAUAGAAUUAAUUGAGAAAAUCCUUGACCAAAAUCUUCAAAAAAAAUACUUCAAAAAAUACUUAGAAAUCCGACGACAAAGUAAUGAAAUAAGUUUAGAAAAUACUAAUCAGUACAGUUUAAAAACUGUGUUAGAUCAAUUUUCUAAGAAACCCAAGCCUGUAGGAAUCUAAGAUCUUCAAAAUGAAAUAAGUCAAAUAAAAUUUCAAAUUAAUGCCAUGAUAGUUCAAAAUCAAGAUUUAGAAACAAGACUAAAGGUCUUAGAACAAGAAAAAUUCAAACUUCAGAAAAUACCAAAGAUGUACAACUGGAAGAAGAAGAAUCUUCUCAAUUGUUUGUAAAUACUAUUAAGAAAACAAAGGUUGUGCUUAGUUAAGAAAAACACCCAAAAGGGGGAGGGUGAAUUGGGUUUUUUAAAAUCUUUUCAAUCACAACAAAAACAAACACAAUAUUAGCAAAGUAAAGAGAUAGAGUUUAGAGAAUUCAAACUCGGGUUUAUAGUGGUUCGACACUUCCUUGUCUACGUCCACUCUUCUCAACCUCCUAACCGAGUGAGGGUUCCACUAACUUAAAGCUUCAACCAAGCUUCCAAUCUCCUUACACUUGGAUUCCGGCUCCAAUGGGCUCUUACACAACCUCUUCAAGAUUCAACCCUCUUGAAGGCUUUAACACUCAGAUUGUUACAAGAUAUAAUCACUCAACCUAGCUUAAGGAUGACUCAAAUACAAGACAAAGCUAGGAUGACACACAAGAGUGCACUAAAGGAUAUGCAAGUGGUGAUUUAAUGCACUAUGAAGGAAAUGAGAGCUUUUUGAUUAAGAACAGGUAGGUAGGCUAUUGAAUGCAAGUGUUCUCUUAUCCAUAAAUAAAGUGGAGCUCUCAAUUUAUAGGUUUCUAAGCUCAGGAGUAAAAAACAGCAAAAGGUAACCUCGUCCGGUCGAGCUAGGGGUCGAUCGGUUCACUAGCCGUUGGAGCAUUUAAUGCAUGAUAGGUUACCGUUGCCUCAACCGGACCUCGACCGGUAAGAGAAAUAUCUCGAUUAGGAAGAGAAGGCUACUAGGAGAGAGAGAAGGUUUUUGACCUUCCUCGAUCGGUACUCGACCGGACGAUGACAACCGAUCGACCGGUUCCUCAACCGGUUGAGCCGGUUGGGCAUAGCCUCGACCGGUUGAGCCGGUUGGGCAUAACCUCGACCGGUUGAGCCUUUUUGGCCCCAAAAACCUUUUUUUUUAUUUAUUCCUUUCUUUUCUAACACUUAGGCAAGGUCUUUAGGUAAAUUAUUAAUCCAAUUAUAAAACAUUUUACCUAAGAUACAUUAGUUAAAAACUCGGGUUUUAAUGAAAUCGGCGUUUUAAAGAAUAAACCGAGUUUUCAAAGAUGCAUGAAACGAGUAAUAAUCCUAAGUGCACUCAUGCAUUCAUCUUACAUUAGUUUCCUAUGAUCACAAGUCUUCCAAGUGUCUCGAUCUUGUGUCCAUUUGGUCCUUUGAUGAAUUUUCAAGUUUAUACUUGAGAUUCUUAAACAUUUAAACCAAAUAGUCACUUAACCAUGGUUUGUUAUCAUCAAAACCCGAUUAGGAGAACCCUUGGGCUAACAACUAUAACAUGCAUGAUAACUCAAAAAUGGCACAUCAAAGUAAAACUUUUUAUCAAACCUAAUUUUUCAAAAGAAUUCGUCGCAUUAGUCGAUUCUAGUGUUGACAUUAAUUGUGUUUAGGAAGGAUUAAUUCCUAAUACUUACUUUGAAAAAACUUUUCAAGGUGCAGUUGGUGCAAACACUAAACCUUUACAAAUAGAUUACAAAAUUUGAAAUGAAAAUGUUUGUUUCAAGAUUUCUCUUUUACUCGUUAAAGAAAUGAAUAAAGAAAUAAUCUUGGAAACCCCCUUUCUUGCUCUACUCUAUCCUUUUAGAGCAGAUGAAGAAGGUAUCAAAACCGUUUACGAAAAACAAAAACUUUGUUUCAAAUUCAUUAAUUCCCCAAUAAUAAAAGAGUUAAAUAUACUUGAAAAUGAGGUAAACUUGAUUCAAAAGAAAAAACAACAAAUCAAGUUUAUAAGUAAAGAAAUACAUUACAAAAUAAUAGAAGAAAAGCUUUUGCAAAAAUAUAUUCAAACAAGAAUUGAAAAGAUUAAAAAUCAAAUUGAAACAUAUGUAUGUUCUUCUGUUCCCAAUGUUUUUUGGAAUAGAAAGCAAAAUAAAGUCUCAAUGCCCUAUGUGGAUGGAUUUGAUGAAAGUCAAAUUCCUACUAAGGCAAGACCAAUUCAAAUGAAUGCUCAAUUGCUUGACUAUUGUAAAGAAGAAAUAAAAGAUUUAUUAGACAAAAAUCUUAUUAGAAAAAACAAUCUCCUUGGAGUUGUGCAGCUUUUUAUGUUCAAAAACCCUUAGAAAUUGAAAUAGGCGCUCCAAGACUUGUUAUUAAUUUUUGUCCUAUGGUUUCUUUGUUUAAAUCUUGGGCAACUUAGUGGGACCACCACCGGGAACACCUAAACGCUACCAUGGCUACAACAGCUUACCAACGGAUACAAGGGUUAACCAACGCUAAGUAGUUGAGAUUUAAACAGAUAAUCAUAAAAUAAAAUGGCAAAUUAAAUUUGAAAACUAACUAUCAUGGCUCUGAUACCAAUAUAGACAGGAUCGGAGGAUGAACAAAAAAUGCACAGAAAAAAGAACACUUCAAUCUGAAAAUCAAUAAGAACUUUGAAGAAAUCUCCCAGUUAAAUAUGGAGGAAUCAUAAUGGUCUUGCUUAAAACCCAGAUAACUCUGACAGAGCUUCUUGAAAGUUCAUAGGCUUUCAAAGAGGUUCAUUUGAUGCAUAGUAAAAACUAAAUGUACAAUUGAAUUUGAAAUUGAAAAUUUCAUUCAAAAGAUAAAAUUUACAAGAACUUUGAAAGAAAUAAAACUUACAAUCUUUGAAGCAAGCUUUACAACAGAAUUUGAGAUGAGUUAUGGAUGUCGAGUUAUGAUUGUAAAAUAUAUUUUCAUUAGUGUGAAUAAAUAUGAAAAAAAAAUUUAAGAUUAAGAAUUAAAACAAAAUGUAUGUAGAAAUGAACAUAUAUUUUGUCAGAUACCAAAAAGUCCAAACACUGCAAGAAGAUAAAUAAAUACAGUGAAGAAGUAGUAUCCUUUUUUUUGCAACACUGAACACUAGAUAGUGGUACUCAAAUGGUAAACAUAUCACAAAGUUAAUGUACUUAAAAAAUAAAUAAAAAAAGGGAAUGCAGUUGAAACAAAAUAAAAUAAGGCAAAUACAUGAAAUUUCUUAUAAUAAGAAAUUUGAGAAUCAAUAUGCAAAUCAUAAAUACUGAUAUGUUUGUGGUAGACAAUCAUAAAUAAUUCAAAAUUUUCUCAAAAACAAAGAAGAGAUUUGAAAGGAAAAUUUCUAAGACAAAACAAUUAGAAUAUGAAAGCACAAGCUACAAGUCAAAAUACUUCCUUCCUUAUUUUUCUUUCCAAAUCAAUCCUUAUUAUGAAAGAGCACCUGACUUGAAUUUUAAUAAUAUAACAACCCUCUGUGAGCUAAUUAACACUCAACACUAAAUUUUUUAUUUUUUAUUUUUGCAAAAAAAAAAAAAAACAUAAAUUUUUCUCAAUACUUUUUUAAAACCACACAUAACCUCAAAACAAAAGUUUAAUAUUUAAAUUAUUGUAUAACAUGUAACAUUUUUAAAACUCAAAGAAGGCUAGACUCCAACAUUUUUCACCCAAAAAAUCUUGAAUUGUAUUAUCAAGUUCAUCUUUCAAGUAGGGAUGGUAAUGGGAUGUGUUUGGGACAGUUCACCCUCAUCCCAUUUAUUUAUAUCUAUUCUCGUUCUCACAAAAUAAAAAUAAAAUAAAAUAAAUGGGAAGAGGUGGGGUGAGGGAAGUAUGAGAAAUUAUCAUACCCGACUCAUUCUGCCCCGUUUAAAAAUUUUCAACAAUUUUCAAUUUUUUAUUUUUAAAUUUUUAUAAAAAAAAAUGUAUAUAAUUUAUAAAUAAAAUGCAUUAUAAAUAUUUAUAAUUUAUUUUAAUGAAAACUAAUAUUUUAUUUAUAUUUAAAAAGUUAAAAAAUAAAAAAAAAUUAAAAUAAUUUUUUAUUUAAAAUUAUAUAUAAUUAGGGCGAGACAGAGUAAGACAAAGUCAUUACCGGAACCCACCCCGAACCUAUUUUGGGUUUUUAAAAACUUUGCAAACCUAUCUCAAACCUAUUUAUUUUUAUCCCAAACCCUUCUCAUAGUGGAUACUUGGUUCGUUAUCAUCCUUAUUUCUAAGUCUAUUUUGCAGAACAUAAACGUUCAAGGACUCCAAACCAAAGAGUGUAGUUUGUGUAAUUGAUUAAGAUCCCUUUGGUUAAUAAUAUAUACAUAUACAUUCCCAAUUUCCAAACAUAUGUGAAUAGAAUAUGAGAGAUAGAACGUAAACAUGUUAAUAUGACAAAGCAUAAAAUAAAAUUAGAUCGAAGGAAAAAAGAAACAAAAAAAACAACUGUCAUAUUUUGAAAAUCAAAUGAAAUUUAAAAAGACCUUCCAUAUUUUGAUUUUUUUUUCUCUUUUUGCUAAUUUAUUUUGGAUAAUGAAUAUAAAGUGGUCAAAAUAGUCAUCUAUUUAUUUGUUCCGUAGCCAUCUAAAAAGGAUUCAAUUUUUUUUUUACCUUUCAUAAAAUUAGAAAAAAGACUAUUAAUACAAAUAGUUUUCUUCAUCUAAUUACAACCUAUCAAAAAUGUGAAGUUUCAUUUCUUUUAUCUUUUUUAAUUUGUUUUUUUUUAUUUUUCUUCAUUUUCUUCAACAAAAAUUUUGUUGUACUAGAGUUCUUAUCAUAUCAUAGUUUGAUUUUAUUAUUUUUCGUUUAUAUAUUAUCCAAUAUAAUUUUUAUUUACUCAAAAUGAGUAGAUAACGUGACUUUUUCAUGUUAUUUAAGUUUAGAUAAUUGAUAUUCUAUGCUCAUUAAUCCAUCUUUAUCUUAUUCUUGUUUUAUCCCUAAUAUGCAUAUGAUUAUUUUUAUCUGAAAGUAGAAAUUUUGAACGUUACUUUUAUUAUUAUUAUUUUCUUAGAAUUUAUUUAUUUACAGUAAAAAGUACAGUAAAUAAAAACCAGUAAUGACAUAAAAACGUCAUUAGCUUUAGGCUACUAGUAUUUAUUUUAUUCACAUUUCACCAAUUUUAUACUUUAUCAUUUUUCUUUAUAUUUAUUAAUUUUAUAAUGUUAUAUUUGAUUUAUGUAAAUAGUGAAUAAUCAUUACAUAUUAUUAUAAUGAUAAUUAUAAACAAAAAGAAUUUGGUCUUUGGUUAACACCUUUCUUUUUUUAAUUGGGAGGAGCCUUGAAAUGGGGCCACCACUUGACAUUUGAAAAAAGUUGUUAGAAAACCCACACUUUAAAAGAAGUGGGUUGAUAAUGCUUUUGACCGUUCGCUUUUGGAAAAGUUAAAAAGCUAUUUGAAAAAUUAAAAAUCUAUUUGUAAACCUAUGCUUUAGGAAAAGAGGGUGAAACCCGACGCUAUAAAAAAGAUAAGGUUUUUAAAAAAACUGUUUGACAACGAACUUUUUGAAAUUGGACAAUUAUGGGUAUUGGUGUUCACAUUUGAUGAUUAGGCAAACACUCCUAAAGAUGUAUAAUUAAUGCAAAGUUCUUGAAAAUUUAUGAACAAAACAUCUUUUAUGUACAUUUACACACUUUAUUUAUUUAUUAUAUUAAAUUAUUGGAAAUAUUGUUUACAUGCAUCUAUAAAUAUCAAAUAUAAUUUUUAUUUUUAUUUUUAUAUUUUCAUAUAUAUACAAGGUACCUAUACUAAAUAUAUAUGAUAUUUAUACUAAUUGUAGAAGACAUGUAUAAGUUUGUCUAUUAUGAAUAUAUUUACGCUUUUUUUUUUACUAUUUUUUAAACCAUUAGAAACAUCAUUGACAAAUAUACAUGAAUGUCACAUACAAUUUUAUUUUUUAAAAUUAUCACACAUGUACAAGGUACUUGUAUUAAAUAUAUAAGACAUUUGUAUUAACUGCACAAAGUUUGUACAAAUGUACUUACUGUAGAUAUAUUUACGUGUUUUUAUGAAUGUUCGUAAAAUUUGAAAAUGUGUUCUACAUUUAGUAUAACUAUGUUGUAUAUCUAUGAAAAUGCCAAAAAAAAAAAAUUCUAUUUGACAUUUAUGCAUAUUUGUAAAUAAAUUUUCUAAUAAUUUGUUCUGUACAACUAUUAUGCAUAUUAGGACAAAGAAUAAUAAUAGAAGAAAAGAAUAAGAAAAACAAAAUCAAAAUACACAAUGAUUUACGUGGUUAGACCAAUCAAAUAUUAUUUUUAUUUUUAUUUUUCCUAUUUUCAUAUAUAUAUAUAAGGUAUUUAUACUAAAUAUACACUUCAUUUGUGUUAAUUGUACAAGACGUGUAUAAGUUUGUCUAUUAUGAAUAUAUUUACGGUUUUUUUUACUAUUUUUUAUACUACUAGAAACAUUGUUUACACAUAAACAUGAAUGUCAAAUAUAAUUUUUUUUAUUAAAUUAUCACACAUGUACGAGGUGCUUGUAUUAAAUGUAUAAGGCACUGUACUAAUUGUACAAGGUUUGUACAAACCUAUUUAUUGUGAAUAUAUUUUCGUAUUUUUAUGAAUAUUUGUAAAAAUGUAAAAAUGUGUUGUACAUUUAGUAUAACUAUGUUGUAUGUGUGGAAAUUCCAAAAAAAAAAAAAAGAAUAAUAUUUAUGCAUGUGCAUAAAUAAAUUUUCUAAUAAUUUGGUAUGUAAAACAAAUAAAGAAAAUGAAGAACAACAUGUAAAUAAUUCACGAUAUACAAGUUUGCACAUGCCUUACACAAUUUAUAUGCAUGCAAAUAUAAAGAAAAUGAAUUUGACUUAUUUAUACGAACAUUAUUUUCUUGCAGUUUAAUAUGAUGUAUAAAAACAAAAUCAAGAAAAUAUUUUAAGAAAUUGAAAAUAAUAUAUUUUGUAUCUUUCUUGUUAAGUUAAUAUGCAAAUACCUUAUAUAUCAUCUCUAAAAGUGAAGCAAAGGAAUUGAUAUAAUAAUCACUAAAAUCUCAAAUAAAUAAUAUAAGUAAUUAACUAAAAUUUGAUUGUUAUUAUUUAUAAUUUGAAAUAUCCUAGUAAGUCAUAUUAUCACUUAUAAUUUAAAUUAAAGAUAUAUUUUCUUAAUUUAAACAAUUAUGUAAUACUAAGUCUUAUCAAGAUUAAAUAGUAUAUAAUUUAAUAUAAUUCUAUAGUUUAAUUGUAAAUAUGUUGUUAAUUAAAUUUCAAAUUUUCAAAAUUUUCAAAAUUUUAAAAUAAAUAAUAAUAAUAAUAAUAAUAAUAAUAAUGGAACCUUAAAUUAAUGAAAAAUAAACUAACAUAAUAGUUGUGGGCACCCCCAUUAAUGGGGAUAGUGGAUCUACCCAAAAAACCAUCCACUGAGUCGAGCCAGUUUGGGCUAGGAUUAAAGUCCAACUAGCCUAAGCGAAUGAUUUAGGGUUGCUGGGGCAAGCCUAAAUGAACUAGGUGCACCUAGACGAACUAGGUGCACCUAGACGAACUAGGUGUGCCUAAUGGGCCUAAAUAUAUCUAUGCAAACUAUCAUAAAAAAAUGUACCUGAAUAUCUAAAAUGGCUAUGUGAGUAGCAAUGGGUUGGUAGGAUCUACAAUGGAGUACUGAAAGAGUACUUAAUCAGGGCAUGUGCCAAUGAGACAAAAAUGGAGGGUCUACACUAACAAGGUGAAAGUUAUUAGCCUAUCAAUGUUAUAGAUCCUCCCAUUUUAUAAUCAAAUAAUAUCCAAUAACCUUAUGUCAGACUCACCAUAGGUCUUAUCCAAUAUAUAACUGUACAUACUAGUGCACUCAUCAUGGGAACCCCAUCUCUAUAGCUAAAACCAAUCAUCUCUCUAAUUAAGAGGCAAUGCACUACAACCUCAAAUAGAUUGUCUUCAAAUGGAUUGCUUAAGGUUGUAAAUAAAUCAUUUACUUGCAAAAAAAAACCCAUAACUUAGUUCUUCUAUACAAUUCCUAAUGCACCUAAGUUGCGCAUAAUACAAGAGAUACAAACUAAAAUGCUCAUAAAAAUAUAAUUCAUGGAAUAAUGAUAGAUUAAAGUGAAAUUAGAACAUUAUUAAAUAAUAAAUUCACAUUUGUUAUGUCAUGUUAUGCUUUUAAGGGCUUUAUCUUGACAAUUUCUCAUUUUCCCUUAAAGCAUUAUGCUACUAAAGCAAACUAGGUACACAUCUGACAUCUAUGUUAUUCCUGUGACCAUCAAAGACUCUCCCUAUCAAUGUCUUAGUGAAAGGAUCUAUAAGGUUCUUUGUAAAGGUAUCUUCUCAACCACCACAUUACUCUUCUAUACUAUCCUACUUAUCAAGUGGUACUUCAUAUCAAUGUGCUUAUAUUUCAGGUGGUUUCUUAGUUAUUUAGAUUAUGUCACUGUCUCACUAUUAUCAUAAAAUAGUGUCAUAGCUUACACAACCAAGAGUACUACUAAGAAUCUAAAUUGCUCCAUUCCUUAGCACUAGAUCUAGUAAGGUGUAUGCAUAUUACCUAAGGCUCUCUAGAUCCUAAUCUAAGCGGAAAUAUGACAUUAAAAAACUAAUUAGAUAUUUGAUCUAAAGAGAACUGAAAAAACACAUGGAUCUGAAUGUUAUUAGAUGAAUUCUAAAUCAUAGAAGAUGUUGAUAAAGAAUUUGAAACCAUAAAAAACUUUGAGAAGCUUGUAUACUCAGUGUUUUUCCACUCAAUCACACUCUACACAGUUCUAGGUACAAAAAAAGUGUGGACUUUUCUCUCUAAAAGGUAGCUGAGGAUUCUUUCUAGAGACUCUCUUUGGAAACAAACAUGCAAAAAUCUAAAGCUAUAAUCCUUAAGGGGGUAUUUAUAGGGCUCCUUAUAGGCUUAAGUGAUACAAACCUAAAUUGAGCUUAGGUAAUUUAAUCCAAUAUAUUUAGAUCCUAAUUAAUUAAUGAGUUAUAUUGAAUUUCAAUUAAUUAAUUAACUUGAUUAAGAAAUACAAUUCAUAAGAUCUAGUUCAACUUUGCGCUUCUAUCAAAAUGCCCUUAUGAACACUUAUAAAUAUGAAACUCAAAUCUUUCAAAAUAAACGUGCCACUAUAAACUAAGAGUUCGAGCAAAGACCAAUAAAUACAUAUAGGAUAGUAAAAUGAACUAGAAAUAUGAUAUAAACAAAUUUAUUAAUGAAACUAAAAUUGUUAUACCAUGUCAUGCUUUACAAAGCUUUAUCCUCUAACAUAUAAAUCCAAUUCCAAUGAUUUUCGUUUCAAAUAAUUGUUUAGAAAAACAUUAUCAAAUAAGGCUAAAAUUUCUCUCUUAGUAAAUUCCUUUUUUCACCUAAAGUUGAUGGUUGAUUUCAAAUAUUUAUGCUUUUAUUGAUUUUUUUUAUAAAUAGAAGGUUGUGAUUUCAUUAGAGAUAAGUGCAACUUAAAAUUCUUAUAUUUAUAUAUAAAAAUUUAGAGCAAAUUCAUUUCAAAAUUGGAACCUAGUAGCCAAUUUGUAAAGCAGAUUCUUCCUAAAAUUUUGUUUAAACUCAAUGAAUCCUUUGAAAAAGAUUUUUAUACACCAUUUUUUGGAAGCUAAAGUCCUUCAUGUUGUAAAACAAGGAUAAAUGCAACUCAAAGUAGAUAUAAGAUAUAUAUUCUUUAACAAUAUAUAUAAUAGGAGAAAGGAAUCAGAGAAGAGAGUUGAGAGAAUCAAAGACAAAGAGAAUGCGAGAAAUGGAGAAAUUUCUUUCUUGCUUGGAGGUACAUAUUACAGGGGAUAGGAAGCCUUUUUAUAGGCUUUCCAAAUAGCUUCCAUUAAUAUUCCCAUUAAUGAAUAUUAAUAGAACUCAUAAAUAAUAUUUAAUGGUUUCCAUUAAGGAGAAGUCAUAAAUAAUAUUUAAUUAACAUUUAUUAUAAUUAAUGUGGUGACAUUCAUUACUUUAAUUAUAACACUUUCCCUUGGAUGUCCACCACAUUAGAAGAAUAUGUCUCAUCAAAACCUUACUAGUAAAAAACUUGAUGGGAAAAAUCUAGCGAAGGAAAAAGAGUACAAUAUUCUUUUAAUUAUUUGAGUUGCUUUUGGUAUGUUAGGACUGCCUCAUUAAAAACCUUGCUAGUAAAACCUAGUGGGAUAAAACCUGGACGAAGGGUAAAAGAGUACAAUACACUAACACCCUUUUACAAGCAUACUCCCUCUCAUAUUGAUAUCUUUGAGUUGAUGCAUUCCAAUCUUCUAUAUUAACUUCUUGAAUGUUAAGGUUCGCAAUGACUUUGUGAAUAAAUCUGUUAGAUUAUCAUUUGAGCGUAUUUGUUGCACAUCAAUUUCACCACUCUUUUGGAGUUCAUGUGUAUAAAAGAAUUUUGGUGAAAUGUGUUUAGUUCUAUCUCCUUUAAUAUAACCCCCUAUUAUCUAUCCAAUGCAUGCAACAUUAUAUUCAAAUAAUAUUGUCGGGUCACAUUUGAUAAAGGAGAGUCCACAUGAUUCUUAAAUAUGCUAGAUCAUAGAUUUUAGCCAUAUACAUUCACGACUUGCUUCAUGAAUUGCUAAUAUUUCUGAAUGAUUUGAUGAUGUGACCAUCAUUGUUUGUUUGAUAGAUCUCCAUGAAAUAGUAGUACCAUUGCAAUUAAACAUAUACCCUAUUUGUGACCUACCUUUAUGUGGAUGUAAAAUAUAUCCUGCAUCUACAUAUCCAAGCAAUUGUUGCUUUGAUUCCCUUAAGUAAAAUAGACCAAUAUCAGUAGUUCCACGAAAAUAACGCAAUAUAUGGUUGAUACAAUUUUAAUGUCUUCAAGUUGGAGCGAAAUCGUAUCUUGCUAAUAAAUUGACAGAAAAAGCAAUGUUUGGACAUGUAUAAUUGGCAAGAUAUAUAAGUGCACCAAUAACACUAAGAUAUGGUACUUCAGGACUAAGUAAUUCUUCAUUUUUUUUUCAUAAUGACAAAAUAGGUCAUUUUUCACUUCAAGUGAUCAGACAACCAUUAGAUAACUUAAAGGAUAUGCUUUAUCCAUAUAAAAAUGCUUCAAAACUUUCUCAAUGUAUGUUGAUGAUGUACUAAAACUCCAUUUGGAAAAUGCUUGAUCUGUAGGUUAAGACAAAAUUUUGUUUUCCCAAGAUCUUUCAUCUCAAAUUCCUUUUUCAAGUAAUUUGUCGUUUUUAUGAGCUCUUGAGGAGUUCUAACAAGAUUUAAGUCAUCAACGUACAUUGCAAUAAUUGGAAAUCUGGUUUUUGAUUUCUUAAUGAAAAUACAUGGGCAUAUAGGGUUAUUCACAUACCCUUCUUUUAGCAAGUAUUCGCUAAGGUGAUUGUACCACAUCCAUUCAGAUUGCUUUAAUCCAUACAAAGAUCAUUGUAACUUGAUUGAAUAUAUGCUACGAGGCUUCGUACUAUUUGCUUCAAGCAAUUUAAAUCCUUCAGGGAUUUUCAAGUAUAUCUCAUUAUCCAUGGAUCUGUAUAAAUAUGUUGUAAUAACAUCCAUGAGAUGCAUAUCCAGUCCUUUUAAAACUACCAAAUUAAUUAAGAAACAAAAUGUGAUCGUGUCCAUGAUAGAAGAGUAUGUUUCCUCGUAGUCAAUACCAGGUCUUUGUGAGAAACCUUGUGCUAUUAAUUAUGCUUUAAAUCUUAUGAUCUCAUUAUUCUCAUUACACUUUCAUACAAAUACUCAUUGAUACCCAAUAGGCUUUACAUCUUCAGGUGUUUGGACUAUCGGUCCAAAAACUUCUCAUUUUUUUAAUAAGUUCAACUCUGCCUACAUAGCUUCUUUCCAUUUUGGCUAAUCAUUUCUAUGUUAACAUUCUUCCACAUUUUAUGGUUUGAGAUCUUCAUCAUUUCUUAUGAUAUCGAAGGCCAGUUGGAAAGUGAAAAUAUUGUUAACAACAAUAUUUUUUUAUCCCAUUUUUCUCCCUUGUGUACAUAACUUAUUGAGAUCUCACAAUUUUCAGGUAUCUUUGCCUCUUCAAGGGUUUCUCUUUCAAUUUGGGUCUCUUUAGGGGCUUCUUGUUCAAUAUGUGCCUAUUCAAGGGCUUUUUGCAUUAUUUAUGCCUCUUCUGGGACUAUAGAUUUAUCAAUUUUAAAUUGAUUAUAGACAUUUUGAUGGUCUCUUCUAAAGAGCUAAGUUUUUUUUGUGUUCUCCUCUUUCGGGGAGUUACAUCAUUUGAGUCGAUAGGUCUACCACACUUCAACCAUAUCUUAGAUUCAUUUGUUAACUGUCCUAUAGGGACAUCAAGUCGUGCUGGAGUAUUCGCAAUUGGGAUAUCUGACUUUGUCACUUUCUUUGUAUCAAUGAAUGCAUCUGGUAGUUGAUUUGUAAGAUUUUGCAAAUGAAUGAUCAUUUGAACUUCUAGUUCACAUUGAUUUGUACGAGGAUCAAGAUAGGACAUAGUAGAUGCGUUCCAAGUAAUUUCUCGUCGUUCUUCAAGAAUCGGCUUUUCUCCCCCUAAUGAUGGGAAAACACUCUCAUUAAAAUGACAACUCGCAAAGCAGGUUAUAAAAACUUUGCCUAUCAAAGGUUCCAAAUAUCUUAUGAUAGAUGGAUAAUCAAAACCUACAUAAAUCGCAAGUCUUCAUUGGGGACCCAUUUUAAUGUGUUGUGUAGGUGCAAUUAGUACAUAUACUACACAACCAAAGAUUUGUAAGUGAGAGAUAUUUGGUUGUUUUUCAAGUACAAGUUGUGAAGAGGAGUAUUCAUGGUAAGUUGUAGGUCGAAUACGAACUAAAGUUGCAACAUACAUAAUAGCAUGUCCCCAAGUGGAAGUAGGUAAUUUGGUCUUCAUUAGUAAUGGUCGAGCCAUUAAUUGAAGAUGUUUGAUGAAGGAUUCUGCUAAACCAUUUUGGGUAUGAGUAUGAGCAAUAGGAUGCUCAAUAUUUAUCCCUACUGACAGCAAUAGUCAAUGAAUGUUUGAGAAGUAAAUUCGCCAGCAUUAUCAAGACGUAUUGUCUUAAUUGGAUAAUCUGGAAAUUGUGCUCGUAAUCUAAUUAUUUGUAUAAAGAGUCUAGCAAAGAUAACAUUACGUGUAGGAAUGAGACAAAUAUGUGACCACCUAAUAGAAGCAUCUAUUAAGAUCAUAAAAUAACAUAAUGGUCCACAUGGUGGAUUUAUAGGCCCACAUAUGUCCCCAUGUAUUCUUUCUAAAAAGACUGGUGACUCAGAUAUGACUUUAGUAAAAGAUGGUUUAACUAUCAAUUUACCUUGUGAACAAUCAGCACAUGAGUAUUCAUUGGGCAAAAGAAUCUUCUGGUUUUUUAAUGGAUGCCCAUGUGAGUGUUCGAUCAUUUGAUGCAUCAUUGAAGACGUUGGGUGACCUAGCCUAUCAUGCCAAAUGAAAAAAACUUUUAGGUCGUUAAACUUUUGAUUCAUGACAACAUAUGAUUCAAUAAGCUUUAUAGUUAUACGAUACAACCCAAAGGAGAAAGCCAAUAGUUUUUCCAUUAUAAGCUUCUGGUCAGAUAUAAUGGAAGUAAUGUAAAGAUAUUCUACAUUAUCUUCAUUUAUAGUUUCAAUAUGAUAUCCAUUUCUACAAACAUCUUUAAAACUGAGCAAAUUUCUUCUGGAUUUUCUAGAAUAUAAAGUGUCAUUUAUAUGGAAUCUAGUUUUCCAUUUGGUAGCGUUAUGCUUACUCUUAUGGAGCUUUCAACUAAGUUUGUAGUACCAGAUAUGGUACUUACAUUAGCUUUUAUUAAUGUCAAUUAGAGGAAAUAUCUUUUAUCUCAAAGAAUUGUGUGCAUGGUUGCACAAUCUGUGAGACAUACAUCAUCCUGAUUCAUCUUGAGACCAAACAACACAUGGAUUUUAGAUAUAACUAAUAUUAAAAAAAAUAAAAAAGCAUAAUGUAAAUAAAAAAAGAAAAUCAGAUAUAAAUAUAAGACAUAAUAAUAUAUUAUUUGAUAUAUAAAGUAACAUCAAUCAAUGUUAAUAUUCCCAUCAUUUAUUAAAUGAUUUGUUUCUUCACUAGGACCUCCAAAGAAAUCAAUAUCAUAGUAGGUUAGGUCCAAUCCAUUACCAUCGGUAAAGUUCAUCUCUAUCUCUUUUGCUUUUGCUUUUAUUAAUGCUUGGUAAAGGUUGACUAAAUGUUUGGGUGUACGACAGGUACGCGACCAAUGCCCCUUCAUACCACAUUUAUAACAAUUAUUCUCAUGGUUCUUAGGAGGUUUAUCUUGUAAACACUUCCCAUUUUCUUGUUUUGUCUUAGUAUUAUUCUAUUUUUGGUAGUGUAAUGAGACUUUCCUUUUAUGAGAAUUUGAUGAAUUAUUACCAUAAGAACCAUGGUAUCGGGGAUUUCUUCCAUGACCAUAACCAUGUCCAUGUCCUCAUCCUCGUCCUUGUCCACGUCCACGAGUUUGAGACAAUAUUGCAUUCACUUCAGGGAAUGGUUUAGAUCCAGAUGGACGAGACUAGUGAUUUCUCAUCAAAAGUUUAUUAUUUUGUUCAACAACAAGAAGACAUGAUAUUUAUUCAGAAUAUUUUGUAAAUCUAUUCUCUUGAUAUUGCUGCUGCAAGAGCACAUUCGAGGCAUGACACAUAGUAAAAGUUUUUUUCUAACAUGUCUUAUUCUGUGAUUUUUUUUCUUUACACAACUUUAAUUGAGAGUUGAUUUUGAAAAGUGCGGAGUUAUAUUCACUAGCAAUUUUAAAAUCCUGUAGCCUCAGGUGCAUCCAAUCAUAUCAAACUUUUGGGAGAAUUAUAGUUUUUUGGUGGUCAUAUCUUUUCUUCAAAUUACUCCAUAGAGUAAAAAGGUGUUUUAUUAUAAGAUACUCAUUUUUUAAACCUUCAUGGAGGUGAUGGCAAAAGAAAAUUAACGCUUUUACGGAAUCCUAUAGGGAUGCUUGAUUUCCUUCUUUGAUCGUAGCUCCGAGAUUCAUUAUAUUAAGAUGUAUUUCAGCAUAAAGGAUCCAAGAUAGAUAGUUCUUUCUCGAAAUGUCAAGUACCAGAAAUUUGAAUUUUAUGAUAUUCGUCAUUAUCAAAUAACUUUGUAUAUAUAACAAAACAAUAUUAUUAGAAUAAGUUAUAAUAAAUUGAUAGCAUUGGUAUAACUUUUGAUUAUAAACAAAAUCAAAUCAUUGCUUAUAACUUUUAACAAUAUGUAACAGAACAAAUUCUAACAACAAUAUAAAUAUGUAAAAUUUUAUUCUAUAUAAACAACUUCAAGUUUAAGAUACAAGAAAUACCUUCAGAGUAAUUCGUACUGAUAACAUAUUGUAAAACGAGGAUAAAUGCAACUCAAAGUAGAGAUAAGAUAUAUAUUCUUCAACAAUAUAUAUAAUUGGAGGAAAGAAUCAUGUAAGAGAGUUGAAAGAAUGAAAGACAGAAAUGAAGAAAUUUCUUUUUUGUUUGGAAGUACAUAUUACAAGAUAUGAGAAACUCUUUUAUAGGCUUUCUAAAUGAUUUCCAUUAAUAUUCCCAUUAAUGAAUAUAAAUGAAAUCAUAAAUAAUAUUUAAUUAAUAUUUAUUAUAAUUAAUGUGGUGACAUUCAUUACAUUAAUUAUAAUUUUUUUUUUGAGUUAUUCUCACUUGCCACGUGGGCAACCUAGAUUCUACCCUUAAAAACUAAUUUUCAUUCUUGACUUACGUGGCAAGAAAUUCUGUUGCGAUAGCAGGAUUUACAAUUGGCCAAUAACACACUGCCACGUGACUGCGCCAAAGAUGUCACGUGCAAUUCACUUGAUAUUCCCAAUCACAGGCGUGGCCUUCUCCUUACCCAUCCAUCCAUCUUCUUUCACUUCGCAAAACAAUUCAGCUUCAAGCCUCUGCAAACAUCCCUCACCAAAACGACGUCGUUAAUGGAGACAAUCCUCUCAAAUUCGAUGCCUAUCUCUGUCUCAUCCCUCCCUCCGGUUCGUGCAGUUCCCUCCCCAAGAAAACUAGAGUUCAGCUCCUUCACGCCUAAAACGACGUUGUUCGGGUCGCGGAGUCAGAGGAAGCUAGGGUUCCGAUGCUCUCCGCGCAGAGCUGCGGUGACGUGCGGCGGCGUCACGGAGAUCAAGGAGAGCCAGUUCUCCGACGUCGUUUUGAAGGCUGAUGGGCCAGUUCUCGUAGAGUUCGUCGCCACUUGGUGCGGUCCCUGCCGGUUGAUCUCUCUGGCUAUGGAAGCGAUUGCUUAGGUUUUGAUUUAUUUUCUUUAUCCAUUUGAAGUGCAUUGGUUUUAUUGUUUCGCGUUGUUUGUGUUUGGCUGCCGGGAAAACGAGCGAAAAGCUUAGAAAAAAACAGAAAAGAAUGGAAUUGUUGUAUGUUGAAGAGCCUGCUCGGAAGCAGAAAUGAUAUCGGCUUCCACUUUUUUAAAACAGAACGUGAUUUUAUAACAGUGAGUCGUUUUAGGAGAUGUUAGAAUUUCUUUCAAUUUGUACUAGUGCGUUGCUUUUGUAGCUUUGUGCUGUUUGUUUGGUUGCCCAGAAACGGAAAAAAAGAAAAAAAAAAAUGAAGAGAGAAAAGAACGAAAAUUUGAAUAUUGAGGGCCUGUUUGGCCUAGAAAUGAGGAAUGCUUUUAGUUUUUUGAAACAGAAAAAUGGAAAUGAGGCGUAAAACAUGUUUUCUGGUAACAUGUUUUGAAGAGCUGUUUCAGAAAACAUUGUAAAAAUAAGUCAUUUAGAAAUCAAUAAAAAUUUGUUUUCAGCAUUUUAUAAAAUGCAAGCACUAUAAUCAUUGAAAAUGAUCCAAAAAAAGAAGUGUUUGCUGUUUUCGUUUUGGUAACAAAUAGUCUGAACCUUUCAUUAUUUAGGACCUAGACAAACAAACAGAGCUUUCUACUGAGACUAGCACCACUGCCAAUGUUGACUAGCAAAACAUUAUAAAAUAAGAUUGAGGGCUUUGUUUUCUUUUUAUCCAGUUUCUGAGCAGGCAAACAGGGAUACUAAAAAGCAUAGUGACAUACUGACGUAUUUGGGAAUUUUGAACUAGCUAAUUGGGCGUCAGUAAAUAUUUAUCAGAAUGAUGAGGGAAAAUGUUGGGAAUGAAUUCAUGAGUAACUGUAAAACUAAUAUAUUUUAAAAAAAAGUUCCUUUGAAAUGAGUGUUUUGUCUGUUGAAAAAUUGAGAAUAAAUUUGGAAAAUUUAAAAAUGAUUUGAGAAAUGUAAAGUUAUAUAUACUUAAAAGCUAUACUGAAAUUAUACUAAGAGUAUGUGUCUGUCAUUUUCCUGUCUUUAGAAGAAACAUGACUGUGCACUCUCCCUCUUCUAUUAGAUCCUCAAUUUUUGUUAAAAUGGUAAAAACAAGAACCUUCUUAGGGAAUAUGAAGUUCAGUUUUAGGUCUUUCCAGAAAUAAUGAGUUUUAGGUUUCUGAAACUGGGGAAAAAGGAAUAAGAAGCACUUUGAAACCACAAAGAAUAGGGCCUGUUUGGCAACAUUUUUACAACAAACUUUUGAAAAUGAUUUUUUAAAAUAGUUCUCAAUCAUUUUCUGGAAUGAAAUUUGUUUUUGAACUCAAAAUAUGUAAAACAAUUUUAGUGGCUAAUUCUCUGUGAAAUCACUUUUUGCUUGUAAAUUAGGCAACAAUUAUAUAUAUAUUUUAUUGUCUAGUCUCCAUAUUUCUAACAGUUUCUCAAAAAAUUCUACUAAAAACACCUCAAAUCUGCUAAAAACACCUCAAGUUCUUUAGCUUAGUGAUUUUUAUAGCCUAUUUAUUUAAUGAUCCAUAGAGAAACUGAAGCAGGGAUUGGGUGAAUAUUCAUUGCAAAUCCAUUAAUAGUAAUGAUUAUUUUGCUGAAGCAGAGCGUGAUAUCAAGUGUCCACUUAUUUGUAUGCUCACUAGGCUUAUCUGAGUUGUUGCUCUGUAAUUUAUGUUUGCUAUCUUUUUUUAGUGCAUUAUUCUCAAGAUUUUAUGGAGUUGAAAGGUACCUAUGGUAGUGUCAAUAGGCCUGGAGUGGGAGUAAUUUUGUAGUAUUCAUAGACUUGAUACUAUUUUUUUUAGUCAUUUUUUUCUUUUACUGUUUUUUCCUUUUCUUUUUCUUUUUCAAAAUAAGAGCAGAUGUAUAGGAUGCAGAUAAAGAAACGAUCCCAAAUAAACAUAGAAAGUAGUACAAGUAUUAGGUCUCAUUUGGGUAUCCUUUGAAUUUUUAGAAAUAGAAGCUAGUAAUGAUUUUUGUAUAGAAAGUAGAAACUCUUAUAAAAAAAUUUAUAGACUUAUUUUAUGUCUUUAAAAAUUUAUUUUAAACAAUUUUAAAAUUUAAAGUAAUAAAACCUUUGAUGCAGUAUAGAAAGUAAAAUGCAAGGAGAGUAUAAUUGAAAGGACCUUAGGAAUCACUCCUAGAAACCUUUAGGCUUCACACUCAAGUACUCUUUGUAUCACACAAAGAAAAUAUACUGAUCUUUCUCUCCUUCUUAGACCUAUCAGUUGUUGGUUCCUUCUUCAGUGCCACCUCCCUGGGCAGCUGCUCCAGCUUUUCCUCCUCUUGAACACCCUGCAAAAGGGUGCCUAGAUGGGUUCCGGGUAGACUUCUCCGAUGGUUAAGUUAGUUGUUUUUGCCUUAGGAGGGAAGAAAUGCAGAAAAAACCACUUACCUCAGAUUCUUGUCAUUUCAUUGUCUUAUAUCAUAAAUUUUGUAUUCAUAACUAAGGUUCUUUUUAAAUUUUGUUUUUAAUGAUGCAGUGGCGUCUCAUUGAUGGUGUGUGACAAUAGAGUUGAGCGUAAUAGAUGUGUAUUUAUGGAGUGACCCUGCUCAGUUAGGUUUUGUGUGUAUGGGGUUCAGCGCCCAUUUAGGGGAGGAGUCUGGGUCCCCUCAAUGCCCCCCUUUUCCUGAUUAGGCUUGAUGGAGCCAAGAGAGCUAGGUAGGAAAAGAAGCAUUUUGUGUGGUUCUACUGUGCAGCAAGAAAAGGCUUUAGGCUUUAGGCUAUGUUCUGGUUUUAACACAAGGUCAGAUUAUAUUGGAAGAGCUGUUGGCUUUGUUUAAUUAAGAGCAGUUAUGAUUUUAAGCUCAUCUUAGCUCUUACACCUAGUUAGGAUAGAUACUACCCACAAAGUGAAUCAAGCCAUACAUACCCAUGUAUCUUCAACUCUGACUAUAUUUUAAAAGCAUAAACAAUUUAGGCUAAGAUCAAGUUUAUGCCUAAACAUCAUUGGGAAGUAGACCAGACUUUGUCAAUGAUGAAGAAAUUGGUGAUGCUGACAGAAUUUGCUGAAGGUAAUGGAGAAAUUGGAGAGUUUGAUAAAAGCUGCUAAAGGAAGUAACUUCGUAUUGAUAAUCUCCUCAAAGCCAUAUGCAGAAACUAGGUGGAGGGACAGUGUGGCAAGGUCCAGACACUUUGCAAGGAAAGGAGAAGGUUUACAAUAAGGGUUAUAUGACUUUGAUAAGCUUAUUGUUGCUUGUUGUUUUCUUUUAAUCCUGUGGUAUGGGCAGUUCGCACUAGGAGGGAUUCAACUAAAUUGCCUUGAAAAUAUACAUAGUAGGAGACUUUCCUCCUAAUCUAAGUUAUCAAUGGUCUGAGUGGAAGCUGUUGUUUAUGAUUUGGUAAGGAGUUUUAGUUGUCUGUCUCAGGGGGUGUGCCCUGUGUCCACCAAUAAUUGGGGUUUUAGGGUUUAAUAUAUUUAGGGCAAGGCACCAGCAAUGGAUUAAAUCUGGCAGAGUCCCUUAUUUUUUUUUUGUUUUUUUUUUGUUUUUUGUUUUGUUUUUUUUUUUUUUUGUUAUGACACCUGCAAGAGUGGAUAUUCCUAUGGCUUGGAAGCAUGCCUUCUACCCAUUGGAAUCCAACUUUUGUUAAACCUUGGGUUCGCUCUACUUAAUAGUCAAUUCCCCCAUUCUUUGCAUGGACACUAUGGCCUUGUGUGGGCAUUGUGGCCUUGAGUGGGCACUAUGACCUUGAGUGGGCAUUGCAGCCUUGAAUGGAUACUGGGGCCUUGUGUGAGCACUGUUGCCUUGAGAGGGUGUUGUGGCCUUGAGAUGGCAUUGUGGCCUUGAAUGGGCACAAUGGCCUUGAGUGGGCAUUGCAGCCUUGAAUGGACACUGGGUUGAGAGGGUGUUGUGGCCUUGAGAGGGCGUUGUGGCCUUGAGAGGGCAUUGUGGCCUUGAAUGGGCACUAUGGCCUUGAGUGGGCACUAUGGCCUUGAGUGGGCAUUGCAGCCUUGAAUGGACACUGGGACACUGGGUUGCUUUACACAAUCCAGCACAAAGCCAAGGAUAAUCCACCAAAACUCUCUCCUUAAACCAAUCAUUUGAAUGCCAUGAAAGCAGAAGCUCCUUCACAAAUCUAGGAAGCACUUGGACUAAGCUCAACCUCUACAUCAAUUAUUCUAAAGUGCAACUUUGAACAGGCAGUGGAUAACAAGAAAAACAAUGAACACCAUACAUGGCGAAGUCUCCUGUCAUAACACUGUUAUGCUUCUAUUUUGAAGUUAUUUAAACUUAAAACAUUGAGAGAAAAUUUCCAAGCAUAAAAUAUUUCCUUCUGGGAUAUUCACAAAGUUCAAGAUAGAUAGUGUUCAUGUGUCCCAUGCUUUUUGAUUAAUGAGAUGAAAAAGUUGAAGGAUAUUGUUGAAGUUUCGUGAUAUAUACUGUACCUUCUGAACUCGUUGUUUAUUUAUAGGACUAAAAACUUUUAACGCUCAUUAUGGAAACUUGUUGAAUGCAUCUCAUGUUUUGUGGCUUAUUUCUAGCAAGCUGGCUGAAGUUUGUUGCUUGUUGGGUUGAAGAACCAGUCAUGGUUCAUAGCCACAUGGUAUUGAUUUAUUAAGCAUUUAUUGAUACCUCCCUUCUCCACAUGUUUUCCUUCAGAGAGGGGAAUGACACCUAAGAUCUAACCAGCUACUUUUGGGUUCCUUUUUAGUUGCUGGCCAAUGGAUUCUAGAGAAGUGUCAUACAGACAAAAUUGAAACUCUGGUUGAAACUAAACUUUUAGGAUCCUGCCUUUUUGAAUUUCGUCUGAACUGUGCGAGGAUAAAGAAUCGAUAUGCCUAGUUUUUUUGGAACUAUAACAUUUAGCAUUUGUUAACAUUUGUUUGACUGCCAUGUUAACAUUUGUUUAGUGUGAAAAGUUACUGCAAAAUGGAACUCAGAUUUCUCCAGAAAUAUGUCGAUAAUAUACAUAUUUUAAAUCCACAUAUUGAUUUGAUUGUUAAAAUGAAUGGGACAUGGGGGUUGCUUUUUAAGCAGCAUUCAGGAAUUACUGUUGACUAAUGGGAAAUGCUAAUCCCUUCUGUUGAGUUAUUAGUUUUGCCUAAAAACUUAAUAGGUCAGGUAAUGAACCAACAAUGUAUAUUGAGCUGACUUACUUGAACGUGUUGACACUCUUCCUCAUCAGCAGCCUUUUUUGUAUGGGUGCUCAAUAAAUGUGGGAAAAUAAAGAAAACAUUAAAAUUUGAACUCAUGACUUCCUGAAAACUAAGACUCUGACACCAUGUUAAGCAACUAUUUUGACCCAUCAAACUGUUAAGUUAUGAGCCAAACAUAUUUCCAGUCAACUUAGCUAAAAACCCUAGCAACUUUCCUUCUAGCGUCAUCCAAACAAAAUUCAGAGAGGACAGACUUUUCAUCAACUGCUCAAAAAGAAUAGAUUUGUUCCUUUACCCUAAAAACGGUGGGAAUGCAGACACCAUAUGGGGGUUCGGAAGUAAGUUGUACCUAUAUUUUUUUACUUUUGUAAAUGACACCAUGCAUGCAAACUUGAAACAUCUAUAUAAAUGCCAUUUGUUGGUCAUCUUCUCUCUUUCCCUAGUUUUCAUCUUCACUUGGUUAAAACUUGAAUGUUAGGAUCCUAAACUAAAUUUUGUAAUGAGUUUUCAACCAAGCUGCCCAGAUUAUCCAAGAGAUCCAACCCAUUGCUUGAGUAGUAUAGACAUUACGCUUGGGCAUUUUUAUCUAAAUUUUGUUAGGAUCCUAAACUAAAUUUUGUAAUGAGUCUUCACUUGGGCAUUUUUAUCUUGCUCAUGGUACACCAUAUUUUUCUUUUGUUGCUUUUGUGAAUAAGCUCUCUGGAUUUUCAUUUUUGACAGGUUACUUAUACUGAUGAAGCUGACAUUAACAGUAGCUUUCUCUAAUACUAUCAUCUUAUAUUUUCUAUCUUUUUCUGAAACAAAGUUCUUUCGAAAAUAUGCAGGAAUACGGGGACAGAUUAACAGUUGUAAAGAUCGAUCAUGAUGCAAACCCGCAACUAAUUGAAGAGUACAAAGUCUAUGGAUUGCCAACUCUGAUACUCUUCAAGAAUGGACAGGAGGUUCCAGAAAGCAGGAGGGAAGGUGCAAUCACAAAAGGCAAGCUCAAAGAGUACGUGGAUGCUCUUUUGGAGUCGAUAUCAGUGGCAUAGUCCUCUUUUGGAUUGCAGAAAAUUUUCUGGGUAAUUAUCUCCUUCUUCUGUAUACUAAUUCUUAUCCCAUUUCAUUUGUAUAGUAUAUAUUGCUGUAAACAACGAAAAGAAUUGAUCCUGAGAUUAGAUUAGAGGUGUAGGUCAAAUGUAAUUUUUCUGGUAUGUACUCCCUGAAUAUUCAUGGAAAAACUGAUGUUAGUGUUCUUUGCUAAUAAAUGACGUCACCCAUAUUCCUCUAUGGCAAAACUUGAAUUGAGUGAGAUACUAAUAGUUCAGAGAAUGAGAAUGAAGGCGAAUAAUUGAAAAAGAGAAAUAGAAAAACAAUAAUCAAAACACAGUUUUUGAAAAUAAUUAUUUCAUACGGUCCUCAAUUAUUUUUCGGAAAUAAAAUUUCGUUUAAGGACUUAAAUAUGAAAAAUAAUUUUUUUUAUUUAUUCUGUAAGAAAGUGUUCCACACUUAUAUAUAAUACAAGAGUUUUUAAAAUAUUUUCAUUUUUAUAUUAUUGUUUAAGCAUUUUAUAAAAAAAAAUAAUUGAAAAACAGAUCAAAUUUGUUUUGAAAAACAUGGUUUUAAAAAAUAAUUAAAAAUUGCUUUUAACAAAAGUUAAGAGGCCUGAGGCAACUUGGUUCUAAGAGCAUGUAGUCAAAAUUUUCUUUUUCUUUUCUUUUUAUCUUUUCCAUUAUAUGGAUUGAAUUCUCAAAUUAAGGUUCAAAGUAUCUAUACUUUCAAAAGUAUAAUAGAGUUUUCUUAAUUCAUUAUCAAUAAUAAUAUUCAUAUAAAUAUAAAAAUAGAAAUACUAAAAGAAAUAGUAUAAAAAUAAAAUAUUAAAAAAAAGAGUUAACUACCAUUUUUCUUGCAAUAUGUAGCUUGGGUUUAAAAAUUAUAUGAAACAUCUAAAGCAUAAACUUGUAAAUUUGUUGAUUGUUUAAAAAAAAAAAGAAAAAAAAAAAAGGGGAGCAUGGUGGAUAAUAAUUUUUAUUAAGUGGUAUAAAGUUAUACUGAUAGUGUAAUUUCAUAAUUUUAUGGUGUAUUUAAAAAAAUUAAGAGUGAAAAAAAAUCUUGUGAGAUUUUAUAAUUACAAUAAAAAAGAAAAAAGAAAAUAAAAAUUAUUGUUACAUUUUCUAAAAUUUAAGAAAGUAAAAUAAAAUUUUGUUUGUUUACAAGUUUUUUUAAAAACAUUAAGUAAUUUUUUUUCUUUAAUAAUUUUAUUUUAAAAAAAAAAAAGAAAUAUAUUCAAAUACUACAUUAGUUUUCUUGAAAAAUUCAGAUGUAAAAUUUUGAAAAAUAGAAUUAUGCCUUCACUUCAUUUUUUUAAAUUGAAAAUAUCCCUUUCUUUGGAUGAAAAAAAGUUCAAAAACACUAUCAUGUACCCAUCUCAAAUGAAAAGAAAAUAAAAGAGAUUAUAUUUAUAAUUAAAGAAAAAGAAAUUAUUUUAUAAAGGAUAUGUGUCCAAACCCGUCUUGUAUUUUAUAAAGAAAUUAUUUUAUAAAGAAAAAGAAAUUAUUUAUAAUUAUUUUAUAAUUAAUGAAAUUAUUUUCUUUAUUUUAUAAAGAAAAUAAAGAAAUUAUAUUUAUACUUUCAAAAUAUAUUAGAGUUUUCUUAAUUCAUUAUCAAUAAUAAUAUUCAUAUAAAUAUAAAAAUAGAAAUAUUAAAAGAAAUAGUAUAAAAAUAAAAUAUUUUCUAAUUAUUAGCCUCCUAAAAGAGUUAGAUGACUACCAUUUUUCUUGCAACAUGUAGCUUGGGUUUAAAAAUUAUAUGAAACAUCUAAACCAUAAACUUGUAAAUUUGUUGAUUGUUUGAAAAAAAAAAGCAUGGUGGAUAAUAAUUUUUAUUAAGUGAUAUAAAGUUAUAUUGAUAGUGUAAUUUCAUAAUUUUAUGGUGUAUUUAAAAAAAAUAAGAAUGAAAGAAAAGCAUGGUGGAUAUGUGUCCAACCCGUCUAACCCUUUUUAUAUAAAAGGAUAAUUGUCUUAUGUUUUUGCACAUAUAUUUCAUCAAAUGUCUCGCUUUUACAUUGAAGUGGGUGGAGUGACGCAAAAUUGCAGAGUUCCAUGAGCAGAACUCCAAACCCACUCACAAAUCCUCCCUCAAACCCUCAAAUCCUCUCCCUCUUCAAUCCCUGCAAAACCCUGAGACAUCUCGAACAACUCCAUGCCCAGAUCGUCACCCACCAUAACUCCCCUUUUCCACUCUCCGCCUUGGCCUCUCUCUCUCUGCCCUUUCCCCAUUUCCAACGUUCCUGGCCUAUGCCAAGACCAUCUUCCACCACCUCCAAAACCCACCUCCCUCACUCUUCAACUCCCUCAUCAGAGCCCUCUCCUCAGGUAAAACCCCACUUGAGGCACUCCCAUUGUACCACACUAUGCUCCAAAGCGGCCUAAAGCCUGAUCACAUGACGUACCCUUUUGUUAUAAAAGCUUGUAAUGAGUCAUCCGUGACUUGGUUUGGGUUAUUGGUUCAUACCGAUGUUGUUAAAAGUGGUUUUGAGUGCGAUUCUUAUAUUGUCAGCUCUUUGAUUCAUUUAUAUGCAAAUGGGAAAGAUUUGGGUGCUGCUAAGCAGCUUUUAAUCUGUGUUCUGACAGAGAUGUGGUUUCUUGGAAUGCAAUGAUUGAUGGUUAUGUUAAGCGUGGUGAAAUGGGGCAUGCCCGGAUGGUAUUUGAUAGGAUGGUGUGUAGGGACGUGAUUUCUUGGAAUACUAUGAUCAAUGGCUAUGCAAUUGUUGGGAAGAUUGACGAAGCUAAGAGACUGUUUGAUGAAAUGCCUGAGAGAAAUCUGGUAUCUUGGAAUUCCAUGUUGUCUGGGUUUGUCAAAUGUGGGAAUGUGGAGGAGGCUUUUGGGCUGUUCAGUGAGAUGCCCUGUAGGGAUGUAGUGUCAUGGAACUCCAUGUUGGCGUGCUACGCGCAGUGUGGGAAGCCGAAUGAGGCCCUGGCACUUUUUGAUCAAAUGCAGGCUGUGGGCGUAAAGCCAUCUGAAGCAACUGUUGUCAGCCUCUUAUCGGCUUGUGCCCAUUUGGGCGCUUUGGAUAAGGGUUGCAUUUGCAUACUUAUAUCAAUGAUAAUAGAAUUGAGGUCAAUUCCAUUGUUGGCACUGCACUUGUGGACAUGUAUGCGAAAUGUGGAAAAAUUUCCCUUGCCACGCAAGUUUUUAAUGCAAUGGAGUCCAAAGAUGUUCUAGCUUGGAACACAAUCAUAGCAGGCAUGGCCAUACUCGGCCAUGUCAAAGAAGCCCAACAACUUUUCAAGGAGAUGAAAGAGGCGGGUGUUGAACCAAAUGACAUAACCUUUGUAGCUAUGCUCAGUGCCUGUAGCCAUGCUGGAAUGGUGGAUGAAGGUCAAAAACUCUUAGACUGCAUGAGCAGCAGUUAUGGGAUUGAGCCAAAGGUUGAGCAUUAUGGUUGUGUUAUUGAUCUCCUUGCCCGUGCAGGGCUCUUGGAGGAGGCUAUGGAACUUAUAGGGACCAUGCCCAUGGAGCCCAACCCAUGUGCAUUGGGGGCAUUGCUUGAAGGCUGCAGGAUCCAUGGCAACUUUGAGCUGGGUGAGAUGGUGGGAAAACGCCUCAUCAACCUUCAGCCAUGCCACAGUGGCCGGUAAAACCCUUUCACCUAUGCUGGAAAAGCCUAAAUUCACAUGACUAACCUGUUUUCCAAUUUUUCCUCAACAGCUAUAUCCUCCUCUCAAACAUAUAUGCAGCAGCAAAAAAAUGGGACGAUGCAAGAAAAGUGAGGAACCUUAUGAAGGUCAACGGCAUCUCCAAGGUGCCAGGAGUGAGCGUGAUUGAGCUGAAAGGCAUGGUGCAUCGGUUUGUGGCUGGUGACUGGUCACACCCGGAAUCAAACAAGAUAUAUGAGAAGUUGAAUGAGAUACACACAAGGCUGAAGAGUGCAAUUGGGUAUUCAGCAGAUACCGGGAAUGGGUUGUUGGACAUGGAAGAGGAAGAUAAAGAACAUGCUCUAGCUGUUCAUAGUGAGAAGCUGGCCAUUGCUUAUGGGCUACUACACUUGGAUUCAAAAGAAGCCAUUAGGAUUGUGAAGAACCUUAGGGUUUGCAGAGAUUGUCACCAUGUCACCAAGCUGAUUUCAAAGGUUUAUGGUGGAGAAAUUAUUGUAAGGGAUCGGAAUCGGUUUCAUCAUUUUGAAGAUGGUGAAUGUUCCUGUCUUGAUUUUUGGUAGAGUCAGUGUUAAAUAUUGAAUAUGGGUUUAUUUAUUAUAAUUUAAUAAUAAAAGAUAAAAUUGAUAAUAUAUUUAAUAAUAUGUUAUGUAAUAAAUUUUAAUCAACUUUUAAAUUGAUUUUUAAUAAAAGACGCAGUUUUUUUUUUUUUUAUAAAAAAAAUUUACAUAAGAUACCAAAAUUCUUCAAGACUUAUAUAGAAAAGGUAAUAAUUUUAAAAGUGAUGAUACGAGUCACAUUUCUAAAUCUGUAGUUUAAAAAAAUGUGAUGCCAAUUUGUUUUUGAGAAAAAAAAUUAGUUUUUUAUUUUUAUUUUUAUUUAAAUUUUUUAAUUUUUAUUAUCAUUUACAAUUGAUUGGGAUAAAAACUUUUACUAUUAAAAUAAACAUUAUUCAUAUUAAACUGAAUAAGCAUUAAAAAAUUGUGUUUUUGUUAACUUUGAAUUUUAUCUUUAAAAAUAAUUUAUAUGACUGUUUUUUAAAGAAAUAAAAAAAUAAAUUUAAUUUUGUAUAUUUUUGUUUUUUUUUUUACUAAGGAGACGUCUUCAAACUAAUGAAUAAAAAGAUUAGAAUUUAAGAUACUUAAAAAGUAAUUCAAUAUGGUAAAUACUUUUAUUGAGUUCGUUGAAAAAAAAUUGGAGAACUUUCAAGUUUGUUGUUUGUUUGUUUGUUUGUUUGUUUUUUAUUCUUUUUUUUUUUUUUUUAAAUUUAUGCUUUAUCGGUCUUUAUUAAAAAAAAAUUACAAUGGUUUUAGUUUUAAUUUUUUUAAAAAUUUUAAUGUAAUUUAAUUUGCAAAAAAAUUAAUGUCAUUUGUAUACCUCAAUUAUACCUUAGUUCAUUUACUUUGUACCUAGGGUUCUAUGACUAUGCAUCUUAUCAUUAUUUUAUACUUAGUUGUCAUUAUUUUUGUAUUAUGAUCGUUGGUUUUUUUAUAUCUUGAUUUUAUGUGGUUGUACCCUAAUUCAAUUAUUCAGAUGUUGAUCAAUGAUUUUUGUCGUUUAUUGUAUUAAAACAAGAUUUUUAAUCUAAUUCACUAUUCUAAGGUAGCUUUUACUUGAUAAGAAAUGGCUUUUAGUAAAAGCCAUGGUAGUAUAACGGUUUAAAAUAUCGUCCAUUAGGAUGAAUUAUUUUUGGUAAUCAAGGCUUAAAUGGGGAGAAAAAAAUGAAUGUGAUCAAGUGAAAUUGGAGUGACAAUUCAUAAUAAAAAUGAAAAUAGCAGUGAUUUCAAAUUAGGAAGAACAAUUCAAUAAAAAAGAAUCAAAUUUUGAAAGAAGAUUAAUAUGAAAAAAAUCUUAGAGUUAAGAUUCUCUUGAAAACAAUCUCUAUGGUGAAUGGUUGUUGAGAUUUACUCUUCAUCAAGUUAUAUUAAAAAUAUAAAUUUUCAUCUAAACCGAUUUUUUAUUUAGUUUUAAAUCAAAAUCUUAUUUAUAUUCAAAUUAGGUGAUUUAAUUUAAAGGACCAAUUCAAAUUAUAUAUUUAAUUAAUCUUAAAUCGUCUUUUAAUGAUUUACACAAUACAACUAUUCAAUUUCAUUAAAUUUAACUUUAAGAAUUUAAUGAAUUUACCUAAUUUGUAUUGUAGUGGUCAUUUAAGAGAAUUUGAAAAGAAAAAAAAAUCCCAAAUUUCAAUCAAUUGAAUAAAAAAACCCUUACCAAAUUAAGCUUCAUUUCCCAAAUUUCAACUAUUCAUAGUUCAAACAAAUGAAGAACACUCAACAUCAUCUCAAUAGGCUUUUGGAACUUUUCAAAUUAAAAAAUAUGAGAUUUAGUACCAAUAAUGACAUUUUCGCACAAUUUUCAUUUGAACAUGCGAAACUGAAGUUGGUUGGUUACAACAUUUAAACCCCUCUUUGGACGAGUUCGCAUGCUCCUGAGAAGUUUUGCACAUUCAUGUGAAAAUGACUUUCGCAAAUUCCUAACUCUUGCAACCAUCAUGUUCUUCUAGUUCAGUUGGCAUGUUUGUGCAAAAUCAUUCUUUAGCUUGCUACAACUUCUCAUCCUUUAUCUCACAUGCCAAAUUUUGCAUAAUGUUGCAAAAUUGUUAUUUCUAUUUUUUUCACACUUUUCAAUCUUCCUUCUUCCGUGAUCAAUUAAAUGCAUUAUUUACACCUUGAAAUCACUAUAGAACGUACAAAAGAAGGUUAGUUAUCAUUGAAAGAGCAAUAAUAUGUCAAUUAGAUAUUUUAAGCAUAAUACUACUUGGAAGAUGUGAAAUUUAUGAGAAUUACGAUAUCAAAUAUGCUCUUUUUAAGCAGUAAUAAGAUGUAACCAUAUAUUUUUAGCAAUUAGAUAAAAAGAUUUAAUGGUUUGAAAUGAUAUUGUAGAUUUUUUUCAUAAAAUUAGUAAUAUAAAAAAAUUAGUAUUUAAUGAUCCUAAGCAUCCUAUUUAAUAUUAGUUAAAUUAUAAGAAAAUUAAAUAAAAAUUUAAAGUUGAAAGAAGUAGAGCCUUAACUCUCUUGUUGUUGAAGGUGUUUAGUUUUUUGAGAAUAAAGAGUUAGGGCUUGCAUAGAAAUUAUUUUUUAAAAUAAUAUUUUAUUCUCUAUAACAAAAAAGCUUUUAUAACUUAAAAAACAUGUUUACCAAAUUUUUAACAACAAAUAUUUUUUUAAGAAUUUGUUUUGAAAGUAAAUUGUUUUUUAUAUUAAAUUUGAGGUGUUUUCCAUUGUUUUUUGUAGAACAUUCUAAAUAAUAAUUGAAAAUAUAAAGAAUAUUUUAAAAUGCAAUAAUAAUAAUAAUAAUAAUAAUAAUAAAUAUAAUUAAGGAGGGGAGGAUGAGUUUGAAGUAGAUAAUAAUAAUAAUAAUUAAGGAGGGGAAGAUGGGUUUGAAGUAGAGAAUAGGGUUCCCUUCCUUCCCCCUCGACCUUGAUUACUCAUCCCUACCUAAUUAGGGAUAGAUCCUCGCGAAGAUCCACGUUGAUGGGUAUUUUCGUUACCUCUAUUAAAAGCAUCUCCUAAUAUUUGGAAGCAUAUUUGAAAAUCACAUUAAAAAUUCAAAAAUUACUUCUGAACAAUUACUUCAUAGGUGACCAAUUCUUCCAAAAAUCCAUUUUUUGUAAUAUUUAGUUUACAUCAAAACACUAAGUGGUUCUCAUAAAAAUAUUUCUAAUGAGAGCAAUACUAUUAAAAGCAUUAUAUACUAAGAGCUCGCUUGAGUAAUUUGGAAAGAAGUUAACUAAAAAUGCUUCCUUACAAAAAUUAUUUGUUCAAAAAUUUUUUUACUAAGAUAUUUUGGCUACUAGCAAGAUCAAAACUAAAUAAACCCUUAACCAAUUGUAAUGAUCUGACCACCCACUUUCCCUUGUAUAGAAAUUGGUCCUCACCGGAUUAAUUAUAUAUGUAUUGUUAGGAUUCUCACAUAAAUGUGUGGGAUCGAAUUUAAUACUAUUUAUAAUGAUCUAUUCCAUCUCAUGUAGGGAUAGUCUACUCUAGGUAUAAUAUGCUCAUAUUACUAUAAAAUAUGACAACAUAGUUUAGAGGACUGAUAUAUAUGGGAUAUCAAACCAAUUUAUAUUUAUACGAGGGGCUAAUGAAACAUAUCAAAUGAUGGUUUUGAAUACCCAUAUAUUUGGAUCCCAUAUAAAUGUUUAUGGUACAAGAUAUCACCAUUGAAGUAUUUGGUAAAAUAACUAGAAUGUAUAAGAAAUUACUUAGAAAAUUUUAUGAAUUUGGAUGGAUAUACAUAAUCCUCAACAAAACAUUCAUUAUAUAAUAUCAUCUCACAUAAGUAAGAAUAAUAUUAAUAAAGUAGAAGGUGCACAAAUUCCUAAAUUAACACACAUUUUAGAUCAUAGUCAGUUGACUUGUAGCAACUUAUAGUGUUCAAUCUUUGGAACAAAACAUACUAAAGAUAUCUAACUUAUUUAUUAAAAAAAAAAAAAAUCAAGACAUCUAGAGAUAAAAAUCCUUCUAUAGUCGAUUUAAAUAAAGGAAACAUCAUUAGCAGACAUUUUUCUACCACAAAUGUUAAUCUAUGCAUCUCCUCAAAAUAAAAAGUCCAACAUACCUAAAAAAGGACAUUAAGAACAAAGGCCUUUCGAAGAUGUAAUAAUAUACAUGCACAAAAAAAAAAAAAAAGCAAUUGAAGGCAGUGUUUCACUCACAUAGACUAUGUAGAAAAAACAAACACCUCUUCCUUGUUUUGCAUACGGAAAAUGAAAUCAGUCUUCUUCAAAAUCCUCCUCCCUAAGAUCUGAAUUGAUAGAAUCCGAUUUUUCAGAAUCUUCCUCUUUAUAACCCUGAGCAUUUUGCAAACAAAGAGCCUCAUAUUAGGUAGGAAAGAUGAAAAUUACAAUGAUGAAAGUUAACAUAAUUAGGACUAAAAUUAAUUUGGAUUGGAGGGUGAAUCAUAGAAUGCUAGAUCAAACUAAUGCUUCAUAUUAUCCUUGUGUUCUCUGAAAGUGAUAUUAUUUAUUUAAUGCAUAUUCUUAGGUUACAUUUAGGUAACAAUAUUGAUAAAGAUUAUAAAUUGUCUUAAGUAUUAACUAGUUCUUCUAUAUAAAAAUGAGACCCUCUAUGUAGAAUCUUGGUGAAGAACUUCAAAUAUUGUCUACCUUUAACUUUUAAAAAAAGGAAAAAUAUUGUCAUGACUAGUAAUAUCCUAUAUUAGAUAGAAAAAGUUUCUAUAACUGUAUGGUGGAUUUCUCUUAACUAGAUAGAUGAUUUUUAAUGGUGUGAGAGCUCAUUAGGACCAAAGUGGAUAAUAUUUACAUAACAAGAACAAAUUGCACAAAAGAUAUUAGAGUUAAUCUCUAAGCUUAGGAUGAGAUGAGGUCAUUACAUGACCAUUUAAAUUAUUUUUUUCUAAAUGCUCUAUGUUUUUGUUAACAAAAUCAAAGAUGAUAAAAGACUACACAAUUGAAAAUUCUAUAGGCUUGUUUUGUGUCUUUUCUUCAUACAAAAUAAAUUAAGAAUUUUUUUGGGAGUGAUUUUGAAAGGUGUUAAUAAUACUUCAUAAUGCUUGAAAACAUUUCUUAUAAAAAUUAGGUGUUUGACAAAAUUUUGAAAGUGGUAAAAAGUAUGAAGUGAUGAUUCCUGGACAAUAACUUCAUAAAAAAAAUCAUUUUGCUGUUAUAUAAAACAAUACUAUGAAAACAUUUUUUUUAGUUUAUAUCCAAACACGAAGUGAUUCUUUUUAAAAAUGUUUAUAAGGGAAAUGUUAUUAACAAAAAUGUUAAAGAUAAAGACAUUUUAAGUAGAAUAACCCCAAAUAACUUUUAAGACAAAUAAGAUUAAAGUAGUAUUUACUAUAUUUAUAGAAUAGCCAAGGAAAAGAUGAUAUUAAGAGUAUAAAGAAUUAGUUAGGGGAAUUACUCCAUUCAUACCUGUUCCAUGAACAUCUUGCGUAUGGUGGUAUUCAGGUCAUCCUGCCAACAUUCUUCGAAAAAUUCAUUUUGUACACUUUUUAGCCUUGGUGCGUCUAAGACUCCCUUGUAGAAAAAUUCCAUCCCACGACAUUCUCUCACCUUCAUUCUUUCCAAGGAUGGGAAUUUGAAGACAUAUCUUGUUGAUGAGCAAAAGCUUUUUAGAUUUGGCAAAUGAUGAAGUGUCAAACUCUUUAAUCUGGUGAACUCAAUCUCAUUAUCUAUUAGUUCAUGUCCAUCAUUUCCCACUAUUUCUACUUGGAUAACCUCAUUCAUUGAAUCACACAUAUCCACCUCUAGUUCUUCUAGAUUAUGUAGUAUUUGAACCAUAUUUGAGGGAAUCACAACCGAAAUACCUUGACACUGUUCUAUAUUCAAAUAGCUUAACUUCGAAAAAGACACCCUUGAAAAUUGGCCUCGCCAUAUCUCCACAGUGCCCUUUAAGUUCAAUGUUAGUUCUUCCAAAUUAGGAAAUGCUUCCUGGCAAACCAAAUUACAUAAGAGGAAUGACAUUUCAUUUAUGUGAUUUUUUUUAAUAAAUAAAUAAGUUAUAUAUACACACAUAUACAACAAUCCUCUUUGAGCUUGCAAAUAGCUCAAUAAAUGAUAAAAAUAAACAAGCCUUCAAGUUCAAACUCAUGACCACUUGAAAAAUAAGGCUAUGAUAUCAUAGUAAAUAUAAAAAACUGUAAAUCAAGUUCAUUUUAUCAACAAACCUAACAUUUAUAUAUUUAAUAAUUAUAUUUCCUUCUUGAUCAAAGAGCUAUUAGGAGAAAAUAAGUAAACACUAUUAUUGGUAUUAUUAUUAUAAUUGUUGUUGUUGUUUUUCAUAUAAGGCUUAAUGAACUACUGUAACUAAAUAAUCAAGGUACACUUUGACAAAGUUUUGAUGCACUGUGGCUAAAAAUAGAUUGGAUCAAUAUGGCACGUUAAUUCAAAUAAAACAUCAACAUUUUUUUUUUUUGUUAAAUUCUAAAUAAACACCACUAUAAAUUAAUGCAGUUUUGUAUGAAAUUCAAUUAAAUAAACUCGUUCUUAAGGCAUCACAUGAAGUGUUUAAGUCUAAUUAAUAUUAAUUAAAAAUGAUUAUAUUAAAAAAAUCCAAAGUAAUUUAUUUUUAUCAUAAGUCAAGUAGGAUAGUUUUAUAAAUAAACUGUUCUAGUUUCUAGUAUAAUUGUACACAAUCGCUAUGUUUGUUGCACCUCCAAAAAAUCUACUACUUGUAAUUAAUUGUAUAUUAUUCUCCAUAUUCACAUCAAUUUAUGUAGUAUGAUUAAUUUAGCAACAAAAUAUAAGUUUACUUGAAAUCGCUUUAAAUUCCUAUGAUAUUAAAGUUUAAGAUUAAAAUAAUGUAACACUAGUUAAAAAGAUUAAGAUCUAUAAUGUAACAUAUAAAAUUUAGAAAAUUCAAGGAAGGGUAAACUCGCACCUGUUCUACCCAGAAGAGUGGCUCAAGUUCACAUUCCAAACUUUUUUGUUGAAAGAGUAUCUCCACUUCAUCACAUUCGUGCACUUUCAAUUUUUUUAGAAGUGGCCAGCUUGAACUAAACCUUCCAGAGCAAAAUCUUUUGAGUUGGUGUAAACCACAGAGUUUGAGAGAGGUAAGGUUAGGGAAUAAGAGUAGCGGUACUGCUUCAUCUUCAUUUUCAUUGGAAACAAUUGCCUCCACUUCACCCCCCCAUAUAUGUAGUUCCUCAAGUUGCACAAGAGCACUCGCCACAGAAAGCGGAAAAAGAUUUAGCAAUUUGUUGCAUCCAAUUACUUUCAAUUUCCUUAAUUUGGAAAACGAAUUUGCUGGAAGUUGGUCAGACCACAAUGCUCUUAUAUUAUCUAGUUCUCGUACAUACAGGGACUCCAAGCCUGGGAAUGCAACCUGUGCAAUUGAUGAUCCCUUUGGUUAAUAAAAUAUACAUAUACAUUCCUAAUAAUUAGACACAUGUAAAUAGAAAAUAAGAGGUUAAAGGAGAAUAUAUCAGUAUAACAAAGCAUAAAAUUUAAACUAGAUUGAAGAAGAUCAAGAAAGAGAAAAGAAAAGAAAAGAAAAGAAAAAGCCUCCAAAUUUUGAAGAUCCAAUGAAACUUAAAAAAAAAAAAAAAAAACCUCCAAAUUUUGCUUUGGAAAUGAGGUAAUAAGAGGAUUUUUUUUUCUUUUUUCUUUGCCUCUCUUUCAAAUUUGAUUAACUUCUAUGGAAAACGUAUUUUAACUAGGCAUGGAAAACGGAUUUUUUUUUUAACUUUUAUAUAAGAUACAAGUAAUACUUUAAAAAAAUUUUGAUAUCUAAAAAAAUUUUUGAAAAAUUAUUUUUAAAGAUAUAAGGUAAAUCUAUACUUUUUGAAUAAGAUGUUCUACCUUUAUAUACAAAUUUCUGAUUUUUUUUUUUUUUAAAGUGUAUCCAAAUGGACACUAAACUAUCUAGUUUUUAAUUGUUACAACUUUGAAUUGGAUUUUAUGGUAAACUAAUUUACAAUAUAAUGCAUGGAUUCAUCUUAGAUUCCAUCUAUAAAUUUUUUUAAUUAUCUAAUAUAAGACAUUAUAUUAAUGGGUUGAAUUAAUAAUGUAAUUAUAAUUUAUUUGGCAACUUUCUUCCUUCAAAUAUAUAAAAUGAAAAUAAAUUUUAAAAAAUAAAAAAAAUGAAAAAAAUAAAAAAAAUAAAAAAAGCUUUUUUUUUUUAUAGUUUUUCUAAGAUGAUUUUGUAGAGUACUGUUAGUUUAUAGUUUUAACUUUAUUUAUUGAGGUAUGUUCUUUUUUGAAACUCUUGUUUAGAUUUUAUAGAGCAUAUAAAUUUUAAGAAAAAAAAUGAAAUUUAAAUAAAAUAAGAAUAAAGAAAGGCAAAAGGUGGAUGAAUUUUUUUAAGGCAAAAGUUUGAUAACUUGGCACUAUCAUGUAAUGGGUGAAAUUUUUAAAUACUCAACAAAGGCUAGUGAAAUUUAAAUUAAAAGCUUGACAUGUACUUUUUCGACCAAAAUCUUUGGAGUUGGUGUAAAGUUUUGAGUAUGAGAGAGGUUAGUCUAGGGAAUACUAUUGCACAUUAGUUCAAAUAAAACAUCAACAUUUUUUUUUGUUAAAUUCUAAAUGAAAACCACUAUAAAUUAAUGCGAUUUUGUAUGCUCAAUUAAAUAAACUCGUUCUUAAGGCAUCACAUGAAGUGUUUAAGUCUAAUUAAUAUUAAUUAAAAAUGAUUAUAUUAAAAAAAAUCCAAAGUAAUUUAUUUUUAUCAUAAGUCAAGUAGGAUAGUUUUAUAAAUAAUUGGUUCUAGUUUCUGGUAUUAUUGUACACAAUCGCUAUGUUUGUUGCACCUCAAAAAAAUCUACUACUUGUAAUUAAUUGUAUAUUAUUCUCCAUAUUCACAUCAGUUUAUGUAGUAUGAUUAAUUUAGCAACAAAAUAUAAGUUUACUUGAAAUCGCUUUAAAUUCCUAUGAUAUUAAAGUUUAAGAUUAAAACAAUGUAACAUUAGCCAAAAAGAUUAAGAUCUAUAAUGUAACAUAUAAAAUUUAGAAAAUUCAAGGAAGGGUAAACUCGCACCUGUUCUACCCAGAAGAGUGGCUCAAGUUCACAUUCAGAAUUUAUUUGUUGAAAGAGUAUCUCCACUUUAUCACAAUCGAGCACUUCCAAUUCUUUCAGAAGUGGCCAACUUGAACUAAACCUUCUAGAGCAAAAUCUUUUGAGUUGGUGUAAACCAGAGAGAGUGAGAGAGGUAAGGUUAGGGAAUAAGAGUAAAGGUGCUGCUUCAUCUUUAUUUUCAUUGGCAACAAUUGCCUCCACUCCACUCUCCGAUAUAUAUAGGUAAUCAAGUUGCACAAGAGCACUCGCCACAGAAACCGGAAAAAGGUUUAGCAAUUUGUUGCAUCCCCUUACUUGCAAUUUCCUUAAUUUGGAAAAUGAAUUUGCUGGAAGUUGGUCAGGCCACAAUGCUCUUAUAUUAUCUAGUCCACGUACAGACAAGGACUCCAAGCCUGGGAGUGCAACCUGUGCAAUUGAUGAUCCCUUUAGUUAAUAAUAUAUACAUAUACAUUCCUAAUAAUUAGACACAUGUAAAUAGAAAAUAAGAGGUUAAAGGAGAAUAUAUCAGUAUAACAAAGCACAAAAUUUAAACUAGAUUCAAGAAGAUCAAGAAAGAGAAAAGAAAAGAAAAAGCCUCCAGAUUUUGAAGAUACAAUGAAACUUAAAAAAAAAAAAAAAAAACCUCCAAAUUUUCCUUUCGAAAUGAGGUAAUAAGAGGAUUUUUCUUUGCCUCUCUUUCAAAUUUGAUUAACUUCUAUGGAAAACGUAUUUUAACUAGUUAUGGAAAACAUAUUUUUUUUUUUAAACUUUUAUAUAAGAUACAAGUAAUACUUUAAAAAAAUUGUGACAUCUAAAAAAUUUUUUGAAAAAUUAUUUUUAAAGAAAUAAGGUAAAUCUAUACUUUUUGUAUAAGAUGUUCUACCUUUAUAUACAAAUUUCUGAUUUUUUUUUUUUAAAGUGUAUCCAAAUGGACACUAAACUAUCUAGUUUUUAAUUGUUACAACUUUGAAUUGCAUUUUAUGGUAAACUAAUUUACAAGUUAAUGCAUGGAUUCAUCUUAGAUUCCAUCUAUAAAUUUUUUUAAUUAUCUAAUAUAAGACAUUAUAUUAAUGGGUUGAAUUAAUAAUGUAAUUAUAAUUUAUUUGGCAACUUUCUUCCUUCAAAUAUAUAAAAUGAAAAUAAAUUUUAAAAAAUAAAAAAAAAAUGAAAAACAUAAAAAAUAAAAAAAGAUUUUUUUUUAUAGUUUUUCUAAGAUGAUUUUGUAGAGUACUGUUAGUUUAUAGUUUUAACUUUAUUUCAUUUUACUUUUAACUUUAUUUAUUGAGGUAUGUUCUUUUUUGAAACUCUUGUUUAGAUUUUAUAGAGAAUAUAAAUUUUAAGAAAAAAAAUGAAAUUUAAAUAAAAUAAGAAUAAAGAAAGGCAAAAGGUGGAUGAAUUUUUUUAAGGCAAAAGUUUGAUAACUUGGCACUAUCAUGUAAUGGGUGAAAUUUUUAAAUACUCAACAAAGGCUAGUGAAAUUUAAAUUAAAAGCUUGAUAUGUACUUUUUCGACCAAAAUCUUUGGAGUUGGUGUAAAGUUUUGAGUAUGAGAGAGGUUAGUCUAGGGAAUACUAUUGCACAUUAGUUCAAAUAAAACAUCAACAUUUUUUUUUGUUAAAUUCUAAAUGAACACCACUAUAAAUUAAUGCGAUUUUGUAUGCUCAAUUAAAUAAACUCGUUCUUAAGGCAUCACAUGAAGUGUUUAAGUCUAAUGAAUAUUAAUUAAAAAUGAUUAUAUUAAAAAAAUCCAAAGUAAUUUAUUUUUAUCAUAAGUCAAGUAGGAUAGUUUUAUAAAUAAACUGUUCUAGUUUCUAGUAUAAUUGUACACAAUCGCUAUGUUUGUUGCACCUCCAAAAAAUCUACUACUUGUAAUUAAUUGUAUAUUAUUCUCCAUAUUCACAUCAGUUUAUGUAGUAUGAUUAAUUUAGCAACAAAAUAUAAGUUUACUUGAAAUCGCUUUAAAUUCCUAUGAUAUUAAAGUUUAAGAUUAAAACAAUGUAACAUUAGCCAAAAAGACUAAGAUCUAUAAUGUAACAUAUAAAAUUUAGAAAAUUCAAGGAAGGGUAAACUCGCACCUGUUCUACCCAGAAGAGUGGCUCAAGUUCACAUUCAGAAUUUAUUUGUUGAAAGAGUAUCUCCACUUUAUCACAAUCGAGCACUUCCAAUUCUUUCAGAAGUGGCCAGCUUGAACUAAACCUUCUAGAGCAAAAUCUUUUCAGUUGGUGUAAACCGGAGAGUGUGAGAGAGGUAAGGUUAGGGAAUAAGAGUAAAGGUGCUGCUUCAUCUUCAUUUUCAUUGGCAACAAUUGCCUCCACUCCACUCUCCGAUAUAUAUAGGUCCUCAAGAUGCACAAGAGCACUCGCCACAGAAACCGGAAAAAGGUUUAGCAGUUUGUUGCAUCCCCUUACUUGCAAUUUCCUUAAUUUGGAAAAUGAAUUUGCUGGAAGUUGGUCAGGCCACAAUGCUCUUAUAUUAUCUAGUCCGCGUACAGACAAGGACUCCAACCCUGGGAGUGCAACCUCUGCAAUUGAUGAUCCCUUUAGUUAAUAAUAUAUACAUAUACAUUCCUAAUAAUUAGACACAUGUAAAUAGAAAAUAAGAGGUUAAAGGAGAAUAUAUCAGUAUAACAAAGCACAAAAUUUAAACUAGAUUCAAGAAGAUCAAGAAAGAGAAAAGAAAAGAAAAAGCCUCCAGAUUUUGAAGAUACAAUGAAACUUAAAAAAAAAAAAAAAAACCUUCAAAUUUUCCUUUCGAAAUGAGCUAAUAAGAGGAUUUUUUUUUUCUUUUUUCUUUGCAUCUCUUUCAAAUUUGAUUAACUUCUAUGGAAAACGUAUUUUAACUAGUUAUGGAAAACGGAUAUUUUUUUUUUAACUUUUAUAUAAGAUACAAGUAAUACUUUAAAAAAAUUGUGAUAUCUAAAUAAUUUUUUGAAAAAUUAUUUUGAAAGAAAUAAGGUAAAUCUAUACUUUUUGUAUAAGAUGUUCAACCUUUAUAUACAAAUUUCUAAUUUUUUUUUUUAAAGUGUAUCCAAAUGGACACUAAACUAUCUAGUUUUUAAUUGUUACAACUUUGAAUUGGAUUUUAUGGUAAACUAAUUUACAAGUUAAUGCAUGGAUUCAUCUUAGAUUCCAUCUAUAAAUUUUUUUAAUUAUCUAAUAUAAGACAUUAUAUUAAUGGGUUGAAUUAAUAAUGUAAUUAUAAUUUAUUUGGCAACUUUCUUCCUUCAAAUAUAUAAAAUGAAAAUAAAUUUUAAAAAAUAAAAAAAAUGAAAAAAAUAAAAAAUAAAAAAAGAUUUUUUUUAUAGUUUUUCUAAGGUGAUUUUGUAGAGUAUUGUUAGUUUAUAGUUUUAACUUUAUUUCAUUUUACUUUUAACUUUAUUUAUUGAGGUAUGUUCUUUUUUGCAACUCUUGUUUAGAUUUUAUAGAGAAUAUAAAUUUUAAGAAAAAAAAUGAAAUUUAAAUAAAAUAAGAAUAAAGAAAGGCAAAAGGUGGAUGAAUUUUCUUAAGGCAAAAGUUUGAUAACUUGGCACUAUCAUGUAAUGGGUGAAAUUUUUAAAUACUCAACAAAGGCUAGUGAAAUUUAAAUUAAAAGCUUGACAUGUACCUUUUCGACCAAAAUCUUUGGAGUUGGUGUAAAGUUUUGAGUAUGAGAGAGGUUAGUAUAGGGAAUAUUAUUGCACAUUAGUUCAAAUAAAACAUCAACAUUUUUUUUUGUUAAAUUCUAAAUGAACACCACUAUAAAUUAAUGCGAUUUUGUAUGCUCAAUUAAAUAAACUCGUUCUUAAGGCAUCACAUGAAGUGUUUAAGUCUAAUUAAUAUUAAUUAAAAAUGAUUAUAUUAAAAAAAAUCCAAAGUAAUUUAUUUUUAUCAUAAGUCAAGUAGGAUAGUUUUAUAAAUAAUUGGUUCUAGUUUCUAGUAUUAUUGUACACAAUCGCUAUGUUUGUUGCACCUCCAAAAAAUCUACUACUUGUAAUUAAUUGUAUAUUAUUCUCCAUAUUCACAUCAGUUUAUGUAGUAUGAUUAAUUUAGCAACAAAAUAUAAGUUUACUUGAAAUCGCUUUAAAUUCCUAUGAUAUUAAAGUUUAAGAUUAAAACAAUGUAACAUUAGCCAAAAAGAUUAAGAUCUAUAAUGUAACAUAUAAAAUUUAGAAAAUUCAAGGAAGGGUAAACUCGCACCUGUUCUACCCAGAAGAGUGGCUCAAGUUCACAUUCAGAAUUUAUUUGUUGAAAGAGUAUCUCCACUUUAUCACAAUCGAGCACUUCCAAUUCUUUCAGAAGUGGCCAGCUUGAACUAAACCUUCUAGAGCAAAAUCUUUUGAGUUGGUGUAAACCGGAGAGUGUGAGAGAGGUAAGGUUAGGGAAUGAGAGUAAAGGUGCUGCUUCAUCUUCAUUUUCAUUGGCAACAAUUGCCUCCACUCCACUCUCCGAUAUAUAAAGGUCCUCAAGUUGCACAAGAGCACUCGCCACAGAAACCGGAAAAAGGUUUAGCAAUUUGUUGCAUCCCCUUCCUUGCAAUUUCCUUAAUUUGGAAAAUGAAUUUGCUGGAAGUUGGUCAGGCCACAAUGCUCUUAUAUUAUCUAGUCCACGUACAGACAAGGACUCCAAGCCUGGGAGUGCAACCUGUGCAAUUGAUGAUCCCUUUAGUUAAUAAUAUAUACAUAUACAUUCCUAAUAAUUAGACACAUGUAAAUAGAAAAUAAGAGGUUAAAGGAGAAUAUAUCAGUAUAACAAAGCACAAAAUUUAAACUAGAUUCAAGAAGAUCAAGAAAGAGAAAAGAAAAGAAAAAGCCUCCAGAUUUUGAAGAUACAAUGAAACUUAAAAAAAAAAAAAAAAAAACUUCCAAAUUUUCCUUUCGAAAUGAGGUAAUAAGAGGAUUUUUUUUUUCUUUUUUCUUUGCCUCUCUUUCAAAUUUGAUUAACUUCUAUGGAAAACGUAUUUUAACUAGUUAUGGAAAACCGAUUUUUUUUUUUUUAACUUUUAUAUAAGAUACAAGUAAUACUUUAAAAAAAUUGUGAUAUCUAAAUAAUUUUUUGAAAAAUUAUUUUUAAAGAAAUAAGGUAAAUCUAUACUUUUUGUACAAGAUGUUCUACCUUUAUAUACAAAUUUCUGAUUUUUUUUUUAAAAGUGUAUCCAAAUGGACACUAAACUAUCUAGUUUUUAAUUGUUACAACUUUGAAUUGGAUUUUAUGGUAAACUAAUUUACAAGUUAAUGCAUGGAUUCAUCUUAGAUUCCAUCUAUAAAUUUUUUUAAUUAUCUAAUAUAAGACAUUAUAUUAAUGAGUUGAAUUAAUAAUGUAAUUAUAAUUUAUUUGGCAACUUUCUUCCUUCAAAUAUAUAAAAUGAAAAUAAAGUUUAAAAAAUAAAAAAAAUGAAAAAAAUAAAAAAUAAAAAAUGAUUUUUUUUAUAGUUUUUCUAAGAUGAUUUUGUAGAGUACUGUUAGUUUAUAGUUUUAACUUUAUUUCAUUUUACUUUUAACUUUAUUUAUUGAGGUAUGUUCUUUUUUGAAACUCUUGUUUAGAUUUUAUAGAGAAUAUAAAUUUUAAGAAAAAAAAUGAAAUUUAAAUAAAAUAAGAAUAAAGAAAGGCAAAAGGUGGAUGAAUUUUUUUAAGGCAAAAGUUUGAUAACUUGGCACUAUCAUGUAAUGGGUGAAAUUUUUAAAUACUCAACAAAGGCUAGUGAAAUUUAAAUUAAAAGCUUGACAUGUACCUUUUCGACCAAAAUCUUUGGAGUUGGUGUAAAGUUUUGAGUAUGAGAGAGGUUAGUCUAGGGAAUAUUAUUGCACAUUAGUUCAAAUAAAACAUCAACAUUUUUUUUUUGUUAAAUUCUAAAUGAACACCGCUAUAAAUUAAUGCGAUUUUGUAUGCUCAAUUAAAUAAACUUGUUCUUAAGGCAUCACAUGAAGUGUUUAAGUCUAAUUAAUAUUAAUUAAAAAUGAUUAUAUUAAAAAAAAUCCAAAGUAAUUUAUUUUUAUCAUAAGUCAAGUAGGAUAGUUUUAUAAAUAAUUGGUUCUAGUUUCUAGUACUAUUGUACACAAUCGCUAUGUUUGUUGCACCUCCAAAAAAUCUACUACUUGUAAUUAAUUGUAUAUUAUUCUCCAUAUUCACAUCAGUUUAUGUAGUAUGAUUAAUUUAGCAACAAAAUAUAAGUUUACUUGAAAUCGCUUUAAAUUCCUAUGAUAUUAAAGUUUAAGAUUAAAACAAUGUAACAUUAGCCAAAAAGAUUAAGAUCUAUAAUGUAACAUAUAAUAUUUAGAAAAUUCAAGGAAGGGUAAACUCGCACCUGUUCUACCCAGAAGAGUGGCUCAAGUUCACAUUCAUAAUUUAUUUGUUGAAAGAGUAUCUCCACUUUAUCACAAUCGAGCACUUCCAAUUCUUUCAGAAGUGGCCAGCUUGAACUAAACCUUCUAGAGAAAAAUCUUUUGAGUUGGUGUAAACCGGAGAGUGUAAGAGAGGUAAGGUUAGGGAAUAAGAGUAAAAGUGCUGCUUCAUCUUCAUUUUCAUUGGCAACAAUUGCCUCCACUCCACUUUCCGAUAUAUAUAGGUCCUCAAGUUGCACAAGAGCACUCGCCACAGAAACCGGAAAAAGGUUUAGCAAUUUGUUGCAUCCCCUUACUUGCAAUUUCCUUAAUUUGGAAAAUGAAUUUGCUGGAAGUUGGUCAGACCACAAUGCUCUUAUAUUAUCUAGUCCGCGUACAGACAAGGACUCCAAACCUGGGAGUGCAACCUGUGCAAUUGAUGAUCCCUUUAGUUAAUAAUAUAUACAUAUACAUUCCUAAUAAUUAGACACAUGUAAAUAGAAAAUAAGAGGUUAAAGGAGAAUAUAUCAGUAUAACAAAGCACAAAAUUUAAACUAGAUUCAAGAAGAUCAAGAAAGAGAAAAGAAAAGAAAAAGCCUCCAGAUUUUGAAGAUACAAUGAAACUUAACAAAAAAAAAAAAAAACCACCAAAUUUUCCUUUCGAAAUGAGGUAAUAAGAGGAUUUUUUUUUUUUCUUUUUUCUUUGCCUCUCUUUCAAAUUUGAUUAACUUCUAUGGAAAACGUAUUUUAACUAGUUAUGGAAAACAUAUUUUUUUUUUAAAAAACUUUUCUAUAAGAUACAAGUAAUACUUUAAAAAAAUUGUGAUAUCUAAAAAAUUUUUUGAAAAAUUAUUUUUAAAGAAAUAAGGUAAAUCUAUACUUUUUGUAUAAGAUGUUCUACCUUUAUAUACAAAUUUCUGAUUUUUUUUUUAAAAGUGUAUCCAAAUGGACACUAAACUAUCUAGUUUUUAAUUGUUACAACUUUGAAUUGGAUUUUAUGGUAAACUAAUUUACAAGUUAAUGCAUGGAUUCAUCUUAGAUUCCAUCUAUAAAUUUUUUUAAUUAUCUAAUAUAAGACAUUAUAUUAAUGGGUUGAAUUAAUAAUGUAAUUAUAAUUUAUUUGGCAAGUUUCUUCCUUCAAAUAUAUAAAAUGAAAAUAAAUUUUAAAAAAUAAAAAAAAUGAAAAAAAUAAAAAAUAAAAAAAGAUUUUUUUUAUAGUUUUUCUAAGAUGAUUUUGUAGAGUACUGUUAGUUUAUAGUUUUAACUUUAUUUCAUUUUACUUUUAACUUUAUUUAUUGAGGUAUGUUCUUUUUUGAAACUCUUGUUUAGAUUUUAUAGAGGAUAUAAAUUUUCAGAAAAAAAAAAUUAAAUUUAAAUAAAAUAGGAAUAAAGAAAGGCAAAAGGUGGAUGAAUUUUUUUAAGGCAAAAGUUUGAUAACUUGGCACUAUCAUGUAAUGGGUGAAAUUUUUAAAUACUCAACAAAGGCUAGUGAAAUUUAAAUUAAAAGCUUGACAUGUACCUUUUCGACCAAAAUCUUUGGAGUUGGUGUAAAGUUUUGAGUAUGAGAGAGGUUAGUCUAGGGAAUAUUAUUGCACAUUAGUUCAAAUAAAACAUCAACAUUUUUUUUUUUGUUAAAUUCUAAAUGAACACCACUAUAAAUUAAUGCGAUUUGUAUGCUCAAUUAAAUAAACUCGUUCUUAAGGCAUCACAUGAAGUGUUUAAGUCUAAUUAAUAUUAAUUAAAAAUGAUUAUUUUAAAAAAAUCCAAAGUAAUUUAUUUUUAUCAUAAGUCAAGUAGGAUAGUUUUAUAAAUAAUUGGUUCUAGUUUCUAGUAUUAUUGUACACAAUCGCUAUGUUUGUUGCACCUCCAAAAAAUCUACUACUUGUAAUUAAUUGUAUAUUAUUCUCCAUAUUCACAUCAGUUUAUGUAGUAUGAUUAAUUUAGCAACAAAAUAUAAGUUUACUUGAAAUCGCUUUAAAUUCCUAUGAUAUUAAAGUUUAAGAUUAAAACAAUGUAACAUUAGCCAAAAAGACUAAGAUCUAUAAUGUAACAUAUAAAAUUUAGAAAAUUCAAGGAAGGGUAAACUCGCACCUGUUCUACCCAGAAGAGUGGCUCAAGUUCACAUUCAGAAUUUAUUUGUUGAAAGAGUAUCUCCACUUUAUCACAAUCGAGCACUUCCAAUUCUUUCAGAAGUGGCCAGCUUGAACUAAACCUUCUAGAGCAAAAUCUUUUGAGUUGGUGUAAACCGGAGAGUGUGAGAGAGGUAAGGUUAGGGAAUGAGAGUAAAGGUGCUGCUUCAUCUUCAUUUUCAUUGGCAACAAUUGCCUCCACUCCACUCUCCGAUAUAUAAAGGUCCUCAAGUUGCACAAGAGCACUCGCCACAGAAACCGGAAAAAGGUUUAGCAAUUUGUUGCAUCCCCUUACUUGCAAUUUCCUUAAUUUGGAAAAUGAAUUUGCUGGAAGUUGGUCAGGCCACAAUGCUCUUAUAUUAUCUAGUCCGCGUACAGACAAGGACUCCAAACCUGGGAGUGCAACCUGUGCAAUUGAUGAUCCCUUUAGUUAAUAAUAUAUACAUAUACAUUCCUAAUAAUUAGACACAUGUAAAUAGAAAAUAAGAGGUUAAAGGAGAAUAUAUCAGUAUAACAAAGCACAAAAUUUAAACUCUAUUCAAGAAGAUCCAGAAAGAGAAAAGAAAACGCCUUUUGAUUUUGAAGAUCCAAUGAAACUUUAAAAAAAAAAAAAAAAACCUCCAAAUUUUGCUUUCCAAAUGAGGUAAUAGGAGGAUAUUUUUAUUUUAUUUUUUCUUUGCCUCUCUUUCAAAUUUGAUUAACUUCCAUGGAAAACGUAUUUUAACUAGCCAUGGAAAAUGGAUUUUUUUUUUAAAACUUUUAUAUAAGAUACAAGAACUCUUAGAGGGUUACAUUAUGUAAGUAAUACUUUAAAAAAAAUGUUUAAAAAUAUUGUGAUAUCCAAAAAUUUUACUACCUCGGAUUUUAAAUUUUAAAAAAAUUAUUUUUAAAGAAAUAAGGUAAAUCUAUACUUUUUCGUAUAAGAUAUUCUACCUUUAUAUACAAAUUUCUGAUUUUUUUUUUAAAGUGUAUCCAAAUGGACACUAAACUAUCUAGUUUCGAAUUUUUACAACUUUGAAUUGGAUUUUAUGGUAAACUAAUUGACAAUAUAACGCAUGGAUUCAUCUUAGAUUCCAUCUAUAAAUUUUUUAAUUAUCUAAUAUAAGACAUUAUAUUAAUGGGUUGAAUUAAUAAUGUAAUUAUAAUUUAUUUGGCAACUUUCUUCCUUCAAAUAUAUAAGACGAAAAUAUAUUUUAAAAAAUAAAAAAGAAUGAUAAAAAAUAGAAAAUAAAAAUAGCUUAUUUUAUUGUUUUUCUAAGAUGAUUUUGUAGAGUGUUAGUUUAUAGUUUAACUUUAUUUCAUUUUACUUUUAACAUUAUUUAUUGAGGUAUGUUCUUUUUUGAAACUCUUGUUUAGAUUUUAUAGAGAAUAUAAAUUUUAAGAAAAAAAAUGAAAUUUAAAUAAAAUAAGAAUAAAGAAAGGCAAAAGGUGGAUGAAUUUUUUGAAGGCAAAAGUUUGAUAAUUUGGCACUGUCAUGUAAUGGGUGAAAUUUUUAAAUACUCAACAAAGGCUAGUGAAAUUUAAAUUAAAACCUUGACAUGUACCUUUUCGACCAAAAUCUUUGGAGUUGGUGUAAAGUUUUGAGUAUGAGAGAGGUUAGUCUAGGGAAUAUUAUUGCACAUUAGUUCAAAUAAAACAUCAACAUUUUUUUUUGUUAAAUUCUAAAUGAACACCACUAUAAAUUAAUGCGAUUUUGUAUGCUCAAUUAAAUAAACUCGUUCUUAAGGCAUCACAUGAAGUGUUUAAGUCUAAUUAAUAUUAAUUAAAAAUGAUUAUAUCAAAAAAAAUCCAAAGUAAUUUUUUUUUAUCAUAAGUCAAGUAGGAUAGUUUUAUAAAUAAUUGGUUCUAGUUUCUAGUAUUAUUGUACACAAUCGCUAUGUUUGUUGCACCUCCAAAAAAUCUACUACUUGUAAUUAAUUGUAUAUUAUUCUCCAUAUUCACAUCAGUUUAUGUAGUAUGAUUAAUUUAGCAACAAAAUAUAAGUUUACUUGAAAUCGCUUUAAAUUCCUAUGAUAUUAAAGUUUAAGAUUAAAACAAUGUAACAUUAGCCAAAAAGACUAAGAUCUAUAAUGUAACAAAUAAAAUUUAGAAAAUUCAAGGCAGGGUAAACUCGCACCUGUUCUACCCAGAAGAGUGGCUCAAGUUCACAUUCAGAAUUUAUUUGUUGAAAGAGUAUCUCCACUUUAUCACAAUCGAGCACUUCCAAUUCUUUCAGAAGUAGCCAGCUUGAACUAAACCUUCUAGAGCAAAAUCUUUUGAGUUGGUGUAAACCGGAGAGUGUGAGAGAGGUAAGGUUAGGGAAUAAGAGUAAAGGUGCUGCUUCAUCUUCAUUUUCAUUGGCAACAAUUGCCUCCACUCCACUCUCCGAUAUAUAUAGGUCCUCAAGUUGCACAAGAGCACUCGCCACAGAAACCCGAAAAAGGUUUAGCAAUUUGUUGAAUCCCCUUACAUGCAAUUUCCUUAAUUUGGAAAAUGAAUUUGUUGGAAGUUGGUCAGGCCACAAUGCUCUUAUAUUAUCCAGUCCGCAUACAUACAAGGACUCCAAGCCUUGGAGUGCAACCUGUGCAAUUGAUAAUCCCUUUGGUUAAUAAUAUAUACAUAUACAUUCCUAAUGAUUAGACACAUGUAAAUAGAAAAUAAGAGGUUAAAGGAGAAUAUAUCAGUAUAACAAAGCACAAAAUUUAAACUAGAUUAAAGAAGAUCAAGAAAGAGAAAAGAAAAGAAAAAGCCUCCAGAUUUUGAAGAUACAAUGAAACUUAAAAAAAAAAAAAAAAAACCUCCAAAUUUUCCUUUCGAAAUGAGGUAAUAAGAGGAUUUUUUUUUUCUUUUUUCUUUGCCUCUCUUUCAAAUUUGAUUAACUUCUAUGGAAAACGUAUUUUAACUAGUUAUGGAAAACGGAUUUUUUUUUUUAAAAACUUUUAUAUAAGAUACAAGUAAUACUUUAAAAAAAUUGUGAUAUCUAAAAAAUUUUUUGAAAAAUUAUUUUUAAAGAAAUAAGGUAAAUCUAUACUUUUUGUAUAAGAUGUUCUACCUUUGUAUUCAAAUUUCUGAUUUUUUUUUUUUAAAGUGUAUCCAAAUGCACACUAAACUAUCUAGUUUUUAAUUGUUACAACUUUGAAUUGGAUUUUAUGGUAAACUAAUUUACAAGUUAAUGCAUAGAUUCAUCUUAGAUUCCAUCUAUAAAUUUUUUUAAUUAUCUAAUAUAAGACAGUAUAUUAAUGGGUUGAAUUAAUAAUGUAAUUAUAAUUUAUUUGGCAACUUUCUUCCUUCAAAUAUAUAAAAUGAAAAUAAAUUUUAAAAAAUAAAAAAUAAAAAAAAGAUUUUUUUUAUAGUUUUUCUAAGAUGAUUUUGUAGAGUUCUGUUAGUUUAUAGUUUUCACUUUAUUUAUUGAGGUAUGUUCUUUUUUGAAACUCUUGUUUAGAUUUUAUUGAGAAUAUAAAUUUUAAGAAAAAAAAUAAAAUUUAAAUAAAAUAAGAAUAAAGAAAGGCAAAAGCUGGAUGAAUUUUUUUAAGGCAAAAGUUUGAUAAUUUGGCACUCUCAUGUAAUGGGUGAAAUUUUUAAAUACUCAACAAAGGCUAGUGAAAUUUAAAUUAAAACCAUGACAUGUACCUUUUAGACCAAAAUCUUUGGAGUUGGUGUAAUGUUUUGAGUAUGAGAGAGGUUAGUCUAGGGAAUAUUAUUGCACAUUAGUUCAAAUAAAACAUCAACAUUUUUUUUUGUUAAAUUCUAAAUGAACACCACUAUAAAUUAAUGCGAUUUUGUAUGCUCAAUUAAAUAAACUCGUUCUUAAGGCAUCACAUGAAGUGUUUAAGUCUAAUUAAUAUUAAUUAAAAAUGAUUAUAGUAAAAAAAAUCCAAAGUAAUUUUUUUUUAUCAUAAGUCAAGUAGGAUAGUUUUAUAAAUAAUUGGUUCUAGUUUCUAGUAUUAUUGUAGACAAUCGCUAUGUUUGUUGCACCUCCAAAAAAUCUACUACUUGUAAUUAAUUGUAUAUUAUUCUCCAUAUUCACAUCAGUUUAUGUAGUAUGAUUAAUUUAGCAACAAAAUAUAAGUUUACUUGAAAUGGCUUUAAAUUCCUAUGAUAUUAAAGUUUAAGAUUAAAACAAUGUAACAUUAGCAAAAAAGAUUAAGAUCUAUAAUGUAACAAAUAAAAUUUAGAAAAUUCAAGGCAGGGUAAACUCGCACCUGUUCUACCCAGAAGAGUGGCUCAAGUUCACAUUCAGAAUUUAUUUGUUGAAAGAGUAUCUCCACUUUAUCACAAUCGAGCACUUCCAAUUCUUUCAGAAGUAGCCAGCUUGAACUAAACCUUCUAGAGCAAAAUCUUUUGAGUUGGUGUAAACCGGAGAGUGUGAGAGAGGUAAGGUUAGGGAAUAAGAGUAAAGGUGCUGCUUCAUCUUCAUUUUCAUUGGCAACAAUUGCCUCCACUCCACUCUCUGAUAUAUAUAGGUCCUCAAGUUGCACAAGAGCACUCGCCACAGAAACCCGAAAAAGGUUUAGCAAUUUGUUGAAUCCCCUUACAUGCAAUUUCCUUAAUUUGGAAAAUGAAUUUGUUGGAAGUUGGUCAGGCCACAAUGCUCUUAUAUUAUCCAGUCCGCAUACAUACAAGGACUCCAAGCCUGGGAGUGCAACCUGUGCAAUUGAUAAUCCCUUUGGUUAAUAAUAUAUACAUAUACAUUCCUAAUAAUUAGACACAUGUAAAUAGAAAAUAAGAGGUUAAAGGAGAAUAUAUCAGUAUAACAAAGCACAAAAUUUAAACUAGAUUAAAGAAGAUCAAGAAAGAGAAAAGAAAAGAAAAAGCCUCCAGAUUUUGAAGAUACAAUGAAACUUAAAAAAAAAAAAAAAAAACCUCCAAAUUUUCCUUUCGAAAUGAGGUAAUAAGAGGAUUUUUUUUUUAUUUUUUCUUUGCCUCUCUUUCAAAUUUGAUUAACUUCUAUGGAAAACGCAUUUUAACUAGUUAUGGAAAACGGAUUUUUUUUUUUUAAAACUUUUAUAUAAGAUACAAGUAAUACUUUAAAAAAAUUGUGAUAUCUAAAAAAUUUUUUGAAAAAUUAUUUUUAAAGAAAUAAGGUAAAUCUAUACUUUUUGUAUAAGAUGUUCUACCUUUGUAUUCAAAUUUCUGAUUUUUUUUUUUAAAGUGUAUCCAAAUGCACAAUAAACUACCUAGUUUUUAAUUGUUACAACUUUGAAUUGGAUUUUAUGGUAAACUAAUUUACAAGUUAAUGCAUGGAUUCAUCUUAGAUUCCAUCUAUAAAUUUUUUUAAUUAUCUAAUAUAAGACAUUAUAUUAAUGGGUUGAAUUAAUAAUGUAAUUAUAAUUUAUUUGGCAACUUUCUUCCUUCAAAUAUAUAAAAUGAAAAUAAAUUUUAAAAAAUAAAAAAAAUGAAAAAAUAAAAAAUAAAAAAAAGAUUUUUUUUAUAGUUUUUCUAAGAUGAUUUUGUAGAGUACUGUUAGUUUAUAGUUUUCACUUUAUUUAUUGAGGUAUGUUCUUUUUUGAAACUCUUGUUUAGAUUUUAUUGAGAAUAUAAAUUUUAAGAAAAAAAAUGAAAUUUAAAUAAAAUAAGAAUAAAGAAAGGCAAAAGGUGGAUGAAUUUUUUUACGGCAAAAGUUUGAUAAUUUGGCACUAUCAUGUAAUGGGUGAAAUUUUUAAAUACUCAACAAAGGCUAGUGAAAUUUAAAUUAAAACCUUGACAUGUACCUUUUAGACCAAAAUCUUUGGAGUUGGUGUAAAGUUUUGAGUAUGAGAGAGGUUAGUCUAGGGAAUAUUAUUGCACAUUAGUUCAAAUAAAACAUCAACAUUUUUUUUUGUUAAAUUCUAAAUGAACACCACUAUAAAUUAAUGCGAUUUUGUAUGCUCAAUUAAAUAAACUCGUUCUUAAGGCAUCACAUGAAGUAUUUAAGUCUAAUUAAUAUUAAUUAAAAAUGAUUAUAGUAAAAAAAAUCCAAAGUAAUUUUUUUUUAUCAUAAGUCAAGUAGGAUAGUUUUAUAAAUAAUUGGUUCUAGUUUCUAGUAUUAUUGUAGACAAUCGCUAUGUUUGUUGCACCUCCAAAAAAUCUACUACUUGUAAUUAAUUGUAUAUUAUUCUCCAUAUUCACAUCAGUUUAUGUAGUAUGAUUAAUUUAGCAACAAAAUAUAAGUUUACUUGAAAUGGCUUUAAAUUCCUAUGAUAUUAAAGUUUAAGAUUAAAACAAUGUAACAUUAGCCAAAAAGAUUAAGAUCUAUAAUGUAACAUAUAAAAUUUAGAAAAUUCAAGGAAGGGUAAACUCGCACCUGUUCUACCCAGAAGAGUGGCUCAAGUUCACAUUCAGAAUUUAUUUGUUGAAAGAGUAUCUCCACUUUAUCACAAUAGAGCACUUCCAAUUCUUUCAGAAGUGGCCAGCUUGAACUAAACCUUCUAGAGCAAAAUCUUUUGAGUUGGUGUAAACCGGAGAGUGUGAGAGAGGUAAGGUUAGGGAAUAAGAGUAAAGGUGCUGCCUCAUCUUCAUUUUCAUUGGCAACAAUUGCCUCCACUCCACUCUGAAAUAUAUUUAGGUUCUCAAGUUGCACAAGAGCACUCGCCACAGAAACCGGAAAAAGGUUUAGCAAUUUGUUGCAUCCCCUUACUUGCAAUUCCCUUAAUUUGGAAAAUGAAUUUGCUGGAAGUUGGUCAGGCCACAAUGCUCUUAUAUUAUCUAGUCCGCAUACAGAAAAGGACUCCAAGCCUGGGAGUGCAACCUGUGCAAUUGAUGAUCCCUUUAGUUAAUAAUAUAUACAUAUACAUUCCUAAUAAUUAGCACAUGUAAAUAGAAAAUAAGAGGUUAAAGGAGAAUAUAUCAGUAUAACAAAGCACAAAAUUUAAACUAGAUUCAAGAAGAUCAAGAAAGAGAAAAGAAAAGAAAAAGCCUCCAGAUUUUAAAGAUACAAUGAAACUUAAAAAAAAAAAAAAAAAACCUCCAAAUUUUCCUUUCGAAAUGAGGUAAUAAGAGGAUUUUUUUUUUUUUCUUUUUUCUUUGCCUCUCUUUCAAAUUUGAUUAACUUCUAUGGAAAACGUAUUUUAACUAGUUAUGGAAAACGGAUUUUUUUUUUAAACUUUUAUAUAAGAUACAAGUAAUACUUUUAAAAAAUUGUGAUAUCUAAAAAAGUUUUUGAAAAAUUAUUUUUAAAGAAAUAAGGUAAAUCUAUACUUUUUGUAUAAGAUCUUCUACCUUUAUAUACAAAUUUCUGAUUUUUUUUUUUAAAGUGUAUCCAAAUGGACACUAAACUAUCUAGUUUUUAAUUGUUACAACUUUGAAUUGGAUUUUAUGGUAAACUAAUUUACAAGUUAAUGCAUGGAUUCAUCUUAGAUUCCAUCUAUAAAUUUUUUUAAUUAUCUAAUAUAAGACAUUAUAUUAAUGGGUUGAAUUAAUAAUGUAAUUAUAAUUUAUUUGGCAACUUUCUUCCUUCAAAUAUAUAAAAUGAAAAUAAAUUUUAAAAAAUAAAAAAGAAUGAAAAAAAUAAAAAAUAAAAAAAGCUUUUUUUUAUAGUUUUUCUAAGAUGAUUUUGUAGAGUACUGUUAGUUUAUAGUUUUAACUUUAUUUCAUUUUACUUUUAACUUUAUUUAUUGAGGUAUGUUCUUUUUUGAAACUCUUGUUUAGAUUUUAUAGAGAAUAUAAAUUUUAAGAAAAAAAAAGGAAAUUUAAAUAAAAUAAGAAUAAAGAAAGGCAAAAGGUGGAUGAAUUUUUUUAAGGCAAAAGUUUGAUAAUUUGGCACUAUCAUGUAAUGGGUGAAAUUUUUAAAUACUCAACAAAGGCUAGUGAAAUUUAAAUUAAAAGCUUGACAUGUACCUUUUCGACCAAAAUCUUUGGAGUUGGUGUAAAGUUUUGAGUAUGAGAGAGGUUAGUCUAGGGAAUAUUAUUGCACAUUUGUUCAAAUAAAACAUCAACAUUUUUUUUUGUUAAAUUCUAAAUGAACACCACUAUAAAUUAAUGCGAUUUUGUAUGCUCAAUUAAAUAAACUCAUUCUUAAGGCAUCACAUGAAGUGUUUAAGUCUAAUUAAUAUUAAUUAAAAAUGAUUAUAUUAAAAAAAAUCCAAAGUAAUUUAUUUUUAUCAUAAGUCAAGUAGGAUAGUUUUAUAAAUAAUUGGUUCUAGUUUCUAGUAUUAUUGUACACAAUCGCUAUGUUUGUUGCACCUCCAAAAAUCUACUACUUGUAAUUAAUUGUAUAUUAUUCUCCAUAUUCACAUCAGUUUAUGUAGUAUGAUUAAUUUAGCAACAAAAUAUAAGUUUACUUGAAAUCGCUUUAAAUUCCUAUGAUAUUAAAGUUUAAGAUUAAAACAAUUUAACAUUAGCCAAAAAGAUUAAGAUCUAUAAUGUAACAUAUAAAAUUUAGAAAAUUCAAGGAAGGGUAAACUCGCACCUGUUCUACCCAGAAGAGUGGCUCAAGUUCACAUUCAGAAUUUAUUUGUUGAAAGAGUAUCUCCACUUUAUCACAAUCGAGCACUUCCAAUUCUUUCAGAAGUGGCCAACUUGAACUAAACUUUCUAGAGCAAAAUCUUUUGAGUUGGUGUAAACCGGAGAGUGUGAGAGAGGUAAGGUUAGGGAAUAAAAGUAAAAGUGCUGCUUCAUCUUCAUUUUCAUUGUGAACAAUUGCCUCCACUCCACUAUAAAAUAUAUUUAGGUUCUCAAGUUGCACAAGAGCACUCGCCACAGAAACCGGAAAAAGGUUUAGCAAUUUGUUGCAUCCCCUUACUUGCAAUUUCCUUAAUUUGGAAAAUGAAUUUGCUGGAAGUUGGUCAGGCCACAAUGCUCUUAUAUUAUCUAGUCCGCAUACAGACACGGACUCCAAGCCUGGGAGUGCAACCUGUGCAAUUGAUGAUCCCUUUAGUUAAUAAUAUAUACAUAUACAUUCCUAAUAAUUAGACACAUGUAAAUAGAAAAUAAGAGGUUAAAGGAGAAUAUAUCAGUAUAACAAAGCACAAAAUUUAAACUAGAUUGAAGAAGAUCAAGAAAGAGAAAAGAAAAGAAAAAGCCUCCAGAUUUUGAAGAUACAAUGAAACUUAAAAAAAAAAAAAAAAAACCUCCAAAUUUUCCUUUUGAAAUGAGGUAAUAAGAGGAUUUUUCUUUGCCUCUCUUUCAAAUUUGAUUAACUUCUAUGGAAAACGUAUUUUAACUAGUUAUGGAAAACGGAUUUUUUUUUUUUAAACUUUUAUAUAAGAUACAAGUAAUACUUUAAAAAAAUUGUGAUAUCUAAAAAAUUUUUUGAAAAAUUAUUUUUAAAGAAAUAAGGUAAAUCUAUACUUUUUGUAUAAGAUGUUCUACCUUUAUAUACAAAUUUCUGAUUUUUUUUUUUUAAAGUGUAUCCAAAUGGACACUAAACUAUCUAGUUUUUAAUUGUUACAACUUUGAAUUGGAUUUUAUGGUAAACUAAUUUACAAGUUAAUGCAUGGAUUCAUCUUAGAUUCCAUCUAUAAAUUUUUUUAAUUAUCUAAUAUAAGACAUUAUAUUAAUGGGUUGAAUUAAUAAUGUAAUUAUAAUUUAUUUGGCAACUUUCUUCCUUCAAAUAUAUAAAAUGAAAAUAAAUUUUAAAAAAUAAAAAAAUGAAAAAAAUAAAAAAUAAAAAAAGAUUUUUUUUUAUAGGUUUUCUAAGAUGAUUUUGUUGAGUACUGUUAGUUUAUUGUUUUAACUUUAUUUCAUUUUACUUUUAACUUUAUUUAUUGAGGUAUGUUCUUUUUUGAAACUCUUGUUUAGAUUUUAUAGAGAAUAUAAAUUUUAAGAAAACAAAUGAAAUUUAAAUAAAAUAAGAAUAAAGAAAGGCAAAAGGUGGAUGAAUUUUUUUAAGGCAAAAGUUUGAUAAUUUGGCACUAUCAUGUAAUGGGUGAAAUUUUUAAAUACUCAACAAAGGCUAGUGAAAUUUAAAUUAAAAGCUUGACAUGUACCUUUUCGACCAAAAUCUUUGGAGUUGGUGUAAAGUUUUGAGUAUGAGAGAGGUUAGUCUAGGGAAUAUUAUUGCACAUUAGUUCAAAUAAAACAUCAACAUCUUUUUUUGUUAAAUUCUAAAUGAACACCACUAUAAAUUAAUGCGAUUUUGUAUGCUCAAUUAAAUAAACUCGUUCUUAAGGCAUCACAUGAAGUGUUUAAGUCUAAUUAAUAUUAAUUAAAAAUGAUUAUAUUAAAAAAAAUCCAAAGUAAUUUUUUUUUAUCAUAAGUCAAGUAGGAUAGUUUUAUAAAUAAUUGGUUCUAGUUUCUAGUAUUAUUGUACACAAUCCCUAUGUUUGUUGCACCUCCAAAAAAUCUACUACUUGUAAUUAAUUGUAUAUUAUUCUCCAUAUUCACAUCAGUUUAUGUAGUAUGAUUAAUUUAGUAACAAAAUAUAAAUUUACUUGAAAUCGCUUUAAAUUCCUAUGAUAUUAAAGUUUAAGAUUAAAACAAUGUAACAUUAGCCAAAAAGAUUAAGAUCUAUAAUGUAACAUAUAAAAUUUAGAAAAUUCAAGGAAGGGUAAACUCGCACCUGUUCUACCCAGAAGAGUGGCUCAAGUUCACAUUCAUAAUUUAUUUGUUGAAAGAGUAUCUCCACUUUAUCACAAUAGAGCACUUCCAAUUCUUUCAAAAGUGGCCAGCUUGAACUAAACCUUCUAGAGCAAAAUCUUUUGAGUUGGUGUAAACCGGCGAGUUCGAGAGAGGUAAGGUUAGGGAAUAAGAGUAAAGGUGCUGCUUCAUCUUCAUUUUCAUUGUGAACAACUGCCUCCACUCCACUCUGCAAUAGAUUUAGGUCCUCAAGUUGCACAGGAGCACUCGCCACAGAAACCGGAAAAAGGUUUAGCAAUUUUUUGCAUCCCUUUACUUGCAAUUUCCUUAAUUUGGAAAAUGAAUUUGCUAGAAGUUGGUCAGGCCACAAUGCUCUUAUAUUAUCUAUGAUAACCACAACAUUCAAACCACCGAGAUUUCCUUGGCUUCUCACUUAUCUUUUCCACCAGAUAAGUGUUUAUCCACUUUAAGAGAUAACUCUUGACUAUUUUUAAAUUUCUGUUAUUGUGUAUUUCAAAUCUCCUUCUGUAAUUGUAUAUAAAUGAGAAUAGCCACCCGGUUUUUGGCAUUGAAGCCAAUACCAUUUUACAGAUUUCUACAGAGUCUUACAUGGUAUCAGAGCAAUUGGCAUACGCCUAAUUUCAAUCGAUCCUUUCCUUCUCAACUAUGGCCUUCUCUUCUUCCGCUUCCUCCAAUGUUAUCUUUGCUCCUCCAAACAUUGGUCAUCUGGUGUCGAUCAAGCUGAGUGACACAAACUAUCUUAUAUGGUCAUCUCAGAUUGUGCCAGUACUGAAAAGUCAUGACUUGAUGGGCUUCAUGGAUGGUUCUGAGCCGUGUCCAUCAAAAUCUCUUGAUGGUUCUCUUAAUCCAGCAUAUAUUCUCUGGAAUAAGAAAGAUCAGUGUGUGUUAAGUUGGAUCAAUGCCACUUUGUCUGACAAGGUGCUAGCUUCUGUUUAUGGCAUCACAUCUGCUCGAGAGGUGUGGAGUUCUCUGGCAAACAAGUUUGCCUCUCAAUCCAGAACCCGUGUACACCACCUAAAGCGAAAGUUGCAGACUCUUCAUCAAGGGUCAAUGAAGUGCACUGAUUUUCUUGAAAAAGCGAAGUUGGUGUCUGAUGAAUUAGCUGCAGUUGGUAAGCCACUUGAGGAUGAUGACUUAAUGUCUUAUAUUGUGAGUGGACUCAACCCAUCCUUUAAUCCCUUUAUAACCUCUCUGUCCUUUGCCACUAGAGACAAAAAUGUUUCUUUUGAAGACUUUCAAGCCGAGCUCUUGUCAUAUGAACUGUUAUUGGAAAACUAGAAUAUUGCUAUACCACCUGAGACAAAUAAUUUUGCUUUCUUCACUCCCAAAUCUAACCAACAACAGUACAAUCGCAAACCCAAAAACCCAAGUAAACCAUAUUCACGUCCUUCAUUUUCACAAAAUCCUCGUCCUCGAUAUUCACCACAACCCUCUGGUUUACCUUCCUCACCUCAGCCAAAUCAGAAGCAGCACUCAUUUUCCACUCCUAAGUCACCUUGUCAAAUCUGUGGAAAGCUAAGUCAUAAGGCAUUAGAUUGCUUUCAUAGAAUGGAUUAUGCAUAUCAGGGUCGUCAUCCACCAACCCAGUUAGCUGCUAUGGUGGCACAUAGCAAUGCUGAGCAAGAGGAAGAGACAUGGUUUGCUGACAGUGGAGCUAAUCAGCACAUUACUGCCAAUCUGGAGCAUCUUACUCUGCAACAACCAUACACAGGACAAGAAAAUGUAGCUAUUGGUAAUGGCCAAGGUUUAAGUAUUGCACAUACUGGUACUACUAUUUUUCAUACUCCUGAAGCUAAAUUAAACCUCAAACGUGUCCUCCAUUGUCCUCAAGCUUCUGCCAAUUUGCUUUCCAUAAAUCAAUUCUGUCUUGAUAAUAAUUGCCUCUUUAUUCUAACUGGUACUCAUUAUUUUGUCAAGGACAUACAAACGGGGGCGACACUACUGGAAGGCAGGAGUGAAGGGGGUCUCUAUCCAAUCCAGUUGCGGUCAAUGUCUAUCAAUAAAUCACAUGCUUUGUCAGCCGUUGUAGGAAUUAAAGCAUCAGUUUCAGUUUGGCAUUCUAGAUUAGGACAUGCAUCUCUUCCCAUUGUGUCUCAGUUAUUAAAUAAACACUCCUUACCUGUUGAAGGAUCAGUGAAUAAAAUGCAUUUUUGUGAACCUUGCCAACUUGGCAAAGGUAAGCAACUUCCUUUCAAACCUUCUACUCGUGUUUCUUCCUUUCCUUUGCAAUUAAUUCAUACUGAUGUAUGGUCUUGUUCUACCAAAUCUCUCAGUGGAUGUAAGUAUUAUGUUAUAUUCAUUGAUGAUUUUUCACGAUUCUCAUGGCUUUAUCCUCUCCAAAAUAAAUCUGAUGUAUAUGCUUGCUUUGUUAAAUUCAAAACACUAGUUGAAAACCAAUUUUCUUGCAAAAUUAAGCAAUUACAAUCGGAUGGAGGUGGAGAAUACAUGUCCAACCAAUUUCAAUUGUUUCUUUCCUCUAAUGGAAUCCAACAUCGCCGCACUUGUCCUCAUACACCCCAACAAAAUGGGGUUGCUGAGCGUAAACACCGUCAUGUGGUGGAAAUGGGACUGUCUCUGUUAGCUCAGUCACUUUUGCCCACUAAAUUCUGGGUUGAUGCCUUUUUAACAUCCAUUUUUCUCAUCAAUAGACUACCAACAUCUACUCUUGAUAACCAAACACCAUAUCUUAAAUUAUUUGGCAAACAUCCUGAUUAUACCUCCUUGCGCACCUUUGGUUGUGCCUGUUUUCCAUUGUUACGGACCAUAUGCAACUCACAAAUUAAUGUUCAGAUCCAAACGUUGCAUAUUUCUAGGUUAUAGUUCCCAUCAAAAUGGAUAUAGAUGCUUGGAUCCUGUCACUCAAAAAGUUCUAAUCUCACGACAUGUUGUGUUUAAUGAGAAUACAUUUCCUGCUAAGGAUGGAUUGCAGUCUUCUGAACUUCUUCCAGUGGUCUCCUCUCAAGGUACGCCUUUACCUUCUCCUUCAUUUUCUUUAUCUACUUCUCAUUUACAGCAUUCCUCUCCAAUCAUUUCAGAUUCACCUGAUUCUCCUCUAGAAUCUUUACCUAUCCCCACUUCUCCUCAUAUCUCCACUCUACCUUCUCCCAUACCUAGUCCAGCUCCUACCCUUUCUAUACCUGAAUUUUCCUCUUCUUCCAAUCACUCUCAUCACCCCAUGACAACUCGCUCCCAAACAGGCAACCUCAAACCUCGCACAUUUUCAGAUUUUAAACUCUAUUCCACCCACUAUCCUCUCCAAGCAUUAUCCAGUACUGUGACUCCCCUUGCACCAACCUCCUACCGACAAGCUGCUUUAUUACCUGACUGGUGUGUUGCUAUGAGAGAGGAAUAUGAUGCUUUAUUGGCUAAUGAGACAUGGAAGCUAUGUCCUAGACCUGUUGAUCAUAAUGUGGUGGGAAAUAAGUGGGUGUAUAAAGUUAAACAAACAUCCACAGGUGAGGUUGACAGAUUCAAAGCAAGAUUAGUGGCUUUGGGAUUUGCUCAAGAAGAAGGUAUUGACUUUACUGAGACUUUUAGUCCAGUAAUUAAGCCUUCUACUGUACGGGUGCUUCUUACACUUUCUGUUCAAUUUGAUUGGGAAAUCAGACAGCUUGAUGUAUCUAACGCUUUUCUUCAUGGGAUCUUGCUAGAGGAUGUAUAUAUGGAGCAACCUAAGGGGUUUGUUAAUUCAGAUUUUCCAGAUUAUGUUUGCAAACUGAACAAGUCACUUUAUGGCCUCAAACAAGCACCUCGUGCUUGGUUUAUGCGUCUAUCUCAAACUCUACUUGAAUUCGGUUUCCUAUCCUCACCAGUGGAUGCCUCCUUAUUUGUCUAUCAUAAGGGCCAUAUUCAUCUAUUUAUCCUCAUCUAUGUAGAUGAUAUCCUUGUUACAGGUACAGAUCCUUCUCUCAUUCAGUCUCUAAUCCAAAAGCUACAAACCGAGUUCAAGAUGAAAGACCUUGGUCCUUUGGGCUAUUUUCUCGGCAUCCAAGCAAGUCGUGACUCUUCUGGCCUACAUCUUCGACAAUCCAAGUACAUUGGGGAUCUUCUUCAUCGUACCAAGAUGGCUGGGGCCAAACCUGCUUCCUCUCCUUGUACCACAGGUCUUAAAUUAUCCACUCAUGUUGGUGAGCCACUCACAGCUUCUCAAAUUACAGAAUAUCGACAAACUGUGGGAGCUCUUCAAUAUUGCACCUUGACUAGACCUGAUAUAGCAUUUUCUGUCAACCAACUAUGUCAACAUAUGCACUGUCCUAAUUCUGUUCAUUGGACAGCAGCAAAACGUGUCUUACGUUACUUAAAAGGCACCAUUGAUCUGGGAUUAUGGUACACUAAGGGCGAGCAAACUCUUCAAGCCUUUUGUGAUUCAGAUUGGGCUGGUAAUCCCGAUGAUCGAAGAUCAACUACUGGGUAUGGCGUUUUCUUUGGCUCUUGCUUAAUCUCAUGGACUGCCAAGAAACAAUCUGUGGUAGCUCGUUCUAGCACUGAAGCCGAAUAUAGGGCAUUAGCUAUUACUACUGCUGAGCUGUAUUGGAUUCGUAUGCUCCUCAAAGAACUUCAUAUUUCUUUGCCCACAGCUCCUACUAUUUGGUGUGAUAACAGUGGCGCUCUUGCUCUUGCUUCUAAUCCUGUGUUUCAUGCCCGCACCAAACAUAUUGAAGUUGAUUUUCACUUCAUCCGCGAGAAAGUUGCUAAUCGAGAUAUUUCCCUUCAGUUCAUCGGUUCUUAUGAUCAGCCUGCUGAUAUCUUUACAAAGGGACUAAGUUUAGCUCGGUUUUGUUUGCUUCGUGACAAGCUAAUGGUGGUUUCUCUCCCCAUUAGCUUGAGGGGGGAUGAUAACCACAACAUUCAAACCACCGAGAUUUCCUUGGCUUCUCACUUAUCUUAUCCACCAGAUAAGUGUUUAUCCACUUUAAGAGAUAACUCUUGACUAUUUUUAAAUUUCUGUUAUUGUGUAUUUCAAAUCUCCUUCUGUAAUUGUAUAUAAAUGAGAAUAGCCACCCGGUUUUUGGCAUUGAAGCCAAUACCAUUUUACAGAUUUCUACAGAGUCUUACAAUCUAGUCCGCCUACAGAAAAGGACUCCAAGCCUGGGAGUGCAACCUGUGCAAUUGAUGAUCCCUUUAGUUAAUAAUAUAUACAUAUACAUUCCUAAUAAUUAGACACAUGUAAAUAGAAAAUAAGAGGUUAAAGGAGAAUAUAUCAGUAUAACAAAGCACAAAAUUUAAACUAGAUUCAAGAAGAUCAAGAAAGAGAAAAUAAAAGAAAAAGCCUCCAGAUUUUGAAGAUACAAUGAAACUUAAAAAAAAAAAAAAAAAACCUCCAGAUUUUCCUUUCGAAAUGAGGUAAUAAGAGGAUUUUCUUUUUCUUUUUUCUUUGCCUCUUUUUCAAAUUUGAUUAACUUCUAUGGAAAACGUAUUUUAACUAGUUAUGGAAAACGGAUUUUUUUAAAAAAACUUUUAUAUAAGAUACAAGUAAUACUUUAAAAAAGUUGUGAUAUCUAAAAAAUUUUUGUAAAAAUUAUUUUUAAAGAAAUAAGGUAAAUCUAUACUUUUUGUAUAAGAUGUUCUACCUUUAUAUACAAAUUUUUGAUUUUUUUUUUUUAAGUGUAUCCAAAUGGACACUAAACUAUCUAGUUUUUAAUUGUUACAACUUUGAAUUGGAUUUUAUGGUAAACUAAUUUACAAGUUAAUGCAUGGAUUCAUCUUAGAUUCCAUCUAUAAAUUUUUUUAAUUAUCUAAUAUAAGACAUUAUAUUAAUGGGUUGAAUUAAUAAUGAAAUUAUAAUUUAUUUGGCAACUUUCUUCCUUCAAAUAUAUAAAAUGAAAAUAAAUUUUAAAAAAUAAAAAAAAUGAAAAAAAUAAAAAAUAAAAAAAGAUUUUUUUUAUAGUUUUUCUAAGAUGAUUUUGUAGAGUACUGUUAGUUUAUAGUUUUAACUUUAUUUCAUUUUACUUUUAACUUUAUUUAUUGAGGUAUGUUCUUUUUUGAAACUCUUGUUUAGAUUUUAUAGAGAAUAUAAAUUUUAAGAAAAAAAAUGAAAUUUAAAUAAAAUAAGAAUAAAGAAAGGCAAAAGGUGGAUGAAUUUUUUUAAGGCAAAAGUUUGAUAAUUUGGCACUAUCAUGUAAUGGGUGAAAUUUUUAAAUACUCAACAAAGGCUAGUGAAAUUUAAAUUAAAAGCUUGACAUGUACCUUUUCGACCAAAAUCUUUGGAGUUGGUGUAAAGUUUUGAGUAUGAGAGAGGUUAGUCUAGGGAAUAUUAUUGCACAUUAGUUCAAAUAAAACAUCAACAUCUUUUUUUGUUAAAUUCUAAAUGAACACCACUAUAAAUUAAUGCGAUUUUGUAUGCUCAAUUAAAUAAACUCGUUCUUAAGGCAUCACAUGAAGUGUUUAAGUCUAAUUAAUAUUAAUUAAAAAUGAUUAUAUUAAAAAAAAUCAAAAGUAAUUUUUUUUUAUCAUAAGUCAAGUAGGAUAGUUUUAUAAAUAAUUGGUUCUAGUUUCUAGUAUUAUUGUAGACAAUCGCUAUGUUUGUUGCACCUCCAAAAAAUCUACUACUUGUAAUUAAUUGUAUAUUAUUCUCCAUAUUCACAUCAGUUUAUGUAGUAUGAUUAAUUUAGCAACAAAAUAUAAGUUUACUUGAAAUCGCUUUAAAUUCCUAUGAUAUUAAAGUUUAAGAUUAAAACAAUGUAACAUUAGCCAAAAAGAUUAAGAUCUAUAAUGUAACAUAUAAAAUUUAGAAAAUUCAAGGAAGGGUAAACUCGCACCUGUUCUACCCAGAAGAGUGGCUCAAGUUCACAUUCAGAAUUUAUUUCUUGAAAGAGUAUCUCCACUUUAUCACAAUCGAGCACUUUCAAUUCUUUCAGAAGUGGCCAGCUUGAACUAAACCUUUUUGAGCAAAAUCUUUUGAGUUGGUGUAAACCGGAGAGUGUGAGAGAGGUAAGGUUAGGGAAUAAGAGUAAAGGUGCUGCUUCAUCUUCAUUUUCAUUGGCAACAAUUGCCUCCACUCCACUCUUCGAUAUAUAUAGGUCCUCAAGUUGCACAAGGGCACUCGCCACAGAAACCAGAAAAAGGUUUAGCAAUUUGUUGCAUCCCCUUACUUGCAAUUUCCUUAAUUUGGAAAAUGAAUUUGCUGGAAGUUGGUCAGACCACAAUGCUCUUAUAUUAUCUAGUCCGCGUACAGACAAGGACUCCAAGCCUUGGAGUGCAACCUGUGCAAUUGAUGAUCCCUUUAGUUAAUAAUAAAUACAUAUACAUUCCUAAUAAUUAGACACAUGUAAAUAGAAAAUAAGAGGUUAAAGGAGAAUAUAUCAGUAUAACAAAGCACAAAAUUUAAACUAGAUUAAAGAAGAUCAAGAAAGAGAAAAGAAAAGAAAAAGCCUCCAGAUUUUGAAGAUACAAUGAAACUUAAAAAAAAAAAAAAAAAACCUCCAAAUUUUCCUUUCGAAAUGAGGUAAUAAGAGGAUUUUUUUUUUCUUUUUUCUUUGCCUCUCUUUCAAAUUUGAUUAACUUCUAUGGAAAACGUAUUUUAACUAGUUAUGGAAAACGGAUAUUUUUUUUUUAAACUUUUAUAUAAGAUACAAGUAAUACUUUAAAAAAAAUUGUGAUAUCUAAAAAAUUUUUUGAAAAAUUAUUUUUAAAGAAAUAAGGUAAAUCUAUACUUUUUGUAUAAGAUGUUCUACCUUUAUAUACAAAUUUCUGAUUUUUUUUUUUUUAAAUGUAUCCAAAUGGACACUAAACUAUCUAGUUUUUAAUUGUUACAACUUUGAAUUGGAUUUUAUGGUAAACUAAUUUACAAGUUAACGCAUGGAUUCAUCUUAGAUUCCAUCUAUAAAUUUUUUUAAUUAUCUAAUAUAAGACAUUAUAUUAAUGGGUUGAAUUAAUAAUGUAAUUAUAAUUUAUUUGGCAACUUUCUUCCUUCAAAUAUAUAAAAUGAAAAUAAAUUUUAAAAAAUAAAAAAAAUGAAAAAAAUAAAAAAUAAAAAAAGAUUUUUUUUAUAGUUUUACUAAGAUGAUUUUGUAGAGUACUGUUAGUUUAUAGUUUUAACUUUAUUUCAUUUUACUUUUAACUUUAUUUAUUGAGGUAUGUUCUUUUUAAAAACUCUUGUUUAGAUUUUAUAGAGAAUAUAAAUUUUAAGAAAAAAAAUGAAAUUUAAAUAAAAUAAGAAUAAAGAAAGGCAAAAGGUGGAUGAAUUUUUUUAAGGCAAAAGUUUGAUAACUUGGCACUAUCAUGUAAUGGGUGAAAUUUUUAAAUACUCAACAAAGGCUAGUGAAAUUUAAAUUAAAAGCUUUACAUGUACCUUUUCGACCAAAUUCUUUGGAGUUGGUGUAAAGUUUUGAGUAUGAGAGAGGUUAGUCUAGGGAAUAUUAUUGCACAUUAGUUCAAAUAAAACAUCAACAUCUUUUUUUGUUAAAUUCUAAAUGAACACCACUAUAAAUUAAUGCGAUUUUGUAUGCUCAAUUAAAUAAACUCGUUCUUAAGGCAUCACAUGAAGUGUUUAAGUCUAAUUAAUAUUAAUUAAAAAUGAUUAUAUUAAAAAAAAUCAAAAGUAAUUUUUUUUUAUCAUAAGUCAAGUAGGAUAGUUUUAUAAAUAAUUGGUUCUAGUUUCUAGUAUUAUUGUACACAAUCGCUAUGUUUGUUGCACCUCCAAAAAAUCUACUACUUGUAAUUAAUUGUAUAUUAUUCUCCAUAUUCACAUCAGUUUAUGUAGUAUGAUUAAUUUAGCAACAAAAUAUAAGUUUACUUGAAAUCGCUUUAAAUUCCUAUGAUAUUAAAGUUUAAGAUUAAAACAAUGUAACAUUAGCCAAAAAGAUUAAGAUCUAUAAUGUAACAUAUAAAAUUUAGAAAAUUCCAGGAAGGGUAAACUCGCACCUGUUCUACCCAGAAGAGUGGCUCAAGUUCACAUUCANNNNNNNNNNNNNNNNNNNNNNNNNNNNNNNNNNNNNNNNNNNNNNNNNNNNNNNNNNNNNNNNNNNNNNNNNNNNNNNNNNNNNNNNNNNNNNNNNNNNNNNNNNNNNNNNNNNNNNNNNNNNNNNNNNNNNNNNNNNNNNNNNNNNNNNNNNNNNNNNNNNNNNNNNNNNNNNNNNNNNNNNNNNNNNNNNNNNNNNNNNNNNNNNNNNNNNNNNNNNNNNNNNNNNNNNNNNNNNNNNNNNNNNNNNNNNNNNNNNNNNNNNNNNNNNNNNNNNNNNNNNNNNNNNNNNNNNNNNNNNNNNNNNNNNNNNNNNNNNNNNNNNNNNNNNNNNNNNNNNNNNNNNNNNNNNNNNNNNNNNNNNNNNNNNNNNNNNNNNNNNNNNNNNNNNNNNNNNNNNNNNNNNNNNNNNNNNNNNNNNNNNNNNNNNNNNNNNNNNNNNNNNNNNNNNNNNNNNNNNNNNNNNNNNNNNNNNNNNNNNNNNNNNNNNNNNNNNNNNNNNNNNNNNNNNNNNNNNNNNNNNNNNNNNNNNNNNNNNNNNNNNNNNNNNNNNNNNNNNNNNNNNNNNNNNNNNNNNNNNNNNNNNNNNNNNNNNNNNNNNNNNNNNNNNNNNNNNNNNNNNNNNNNNNNNNNNNNNNNNNNNNNNNNNNNNNNNNNNNNNNNNNNNNNNNNNAGAGAGGUAAGGUUAGGGAAUAAGAGUAAAGGUGCUGCUUCAUCUUCAUUUUCAUUGUGAACAAUUGCCUCCACUCCACUCUGCGAUAUAUUUAGGUCCUCAAGUUGCACAAGAGCACUCGCCACAGAAACCGGAAAAUGGUUUAGCAAUUUCUUGCAUCCCAUUACUUGCAAUUUCCUUAAUUUGGAAAAUGAAUUUGCUGGAAGUUGGUCAGGCCACAAUGCUCUUAUAUUAUCUAGUCCCCGUACAGACAAGGACUCCAAGCCUGGGAGUGCAACCUGUGCAAUUGAUGAUCCCUUUAGUUAAUAAUAUAUACAUAUACAUUCCUAAUAAUUAGACACAUGUAAAUAGAAAAUAAGAGGUUAAAGGAGAAUAUAUCAGUAUAACAAAGCACAAAAUUUAAACUAGAUUGAAGAAGAUCAAGAAAGAGAAAAGAAAACGCCUUUUGAUUUUGAAGAUCCAAUGAAACUUUAAAAAAAAAAAAAAAUCCUCCAAAUUUUGCUUUCCAAAUGAGGUAAUAGGAGGAUAUUUUUAUUUUAUUUUUUCUUUGCCUCUCUUUCAAAUUUGAUUAACGUCCAUGGAAAACGUAUUUUAACUAGCCAUGGAAAAUGGAUUUUUUUUUUAAAACUUUUAUAUAAGAUACAAGAACUCUUAGAGGGUUACAUUAUGUAAGUAAUACUUUAAAAAAAAUGUUUAAAAAUAUUGUGAUAUCCAAAAAUUUUACUACCUUGGAUUUUAAAUUUUUAAAAAAUUAUUUUUAAAGAAAUAAGGUAAAUCUAUACUUUUUGUAUAAGAUAUUCUACCUUUAUAUACAAAUUUCUGAUUUUUUUUUUUAAAGUGUAUCCAAAUGGACACUAAACUAUCUAGUUUCGAAUUUUUACAACUUUGAAUUGGAUUUUAUGGUAAACUAAUUUACAAUAUAACGCAUGGAUUCAUCUUAGAUUCCAUCUAUAAAUUUUUUAAUUAUCUAAUAUAAGACAUUAUAUUAUUGCGUUGAAUUAAUAAUGUAAUUAUAAUUUAUUUGGCAACUUUCUUCCUUCAAAUAUAUAAAAUGAAAAUAAAUUUUAAAAAAUAAAAAAAAUGAAAAAAAUAAAAAAUAAAAAAAGAUUUUUUUUAUAGUUUUUCUAAGAUGAUUUUGUAGAGUACUGUUAGUUUAUAGUUUUAACUUUAUUUCAUUUUACUUUUAACUUUAUUUAUUGAGGUAUGUUCUUUUUAAAAACUCUUGUUUAGAUUUUAUAGAGAAUAUAAAUUUUAAGAAAAAAAAUGAAAUUUAAAUAAAAUAAGAAUAAAGAAAGGCAAAAGGUGGAUGAAUUUUUUUAAGGCAAAAGUUUGAUAACUUGGCACUAUCAUGUAAUGGGUGAAAUUUUUAAAUACUCAACAAAGGCUAGUGAAAUUUAAAUUAAAAGCUUGACAUGUACCUUUUCGACCAAAUUCUUUGGAGUUGGUGUAAAGUUUUGAGUAUGAGAGAGGUUAGUCUAGGGAAUAUUAUUGCACAUUAGUUCAAAUAAAACAUCAACAUUUUUUUUUGUUAAAUUCUAAAUGAACACCACUAUAAAUUAAUGCGAUUUUGUAUGCUCAAUUAAAUAAACUCGUUCUUAAGGCAUCACAUGAAGUGUUUAAGUCUAAUUAAUAUUAAUUAAAAAUGAUUAUAUUAAAAAAAAUCCAAAGUAAUUUUUUUUUAUCAUAAGUCAAGUAGGAUAGUUUUAUAAAUAAUUGGUUCUAGUUUCUAGUAUUAUUGUACACAAUCGCUAUGUUUGUUGCACCUCCAAAAAAUCUACUACUUGUAAUUAAUUGUAUAUUAUUCUCCAUAUUCACAUCAGUUUAUGUAGUAUGAUUAAUUUAGCAACAAAAUAUAAGUUUACUUGAAAUCGCUUUAAAUUCCUAUGAUAUUAAAGUUUAAGAUUAAAACAAUGUAACAUUAGCCAAAAAGAUUAAGAUCUAUAAUGUAACAUAUAAAAUUUAGAAAAUUCAAGGAAGGGUAAACUCGCACCUGUUCUACCCAGAAGAGUGGCUCAAGUUCACAUUCAGAAUUUAUUUGUUGAAAGAGUAUCUCCACUUUAUCACAAUAGAGCACUUCCAAUUCUUUCAGAAGUGGCCAGCUUGAACUAAACCUUCUAGAGCAAAAUCUUUUGAGUUGGUGUAAACCGGAGAGUGUGAGAGAGGUAAGGUUAGGGAAUAAGAGUAAAGGUGCUGCUUCAUCUUCAUUUUCAUUGUGAACAAUUGCCUCCACUCCACUCUGCGAUAUAUUUAGGUCCUCAAGUUGCACAAGAGCACUCGCCACAGAAACCGGAAAAUGGUUUAGCAAUUUCUUGCAUCCCAUUACUUGCAAUUUCCUUAAUUUGGAAAAUGAAUUUGUUGGAAGUUGGUCAGGCCACAAUGCUCUUAUAUUAUCUAGUCCCCGUACAGACAAGGACUCCAAGCCUGGGAGUGCAACCUGUGCAAUUGAUGAUCCCUUUAGUUAAUAAUAUAUACAUAUACAUUCCUAAUAAUUAGACACAUGUAAAUAGAAAAUAAGAGGUUAAAGGAGAAUAUAUCAGUAUAACAAAGCACAAAAUUUAAACUAGAUUGAAGAAGAUCAAGAAAGAGAAAAGAAAACGCCUUUUGAUUUUGAAGAUCCAAUGAAACUUAAAAAAAAAAAAAAAAACCUCGAAAUUUUGCUUUCCAAAUGAGGUAAUAGGAGGAUAUUUUUAUUUUAUUUUUUCUUUGCCUCUCUUUCAAAUUUGAUUAACUUCCAUGGAAAACGUAUUUUAACUAGCCAUGGAAAAUGGAUUUUUUUUUUAAAACUUUUAUAUAAGAUACAAGAACUCUUAGAGGGUUACAUUAUGUAAGUAAUACUUUAAAAAAAAUGUUUAAAAAUAUUGUGAUAUCCAAAAAUUUUACUACCUCGGAUUUUAAAUUUUUAAAAAAUUAUUUUUAAAGAAAUAAGGUAAAUCUAUACUUUUUGUAUAAGAUAUUCUACCUUUAUAUACAAAUUUCUGAUUUUUUUUUUUAAAGUGUAUCCAAAUGGACACUAAACUAUCUAGUUUCGAAUUUUUACAACUUUGAAUUGGAUUUUAUGGUAAACUAAUUUACAAUAUAACGCAUGGAUUCAUCUUAGAUUCCAUCUAUAAAUUUUUUAAUUAUCUAAUAUAAGACAUUAUAGUUUAACUUUAUUUCAUUUUACUUUUAACUUUAUUUAUUGAGGUAUGUUCUUUUUUGAAACUCUUGUUUAGAUUUUAUAGAGAAUAUAAAUCUUAAGAAAAAAAAUGAAAUUUAAAUAAGAUAAGAAUAAAAUAAAAUUUCAUAAUUUCAUAAAAUAAAAUUAUGAAAUUUAAACUAAUGAAAUUUAUUGAGGUAUGCCUUUCAAUGACUUUCGCCACGGGAAGGGGAAAAACAUUCAGCAAUUCAUGACAGCCAGAUACAUCCAAGCCCUUUAGUUUGGAAAAGGAAUUUGCUGGAAGUUGGUUGUGCCACAAUGCUUUCAGAUUAUUUAGACGAAAUACACGCAAGGACUCCAAGGCAGGGAAUGCAGCCUAUGCAAUUGAUGAUCCAUUUGGUUAAUACAUUCUCAAUAACUAAACACAUAUAAAUAGAACAGGAGAGGUGGAGGUGAAUAUGUCAAUAUGAAAAAGCACAAAAUAAAUUCAUAAUUUUAUCUGCGUAUUUUCUACAUUAUAUGAAACUAAACUAGACCUCACUACAAGCAGCUUGAAACUCACUUAGAAGGAAAGUUUAUUUUUAUUAAUUGUCUAAAACUAAUAGACUUCUCAUUAUAUAAUACUUUGGUUUUAGUAUUUUUCAUUUGUUCAUUCUCCAAUACAAUUUUACUAACUUAAAACAAGUAGAGCAUUUAUAUGUUGGAGUAAUAUGUAUAUGAUUAUUUUAUCCUAACUUUUUUUUAUUAAUUAAUUAUCAUUUUUAAAAGGUUUUAUUGAUGUGAUUUGAUAAAUGGUCAUAUUAAUAAUAUUAGAACAUAAAAACAAAUUAACUAUAUUUUAUCUAAUAUUUACCAAAAUAUUGAUUUACUAUCACAAAUUAUGUAAUUAAAAAUAUAAAAUAAAAUAUUGGUUUCCAAUAACUCCAACCUCGUCAUUUUAUUAAUAUCUAUAUUUUGUUUAUCUUUUUCUUCUUCUACAUUUUGUUUGGUGAUAGUUAUUUUUGGGUUAUAAACAAAGUAUUUCAUAUUUUAAAACUUUAUAACUCUUAUAAUAAGUAUUUCAUUCAUUCCAAAAUCGAUUCUUCUCCCUUGCUAUUGGUUUAGAAUACAAAAAUAAAUUUAUAAGUUUCUUUAAACCAUAUGAGUAUCAAUUAUUCCUUUCAUGAAAAUAAAGAGAGUUUAAUAUUGAAAGAAAAUUAACAAAAAUAUUUAUGUUAAAAAUAGUUAAGCAAAAAAUCAUAUAAUAAAAAAGAAUGAAUUAAGCCUUCAAAUUAUUAAAAAAAUUAACAUAAUAAAUUCAUGAAAAAAGAAAAGUGAAGAUUAGGCCUUAAAAUUUAUUCAGAAAAAUAAAAUAAAGAUAAUAAAUGUAUGAUAAAUAAGAAAAUAUAAGAAAGGAAGGAAGACAAGUACAAAUACUUUUUACUAAAAUUUUAUAUAAUUUUGGUUUUAAAGUGUACUUUUUAAUUCUGGUUUUUAUUUUUUAGAAUUUAUUUAUUUAGUGUAAAAGUAGUGUAAAUAAAUACUAGUAAUGGCAGAAAUUAGAUAUCGAGUAGUAAGAUACCUGUUGACUGAAAACUGUCAUUGACUCCUGGGUACCACUGCUUCUUGUGGAGUAGAAGCUAAUGAGCUCUGGGAGAUCACUCAACUCCAAAUGUUGCAGUUGAGGAAAAGCUGAUUCCCUUCCAUGUUGUGCUGGAAGAGAGAAAACAUAUUUCAACCUCUUACAAGACCUUAGUCUUAGAAUUCUUAAAUUACCAAAAGACCCCAUCGGAAUUGGGCCAUGGCAUACUGCCUCCAAGUUAUCUAGGCCAUCAAGAAUCAGUUCCUCCAACAUACAGAAGGUAUUAGGUGGUGGAACCCAUUCCACUGAAGUACUGGAAUGAAGGAUGUAUUGAACGGUAGGACAUUCCUCGAGAGUGAGAUACUUGAGUUCAACGAAACCCUCCUAGUCUAACUCAUAAACCACAUGCUUAGUAUCAUUCAAUUCCUCCAAGUCUAGAACUUGACUUCUCUUCAACAGCUUGGAGAAGAACUUCACCAUAUAAAGACUUGUAACCCCUCGCAACCCCAACCUUCUUGAGGCUUUAUACUCAUCAUUUGGUAUCCAGUCAUAGCCUAUUACUAUUGAAUAUCUGGUCAAGUUGAGGUUUUCGAAGAGCACAUCAUCUUCUGGAAACAAACUGGGAUUUGAUACUUGUACCUCCAAAGUCCUCAAACCAGACAGGUGUUUCAGCUCAGAAAGGCAAGCAUUAAUUCUUUCUCCCCUAUUAAAUCCUUCCGCCUCCCAUUCAAAACUUAAACUUCCUUUCAUACUCAAAUACUCUAAUUGGGAUAGACUUGAUAUAACAUUUCGUGGAAUUACUUCAAGGCUUUCACAAUACUGCAAAUCCAACAUCCUUAGAUCACUCAAUUGCGCCACUUCAUUUGGCAGCUGUUCAAUGUUGGACUCUGCCAAACUAAGGACUUGUAGUUUCCUCAGUUCUCCAAUUACUGUUAUGUCUUGGAUCUGGCAUUGAUUUAGACGCAAUGUUUGAAGAUUUGAAAGAAAACCAAGUGAUGAAGGAGAUGGUGUAAGAGACACUUUAGACAAAUCUAAAAUUCUGAGUUGUUUGGUGUCUUGGAAAAAGGCAUCUGGAAUUUUCAAAUAAGCAUCAUCAUUACUUGAAUUCAAUAAAAAGAAUUCAAGUUUCGGACAUACCAAGCCUUUUGGAAGCUCAUCCAUAUUUCUGCAUAUCAAAGAGAUGCGAGUGCAAUUUCUGCACUCAUCCGUCCUCUGCCAUUCUCGUAAUUCAACAGCUUCUUCUGAUCCAACAGCUUCUCUCACCACAAAUCGAUGAGGAUCUUUGGAUGCAAUUGAUCUGGCAACGUCACGAACAACAUCAUGCAUUCUGACAAAAGCGUGAUCAAAAAGCAAGCUCGGAUAUUCAUCACCAUCUCCUUCAUGGUCAAGCAACAAGCUUGAGGCUUUGAGGUUUUCCACCAAUGUAAUUAGUCUAUUUAUUGCUUUCUCCCAUAAAUAUAUUCCUUCAAACAAAUUCAAACACAUGGCAAAUUGUAGCAAGCGAUCCAUGGAAAUAUCACCAUCCCCCAGCAAAGCGCAAAGUAAAAACAAUGACUUUACUUCAUCACCUUUCAAAUGGUUGUAGCUCAGCUCCAGACAUGAGUAGACGCCUUCAGUCACUCCUCUGAUGCUUGUUGGUGCAGCCGUUCUCAGUCCUUCCAAGGCAUUCUUCCAUACAUGCACACUCUCACCUCUUAAUGUAUUUGCAAUGGUGACAAUUGCAACUGGUAGACCGUCACAUUUUUUAGCUACAUCAACUGCUAUGGGACGCAGUUCAGGCUUCUCCACGGAAUCACCUGCUGUCUUCUUGAAUAAAUUCCAGGCUUCAUCUUCACUUAAAUGUUGAAGAUGGAACUCCUUUUGAGUACGCAUAUCUUUAGAUAAAACCUGACGCUCCCGGGAAGUCAGCAGCACUUUGCACCCCUUGUGAUCAUCUCCAUAAGGAAUUCCUAUUUCUCCCAAGUCAAGUUUCCCCCAGAUAUCAUCUAAGAUCACCAGGAUUUUCUCCUCUCCCUUCAACCUUUGCUUCAGGCGACCUGCUCUAUCCUCCCCCGCCUCAAAUUUCAAACCCAACAUUCUUGCAAUUUUUUCUUGAAUUUCUGUGAUGUUGGGAGUUUGGGAUAUGUGUAACACCAUGACCACCUUGUGAAAGAGCUUGUCUUCCUCCGCUUGUUGAGCUACUUGUUUGACAAGAGUGGUUUUGCCCACGCCGCCCAUUCCCCAGACACCGAGCAUGCGCAUAUCUUCGUUUCUCAAGGCCUCCAUAAUUUGGUUAAAAGUAGACUCUCUUGACUGGAAAGCCUCAUAAUCUUUGAAAGAUGCAGAGCUGCUGAAUGGAGGAGGGCGAUGCGAUACUCUGCCACCAAAGUUACGAGCUUCUUGGAUUUUAUCAACAAUCUUCGCAGCCUGCUUCUCUGCUUGCUUGCUUAGUUGGUAGCGGGACUUUAAAUAGAAACAGCUCUUGCUUGCUUUCCUUUCAUGUUCAUUGAAAUCAUUGCUCUCUAGGAUGAUCCCUUCGGCAUACGUCAGCCACUCCUGAACACGAGGAAAGAUUUCAUCCCCUUGCCUAUAAGCCUCAUUCACAGGUAUCUGCAGUUCGUCCCUUUCACGACGGAGAUUUUCAAUUUGUUGGUUGAGAUCCGUAAUGUUGCGACGGUAGUUAAGGAGAUAACCCAGUUGACGUUUAAUUGGAUCAACCAGGCACUUUGCAACUUCUACUGCAACGGAAAUAACAAUAUCAACCAUUUCCAACUUCUUUCUAGAAAACGAUGAGAAUUGAGCAAAGGCAGAUAAAGAAUUAAUAGAGCAACCACAGCAGGAGAAAGACAAUACUCAAGAGAUUGAUAUUUGCUUGAAACUGUUGUGACAGAAGAAAUGGAAGGUUUGACGUAUAACAAGAGCAGAGUUUCUUUUCUUUUUUUCUUUUUUCUUUCAGGAAGAGAGGAGAGGAGAGGAGAGGAGAAACAGAAAGCAGGAAAAUGGAAAAGGAGAGUGAUUACUAGUAAAGAAGAAGAAAUAGUAGAUAAAAAAGAGAAAAGGGUUACAGAGUGAAGAGAUUGAGAAAGCUUUGGAUUUUGGAAUUCAGUGAUCCCCAAAACGAAAAUAAGUAAAAGGCUUUCUGGCAAGAGGGAGAGACGGAGAGAAGGAAAAUGAAAAAAUGGGAAACAGCAGUGAGUAUUGGGUGAUAAAUCGACGAGGAAACGGUUGUUUUGAUGAAAGGAGAAAGGAGAGCAGCAAGCCAACUUCAGAAGAAAUGGCAGAACAGCAGAAUUGCAGAUUCCUGAAUGUGAAAAUAGUUUGGUUAGAAGCAAAGGGUGUUUUAUUAAUA